rnacentral:lncRNA from 1 species
AUGUCUAUGUUUCAAGUUUGAAGGAAAGUGCUUAAGACCUGGAAUCCUAACAACAAAUCUUAGCAACAACUGCUGUAUAAACUUGAUUGUCUACAUAUGAGAAUUGACUUGGCUAACAAAGAAUGCAAUUCAAACUUAACCAAAACCAAGAAAUCAGAAAUCAGCAAUUCUACUUACCAUCAAAUUCAAAUCCAAAACUAAUUCUUAAUAGCAACUAAUCAAAACAGGCAAACAAUGAAACUAAAAUCCUGAAGUGAUAACAACUUCUGAUUAAAAGUAUACACUUACUUUGAAUAACACAAACAAUAGACUAGAACAUAAAAAGAAUCAAACCUGAGUUCUUUUACCAGUUGCCUACAACAUGAAUUUCUUCUCUCUCUCUCUCUCUCUCUCUCUCUCUCUCUCUCUCUCUCUAAUAGUAAACUCAAAGAAAACCAUAUGAAAAACUCAGAAUGCUCGACCUACUUAUACAGUCUGGAAAAUGGAUAGAACUUAGCGUCCAAGACAAGAGCAAAGGAAGCGUUCAAUUGAAAUCUUACCCAUUUAGGUACUAGACUAGACCCCUAGUGUAAUAUCCCACAUCGGCCAAACGGAGAGGGGUUAUGUGCUGUAUAUGUACAUGCCCACCUCCAAUCUAACACGAGGCCUUUUGGUGGCUCAGCGGCUUCGGAGAGGAUGGGUACUCCGAGGUUAAGCAUGUUGAUGCUAGAGCAAUCCCAGGAUGGGUGACCUACUGGGAAGCUGCUCCUGAGCUGCCGGAAACAAAACCGUGAGGGCCGGGGGCCCAAAGCGGACAAUAUCGUGUUACGGCGGAGCGGGUCCCGGGAUGUGAAUAAUGGUAUCAGAGCCACUCUGCCGUGUGGUGCGAGUGUGCCGACGAAGGCGUCGGACUCCCAAGGGGGGUGGAUUGUAAUAUCCCACAUCGGCCAAACGGAGAGGGGUUAUGUGCUGUAUAUGUACAUGCCCACCUCCAAUCUAACACGAGGUCUUUUGGUGGCUCAGCGGCUUCGGAGGGGAUGGGUACUCCGAGGUUAAGCAUGUUGAUGCUAGAGCAAUCCCAGGAUGGGUGACCUACUGGGAAGCUGCUCCUGAGCUGCCGGAAACAAAACCGUGAGGGCCGGGGGCCCAAAGCGGACAAUAUUGUGUUACGGCGGAGCGGGUCCCGGGAUGUAACACCUAGGGUUCUAGCUCCUACUAUAUAGCUUCAAGGAGUCAUUGACAAAUCCCUAGGAAUUUGACACCUCUUGCUUGUUCAUGGUGGUAGCCGUGAAAUUGGACUUUUCUAAGGUUGCAAGGUUUCAGAUUGAGAAACAUCUGGUCGGGAGGAAGAAGAAGAAGUCGGUCAAGGAGAAGAAGGCGGUGAAGAAGAAGCAGAAGGCGGAGGAGAAGAAGAAGACGACGUUGUUCUGUUAUUCUACGACAACAAGCUUUCUUUCUUUUUUUUUCUUUUCCUAAAAGUUGUUUGGGCUCAGGUUUGGGUUAAGCUAUAUUGGGUUUACUAUUGGGUUAAAGUUUGGGCUUUAAAACUAAAAACAAAUAAACCAAAUAAGAUGAAAUAAAAAAUGGGAUUCCAUAAAACAUAUCUAAAAACAACUAAAUCAAUUUCAGCAAAAAUACUAAAUACUAACAAUUUAGAGUAAAAGAAUAUAAGUAUACUAGUUUAGGUAUUUAAAAUUUUGAGUCGUCACAAAGCGAUUAUAGGUUGAGGAAGGAAUCGUCUUGGCUUUUAGGUUCUCUAGCCUUUGUUGCAAGACUUUUGGCGUUUUCACCGAUGUUACUUCUCUCUUUUUAUGUGAUUUUUUGUAUAAAUUUGGGAGAAGUGCUAAAAGUAGUAGAAGAGCAAAAUCCAAAUUGCAUGAAAUUUAAAGAGCGGAAAGUAAUUUGCAGGAUGUAAAGAAAACAAUAAAAAGAAGAAGAAAACUACGCUAGAGAAAGAAUGAAAAGAUCAAUAUUGUACAGAAUUUGGUGUUUGUAUGAAUUUGUAUAGAGUUGAGUUGUGUUAGUCGGGAACCAUUUAUAAUAAGGUUGAGGUUCGAAUAUAUACAAUUACAAACGCAUACUUAAGGAAAGAGAAUACAAUUAAAUAUUUGAAUUUCGGUUUUAAUGAUUGGAAUAAAAUUUACACUUCAUAUUGCUCAUUCCUUAAUCACACCAUAUUUACUUUCUUCUUGAGGCACUAUUAGAAUCGAUUUGCUCUUGAUUUACUCUUGAUUGUUUCCAAUUAACCAUAAUGUUAAUUUGUUGUCAUAUAUCGCCGUUGCUUCAAUAUUUAGUACGUAUUAGUGUUAAUACCAAAUAAUGAAUCUCGGCAAAUCUCAAUAAUAAUGAUGAUAAUUAUACGAAAUAAUUGUGAUAAUUAUCAUUAAAUGUUGUAAUCUUCCUCGCAACCAACGAAUUUGGCCUAGUAGAUUGACGUGUAAAAAAUAGGUACAAACAAGACCUGGCGGACCCACAUUUUAUGUUGGGUCUAGCUGGCAUGCCUGGGUCAGGAAUUGGGUCAAAAUCCUAGCCUUUUUCUUGUGUUGGGUUAGUAAAUGUCAAAACGAAACAUGUCAACAUACCACUGGUAGAAACGAGUUUUUAUGAAACUGUGGUCACCACCUCAACAUUCUUACGUGGAGACCGGCCAAUUACUAACUGCUAAACUUGCUCUUAUAGCUGAAAAUUAUUCAGCGUACCCGACAUCUUCACCGUCCGUUUGAGCACGUGGACUUGGGCCAUUAGUUGGGCGUUUGCGGUCUGUUAGGUAGGCGGGUGAUGGGGCUAGGGUAAGUAAGUGGAUGUGGAUCUUUAUGGUUUCGCCCAUCAUCGACGACGAAAGCAAUCCCUUAUCUCGUCAUGCUUAGAGUCCAGAAGACGGCUCGUUGUGUUCCAAUUCUGAAAGACGAAGAUAUGACUCUGUAGCCUUCGAUUGGAAUCUCAAGGACCGAAUCCUGAACGUGUGGAGAUCGGCGUCUGAAAGGGUUAGGAACUUAGGAUGAGCCUAUGACGAAAUUAAGGGUCAGCAUGCUUUCUUCGAUGUGUAGUUAUGCACUACUAAUUAACUUCUCAUUCGUUUGAUUUGUUUUAAGAUUAUUUUUACUGGUCUUUAAAUGUAGGGAUGCUACUUCAUGUACAGUUCAUUUCUCUGCUUUUGGAGUUUGCUUUGAAUAUUGAGUGGUAAUUGGUGAUGGAUCCUGGUUCAAAUUUUAUCAUUUCAUCGAUUAAAGCUGAAGCUAACCUCCCUAAUGCGGAUUUUAUUAUUUGAUGCUCAAGCAGCCCCUUCUUAGCUUGUUUGUUGUUGUUUUGUUUCAUCUAUUGUAAUCUCCAGCCAUCUUUUGGCUUCUGCAAUAGAAGUUCUUUAGUUUAACCAAAAAAAAAAAAAAAAAAAAAGCUGAAGCUAAAGCCUCCCUGUUUAAAAGGAUUGGUUUUCCAUAAGGGUCCAGUUAUUUGCAAAUUGGAAGGAGCCCAGAAAUCAAUAAUGAAAUUUAGUAGAGCUUUUGCUUCAUUUUGUUUUGCAAGUAUUCACUGUCUAAUAUUAUCUAUUGUCGCUGCUUAUGGAAAGUUAAAUUGGUAUUGUUGUAUCUUGUUAGCAUAAAUGGAUAUACAUAAAUAACAUAAUGGAUAUUCUGUCGAUUGCUUUUUGGUUAUUGAAAGUUCUAUUGUUUCUGUAGUGUUCAACUACAAGAAUCUUGUUUAUAUAAAAUAGUUCAGAAGCAAAAAGUCAGUGUGAUCUCUGUUUACCUCUUGAUUUCUUUCGAGGGUCUUAAAAUUGGGAAGCGUUGGACUACGUCGAAGUAAUGUACGCCACUGUUGUCCCAAGACACGUGGUCGACAACUAUCCGCAGUUCCGCACAGAUGAGUUCAAUGGACAACUAUCCGCAGUUCUGCACAGUGAUUCGACUCUUUUCUACGUUUUGGAUUCCAGAUCCAGACUAUUACAAUCUUUGUUCUUCGUUGAGACGAAGGCAAUGUGUUCUGCUCACAAAAAUUAGGAACGUGUAUCUAGCUGUGCUAAUAAUUACAAGACCAGACCCCAUACCAGUUCCAAUCCCAAACACAAAACCAAAACACCAACUAUGAAUUAAAGCACGAAAGAGAAGGAAAGGAACGAAAUUGGUGAUGGAAGUGGUGUCCAAUAUGGAGUCGACGAAGCCGGCAUAGACCAUGUUCUCAUUAAUUUCAGUUUUGGUUUCUUCCUGAGCUAUGUUCAGCAAUUCAUUUGAGAGAAGAGAGGAGAGAGAAAGAUGGCAUGACGAGACUUUGAGAAGAAAAGGAGAGAUGAAAUAAAAUAUCACAUUAAAGAAUGUAAGAGAAAUCUUGGCCCAUUUAGAUUCAAUGGCCCAGAUCUGUUUUCAAAUCUCUGUUUUGUCUUUCAGUCUCACAGAAAAAUAAAUUACUUACCGUUACCACAUGGUUACAAUACUUUCCUUCUGUACCAGAAACAGUGAAAUGUACACGUACUUUGGCGUUUUCUAUUUUACUGAUAAUUUAGGGUUUCUGAUUCUCUGAGUAUUGAUCUGAUGUGGGAUAUUGAGUGGUAUAGUUUAUGUGUAGUUCACGUCUCUGCAUUUGGAGUUUGCUUUGAAUAUUGAGUGUUAGUUGACGGUUCAAGACUAGCUUCUUUGGUUUAUCUUGUGCAACUGGAAAAUUCAAGGGCAACAAUUGACUCAACGUAUGAGCAGAAGCCCUAAUUAGUUCAUGGAUAUAAUUAAGUAGUCAUCUAUCUAUCAAUAAUGAGACUUAUUUAAGGGAGUGCGGCUGUUGGGACCUCCUAAUUUGCUCACUAGAUCUUAUUCUAUUUUGAAUUAUUAAAUGACAUAUACAUCCUCAUACACAAUGACUAUUAAUGACAAUAGUUAUAUAAAAGGAAAUAUUAUAUUUAUUUUCUUUAGACUUUCCAAUUUAAUAAUAAUUGAUUCUAUUCUUUAUUAUUUUCUUUGUAUAUUUUUGUUUUCCAAUUUCUUUUUAUUAAAGCAUAUAUAUAGUUUAUAAGAGCUAAAAAAUAAUCAAUAUCAAUCAUGUGACAUACAAUUUUGUAUUAUCAUACAUGUUGAACGCAUAUAUUUGCAAGAUGCGUGCAUAAAUAUUUUUGUAAAAAUAAUAAUUUAAUAUCUAUCAAUUAUAGAAAAUAUAUAUUUAUUGAAAUAAUUUAUUAUGAGUUACAAAAUAGAGAUCAAAUUAUUCAAAAGAAAAAACAUGGAGAAAAAGAGAAAUUUUAAAUACACACCCCUAAUUUCUUAAUACACACCCCUUACUUAAUACACUACCAAUUUAGUUUUUCAUUUCAAUAUUAUACUAAAUACACAUCCCAAACUGCCUAAAAUACCNNNNNNNNNNNNNNNNNNNNCAAAUCUCCAAUAUAACAUCAAUCGGCUAGAAUUUGAAGAAAAAAAAUAUUGAACAUACAUAAUUUUUUUCAAAGUUAAGAAACUAGUAAAAGUACAAUAGCAUAAAAACUAGUUUUUAGUCUGCAAGAUAAAAAUUAAAGUUGAUAAAAAAAAAAACCAAAUGAAUCGGUAAAUAGUACAUGUGAUUACGACAGUAAUCGAAAUUCCAAGUGAUGAAAUUUAGAGAAGAGAUUUUUAUUUCUUUUCUUUUGAUGCGUAGUAAUAGUGGAGAAGAGUUAAGUUUUAAGGAAGAGAAAGUUUUUUUUCCCCCCUAAUAAUUGAUGGAUGUUUUUGUAAUUAAACAUACCUAUAAAAUCUGGUAUGAAAUAUAAAAUAUCAGAGAUGUGUAUUAAGAGAUUAGAGGUGUGUAUUUAAAAUUUCUCGGAGAAAAAAUAACACGUACAAAAGAGAAAACAAUUAAAAAGAGAUAUAGAGUAGUUCAUGAUAGAACAUUUUCUUGUAUGAAAAAAAAUCAAAAAAUGAAGGUAGGGAUAAUAGAGAUGUUGACAAACAAAAAGGAAAAAAAGAAAAAAAGAAUGAGAGGUCUAUUGAUUGAAUAAGAGAUAAUUAAUUGAUUGAAAUAUACGUCAAUAAAUAACUAAGGUUAUGUUAGAAAUUUGAAAUGAGGUCUAGUAAGCAAAGACUUAUAUUAAAAAGUAAAAAGGAGGUGUAAAGAGAAUGAGAGGCAUAACGAGUAAAUUUGGAGGUCUCAAUAGCCACACUCUAUUUAAGGGUGCUGAAAUUUACACACCCAUUUUUACAUUCUACACACCCAUUGUAAUUUUUUAAUAUUUUUUCAUCAAUCCACAAAUUUCUAUUCCAAAACUACCCCUCCCUUUCCAUCUUUCUUUUACUAUGUGAAACCCUUUCUAUGUCUUUCUCUUUCUCCUCCCAGUCCAUCUGCAACCAAAUUCUAACACAGAUGGCCAAUCACAAUUCACAAGAAAUAUUUUCUCUCACAUCACAAGAUCCUCACUCUUUCGCACCCACCACCGUUCGACGACCCUGAUCUGAGGACCUCAACUCGCUGCUCAACCCGAGGCCCGAGAAUCCGAUUCUGUCCAAUCAUUGGCUUCUUUCGCCUCAAUGACGCCGGCAAGGGGAUAAGCAGCCCCACCGAAGAGGAUUAGGUCGAGGUCCAAAUUGAAUUCUUACCCACCUGGAAUUUUGUUACUUGAUUUUCCAGUUAAUUCUCCGUAGCUCCAUCCCGGCAUUCUUGGUUUCGAAUUGGCGGCGUUGGCUCGGUCUCAACGUCGUCAUAGCAGGCUUGUGGGAUGUGUGGGAUUUACAAGUAGGUGGAGGGAGGGGAAAGAGGAGUGAGAGAGUGAGGAGGAGAGAGAAGUGCGUGAGGGAACUAAGAAUGAUGAUUUUAGUCGUUAUGAUCAAGAAUCGAGAAUAAAGGAUUGUAAUAAAAAAAGAAGUGAGAAUAAGGAUGAUAUAUAGAUAUGGAUAUGCCUAUGAAUAGUGAUAGAGUCUGCUUACAACAAUGUUUUAUUCUCUGCAAAAUCUUUGAGCACAGAGAUUUCUACAGACAAAUAGAUGUACGUAGGUAGAAAAAACGGAAUAAGAGAUCUAGUAAAAGAAUGUGUUGGGCACUUUGACGAGUUAUCUAGUAUCCGGCCAAUCUUGAGGUGUCGUCCAAUGGAGAGACUUCAUCUCAACAACCCAAAAAGUCUCUUUGUCUGUAUUGAUUUUCAUAGAAGACACUGAAGGAAGUGGAUAAAACAGAAACUAGAGGGAAAUGAUGAAACAGGGAGGAGACAAAUAAAGACAAGGGCAAUUUUGUAAAAGUAUCACAAAGAGUGUGUAGAAUGCAAAAAUGGGUGUGUAGAUUUCAGCACCCUUAUUUAACUGUGUUAUAGGACUGUCAGGACAUGCUUGAGAAAGGGAACCAUAUCUGAAGAUAUCCUUUAGAAGUUAGAAGAGCCUUCUCUGGAAUAAAACCAGUGAUUGCAGUAGAAGAUUCUUAUUGUCUGAUUGGAGUUGAUCUUAGCUUUGUUGAAUGUUGAAUGUUGAUGUAACUUGGGUUUUGUUAGAAUGCUGUCGCCUUCUCUGGACAUUGUUUAUGUGUUUUUUUUUUGUUUUGUUUUGUCAAGGAAACUUUUAUGUUGAUGUUUUGAAUUUGAUAUGCAAUGUUGAUGCAUUAACUUUGGUGCUCUAGAGCUGCAAUGAUAUUAAACCCGUAUUUCACUAUUUGAACUUAACAUGUAACCGUAUUUUCCAAACCCGCUCUUUGAUUGGGGUUCAAAUGUUAUCGGAAAUAUAUGAGUUUUCUACCAUACCCAUAUUUUACUAUAUCUAUCACAUCCUACGGAAAAUUUUAUGAAAUUUGAUUUGCAAGAUAUAGUUGUUUCACAAAGAUUUGCACUUGCGUAAAACCUAUGUUGCACGGAAACCGUUUCCGGUACGAUCCGAUACGUGGAAACGUCAAAAUCAAAUAUAGUCUGAUACGAAACGUGAAGGAAACGGCAAAAUUAAAAUAAAUAUAAUAUUUAUUAUAAUAAAUAUAAUUGAAAAAAUAACAUCAAAAAAAUAGUUUCUUAAUAAAAAACAUCAAUCUAAAUGACUAAAUCCAAACAAACAUGCAUAAUCAAAUUACAAUACAAAUAACAAAGAUUCUUCAUCACAUAGUCAAUCCAAAUCCAAACCAAACAAAUGUUUGAGAAAAGAUCCAUAUUCAAAUACUCAAAUUAAAAUACAAAUAAGUCAAAUUAAGCUUCAACAACAUCAUCCUCUUCAAUAUUUUCCUCUUCAAACUCAUCAUCUUCAAACAAGACCGACUCCAAAAAUAGGCUCAUCAAGUGAAAGGUUGGCAAUCUCAAGCCUUCCAACAUUAGAGUCUUCCAAUGAAUCAAAGUCAAUCACCUCCAAUAUCCCACAUAUGAGUUGCACCUUUGUUGUAAGUUGGGCAUUGCCUAGCUAAAAGGCGAAGAUUGGUAUGCACAAAUACCAAAUCUUCCGCUCUAAAAGGUUACUAUUCGGGGUUAUGAGUUACCGCAGACUUUUCUUUAUUCGCGUUCAGAGAUUUAAAUAGCGAUUACUUGAGUUUGUUUUUGAGUUUUUCUGAAAACGGUAAAUAGUAGAUUUAAAACUCCGAAGUCGUAGUACAUGUUUAUACGAGCUCACCGGUAUGCCCGGAUUAUUUUCCGGAGCGACGAGCUAGGUUCUUUGAAUUAUAAAGUUUCCAGGAAAUUUUCAAUUAUUGUUUCUUGUAACCGUUUUACCAUAAAAGACCCAAAAACUUGACUUUUCGUUAAGUCGAUAAUUUGGGAAAACUUCCUGCAUGGAAGUCGUAGAGGACGUUAAUACGAGAUCGUGGACACGUGGCACGCUUAAAUCGGAGUUUGUAUGAGAAAGUUAUGGUCUAAAAACGGGAAGUUACUAUCUCGGUAAAUGAUAUAUAUAUAAAACAGGAAGAGGGAGGUUCUAGAAGGGUCGGUUAAACCGACCUAAGCAACAGAUUAAAAGGAAAAAAGGAAGGUUCGGGAAAGGAGGGAGAAAAUCAGUUCAGACCCAGACCGGGUCAUCCCCGACCCGAACAGAGUCAGCGGGUCAACCCGACUGGUUCUCCGUUUUCCGGCGACGACGAGCAGAAAGAAUGGUAGCGACAGCUUCCUCUCAUUCUCGUGGUCAUGUCCAUGCCAUUGAUUUUCAAAUAAGAAGUCUAGAGUGAGAGAUUCGAAGUGGAGAAGGAGAGGCUGUGUUUGCCGGCGAAUCUCCGAUUCCGGCAGCGGCGACGCCUCUCACUGGUAUGGAUAGCUUCAUCUCGAUCUCAGGAACCUUUCCAUGUUCUUGGUUUUCGAAGAGAAGCUNNNNNNNNNNNNNNNNNNNNNNNNNNNNNNNNNNNNNNNNNNNNNNNNNNNNNNNNNNNNNNNNNNNNNNNNNNNNNNNNNNNNNNNNNNNNNNNNNNNNAUACUAAAUUUCGUCGGCUAUAGUUAUUUUUUAAUUAUUUAUUACACACUUUAGCUGACGAAUAUCUUAAUUGUUUCGUCAGCUAAAGUCUGGGAAAAAAACCGACGACAUGUUUUUCGUCGGCUAACUGUGAGACUAUAGCCGACGAAAAAAAAAUUUCGUCGGCUAAAGUCAUCGCCGACGACUUUUUCCUGACGAAAUCUUAGCCGACGAAUUAAGCUAACAGGCCGACGAAACUUUUUCGUCGGCUAAAGUGCUUGUCCUGGUAGUGUUAUGUUAAUAAGACAACAUUUAUGUGUUGACUGAUAUUGAAUUUUAUUGAAUUGACAACUUUUGUGAAAAUUUUACUUAAUUAUGUUAAUCCGACAACAUUUAUGUGUUGUCUGAUAUUGAAUUUUUAUGAAUUGACAACUUGUGUGAAAAUUUUACUUAAUUAUGUUAAUAAGACAACAUAUAUGUGUUGGCUGAUACUGAAAUUUAGUAAUUUCUGACUUUGAAGGUAAACCCUAGCCUUUUAACUUAGGUGGAUUCCCUCCAAACCAUUUGAUUUUGCAGACAAAUUUUUUUGUUAAUAAGACAACAUUAUGUGUUGGCUGAUACUGAAAAGUGUAAUUUCUUACUUUGGAGGUAAACGAAACCCUAACCUUAAUUUUAACUUAUUAGAUGGAUUCAUUCGAAACCAUUUCAUUUUGCAGACAAAUUUUUAAACCCUAACCUUAAAAUCACCACUUUUUUAAUCUCAGCCGUUGAUCUGUAUCGUAACCCAACUAUCAAUCUGGGCCGUUUGCCUGGAGUAUAAGAUGGAAAAACCCUAUCUCUUCCCUCAUUUUGUCGAGAGAGAAGAGAAAGUAACACGACCCACCCCGAAUUUCACCUUGAAACCCAGAGUAAGUCGUGCGGGGACCACCUCCAAGGAAAAUUUACUGAAAAGAUUAAGAAAAUCUCCCUUGCAGAUGGACAACCCUAACUCGAAAAUUUCAUAUUACACUCUUAAUUUAACGCUUCUGAAUAUCACAUAAUUCUAAAGUAUUCAGAGCUACUAAACACAAGCGGAAGCAAGAAAACACAAGUAGAUUGAACAGGUAACCUACUGAUGAAAACUGGCCGAAAAGCGGGUGACUAUGCCUCGUCUCCUACUAGAUCCAACCCGAACUCUGCAGACUGGGCAAUUUAAAACGAAGGGCCCAGGGGAAAACAUUUAAUAACGUUAGAGUGAGUGGACAAAAAUAAAUUAAUAAAUAAAAUAUUUAUGUUUCCCCAAAUUAAUUUCUAAGGAAAAAUCGAAUGCAUGCUGCAAGCGAUAAAACCUUUAUCCCAUAAAAUAUCGAGCCUCUCAGACUCUAUAAUAUAUGUAUGUAUUUACACUCGUCCAUACUCCCUAUAUAAAUUCAUGGGUCUAUAUAGGGCUACUACGCUCGCGUCCAACGCUCACGUCACGCCUUAAUGCGGUGCUACACUACGCCAUCAAGGUGGACAGACGGGUGUAUAAAUAUGUGUCCAUACCCCCUAUAUGAAUUAAACACUCAUAUAGGGCUACUACGCUUACGUCCAACGCUCACGUCACACCAUAAUGCGGCUAUAUGCUACGCCAUUAAGGUGGNNNNNNNNNNNNNNNNNNNNNNNNNNNNNNNNNNNNNNNNNNNNNNNNNNNNNNNNNNNNNNNNNNNNNNNNNNNNNNNNNNNNNNNNNNNNNNNNNNNNNNNNNNNNNNNNNNNNNNNNNNNNNNNNNNNNNNNNNNNNNNNNNNNNNNNNNNNNNNNNNNNNNNNNNNNNNNNNNNNNNNNNNNNNNNNNNNNNNNNNNNNNNNNNNNNNNNNNNNNNNNNNNNNNNNNNNNNNNNNNNNNNNNNNNNNNNNNNNNNNNNNNNNNNNNNNNNNNNNNNNNNNNNNNNNNNNNNNNNNNNNNNNNNNNNNNNNNNNNNNNNNNNNNNNNNNNNNNNNNNNNNNNNNNNNNNNNNNNNNNNNNNNNNNNNNNNNNNNNNNNNNNNNNNNNNNNNNNNNNNNNNNNNNNNNNNNNNNNNNNNNNNNNNNNNNNNNNNNNNNNNNNNNNNNNNNNNNNNNNNNNNNNNNNNNNNNNNNNNNNNNNNNNNNNNNNNNNNNNNNNNNNNNNNNNNNNNNNNNNNNNNNNNNNNNNNNNNNNNNNNNNNNNNNNNNNNNNNNNNNNNNNNNNNNNNNNNNNNNNNNNNNNNNNNNNNNNNNNNNNNNNNNNNNNNNNNNNNNNNNNNNNNNNNNNNNNNNNNNNNNNNNNNNNNNNNNNNNNNNNNNNNNNNNNNNNNNNNNNNNNNNNNNNNNNNNNNNNNNNNNNNNNNNNNNNNNNNNNNNNNNNNNNNNNNNNNNNNNNNNNNNNNNNNNNNNNNNNNNNNNNNNNNNNNNNNNNNNNNNNNNNNNNNNNNNNNNNNNNNNNNNNNNNNNNNNNNNNNNNNNNNNNNNNNNNNNNNNNNNNNNNNNNNNNNNNNNNNNNNNNNNNNNNNNNNNNNNNNNNNNNNNNNNNNNNNNNNNNNNNNNNNNNNNNNNNNNNNNNNNNNNNNNNNNNNNNNNNNNNNNNNNNNNNNNNNNNNNNNNNNNNNNNNNNNNNNNNNNNNNNNNNNNNNNNNNNNNNNNNNNNNNNNNNNNNNNNNNNNNNNNNNNNNNNNNNNNNNNNNNNNNNNNNNNNNNNNNNNNNNNNNNNNNNNNNNNNNNNNNNNNNNNNNNNNNNNNNNNNNNNNNNNNNNNNNNNNNNNNNNNNNNNNNNNNNNNNNNNNNNNNNNNNNNNNNNNNNNNNNNNNNNNNNNNNNNNNNNNNNNNNNNNNNNNNNNNNNNNNNNNNNNNNNNNNNNNNNNNNNNNNNNNNNNNNNNNNNNNNNNNNNNNNNNNNNNNNNNNNNNNNNNNNNNNNNNNNNNNNNNNNNNNNNNUUUCUCUCUUCCCUCAUUUUGUCGAGAGAGAAGAGAAAGCGCCUGAGAUUGAGCAGCAGAUCCGCCCAGCUGCCACCAUGGAGCGGUCGUCGACAACCACCAGCCGAAUCCCCUCUCUUCGCUCUUCCUCCUCCUACCUUCUAUUUCAGCAUACAUCCACCCAUUUGGCAAAUCGGAAUCCAAACCCUAAAUCCCCAAUUCCAAAUCCGGCUCGAUUCAUCCCUCUCUGGCGAAGUCUUUGCUUCUCUAAGGUAAUCUAUUCUCUCUUUCUUCAAUAUCGAGCUCCUUUGAGCUUCAGUUUGCGUUUUGGAGAUUGAUUGGUUACUGUUUUGGCUAGAGCUGAUGACAGAGAAGGUCUGGUGGUUUGAUGCGUCGUGGCAGAGUAGUUAAACCUACGGUUUGGUUCUGCCUUGGUCAAAUUUGGUAAAGGUUAGGAGGUUUUUGUCCUAGAGCCUUUAAAUUCGUAAUUUUGGUGAUGUUGUAGAUGUUUGAUAGGGUUAUUGGUUUAUUUGAGGAGAAAGGAAGUGCUUGCUGCAUAUGUAUUUCUCUUUGGACAUACAGAAACAAAAUCAGUUAUUGAUUAAAAUGUGUUUGAAUUAUAUAUAGUAAAGUCUUUUAUGUUGUUUGCAUCAGUGGGAGCUUGAAUUUAUCUAAGUGCUUAGUUUUAAAGACGAUUUUUGUAUUUUUGGUUCAUAUGGACGAUGUCAAAUUUAGUGUAGUUACAGUUCAAGAUUUGUGGUUGUUUAUAUUACUGUAGUAAAUGAGAUAUAUCCGGACCCGACAUAUAUGCCAAUAUGCCAAUAUAUGCCUGUGUUCUGGAAUUUGAAAUUUAUGCAGGAUAAGAAGAGUAGGUGCUUCUGCAGUAUUUAUAUAUCUAAUGAUUUGUAUAUGUUUGAGCUAUUAAUUUGUACUAUAAACCUGAUAUUUUUUUUUUUGUAUACUUGCAGGAGCAGUGUAUGGAUCACUGAAGUAUUGCGGUUGUAGGUAGAAGAACAUAAGCGACUUUAUCAUGAACAACUUAAGGUAUGUAUUUUGAAGCUGUGCACCAUUUUUAUGUCUGUAUACGAGUGCAUGUGAACUGUUUAUAUGUUUAAAUCUGUAUUUUGUAUCUCUGUUCAAUAGUUCAAGUACUCUGAAUUAUCUCUGGGGUGGAAUCAAAUAUAAAAUCUGGACUAGAAAGUAGUGUUGUGAUUGAUGAUAGAGUCUGGCACUGCCACUUGAACAAUAGUUUAAUUAGCUCUAUAUAUAGGAUCAUUAGGGCUCCUGUGUGUGUGAUUGACAGAUCAAUGGGGCGGCUAUGAAGUCUGAUCAGAUGCCACUCUUAGCUUUCCCUUGGUUUCUUUUUCACACAAGACGAAGAAUUGGAAACGUUUACUUUGUCUUUCCUAGAUACAUGUCUCACAUAUACAUAUUUUCACAAGGCAACACUUAUGGGUGACCAACACACUGUCUCUCAUUUCAUCCAUCUUCAAUUCUCUAUAGCUAGCACAUGUCAUUCAAAACAUAUACUACUCAUGCUAGGACUAGGAGUACUUGCACUACUAUAUAUUCGAAAUUAAAGCAUUGAGUUCACCCUUCAUAUAUUAGCAUAUCAACCAUGAAUUAUUGAACAAAGUUUUUGUCUACAUUACUGUUUGUUCAUUUUAGUUUGCAGCUACUAUAGAUCAUCUCUUUUACUUACUAAACAUUCUCUUACUUGGUUUAAUUUCUUCUUUAUUUGUUGUUUGCUUAUUACUAAAAAAAAUGUGACUUGGUCAUUUCUUUAGCAGCUUUGGUACCUAAUUCUUCUUUUUCUCGUUUCUAGGUUGCGAGUACUGCUCUGGCAUGGCCUGCAAAUCAAGAUGCUAGAUGAUGUACGUGUAAGUACCUCUCCCUUGUCUUUCUGAAUUGGUAGCUUAGAGCCUUAGCGAUGUUUAUUGCUCAAUGAUAUGUUAAUAAACCCAGGUUGUAUUUCAUUGUAAUGAGUAUACAUCCAUUUGAUUGAACCAAUUAUAUUUUGGGAUUUUUUAGUUUAACUUCUUCCUUUGAGAUAUCUUUGAAUUGGAAAUACUAACUAAGAGAGGAUAUGAACAUUGAUGGAUAUUCUUACUAUGCUCCACACUGCAUAGAUUUACCAAGCAAAGUGAUACAAAUUUUGAUUAUAUAUGUUUGUUCUCUGGUUACAAAAAUGGAUAUGCAGGCAUUACAACAAUGCAUUUUAUGCCAAGGUUGGGGGAGUAAGAAAUGCCGAAUUGAACAGACUAGAAGUGGAAUUCCUUUUCUUGCUGGAUUUUGGAGUCACCAGAGUCUUUGAGAGCUAUUGCUUUCACUUGGAAAAAGAAAUGAUGUUGAAUGGGGCAUGCCAAACAAUUGAAAGGGCUUUAGUACUCCUCAUUACAGAUGUGGCUGAUGUGCCUGAAAUUUCUAAAAACACGCAGAGUUCCUCAUCAGAAUCUAAGAAUCAUGGUUAACUCUAAUUUUCUCCUUCAUAUAUAGCUAGUCAUAUCCUUUAUGCAACAGUAAACUUCUAAUAUGUGUGAUUUCAGCUACAGAGGAUGGUGUUUUUUUAAACCUAAAUUAUCAUGAUGUUUCAAUAUAGCAAUUGUGUAGUUUCAAACAAGCCAUGACUACUAAUAUGUGUGAUUUCAGCUACAGAGGAUACAGAAGAUGGAUACAAACAUAACAAUAUCUGUUGUUUUUACUAAGUUAAGAUACCAUAAAUGUGUGGCUUAAAUUAUCAGGAUAUUUCAAUAUAGCAAUUGUGUAGUUUCAAACAAGCCAUGACUACUAAUGUGUGAUUUCAGCUACAGAGGAUACAAACAUAACAAUAUCUGUUGUCUUUACUAAUUUAAGAUACCAUAAAUGUGUGACCAUAAAACAACAACCGGCAACACAAACAUAACAAUAUCUAUUGUCUUUAUUAAGUUAAGAUACCAGAAAUGUGAGGUCAUAAAGAACAACCAGUAACGUAAGUGGAGAGUUUAAAUCAAAAGAAGGCAUCACUUACAUGUAGCUCAAGCUCAUUCAUACGAUAGACAAAUGUCGCCUGAAAAUGUCGAAAGCUUAAGAGAUGGGUUUCACUUGUGUGCCUUAAGGUAUGGAUACCCAACCAAUUUUGACUUGCUAUAGCAGGUUAAAGCAAACUAACACCGUUAACUCUCCGUUAAGUCUCUCUAUAUCUAUAGUUUUCAUUAGAAAUAUUUACCAUUCAGAUGAGUAAAAUCACACAAAAGUAGACUUUCUGGAAAUCAAAAUGAUUCUUGAGACUGUCUACAACUAUCAUAAGAAACACCUACUAUUGUCAUGAAAAAUAUCACAUAAAAUGUUGCAAGUCGAAAGACACAUUUAACAUAAGACACAUCUACUGUUUUCAUUAGAAAAGUAGACUUUCUACAAAUCAAAAUUAUUCAUGAGAUUGAAUCAAGUAAAAUUUGCAACUCUACAUUUAACAUAAGACACAACUACAUUUUUCAUAAGAAAUGGCUACCAUUAACAUAAGAGAAAUCAAAGAAAACUAGACUUUUUAGAAAUCAAAAUUGUGAUUGAGAUUGAACACACCGAAGGUAAAAGAUGCAAAAUCUACAUUUAACAUAAGACAGAACUACUUUUUUCAUAAGAAAUGUGUACCAUUAACAUAAGAGAAAUCAAAGAAAAGUAGACUUUCUGGAAAUCUAAAUUGAUUGUUCUUGAGAUUGAAGAAAAACCAAGGUAAAAGCUGUAAAAUCUACAUUUAACAUAAGACACCUCUACUAUUUUCAUAAGAAAUGUCUAGCAUUAACAUAAAAGAAAUCAAAGAAAAGUAGAAUUUCUGGAAAUCUAAAUUGUUCUUGAGAUUGAAGCAACCUAAAGUAAAAGUUGCAAAGUCUACAUUUAACAUAAGACACCUCUACUAUUUUCAUAAGAAAUGUUUACCAUUAACAUAAGAGGAAUCAAAGAAAAGUAGACUUUCUGGAAAUAUAAAUUGUUCUUGAAAUUGAAGCAACCCAUGGUAAAAGAUGCAAAGUCUACAUUUAACAUAAGACACCUCUACUAUUUUCAUAAGAAAUGUCUAUCAUUAACAUAAGAGAAAAUAAAAAAAAGUAGACUUUUUGGAAAUCUAAAUUGUUCUUGAGAUUGAAGAAAAACCAAGGUAAAAGAUGCAAAGUCUACAUUUAACAUAAGACACCUCGACUAUUUUCAUAAGAAAUGUCUACCAUUAACAUAAGAGAAAUAAAAGAAAAAUAGACUUUCUGGAAGUCUAAAUUGUUCUUGAGAUUGAAGCAAACCAAGGUAAAAGAUGCAAAGUCUACAUUUAACAUAAGACACCUCUAAUAUUUUCAUAAGAAAUGUCUAUCAUUAACAUAAGAGAAAUCAAAGAAAACUAAUUCAAAGCGGUCAACCCUAAUUCAUAUUCACUUAUCACAUGAAAACUAUCUUACUUAUCACUUUGUGACCUGGUUUGGUGGAUUCUUCAACACAAUAAAGUCUCACAUAGAUAAGAUAUAACCACCCAUGUAAAACUUUGGGGACGUUUACCACCCGAGGAUAGGGCUCUUCUUAGUGAAGCAUAAACGUAAAUAGGGUUGACCGCUUCGAUCGGGGCCCAAACAUUGGUAAAUUAAAGUGAUUUUUCUACCGUAGCCAUAUUUUACUAUACCGAUCACAUCCUAUUUCACAAGAUUUUUGAAAAUUUUGCUUCCUCUAUAUAGUUGGUUCACAAAGUUGUACACUAGCAUAUAACCUACCAAACAAGUUAUACCACAUUAGUAGGUACGUUGUGAUUCCAAUGACUAAAAUUCAGACGCAGUUGUGAAGUGGGUCCCGCCUGUGGUCCGUGACAUUUUUCGGUGAAUUUUUCCGACACUAGAGCUAUUUUCUAUGCAUUUUUAAAGUUUUGAAAUGGUGGAAAAAAAGUAAAACUUUAAUGACAUUGACAGAUUAGUGACUUAGGACGAUGAGGUCGCAACAUGUGGCAAUUAGUGUUGAAUUUUCAGAAAAGGAAUCCCCCGAAAUGGAAACUUACCCUUCCUUUNNNNNNNNNNNNNNNNNNNNNNNNNNNNNNNNNNNNNNNNNNNNNNNNNNNNNNNNNNNNNNNNNNNNNNNNNNNNNNNNNNNNNNNNNNNNNNNNNNNNNNNNNNNNNNNNNNNNNNNNNNNNNNNNNNNNNNNNNNNNNNNNNNNNNNNNNNNNNNNNNNNNNNNNNNNNNNNNNNNNNNNNNNNNNNNNNNNNNNNNNNNNNNNNNNNNNNNNNNNNNNNNNNNNNNNNNNNNNNNNNNNNNNNNNNNNNNNNNNNNNNNNNNNNNNNNNNNNNNNNNNNNNNNNNNNNNNNNNNNNNNNNNNNNNNNNNNNNNNNNNNNNNNNNNNNNNNNNNNNNNNNNNNNNNNNNNNNNNNNNNNNNNNNNNNNNNNNNNNNNNNNNNNNNNNNNNNNNNNNNNNNNNNNNNNNNNNNNNNNNNNNNNNNNNNNNNNNNNNNNNNNNNNNNNNNNNNNNNNNNNNNNNNNNNNNNNNNNNNNNNNNNNNNNNNNNNNNNNNNNNNNNNNNNNNNNNNNNNNNNNNNNNNNNNNNNNNNNNNNNNNNNNNNNNNNNNNNNNNNNNNNNNNNNNNNNNNNNNNNNNNNNNNNNNNNNNNNNNNNNNNNNNNNNNNNNNNNNNNNNNNNNNNNNNNNNNNNNNNNNNNNNNNNNNNNNNNNNNNNNNNNNNNNNNNNNNNNNNNNNNNNNNNNNNNNNNNNNNNNNNNNNNNNNNNNNNNNNNNNNNNNNNNNNNNNNNNNNNNNNNNNNNNNNNNNNNNNNNNNNNNNNNNNNNNNNNNNNNNNNNNNNNNNNNNNNNNNNNNNNNNNNNNNNNNNNNNNNNNNNNNNNNNNNNNNNNNNNNNNNNNNNNNNNNNNNNNNNNNNNNNNNNNNNNNNNNNNNNNNNNNNNNNNNNNNNNNNNNNNNNNNNNNNNNNNNNNNNNNNNNNNNNNNNNNNNNNNNNNNNNNNNNNNNNNNNNNNNNNNNNNNNNNNNNNNNNNNNNNNNNNNNNNNNNNNNNNNNNNNNNNNNNNNNNNNNNNNNNNNNNNNNNNNNNNNNNNNNNNNNNNNNNNNNNNNNNNNNNNNNNNNNNNNNNNNNNNNNNNNNNNNNNNNNNNNNNNNNNNNNNNNNNNNNNNNNNNNNNNNNNNNNGAGAGAGAGAGAGAAACUAACCCCGUUAGUGAGAGAGUGAGAGUUAGUUUGAGAUUUAAAUUGGAUGACUAGUCAAGCAGGUAGCAAGUCAUCAUUAAUCUAGUUGGACCAAUCAUAAGCAACCAUGUGGUUAAGGUAUCCAUACCUUAAGGCACACAAGUAUUUGCCUUAAAAGAUAUCACGUAGUAAAAGCUUAAAACAUAUCGGACGAUAGAUAUCUAUUGUUUUAAAGAGACUAAAUGAAAAAUGAAAAAAUAUACGUUGCCUGAAGAUCAUUCACCUAAUGCAUAUGUGUCGUCGUAUUACGUCUAGACCAGAAACAACAUCAAUAGUAUGUCGUGUGGGUUCAUCCAGCGAUACAUAAAUGUAGCGUGGAAAAGUUUAAAUUCUAAUUGAUCAAGUAUAUGUCGUCUGUAACAAUUUCACAUGAUGUUUAAAUGUCGUCUUUAAACAAAUUAACCUACAUUUAUAUGUUGUUGUAAGGCGUAUUUCUCUCUCACUCGUAGUUAUAAGGCGACACAAUGGCAAAAAAAAGAUACGUCGCCUUCUAACAUGUCGUUGUUUAAACUAUCAGGCGACAUAUAUACCAUGUCGCCUUAUCUCAAUUCAGGCAACACAAAAUGAAAAAAGUUUUCUGUCGCCUGAGGUUUUUAUAGGCAACACAACAUUUGUGUCAUCGAAGAACCUCAUCAACGACAUGCUAGAAAGCGACAUUACGAUUUUUAUCAGGCGACACAACUAUAGUGUCGCCUGAUGCAGGAAAUGACAUAGUGCAAACUUUGUCAAUGUGAAAAACAUGGACUAAGAGUAAUGGCUCCAAAAUGAAAAACAAAAAAAGGAAAUAGCAGAAGGAAAAUUUAGGAGCUUGCUUAGUUAUUAGUAAACAGAAAGCGACCUGGCAAAUGGGUGGGUUAGGCGGUUAGCGGGCGGGUCAUGACGGGUUAGCGGGGUUCAACGGGUUCAACCCGCUAUACCCCGUUAGUUUAACGGGUUAUAGCAGGUUCAACCCUGUUGGGUUCGCGGGUUACCUGUUGGAAUCCGCCGCUAAGGUGUUUUUAUUUUAUUUUUUUUGCUUUUUAUUUUUAUUUUUUAGUUUUAAUAUUUCUUUUUCUAAUCAAAACCCAAUGUUUUUUUUUCUCUUUUCUUAAAAUUUGUUUCUUAACCUCUUAAAAUACGAUUGAAUAUUUUUGCUAAUUUUUUUAAUUUUUAUAUAUUUCUUAGCGGUCUUGGCGGGUUAGAUGAGUUCCAACGUGCAACCCCUUUUCGCCCGCUAACUGGCGCGUUGUUAACGGGUUGAUAGCCCAUUAACACGUUAUGUAAUUGGGCGGUUAGCAGACCGCUAGUGGUUGGCGGGCGGUUAGCGGGUAGCAGGCUGAAUUACCAGGUUUAAGCGGAAUACACAGGUUGUAUACUUGUAUUGUACAACAACGUGGGCCCGGUGCGCGUGUCUGAUUUUCAUUGGGUAAUAAGGAAUUUGUGUAUACAUUACCAAGACAAGCACUUUAGCCGAUGAAAAGUUUUCGUCGGCCUGUUAGCUUAAUUCGUCGGCUAAGAUCUUAGCCGACGAGAUUUCGUCGGCUAUAGUUUCGUCGGGAAAGGGUUGUCAUCAAUGACUUUAGCCGACGAAACUAUACACCGUCGUCGGCUAUUUUCCCAUACCUAGCCGACGACAGAAGACGUCGUCGGCUAGUCCCUCAGGCUUUAGCCGGCGAAACAACUCGUCAACUAGUCUCUUAACUUUAGCCGACGAAACAACUCGUCGGUUAGUCCCUCAGACUUUAGCCGACGAGUUGUCCGACGAAACAACUCGUCGGCUAGUCUCUUAACUUUAGCCGACGAAACAACUCGUCGGCUAGUCUCUUAUCUAUAGCCGACGAAACAACUCGUUGGCUAUAGUAUGUAAUAAAAAAAUAAAAAAAUAACUAAAGCCGACGAAACAGACCAUAAUUCGUCGGCUAAACCCUAUUAAAAAAUAAUUAAAAAUACUAUAGCCGACGAGUUAUAGCGUAUUUCGUCGGCUAUAAGUCCAUUCCAGUAUAAAAAAAAACCUGAAAUUUUAAAUUACCAUUCCAAGCAAGCUGCAAAAAACACCAAAACAAUUCCAUAUAACCAACAACAAGCACAUAAAACUAUAUAAUUCAGUUACACAAAAUCUAGAUCGUCUAAAUUAAUAUCCGCGUCUGGGGGCUGCUGCGGAGCUUGCGGCGGCUGGGGUAGUGGUAUGGGCGGAGGCGGAAGUCUCUGGAGCUGGGCAGAUGUAAAGUCCUGCAUGUACUGGAACAUCUGCCGCUGCUGGGCCUGCUGGAUGGCAUGUACCUCGGCAUUAUGGGCUGCAUGCGCAGCAUUAUAGGUUGCUUGCGCGGCAUUAUAGGCAACAUGAGCAGCUUGCUGUUCCCGUAGUCUCUGAAGUUCCGACUGUAGCAGCUGAGUCAUCCUGGUGGUCGUGGUCCUGCUGCUGGUCGAGGCUGCCUUUCGUUGAAAUCUUGGAGUUGUCUUCAGGACCCCCUCGCCCUUCUUUCUUAGACCCCGGCAGUAGAAGUUGUUUGCUCGCGGUGGGAAAGCUGUGCCCAUGAUCCUCGCCCCAACUGUCGGAUCCGAAAUGUCGAUCCGGGACAUGGCUUCGGACAUCUCUUCCUCCUGCGUGUCCGGCCAUGUCUCCCUCACUAUAGCACUUAUCACCUCGUUGGAUGCCUCCCUCACCUUCGCCUAAUUGGAUAGGAAAAAAUUAUUAAUUAACAUUUUGACAUACAUAUAAGUAAAAUUAAAAAUUUAAAAACGUAAGAUGACUUACAAUAUCCUCUUGGGCGUCAGGAUAUGCCUUCUCGUACGUAUAAACGUACUAGUUGACCUUUGGAUGUUCCCUGGCCGCCUCGUCCAUGAAGACAGCGAACGGUCUAGAACCGGCAUGAUGGCUCCUUGUGUUGCGUUGCCGGUUCUGAGCGUUCGCUCGGGAAACCGUCUUCAAAGAAAAAACUAAACUAUUAGUAAAAUAUUUAAAAACGCACGUACUUAAUGACAAAUUAACUAAUUAAUUUAUUUAAAUACCUGUUUACGAGGGUUGUUGAAUUCUGAUGUCAGAAGCCAACGCCACUCGUACUCUCUGUACUGGAACUCAGCAGGGGUACCAGAACGUGCGUUCCCGUGCAUAGUCCAAUGGGUCUGCAACUCGUUCUUCCACUCCUUGUACCUACAGAUACAACAAAAAUAUUAGAAAUAUUAUUAAUAUUACAUACAAUUUUGUUUUUUCAUUAACUUCCCAACGUACCUUCCCCCAUGCACAAAGUCCGCCUAGCUGCUCUUCAAGGGCUCGGGAACCUCAAACCAUACAUGCAUUUAGCCAUUUAUUAGUUUAGUUUUUCGAGAAAUCUACAAUGUAAUACAUAAUAUUAUUAAGGCAUUUUGUAAACUCACCGACAUCGCGUUGUGGACCAUGUCCUUAACCUCCUGCGGGACCUCGCCCCAGUCUGACCACAACAUAGGGACUAUCCCUAAUGAGCGCUCCCACGCGGCCGGAGUACGUCCUCGACUUCCCGCCCGAUACUAUGUCGCCAUCCCCGUUAGUACCGAUGACAAUCCUCCCUAAGGUACUGACGAUCUUCUCGAGAGCCUUUCCUGUGACGGGGCCUCUCUUUUUUUUACCGGCUUCGCUCCGACGGUGCCUAUCACAUGAUAAACCAAAUUGAUUAUUAAAAUUGGAGAAUUAUAAGAAAACAAAUCAUUCAUCUUUCAUUACCUAAGGGCGAUGCGGCGGACGCGAUGGAUUCCAUCUCCGAUGAUGAUACCCUCACGGAAAUAAGAGGCGUAUCAAAAAGCACGAACCGGUACGCUGCUGAUGGAGCCACUGGCGGGGGCAGUGGAUAAAUCGGCGUCCCUGAGCCAUCGACUGCAGGUAUGGCCGGUAUCAUCCGCGGAAGGAAUAGGUGAGGCGGCGGCAUCUGUACCCCAUAUGACCCACUAUCCGAAGAAGUAGGACAUGGAGUGGGCACCCGGUGUAUCUUAGGCAUACGGGGUGCAGACACCUCCGUCUGGGUCGGAGGCCACAACUGCCUUGAAGAAUGAGGGACACCCCGCUGCCUCGAUGAAGGGGGCACCUCCGGCUGCCUCUGCGCAGUCUGCAGAAGGCUCGUAUGUCUAGCUGUCAUAAGGCCCUGAAAUGACGUCUGAGGGUUGCUAGAGGCUCCCUCAGACGAUUCGGACCUUUGGCCCUUCGAACUCUUCGUCGAUCUAAUAUUACCGCUCAUCCUGUUUAAAAUAUUAAUUUGAAUCAAGGCCACAAAAUAAAAAAAUGUAUACACUUCCUAAAUACAAAUUUACACUUCCUAAAUACAAAUUUACACUUCCUAAAUACAAAUAUACACUUCCUAAAUAAAAAUAUACACUUCCUAACAACACCACAACAUUGCAAUUGACCGGAAAAUCAAAGCAAACACAAAAUAAUAAAUACAAAUAUACACUUCCUAAAUACUAAAUACAAAUAUACACUUCCCAACAACACCACAACAUUGCAAUUGACCGGAAAACAAAAGCAAACACAAAAUUAAAUGUGAAACAGAAAUGUACUCGAGGAGGAGGAGGGAGGACCGGAGCAGCUUAUACUUGGAGGAGGGAGGGCUGGAGCAGCAGGAGGAGGAGGGAGGGCCGGAGCAGGCGAGCAGCAGGAGGAGGAGGGAGGCCGGAGCAGCAGGAGGAGGAGGGAGGGCCGGAGCAGGGAGAGGGCUGGGCGGCGACCAGGAGAGAGAGCGGAGGUGGAGACCGGGAGAGGGAGAGGAGGCGGCGACCGGGAGAGGGAGAGGGAGAGGGCGGCGACCGGGAGAGGGAGAGGGAGAGGGAGAGGGCGGCGACCGGGAGAGGGAGCGGAGGCGGAGACCGAGAGAGGGAGAGGAGGCGGAGGAGGAGGGGAAAGAGGAGGCUAGGGCUUUUCUGCUGUCGAGCGCUGGGUUAUACCCGACAACUUUAGCCGACGAAAUUAUUGCAAUGACUGUUGCUCCCCUCAUGGCUAAGGCACUCUGAACAAGCCUUGUAUCCCCUAACAACGUUGCCGGACAACAUCCCAUGGGCAGGAAAAUCACUGAUGGUACCAACAACCAUGACAUGCAUCUGGAACAUCUCGUGCAUGUACUUGUCAUAAGUGGGAUGACCAACGUCCUACAAAAACUGAAGCUCUUCAAUCAAAGGUCUCAAAUACACAUCGAGACACUUCCCUGGAUAACCGGGCCCCGGAAUCAACAAACUCAACAUAUUGUAUUCCUUCUUCAUGCACAUCCAUGGAGGAAGGUUGUAUGGUACCAAAAUCACCGGCCAUACACUGUAUUGAAGACUCAUGUUGCCAAAAGGGUUGAACUCGUCAGAUGAGAGCCCGAGCCUCACAUUUCGGACCUCUGACGCAAAAUGAGGAAACUCCUUGUCUAUAUGCUUCCAAGGCUCCCCGUCAACAGGGUGUAUAAGGGUAUCUUCGUCAUGCAAUUCCCUAUCAGCGUGCCAUCUCAUAGCUUUGGCCGUGUGUGAAGACAUGUACAACCGCUCCAGCCUAUCUCUCAACGGGAAAUACCGAAGUACCUUCACAAGUUUCUUAUUGCCUGCAGGAGUCAGCUUAUACAUGUCAGUGUGACAUACCGGACAUGCGUCAAGCCCACCAAGGUCAUUCCCUUAUGGAUCUUUACCCCAAAAGAGAACGCAGUCAUAUCUGCAUGCAUGGAUCUUGAUGUAGAAAAGCCCAAGAUCUUUCAGGAUACAUCGGACCUUACGAUGAGUGGUAGGAAGACGAUGACCGUGGGGCAGCAUCGAAGCAGUGUACUGUAGAUAAUUAUCAACAGCCUUCACGGUCAAUUUUUUCUCAACUUUAAUCUUCAUUAUGUCCAUCACACUUUCAAGAACGGUCUUCUGACAACCGGGGUACACAUGGGUCUGUUGGAAAGCAAGCAGUUUGUUGUACUUUUCAAUACCAGCAGUGUUGACAGCUCUAGGGAAGGGCUGCAUCGAGUCAGGCAUAUACUGUCCUUGAGCGCAUACACCGCUCUCAUAAGGAAACAUGUCGUUGAUGAAAGCCGUUGUUGGAUNNNNNNNNNNNNNNNNNNNNNNNNNNNNNNNNNNNNNNNNNNNNNNNNNNNNNNNNNNNNNNNNNNNNNNNNNNNNNNNNNNNNNNNNNNNNNNNNNNNNNNNNNNNNNNNNNNNNNNNNNNNNNNNNNNNNNNNNNNNNNNNNNNNNNNNNNNNNNNNNNNNNNNNNNNNNNNNNNNNNNNNNNNNNNNNNNNNNNNNNNNNNNNNNNNNNNNNNNNNNNNNNNNNNNNNNNNNNNNNNNNNNNNNNNNNNNNNNNNNNNNNNNNNNNNNNNNNNNNNNNNNNNNNNNNNNNNNNNNNNNNNNNNNNNNCAAUACGAUACAACAUAUAUAUAUAUAUAUAUAUAUAUAUAUACAUCCAACGUACUGAAAAUCAAUCAACUCAAUCACACUCAAAAUCAAUCAACUCAAAUAAAACUCAAUUAAUCAACAUAUAUAUACAUAUACGUACCUAUAUAUAGCUCCACAAACUAAUUAUGAACAGAUUUCGACAACACCCAAACUUUUUCUCCCAUUUUUUCUUCUCCCGUUUUUUUUCCCAGAUGAGCUGCUGCUGUCCAGAUUAGCCGACGACAUAUUAAUUUCGUCGGCUAAACUUUUAAAUAUUUCGUUGGCCAUAGUCUGUGAACUUUAGCCGACGAAAUAAAUUCUUUAGCCGACGACAUUUUAAUUUCGUCGGCUAAAGUUUAUCAUAGCCGACAAAAAUUUAAAUUAGCCGACGAAGGAAAUUCGUCGGCUAAAGUCCACUUUAGCCGACGAAAAAAUGGUUCAUCGGCCUGGUUUUUUUUUUUCGUCGGCUAAAGUCUUUCUUCUAGUAGUGAUAGAUUAGAUUGGUGUGCAAAUCAAUUUUGAAGGCUAUUUACCGUGAGAUUAAUAUGGGAUACAACAGUGAAAACCUAUUCAGCAUGUGCCCUAUCACACUGACCACAUGCAUGUGUGUUCAAUGGAGGCAUGGCAAGCCCAACCGAGAUCGUUUUAAUAAAUUUCUUAACGCGUGCACGUAAGCAUGAAAAAAGCCUUUGCAUGCUUGGUUUGGUGUAAGUACUUCUACCAACCCAACCUGGGUUCGAUCCCUAAAUUCAGACUCAAAUUUAAGAAUGGGCCUCAUAUCAUUCUUUUGGCCGGUAUUAGUUUAGCAUUCUUUAGGUAAGAUCAGAUCUAUUUUAGUAUUAGUUUUGAUUGAAUUCUUUUCUUAACCUCUCUUUUGUUUUAUUUAAUGUAAACUAGUUUUCCAGCACGCGCUAUGUGCGUGCGAAAUAGCCCCGCUCGCACGUGCGUAGCGCUCGCACGUGCGUAGCACUUUCUCAUCUACUAUAUCACUUUCUCGUUUGAGUGACAUCCUUUGAGUUGAUCUGAAAGCCAAAGCAGAAGGCAUGGUUGAAGAACAUCAAUACAGUCAGAAAUGCGUGUGUUGUAUAUCUAUUUAGCUUCAAUAGCAUAAAACAUGUAUACGUUCAUCGCUUGAACUUCACAUGUAUAUAUACAUUCUAUCAAUGGAAUUGCAAUUUUACUUAACACAUCUAUUCAAACUCGAAUAAGUUGGUUGCUCUUCCAAAUUAAUUUUAUGUUCAUAAGAAUGUGUCUGUGUAUAUAUGUUUCGUUGUAAAUUAAUUAGGGUUAUAUGAAAGGAAAAUGAUUUUUGACCUUAAUAAGACCUAAGAUUUAUGGCUUCAAUCUUAGGUGAUAUGUUAUGUCAUCUAGACACAUCACCAAUUAAAAAGAUUAUGUUAUGUCUUUCUUAAGCAAAAAUACAAUAUUAUCCUUUUAAAUCUAAUCGCUCUAGAUUAUUUUAUUAAGAGAAAAAAAAUAUUUUGUCAUUCUUUUAUAAUUAAUAUCACGAUCUCCCCUAUUUUGUUUUGUCAACUUCCGUUUCCGUUUCACAAAAGAAAGAUUGAUCAAGGUAUAUGUACGUAGCACCACAUAAUCAGUGAAGUAUCACACUCAUUAUGUAUAUAUCCCAAACAGCCAAACCUGAGAAUGAUUGAAAGUAAAUCCAUUUGUCAGUUGAAAGCAUCAGAGCGGAUAAUCAUAGCUCAAAAAUAUGAAAUUGGUUUACCUAAUUAUGAGCAAUAAUGCUUGCUUUGGUUGUUAUCGAGAUCGAUGAGAAUAUGGCGUAACUGCAAGCAGGCUAAACAUAAAAGGAAAAAUCGAAGGAAUGUCAAUAGUGUGCCAAUUGAGAGAAUGACAGUAGUGUCCCAAUUAUAAACCCAAGUGUUAAUACAUAGCCAAAACACUUGGCCAUGCCGAGAAUGUAGCGUCAUUACCCGGUCGCCGGAGAUCAUUCCGGCCAAAACUCCGCUAGCAAGGCCUCCGUAGACACCCAAAGAGUGGAGGCAUAACAACAAUACACAUGCCAGGCACACUCUGCAGCUGCUAAACUCCCCCGAAAGGAGGGAAACUGAACAAUACCAUAAAACAGUCCCACAUCGGGAACUAAUGACAAAACCCUCAAUAUUAGCCUAUAAAACAGGCAUAAAUCCCCAAAUAAGGUAAGUUCAUUACUCCUCCCAUACUCUUGUACUAUACAAUACCAUAAAACAGUCCCACAUCGGGAACUAAUGACAAAACCCUCAAUAUUAGCCUAUAAAACAGGCAUAAAUCCUCAAAUAAGGUAAGUUCAUUACUCCUCCCAUACUCUUGUACUAUACAAGUAGCAACUCAACGCUAACUUAAGCAUCGGAGAGUCGAAGACUGGGCCACCCCAGUCCCGACUCCUGACGUAUUGUUACUUGUGCAGUUAUAGGACCCGGAGCCAAGGAUUCGACCUCCCGUCCCGUGAUCUCGGAGAGGUAGAAACAAUUGGCACUAGAAUGAGGGCCCCUUCUUGUGGAACUCCCAUUUUAACUUGAAAUGAUGGUGGAAAUUAUGGAUGACCCAAACGAACCUGAGACCCACAUAGAAAAGGAACUUUUCUAAUCUGGAGACGCCUCCCUUAACCAAGCUACCGCAUCUACGGGCCAUGUUAACCACCCUGAUGCUGCUACAGCCCUCGAAAUUUUAAAAAAAGACUUCCAUUCAUUCCGAGAGCAAGCGGCUAAGGAUAAAGCAGAGGCCGAAGCGUACCGAGUACGCAUCGCUGAGCUAGAAAAGGAAUAAUUUCUGCUCUGCGCUACUCUGGAUCACCGUAACAACUACAAUGAAACCUUAGAGCGGGCAGCGAGGGUCACUCCCACCUUGGAUCCCACCCUGACAUCUCUUUUUCCUAACCAAGGACAGAACGGUUCCGUGCUCCCGGGAGGCCCGAACCAGAUCAUUUACGUCACUCAUCCACUCAGCCACCUAUCCUUUCCACACCCAGCCCCUCAACCAUUUGCACUCAAUAACGAGUCCAUUCCCCCGAUAAACCGACCCGAGCCAUCCGAUCCUCCAAACUCUAAUCCUAACUCUGCCAACCCACCUCUCGACAUGCAAACCUGACUUCAACUCCAGCUCAGCAAUUCGGUCACCCAGUUGGCCUCCCGAAUUGAGAACGUCGAGAGUCGCGGGAGCUAGCGACCUCUAUUCUUGGGGUAUGGACACCGCCCAAGUCCCUUCACGCCAUGAGUUCAGCUGGAUAAGAGACCUCCCGAGGCCAAACCUUUCAAGAUAGACAAAUAUAAGGGUACCGAAGACCCCCACCUCCACCUUGAAACAUUCCUCUCGUUGUGCAGCUCCACCCGGUACACGGAUGCCAUGGCCUGUCAUGCCUUCCAAGAAACCCUCUCAGAUGAAACACUUAGUUGGUUCCUCAACUUACCCCCCAACUCCAUUGACAAUUUUGACCAACUCUCGGAGCGCUUCCUCAAUCGUUUCAUACUCCAUGCUAGCAUUUACCGAAGUGUAGAUGCUUUGUUUAACAUCAAGCAAAAGGAAGGUGAAGGACUCCAUGCAUUGCUAUCCAGGUGGCAAUCAGCCACGACACGUUGCCACAACUUGGAACCCCGAGUGGCUGAACAAACUUUUCGCCAAGCCUUGCUUCCCGACAGUUUCCUAAUGGAGAUUAAUAGGAACCCUCUGGGGUCAUACGAUGCCUUGAUGGACCUUGCUGUCCGAUGGGCACGUGCCGAGUUUGCUACAUUUGGGCACUCCAAUCAAACCACCACAUUAGCUCUUCCAGCCCCACCCCCCAAACAACAAUCCCAACAGAAAUAUGACCAUUAUGAUAGAAGCAAGUAGCAUAGCAACUCCUGAGAUAGCAACCAGGGGCGUGGUUCAGACCGCCGCCAUAAUGGGCAGCAUGGACGGGGACCAUCCUUAUCGGUCCCAAGAGCAGAGCCCCCAGCAGCAGCGUCGUUCUUCCCCGCCACCCCGUUACGAAGUCCACACUACCCUGACCACUACAUACGAGGACAUCUGGGCAAACACAAAGACCUCAUUCCCCCGCCACCCAAAAGUAAAUACCCCAAGAAACCCCGGCGGGCCACAGGGAAUAAGUAUUGUGCUUAUCAUGAUGACAAUGGCCACACCACUGAGAUGUGUCAUGGCCUCCGUAAUGCCAUAGAGCACUUGAUUCGUAACGGGCAACUCCACCAGUAUUGCACUCCCGCAACGGGAGCUAACACCAUUGAGGUUUAUGGCCAGAUCCUAACCCUGCAUGGCGGCGCCCCGCGACUUCCCCCUCGUCAACCCUCUGCCAAAAGGCAAUGUCCAACUCCCUUAGAAAUUCUCAAGUUGCAAAGAGGUGUCACCGCUACCCCAUCAGCAUGGGACCAGGUGUCAUUUCACAAAAGGGAAGACACGAUAAAUUGCCAUCACAAUGAGCCAUUCAUAAUCAAUGUCCAAGUGGAUCAUUACAGGUGUCACAGGGCCCUUGUGGACACAAGAGCUGCAGUCAGUGUAAUGUUUUCUGAUUGCUAUAGAAGGCUCCGGCGUGACCAAACUAAACUAUAUAACAACCACGAUCCUCUUGUCAGCUUCUCGGGAGAGAUUGUACAGCCCUUAGGCUCAGACCGCUUAACAGUCUCAGUGGGGACCAACCCCCGUCGUGUUUCUAUCAUGGCACGUUUUCUCAUAGUUGAUUGUCGCUCAUCCUACAACAUAAUCUUGGGUCGCGACAUCAUUUGGGGACUAUAAUGCUUCAUUGCAGGUCACAUGCUACUCAUGAAAGUGCCUACCCCGGGAGGCAUACUUAAAAUCCAAGGAGACAGGGCAGCCAUUGAACACUGCCACCUUAAUGCCAUUCAACAAGGGAGUGGUGCCUAUGAGAUGUUGCCACUCAGCCCCUCUGAGCCCAUUGAUGACCCCAAAGAUGACCCUGACGGGAAAGGAAAGAAGAAGCAGAUCCCAAGACCCAACCCGGCAGAAGAGACAGAGUGGGUCUCCCUAUCGCCUAGUGCUCUCGAGAGGAAAGUCCGCAUAGGCACAAGCCUUAACCCGGAACUCCGCCAGAAACUCGUAGCCUUUCUCCAGGAUAAACAAGCAAUCUUUGCUUGGUCCUAUGCUGACAUGCCAGGCAUCUCCCCUGAUGUCAUCACACACAAACUCAACAUCCUCAAAGACUAUCCCCCUGUCAAGCAGAAAAGGCGUGCCUUUUACCCGGAAAAGUACCGGGCUAUACAAGCCGAGGUUCAAAGAUUGAAAGAGAUCAAGUUCAUCCGAGAGGUCUCCUACCCAAUCUGGGUUUCCAAUGUUGUCAUGGUUCCUAAACCCAAUGGGAAAUGGCGAAUGUGUGUUGAUUACACUAACCUCAACAAAGCAUGUCCCAUGGACAGCUUCCCCUUGCCACGGAUUGACCAGUUGGUUGACUCCACAGCUGGUUAUAAGAUGCUCAGCUUUUUGGAUGCCUACUCGGGAUACAACCAGAUUAAGAUGCACCAGGCGGAUCAGGAGCACACCACUUUUGUUACAGACAAGGGACUGUACUGUUACGGGGUCAUGCCCUUUGGCCUAAAAAAUGCAGGGGCAAUCUACCAAAGGUUAGUCAAUGUCAUGUUUGAAGAAGAAAUUAGGGAGGUCAUGGAAGUAUAUGUGGAUGACAUGUUGGUCAAAAGCAAGACAGAGGAUGACCACAUUGCCAAUCUAGACAAAGUCUUCAUUAAGCUCCUGGCUCACGGGAUGCGCCUCAACCCACAGAAGUGUAUUUUGGCUGUGGGCGGAGGAAAAUUUCUAGGGUUCAUGGUCAGUGAACGAGGCAUUGAAGCCAACCUAGAAAAGGUACAAGCCAUACUUGAUAUGACUUUUCCGAGUACCCAGAACGAGGUCCAGUGUCUCAUGGGACGCUUGGUAGCUCUGGCCCAGUUCAUCUCCCGCCUCACAGACAAAUGCAACCUAUUCUUUCAAUUGCUCAAAACCCAAUAUAAAGGGAAUGUGGCAUGGGGCCCGAAACAUGACGAUGCCUUCAACAAUAUCAAAGCCUACCUGGCGGCAGUCCCCCUUCUCUCCAAGCCUGUCCCCGGAGAGGUACUUUACCUAUACUUGGUUGUGUCUGCCACAGCCAUUAGCGCUGCUCUCACACGCCAUGAGCAUGACAAUGAGCUCCCAGUAUAUUACUGUGAAAGAGGUUUUGCAGACCCCGAGACCCGCUACCCUGAUAUCGAGAAACUUGCCCUCGCUCUUAUCACUGCAGCACGAAAGCUCAGGCAAUAUUUCCAACCUCAUACAAUUCAUGUUCUAACUAACCAUCCCUUGCUCCAAAUACUCCAAAAGCCUGAAACUUCAGGACGCAUGGUAAAAUGGGCAAUUGAAUUGGGCGAGUUUGACCUCCAUUUCAAACCAAGAACAACCAUAAAAGGGCAGGCAGCUGCAUAUUUUAUUGCUGAGUUCAUCCCUCUGGACCAUAGCAACUCAGACCCAGACGCCCCCUCCCGGGACGCCAUCUGGGAACUCCACGUUGAUGGAUCCUCGAACAACAGGCUCAGUGGAGCAAACAUUAUAAUCACAGACCCAGAGGGAAAUCUCUAUGAGUAUGCUCUCCGGUUUGAAUUCAAAACAUCCAACAACAUAGCUGAGUAUGAAGCCUUGAUAGCUGGCAUUCAACUCUGUCGGGAACUUAGAGCCUUGCAUCUCCACAUAUUCAGUGAUUCCCAGCUUGUUGUCAAUCAAGUGGCAGGCGACUUUAAGGCUAACUAGAACAACCUGGGGUCCUACAAAAGCCUAGCUGGUGCCCUCUUGCAACACUUUACAUCUUACAAGCUAACACAAAUUCCAAGGGCCAAGAACUCCAAAGCUGAUGCCCUUGCGAGACUCGCCACAGCCCCUCCCGAGUCCACGCCACCAGAUGUGCACAUCGAAAUCCUGGACAAGCCUAGUAUCUCGAAGGCCUACUUAGAAAUAUUUUCUCUCGAGACACCUGGCCAGCCCUCGUGGAUGGACCCAUAUGUGGCCUUCCUUUCUAAUGGCACCUUGCCCUUGGACAAAAAAGAAGCACAGCGGUUGCGCCACAAGGCUUCACUUUACCUGCUUAGGGGCGGUAAGCUGUAUCGUCGCGGCCAGUCAUGUCCCUUCCUGAAAUGCUUACCUACAGAAGAAGGACACAAGGUAUUAAGGUCACUCCACAGUGGGGUUUGUGGAAACCAUGCAGGGCCCGGAAUCUCAUGUUCAAAGCACUCCGAGCUGGGUAUUACUGGCCCACACUAGAACAAGAUGCAAAAGCAAUUGUCCGAGCAUGCCUCCAAUGCCACAAAUUUGCUAAUUUUGCCCAUCACCCCCCAGUGCCACUAUCUAUCAUUAUCUCCCCAGUCCCUUUCAGUCAGUGGGGACUCGACUUCGUGGGACGGUUGCCAACAGCCACGGGACUUCAACGUCACGCAACCCCGGCUGCCUUUCUUCGCGCAGUACGCCAUAUGCCAACAGGCGUUGAACUCCUCAAAAUUUGGGAACUAGCUCUUGCCCCAAUAAACGAAACAAUACCCCCGUCCCCAAAAUUUGUCUUAGCAUAUUCAGGGUGACUUGCCCCGGGGCGACAUGCAGACACGCCAAGGUGUACUGCACAAACGGCGGUAGCGGGAACAUCAGCCCACACUUUAACUGGUUCUCGUACUCUAGGGUAAAAUUGUCCGGAGGGUCCCAAAAUUUAACUCCCUUGCCAAGAGGCCGUAACAAGACCUCCUUGGGGAUACUCCAAUUUUGCCUAAGAGAUUUUGGCUCUGCCGACAUCAUACUCUCGCCAGGAGGAUCCCAGAAUGAAUCGUCAUCCUCCCGAGAUCUCGCCAUGCUAAACUCUUCUACCUCCUGCAAUAGAGGGUCAGACGAGGACACGUGAGACCCUUCAUCCGUAACGGGAAUGCCCUCCCCUAAGUCAAGGGCAACCUCUGCCAUAAGGUAAUUCAUUUCUUCUUCCCACCGGUGCCAGGUGUCCGAAUCAGGAUCAGUCGAGCUAGAGACAACCACGAUCUGCUUGCUGGACACCCACAUCGGAUCUGUCAUACCCUACAUCCCCACAUGGUUAGACUCUCGCUACCUUAACCCUAGCAAACCAUUCAAUCCCUUACUCUAAACUCCCCUAGCAAAGUCAUAGCUGCGGCGAAAUCCACAACCACUAUCCUAUCGAUUCGAAAUAAAGCAAAAACAAAACCCAAAACAAGAAUUGACAAGUUCAUACCUUGGAAAAUUGGAUUUGUGUAGUGGCAGUGAAGCUGGUUGCAAACAGCCAAGCGCUCGCACCCAAUUGAUCGAGGGUGAAAUUGGACGUUCCCUAGUUUUCGAUUCACAGUUCGUCACAAGCCCCUCUUCAAAAACCGAACCCACUCUUCAGCUCUAAUCUCUCUGUUUUCAAAACGCAAACUCCCUCCUCUAUUUCCACAAGCCUAUUUAUAGAGCAUUCAAGUGGACCUCGACCGCUCAGAUGCCUAAUAAUCCCAACGGUCAGGGAACAGCCACGUCAACCACAAUCGAACAAACCAUUUAAGACUCCCCACGGUCCAACCCACGCGUGUCAGUUAUGCGCCAAUCAAAUCAAAAAAAAAAACCUCAAACAAACCGAACCGUUAUGUCCUUAAAAAACCGAUAUACAUGACCACGUGCCCCUCAUAAACUGGCCAUUUAUGACACACGUGAGAUAUAACGCAAAGGAUCGUACCGAGUUCUCAGAACUCAACCACAGCCACCUCGCGACACUCGUGUGGGGACUUGGGGACUCGGCACCAUGCCUCCAACUCCCGGGUAAAACACAUUCUCGGCACAACUUGGGAAUAACUCCCCACCCAAGAGCUCUCUCGGAUUGGGGACUUGAGGACUUGUUAAUACAUAGCCAAAACACUUGGCCAUGCCGAGAAUGUAGCGUCAUUACCCGGUCGCCGGAGAUCAUUCCGGCCAAAACUCCGCCAGCAAGGCCUCCGUAGACACCCAAAGAGUGGAGGCAUAACAACAAUACACAUGCCAAGCACACUCUGCAGCUGCUAAACUCCCCCGAAAGGAGGGAAACUGAACAAUACCAUAAAACAGUCCCACAUCGGGAACUAAUGACAAAACCCUCAAUACUAGCCUAUAAAACAGGCACAGAUCCCCAAAUAAGGUUAGUUCAUUACUCCUCCCAUACUCCCGCACUAUACAAGUAGCAACUCAACGCUAACUUAAGCAUCGGAGAGUCGAAGACUGGGCCACCCCAGUCCUGACUCCUGACGUAUUGUUACUUGUGCAAUUAUAGGAUUCGGAGCCAAAGAUUCGACCUCCCGUCCCGUGAUUUCGGAGAGGUAGAAACACCAAGAAUUGUAACUCAAAUGUUUGAAACUUCAAAGCAGACAUGAGUGACAUGAUCAAACAUCAAAACCACAACAAUCAUGAGAAUACAAUUCGGUUCAACUUGCAUAAAUAGAAAAGGAAACUGUAUAUAAACAACUGUAUAUAAACUGUAUAGAAACACUCAUUCGCUUCAUUCUGUACCCAAAUAGAAACUAAAUGAGCAUAAAUUAAACCUUAUUUGGUCCCAUGUCUUUAUUCCAAAGUAUUAAUCACAUAUCUUUCCACAGAGGUAACAGGAACUUUAUGAUAAAAAACAUAAACAUCUCUAUCUCCAACAAAACUAAGCUUUUUCAGUCUUUAAAAUCCAUUAAACAGUCUUCCUUCACAUAAUCAAACACGCAAAGGGUGUAGAGUGCUUUGAGCACCGAACCUUGAACUUCAAGGCAUUGUUCUUCAAUUUAACGUACAGAAUGAAAGAACAACCAAACUCUAAACAAAAUUGUUUCACUAACUCUCUCUGAAUGAUUGUUAUUAUUCAAUUGAAAUAAGCUCGGCUUUAUAAAGCCUUUACAAAUAACAGAAAGGCACAAACGCAACCCACAUCUCUUAACAACCCUAAGAUUGUGGUAAUUAGCUAAGGAAAUAGUCAAGUACUAACUGAAACAAAACAAGCUCCUAAACAACAGGAGUUAUCGACUAACUUGAAUAGCAGAAACCUAACAAACUACAAACUCCAACAAACAGACAUUUGAAACAUUCAAAACGUCUCCAACAUUUCCUCCCCUAAACUGGAAUUGCCAAAGGCAAUCAGUUUAUCUCAGUCAAGCACUUCAGUCCUAGCAGCUCUCGAAGUUUCACAAAACUCUCCAACUUCAAAGGUUUAGUCAUGAAGUCUGCAAGCUGCUCACUUGUACCACAAUACUUUAAUUCAACCUCACCAUCCCUUGUGAGAUCACGUAGAAUAUGAAACCUCAUAUCUAUAAUCUAUAUGUUUGCUUCUCCCAUGUAAAACUGGAUUAUUUGACAACUUAAUAGUAGAUGAGUUAUCACAGAACACAGUAAUAGACUUACUUUGAGAAGGGUUGAACUGACUAAGCACUCUCUUCAUCCAAAUACUCUGACAAGCACACGUUGCUGCUGCAACAUACUCCGCUUCUGUUGUAGAAAUAGUUACAAUAGGCUGCUUCUUUGAAGACCAAGCCACAACACCUCCACUUAGCUUAAACACAUAGCCUAAGGUGCUUUUCCUGUCAUCACAGUUACUAGCAUAAUCGCCAUCUGUAUAUGCAACCAAGUCUACUGCACCUUUUCUUUCAUAAAACACAAAAUACUCCAAAGUUCCCUUGAGGUACCUAAGCACCCUUUUUGCACAAAUGCCCUUCAGUUGGAUUGGUCAUAUAUCUGCUGAUGAGACAAACACUAUACAUAAGGUCAGGUCUGGUAGCCGUCAAAUACAUGAGGCUACCAACCAUUUAUUUGAACUAAGUUGCAUUGACUUUCUUCCCUUUACCUUCUUUUGUCAACUUUGAACCAGGCACUAUGGGAUUCUCUAUUGAAUUGCACUUUCCCAUACCAAAUCUAUCAAGUAUUUCUUGAACAUACUUUUUCUGACACAGAUGAAUGCCUUUCGAACCUUGCUGAACUUCGACACCUAGGAAAUAUCUCAUCUUUCCUAGAUCUGUCAUCUCGAACUCAGACUUCAUUAAGCUCCUCAAUCAAACAAGCAUCAUUACCAGUAAAUAUUAAGUCAUCUACAUAAAGACUUACAAUUAAGAUCUUCCCUCCAGCUUCUGCUUUGACAAACAAGGUAGGCUCAUCAUGACUGCAUCUUUCAAAACCCUCUCUGAGAAAAUAACCCUCAAUCUUGUUGUACCAGGCCCGUGGAGCCUGCUUUAGGCCAUACAGAGCCUUCCUGAGUUGAUAAACCUUCUCUUCUUCACCUUUUCGCUCAUAACCUUGUGGUUUUCGAUGAACACGGCCUCCCUUAAUUCUCCGUGCAGAAAUGCACUUUUUACAUCCAGCUGAAACACCAACCAACCCUUCUAAGCAGCCACAGCCAAAACCAUGCGGAUCGUAUCCCAUUGUGCCACUGGAGCAAACACCUCAUUAUAGUCUAUUCCAUGUUUCUAAGCAUAACCUUUUGCCACCAAGCGAGCUUUGCAUUUAUCAAUCUCCCCACUUUCAUUUAGCUUCGUUUUGUAUUGACACCAAUCUUCUUUGCCCCAAUUGGCAGAUUCACCAACUCCCAAGUAUCCUUCUUCACAAUAGCUUCUAUUUCAAAUCCAUUGCGUUCCUCCACUUCUCACUUUUUGCAGCCUCUUCAUGGCAGGUUGGAUCUUCAUGUGAAAUAAACAAGGCAAGGUUCUAAGAUUCUCCUCCUCCUCAUAGGCCCUCCCCGCUUACAUAAUCUUGCAUCCAAUCAGGUGCUCUUCCAACUCUUUUUCCAAGUCAGCUCGAGGUACUAUCUUCAAAUGAGCUUUGUCCACUACCUCCAUUCAAGUCAGCUUGAGCAGGUGAUUCAUUUUGACCUUCUUCGUCUACACCUCCUUCACUCUCAUCAGAGUCACUGUAAUCAUGAUCACCAUCUUCGUAGUCACCAUAUCCCGAAUCAAGUACAUCGAGCUUCACCUCUUCUUCACUCCUCUCCCAGUUCCAGCUCUCAUCACCACAUCUCUAUUGGUUACAAUUUUCUUGGCAAUGGGAUCGAACAACCUGUAAGCCUUGGACUCUUCACUGUAUCCGAGAAACACACAUUUGUAACUUUUGUUGUCCAACUUUGAUCUCUUGUUGUCCGGUAUGCGAACAUGACCAAUGCAACCAAAAACUCAGAAGUAAUCUACAGUUGGGUUGAUUCCACUCCAACAUUCUUCUGGAGUCUUGUCUUUUACCACCACAGUAGGGCUUCUAUUUAACACAUGUACUGUCCACCACAGCUUCUAGCUAGAACACCUUAGGCAUUUGCUUCUCUGUAAGUAAGCAUCGAACCAUAUUUAUGAUAGUUCGAUCCUUACGUUUUGCAACCCCAUUCUGUUGAGAAGUGUACGCUUCUGUAACCUGCCUCUUUAGACCAUGAGCCUUACAAAAAUUGUUAAACUCAUACGAGGUGAAUUCACCACCUCGGUCAAUUCUUAAACAACCUAUACCACUUUCUACUUCCUUCUCGACAAGACUUUUAAAAUUCUUGAAAGAUGUAAAUGCUUCACUCUUUUCAGACAGAUAGUAAACCCAAUUCUUCCUACUAUAGUCAUCGAUAAAGCUCAAAAAGUACCUUUUGUUGCUAUUCAACAUUGGUGUAAUGGGGCCACAAAUAUCAGUAUGUAUCAAUUGCAACCUUUCCGAAGCUCGCCACUGACUUUUCUUUGGCAUAGCCUCUUGAUGUUGCUUUCCAAUGUUACAAACAGUGUACAUCUUCUUCACAGCUUUCAGUUGUGGCAGCCCUUUUACAAGUUGUUUGUAUUGCAAAGUUCUAAGGCUCUUGCUGUUCAGACGACCAUAUAUACCUUCGAUGCCAGAGAUCAGUAGUGUCUUCAGCUAUGACUUGAAGACAUUUUUGUGCUUGUGGUUUUACAGAGGCAAGCAAUACGAACAUUCUAUUCGCCGUUAUCUGAGUAUGAAUUAUGAGACCUCUUCUGGGAUGAAAAAUUCUGGAUGCUCCCUCUUGAAUCAGAAUAGCUAGCCCCUUCUCUUGUAGUUGACCAAGGCUUAACAAAUUAUUUGUAAGCUCAGGAAUGUAGUACACAUCAGUCACUACCUGAGUUACUCCUCCGCUUGAUGUUUCCCUUUCCCAUAUAUUACCACCAUCCUUAAAUUGUUCCCUAGCUUUACUGCAUGCCGGAAUUGCUCAUCAAAAUCCACAAACCAUUCCUUGUUCCAUGACAUAUGAUUCGAGCACCCUGAGUCAAGAAACCAAACUUCUUCUCUUUUUCCACCAUUAAGCUCAACAUAAGCCAUCAGGAAAAGCUCUUCUUCAUCUAUCUCUGCAUAGUUUGUAGGUUUCUCCCAACUAGGGCAUUCAUAUUGAAAAUGCCCUAGCUUGUGGCAUUUAAAGCACUCUACCACUGCAGCUUUGUUGAAGCCAUGCCUCCGACGGCCUUGUCCUCUUCCGCUGAAAGUUCCACGUCCUCUUCCUCUACCACUAGCUCUUUCUUCAUAGGUAACCUUCAGUGCUUGCUCAUCUCCACCACUUUUCCGAAACUUCUGCUCAUGAACAAGCAACGAGCUCUGCAAUUCAUCCAUUGAAAGACUAUCAAUGUCUUUCAACUCCUCAAUUGAACAAACAAUGUAGUUAAACUUUUCUGUGAGGGUGCGCAAGAUCUUCUCAACAAUCUUGACAUCUGGCAUGUCUUCACCAAUGUUUCUCAUGUCGUUGGACACCAGCAUCACUCUUGAAAAAUAAUAUGUGUCCGACUCUCCAAGCUUCAUCUCUAGAACCUCAAAAUCUCUACGAAGAGUUUGAAGUUGAGCACGCUUCACCCUAGCGUUCCCUUGAUACUUAAUCUUCAUCGAAUCCCACAGCUGUUUGGAAGUCUCCUUCUGAGUGAUGGUUUUUAGAAUAGACUUGUCAAUAGAUUGGAAGAGGUAGUUCUUAACCUUCAAAUCCUUCAACUUCAUCUCAUCCAAGCUUUUCUUCUGUGGGUUUGCCAACACCUCUCCAACAGCCGGCUCUCUGUAGCCUGUUUCAACAAGACUCCAGUACUUCUUUGAUCUCAAGAGAUUCUCCAUGAUCAUACUCCAAUGAUCAUAAUCUCUGUCAAACUUGGGAAUACAAGGCUGCACAAAAUUGCUUGUUUCUGCUGCCAUCUUCACACUCACUUUCUUUCACUCGUAGUAUUUCACUCUUCUCACAACGGAGCUCUGAUACCAGAAUGAAAGAACAACCAGACUCUAAACAAAAGUGUUUCACUAACUCUCUCUGAAUGAUUGUUAUUAUUCAAUUGAAAUAAGCUCGGCUUUAUAAAGCCAUUACAAAUAACAUAAAGGCACAAACACAGCCCACAUCUCUUAACAACCCUAAGAUUGUGGUAAUUAGCUAAGGAAAUAGUCAAGUACUAACUGAAACAAAACAAACUCCUAAACAACAGGAGUUAUCGACUAACUUGAAUAGCAGAAACCUAACAAACUACAAACUCCAACAAACAGACAUUUGAAACAUUCAAAACGUCUCCAACACAAAACGUGAGUGCUUCCUUCUUGCAGUAAGAAGGAAAUUGUUGAUCUCAUGAAUUUGCUUUGCGCAUUGUGCUUCUUGCUUUGGCAUCCCCGUCUGUGGAAACUCCGGACGUUGAAAGCUUUAUGAUCAACAGGUUAAUGAUAGAGAAGCAACUACAAAUAAAUCAAAAACCAAGUCAUGUUGACAAAUCCAAUAUCAAAUAACUAAAAUGGAAACAAAAAAACUCAUGAUUGACAAAUCUGAAGAAACUCGAAAGAUGACAAAUCUGAAGAAACCCGAAAGAAAAAAAUAAAUUGAAAUCAAAUACCUUGAUAUAUGAUUUUCUUCCUAAGAUCCAACCCAAUAAAACUGGCUGUGUUGGAGAACUGACCAAUAACGGGAAAAAAUGUAAAGCAAAAAUUAAUUAGAUAUAGGAAUAUAGGAUCGGGAUCGAUGUCAAAAUUAAUGGAAAAACCAAACUCUAGGAACAGUGGCGGAUCCAAGAUGAAAAAGGUACCCAGGCUAAUUGUAACAACAAAUUUUUUAAUGAAUAUAGACGGUGUGAGACACUUUUGUUCAUCAGACAUUCAUAAAUGAUAUGCACUUGAGCCCACGACAAAUUUACAAUCAACAAAUUAAUUCAAAGAUUCAACUUACUAAACUACUUACGAAUAUACAAGCGUUCAAAAACAAAAGGUAAGGAGACGAAAUUGGGCAGCGAGAUGAAUAUUUCUUCUCUCUUCUCCACCAAAACCGAUAACAUCUAGAGAGUUAGCUUCGGACAAAGACUCAUUGAUGACGAUCCUUGAUCACAAAGAAGUUGUGGACGACCAGCUAGCAAAUGAAGUCAAUGAGAGUCGCGAUUAUGAAUUUAGGGCUGAGGAAGUGGGAAGACGAACAUAGGGCUAUAUUGAUAUUAGGAAUUGAGAAGAUGCUGGUUGCUGCUCUCCAACAUCUUAAUCUAGGGUGUGGUGAAGUAGGGUAACCCUUCAAGCCUUAAUCAAUUAAGAUUAGAUGUGAAGUAGCUUAAUUAAGAAGUAGGUAAGAACCCUAAAAGGAACAGCAUCUAAAAAAGUAUGAUAGAUCGAGCCUUCGCAUCUACACUUACAAAUUAGGAAGAACCUUCACAUCACAUCUGAAAAAAAUAAGGGUAAACUAGGCUUGAUUAAGAUUAAGUUGUGCGCAUUAGAAGUAGAGUAAUCCUUCAAGCCUUAAUUAAAAUUAGAUGUGAAGCAGGGUAUUUUUUUUUUUUAACUUGUGAAAUGACGGAAAGCUCACCUAGGCUUAAGCCCAGGUGAGCUCGGGGCUGCAUCCGCCAGUGGCCUAGGAACUACAUACCUGAAUUCAAUUUUCUGUAGUUUCUCUUUCUAUCAUUGCCUUCUGAUAGGAUAAAUAGGGGUGAAUCCACUCUACUCCAAAACUCCCACGAACGUUCGACUUCUGGAUUAGGAUCCUCUCUUUGGCUAAAGUCCAUCCUUGUUUGUCCUCAGCUUUUAAUUACAGUCAUUCACACGAUAGCUAAAGGAAGGAAAUCACAUGUGCCAAAUUGCCCUAUGCCCAAUAUGUGCCAUUAAUAAAAUUCUGACACGUGGAAUCCCAGUCAUCACAAUUAACAGAAGUCUAACUCUGUCGAAUUUAAUUAAAAUUAACUUUUUCUUUUUUUUUUUCAUAAAUGAAAGACUAAAUAAAAUCUCAACCAGAGCCCUUCUCUCAAUCUGCUUCUUCCCUCUUUCUUCUUCUUCAUUGUGUGUCAGGGUAUUGAGGAGAAGAUGACUCCGACGGACCGACCCCAAACAUAGGCCAACACGAUGGCGACCUUUGAUUGUUUCAAAAUCUAAGUUUCUGGUCUUGCGGAUUUAUAUUUUUUGCUGGGCAAGGCCAACCUUCCUGAAAUCGUCGGCGAGGCUAGCCAAGAUUUGAUUGAAUUGGUCCCGGCAACUAGGGAAGUGAUUGGGCAUGCAAGGAGAGAAUUAAGGGUUGAGAAGUUUCUGUAAAACUAUUGCAACCACAAACUAUAUCUCUGUAAAACUAUUGCAACCAAUAGUUUGAUUGCUGCUGUUUGAUUGUGGUAGUGGUGGUGAAGGAAGCCCAGAUCUGUAUACAUAUGAUAAGGAAGAAGCUAGGAAAGGACUUUGGGUUGUGGAGUUUCUAAAAGAAACUGUUUCUUUUAUUUUCUUACUAAAAGAAUUAAAUAUUUACCGUAAUAAAUUUGACAGAGUUAAGUUUCUGUUAAGUGGUGAUGACUGGAAUCCACGUAUCAAAAUUUUAUUAAUAGCACAUAUUGGGCACAGGGCAAUUCUGAUACAGGUGAUUUCCUUCCAUAGCUAAAGGCCAGAGUUAUGACACCUCAACAAUUAAACUUAAUGACUCAACAUUUGGGGUUUUUGGACAUUUUGCAAGGCUAACGUCGUUGUUCUCUUUUAUUUCCGGCAUGAUUCAUCGUUCUUUUUUUGGUCUGGUCAUGAUUCAUCGUUCAUCCAACCUUUUUCAUCUCCCAUUCUCAGAUCUUUUGUUCUUUGAACUUCUUUCUUUGAAAAAAAUUCAAAUAUCUCCACGAUUAUGAAAAGAAAAGGAAUAUAGCUAAUCUUUUUUAAAGUCUAUAUCUCAACAGAUGGCUUGUAGAUCUGAAGAAAAAUUGAUGAAUUGAACACAACAAAGCAUUUAUCUGGUGAUCCAAUUCUGAAAUCCAUAUUUGUAUCAGUUUCCUUUCAAAAUGGACAAAGACAGGAUUGAAUAGGAGUAUAGGACUGCAUUUUACUUUUAGUUUCAAGCAAAAUUAUGCCGCCGAUAAUGUAGGGCACAAAGGGAUUUAAGUUGUUUGUUGUCGGUAAGCAGCUCUUUUACUUGAUUAAAUGGUAAGCAGCUUUUUUACUCGAUUAAAUGGCCGUGACGUGACAGGAUAAAAUUAAGUUUUAUCGGGUAUACUUUUUGACGACAACAUAAUUAGACAUUAGAAUAUGUAAUCAUAUAAACAUAAAACCAUUAUAUCACUACUGUGACAAACAAAUAAAGUAGACAUUAGACCAUUACUCUUUCUCAAUUGGUGUUUGUAGACCAUUACUCUUUGUAGAGAUUCUUGAUAUUCUUUGGAAACUUAGAUACCUAUUGUAAUCAGGGGGUUUAGACUUCAUGCCUAUUUAGCCGCACCAAACAGCCUAAAUACAAUUUCAAGUCACCUACUGAUAAAAUGCUGCACUGAUAUUUAUACGACAAUGGCUCAUUUAAAUUGGAAAAGAAGCUGAUUGUAUUUACAAUAUCCGAGAUACACCCUCCGAAACUCAGUCAACUGUCACCCACCAUUAACCCUGAGCCAGGCUCAAUCCUGGAACCACUCGAUCAAUUUUGCUCCCAAACCCCUAAAAAAUAAAAAGGAUUUGGGAGGAUCAAAGAAAAAGGGAUGGCCUAAAGUUACAAUGUCAAAAUUUUAGGUCCUGACUUGCUCCAUAUACACUGUACAGCGGAAAGCUGGGCUUCAGCCAUCAAGCUUUGCUAAGAACUGGCUGAGGUUGUAUUCUUCAGUGUAUUGUGACUGAUCCCACAACUCUUCCAGCCCGCCAAGAAUCGCUUUCAACCCCUUUCCAGCACCCGUUAAUUUCACAUCUCCAUCGAAUUUUCCGUCUGGAUGCUUGGAUACAGAAGUUACCUUGAAAACACAAACGUAUAAAAAUUGUCAUUUUCCUUCAGUCAUUCGUAUUGAAAAGAACUAAGAAAAAACAAGAAUUCAGAAUACAACAGAUGCCAAGUUUACAAUUAUUAAUGGAAGAUAUACUAGAAAUAACAACAGACUAUAAUUAAAUAACAAACUCAUAUAUACCGUUAGCAUACAUAGUCAACCAUAAUAAAGACAAUAGACACAAACUCAAGUCUGACAACAACAAAAAAAAAAGACAAACUCAUGGAUAUCAUCACAAAUAUGCACAAGAGACCAGCCAGCAAUACCUUCUUAGAUGUUUCUGCUGUUGCAAAGAGAUCAAGCAAUUGGUCGGUAUUCAUUGUUUUCAUACUAGCAUUCUCAGCAUUAAUGACUGCAUUAGCAACAGAGAGCUUAAACUUUUGCAGGCUCAUAACUUUCUCUUCAAGAGUGCCACGCAUAAUCAGACGAUGGACAUUGACAACCUUUUUCUGACCUAAUCUGUGUGCUCUGUCCAUUGCCUGCAAGUUAAGUCGAAAACACCAAUGAAAAAGGUGGUACUGGGAAAUAUACUUUUAUCCACUACUUUGAGAGACCAAAGAAGAGAAUAUUUGUGAGAUAAGAUAUUAGGCCAUCAUCUUAGAGAUCUGAUGCUGAAUACUAGAUAUGGGGAUACUAGACAGCACGAGACAGGUACCUGAUGAUCUCGCAUUGGGUUCCAGUCAUGCUCCAUGAAGACGAGAGUGUCAGCAGAUGUUAGGUUCAAGCCCAGCCCACCAACUGCAUAAAGUGAGUAAACUUCAAUAACAUUCCAACUGAAAAUCAACUUUUUAGGUAUUAAGAAGUGAGCCCACCAUGAGUUGUGAGAAGCAGGACAUCAAUUGUAGGAUCUGAAUUGAAAGCUUUAACAAUAUCAAAACGUUUCUCAGGUUCAACUGACCCAUCCAGCCGCAAGUAGGUAACACUGCUUUCAAGAACCAUUAUACUGAUUAAUGUCAAAUAACCACUAUGCAACCUUUUAUUAACUGUUGGUACGUAUGAGAAGCCAAUUGCUUAGGUUCACAAAACUACAGUGAUCCUUACUCUUAUGCCCAUAGAACAUAAGAAUUUGUCACAUCUAUUCCUCCACUCUAUUAAUUUUUGGUAACCUAAGCUACAAGUUUCAUAUUAAAAUUCUCUAAUUAAAUUCUCAAUGCUAAGCAAGCAGAACUAUAAUUGCACCAGUUAAAUUUUAGCAGGCUACCCAUCAACAAAAUCAUUGAUUAUAAUUGUGAUAGCAAACAGCUCCCAAAUUCCCUUCCACCCAAAAACAGACUAAUUUUAGCAGUAAAGGUUACAUUACAUAGAUAUACAACCUAGCAACUUAUUUGCAUCCAGUGUGAAAUAGAGGCAUUAGGAAACUAACCUCUUCAUAUGAGUAUGAAACAAGUCUCUUUCAAUUAAGUCCAGAAAUGCCUGCAUGAGUGGCCAACCAAACAUUAUAGGCCAUGAAAGCAAGGUGUGCAUAAGUUUCCUAAAAUGAACUAAGCAACAUAAAAUGAACAUUACUUUAUGUUGAGCGAAAAUCAAGACUCUGUGCUGCCCAACACCUACGGCACCUUCAGAACCAGAAGCAUCGACGCCUAUUCCACACUCUUCCAGGAUCUCCUGAAGUGCUACCAGCUUGGGAGAGUGAUAUGGCUUAUGCAAUUCCGCAAUGAUGUCAGAGACUCCAGGCAAUGUCUCUGACAAAAGGAAAUCAGUGGAGUCUGGAAGCUUGUCACCAAGAACAAGCAAUGGAUGGCUACAAAGUUUAAGCAAGUACUGAAGCGCCUGAAACAAAGAUCAUAACAUACAUUAAAUUACAGGAACAGACAGAAUUACAAUGACAACUCAAUAAACAAUUAAACGGAGAGAAUUACUUGAAAAACAUGAGUUGAUGCUCGGGGUGAAUCAGUAUGCCCUCCUGUAUCUGCUGACUCGUUUUGUUUUACCAUACUUGAUAUCUCUUGUCUUACAUGUGAACCAGAAAACUGUUCAUACAAUUUUAAUUGUACAGGGCUCAAAUCACAAAAUCUAUCCUGAAUGAUUUUCUCAGGAAGAUCAGACAAGACUUCAUCUUUUGUUCGUCGAAGAAGGAAAGGCAUGACCUAUUUGAUAGAACGGAAUUAGUCAGAUAUGUACAUCAAUCUCUACAUAAACUCGGUUGAUUAUUUGGUAUUCAUUUUUCACAGAAAAGAAUGUGAAAGAACACUAAUUUGCUCUUGUUAUAUUCCCGGAAUCAAUAGGAAUCCCUAUUGAUAUAAAAAUAUAAUAACAUAUAAUUAUAGUUUUCUCUCUUUGCAAUGCACAAUCAGCUUUCUAGUGAAAAAAUGAAUGCUUAUGUAAUACAAUAACAUGCAAGACGGUGCAAGUGGUAUCAGUCAGAGACGGUGGGGAGGCUAUCUGUCCACUUCAGAAAAGUAGCUGAUCUAGGAUGGUUGGGGUGGUGAAUGGCCAAUUUUUUGCUCCAAAAGGCAAUUUCCACCUCUUGAUGGAUUACAUUACAUAAAAACAAUGUUCUAGGAAACACGCUAGACGGCAAGGAACCAAUCGGAUUUUCACUUAGGUGUUUGCCUUUGGCGCUGAAAAACUAGGUGGGCUUGCCGGUGCUGGGUGCAGAGCUGAUUUUUUAUUUUAUUUCUCAUCGAAAAUCAAAACUACGAAGAAAAGUUUGAAACUGAAACUCGUUCUCUGAAGUCUCAACAAAAACCAUGAAAGUCUGAAAGUCCUCUCAGUCCCCUUGAUUCAAAGUCUCCAAUGCCCUGUUAGCAAACUCUAUUACUCCUCGAUGCUCGAUGGCAGCGGCACAGUUUGCGACUGAAAAUCAUUGACGACUGAGAUGCAGUUCAUCCCCAAAGCCAACUAAUAGGUCAUUGACUACCUCCGGAGACAGAUGGAUAGCCCAUGGAGAGAGAUAAAAUAAAUCAGAGAUACUGAAUUUCUGAUCGGAGCCGGCAGAGUAGUCCAGAAGAUCUUUGGCCAUUAGCAUGUCAGUGAAUCGUCCAUGUCCUUGCAAAUCUUUGCUAAUAGUCGGACUUGAAUCUAUGAUUUGUGUAUUUUGAAUAUCUUAUUUUACAUAUAUUAAUCAUGAUAUUUUGACUAAUCAUAAUAAUAUGUUGAAUAUCAUAUAUUAAUCAUAUAAUAAUCAUAAUAAUAUUUUGAAUAUCUUAUUUUACAUAUAUGAUAUUUUUCAUAUAUUAAUCAUAAUAAUAUGUUGAACAUUAAAAUUAAAAUUCCGAUAAAUUUGAAUAAACCCCCACCCCCGCGGCUGACAAAAAUUUGAAUUACAGUCUGAGAAUUUUUCUAUUUAUUUAAUAAACCACCCAGCUUGUGCCUAUCGUAUUUAGAACAUUGCAUACAAAAAUAUGUUCAAAAUAUCUCCCAUGUCAAAGCAAACACCAGAGCAUGCAGUUUUUUUUUCCAAGAUGAUUAUGAAGCAGAAAAGAGAAAUUAAGAAACACAGAAAUAGGAAACCUGCUUGUGCAAUGCUUCCAUAGCAAGUGCUCCUGCUUCAGCAUCCUUGGCUGAGCAUUUAGGAUCCCUGGCUGCCACCAGUGGUUUUCCAUAAGUGGCUUGGAACUGCCAAAGUGACGCAAAAUCAAGAGUUACUAGGUAAUGAACAGUAAUACACUUUUUUGCCUACUAGUUCCAUGGUAUUCUCUCUUCAAUGUUAGUUGUCCUUUAACUCAUUCUUUUCGUCUUAAUUGGUGGUGGUUACCAAAAUGCAAAAAAAAAAAUGAAAUUAAAAUAUUCUGUAGACAAAUCAGGUGUGUUGGGCUUAGUUUAAACUAUGACAAACACUCCAAUUAGUCCUUAGCCAUUAGUUAAUGUAGUAGCUCCUGACUGUCAUACACACUUGCCAAAACUUAAUUUUUUGGAGGGGAAGAGUAGCCAAAACUAAGAUGAGAUACAGAUACAUCAAAGUAGGAAUAACACCAGACUACCAUUGCGGAUAUUGUUUUGUUUAGACGUUGGGUUUCGGGUUUCAGGUUUCAGGUUUCAGCAGAAGCAAUUUCUUACCAAAGAUUUUGGAUUUUUUUUUCAGGUAGUUUUUUCUUGUUGUAUACUAUACUGCAUUUGCUCUUUUUGUGGGUCUACACCAUUAAUAAGGAAGAGUCUCUAUUGAGGACUUUAAUAUAAGGACUUAUAAAUCAACAUUUGGAUGAGUGGUCCAAACUUUAUGUAAAUUAUUUCUUCAACUUACAAGCCAUCCAAAUAUUGAAUUAAAUGUUCUCCUGGCUAAAGUUUAAAGGUCCACAUUUGAGCCGCACCCCUAUUAAUAAUUUAACUCCGGCCAAAGCUCAAGCCCAGACUUGGUCCUUUUGGCAUUUUCGGUUUUCUUCUACACUUUACACUAUAUGUAAAAAAGUCUGCCAGAAUUUUCCUAACCAGAUGUAAAUAAUUAUGAAAGGAAAAAGAAAAAGAUUAAAAGAACACACACCUGUCUCUCUGUUCCAAGAAACCCGGGCAUUAGAAAAUCAAAAAGGGACCACAAAUCCAUGAUGUUAUUCUGCAAACACAAGGUGACUUGUCAAGAAAAUUUGAAAAUAGUCAAUUUUCUGUUAAAGUUCAAUUACCUUGACAAACCUGAAUUGGUGUUCCACUCAGUAUCAACCGAUUUUGGGCUUUCAAUUGCUUCACGGAAAUUGUUAUUUUUGACUUCGCAUUCUUGAUGACAUGUCCUUCAUCUAAAAUACAAUAAUUCCAGAGAAGCUUUCCAAGAUAAUCAAUAUCUUUCCGAACCACAUCAUAUGAUGUUAUUAUCACAUUAUGCUUAUCAAACUUUUCUCGAAGACUGGAGCGAUCUUGAACAGAACCAACAUAUUGGAGAGUGGAUAAAACGGAACCAUCAAUGUACUUCUCUAUUUCAAAGGCCCAGUGUGCAACAAGUGUUGAUGGGCAAAUAAUUAAGGAUGGUGGGAUAUUGCUAUCAUUUGAAGAGCAGUGUUCAACUACGUCAGAAGCCACAAUAGCCGAUGCUUGAAGUGUCUUACCAAGACCCAUGUCAUCACACAAGAUCCCAUGAAGCUUAAAACGUUUUAAGAAAGCCAACCAGUUUAUACCUUCCUGUUGAUACCUGAAUCCAAUAAUGAGAGGUGAGAACUAGAAUGUUUAUUUCAUAAUCUGAUAAUCAGGACAAUCUAUUCCGAUUAAAGAGAAUCUCAGAAAAGAGUUGACAAGUCGUACUUAAAGGAGUAUAAGAAGGCAAUCAUAAGACAACAAACACAAGACAAGUCAAUAAAAAAUUUAAAUGAAAGAAGACCCCCUUAAUCCACAUGUCAAUGUUCUCAAAAUUUUAUCACCAUGUUAAAGCCAUACCUCCUCAGGGUCACUUUGAGUUCAGUACAAAGCUCGUAAUCAUCAAUAUGAGAGUUGUCAAGUAGUUGCUCUAGAAACUUUGCAUCUUCUGCACUUCUCGAGAGAUCUUCACUUAGCCCAACAGGUGGAGGGAGGCCACGAGCCAGGGGAAGAAGAGGUACAAGGGCAGCGAAACUGUGUGUCACACUUUGUCUGACAGACUGAUCACAAUCACUCAUACAUCUUAGAAGAGGAACAACCAACAAAGGAGCAUAAGGUACCAGCUCUACACCCAGUCCCUGAACAAUCAAACUAAUAAGCAUGCCUGCACCUUGUCUAGCAUUAACAGAUGUCACAUCCCCCAACAUUGGGAUGGCAUUUUCAAUUACAGCUCCCAUCACAGGUAUAGUCAUGGACUUGGCCAUAGAAGUGAUGCAUCUAGACGAAGCUAAUCGAACAGCAACAUGGGAAUGCCGAACACACUUGAAGAUGCAUGGAAGCAGAGUGAGCAAUUUUGGUUUUAAAUCCUCACUUACCAUCGGAGCUAUAGAACGUACCACCUGCAAUUCAAAAUUUAAAUAAUGAGAUUAAAACAAGGAAUUGAGUUUGCAGGUCCACAAAUUUUGACCCUCUACUAUAUGGUAAUCUAAUUUCCUGUAUAGUAGACAUGGAGGGGGAGGAAAAAGAAAGAAUAGAAAACCGACUGAAAUAUCAAAAGUGAACAGAAAGAUAUGAAGUCCUUUACUCAGUCUGCCUUAAAACAAGCUUUAUUGUGAAUUACUUGUCGACCAAAUGUAGUUCAAUGAACAUAAACCUUAUCAUGUAAGCAUUUCAAAAAAGAAAAAAAGGAAAAAAAAGAAAAAAGAAAAAAAAAAAGAAGCAUCCUAUAUCCAGGGAAGUAUGACAAAAACAGCAAGCCUAGCAAGCUACCUCAAAUACAGUUUAUAGAUAUUGUUUAACCAAUAAGAGCAGCCUAGUUAGCAUAACAAACAAAAUCAGUUUAUCGAACCUUCUAGCGAUUGAAAAAGCAAACAAAACAAAGCAAAAAAUAUAUUAGAAUUUUGACACCCGAGGGAAGCAUCUCUUGCCAAGUUCUCACAUCGAGGAUAUGAAGGUGAUGGCAUUACCUCUUUUACCUUCUUUUAGUGAUCAAUAACUAGAAUUAAACACGGGAAUAUCAACACAUCCGGGAAAAAAGAAAAAAAAACAAUUGAUCAUGUGUCGUGAAAAGGGAGGCAGAAAAAUUUGUAUAGAAAAAUAACCACCAAACUCUUCCUAAACACAGCCAAGAGACUUUAGCUCCAUUGGGCAGCCUAACUGAAUGAUCACAAUGAGGACACUUUUAGCUAACACUAGUGUGACAUUAUCAUAUGCAGAAGCGUUAGACCGUAAAGCAAGAUUAUAAAAAAUAACUUUUGAAAUGACGAUGACUGAUUUUGUGGAAAUAGUAACCAGCAAAGUCAAGGAUGAUCAUAACCUGGAUAUUGUUUAUCAAUAGCUGGGGAUCCCUGACAGAUUCCAUAGCUUGUGUAAUUAUAACUUCAUCUGCAGGAUUAAGGCACUCAAUAACACUAGGCUUUAGAACUUCCGUGAGGCACUCCCAUAGUUUAGGAAGCUUAUCAAACAAUGAAUUGCCAAACUUCAAACAAAGAUGCCUCAAUGCAAGCUCAGAACCUCGUCUGCUAAUAAAGCCUUCAACCUUUGAACGGUCUUCACUACCAGCUACCAUAUGAACCUUUGUUUUCUGCUUACUACUAUUGGUCCCCAGAGAAAGAAGUUCUUGAUCAUCAACAAUAUCUAUAGAACAGAGGACUGCAGCUUGUGGUGUCUCACUAGGAUCCAUACAUGUUAAAUUACAAAUAUUCUUUAUUAACUUGUCAUUUGGGCUAGGCCUGCGAGAAAUACAAUCAGAAAUAAGCUCUGCAAGUGCCUCAGCUGCCUUUUGUUGCAGAACUUCCUCCUUCAAUAGAAAUCUUAAGUAUGUUAGAUUCAAUAAGCAUGCAUCUGUAUACUUGAGAAAAAAAAAUUAUCAGGGACAUUACCUGUUCUCUUUUGAUGGAAGCCAUUAAAGGCAAGAUAAUAGGAUUUAGUCGUGUAGGAAGCUCUGACAUCCAAACAACUGAAGCCGCCACAAGGGAGGAGACACCAACAUGCAGAUUGCUCUGUAUAUUGUUCAACCAAGAAUCAAUUAACUAAUAGAGAGAUCAUCAGCAUACAAAUGAUAAUAAAGAUUCUCAAAUAAGAUGAAUAAGGUCGGUUAUUUUUCGGGAUUCUAGAUUAAAAAUCAUUUCGCGAAAUUACAUUAAGAAUCUAUUGUUUGCAUCUCAGACAUACCUGAACACAUUUUAGAUAUCCUGAUGUUGUCAAAAGUUGUUGCUUUGCUGACUCUAUACCAUCAACAAGAUGCCUUUCCAAAGAAUCGUUCGCCACAUUAUCAUUAGACAACAUUGGAAGUUUUGAUGCGAAAUUAAUUGCAUCGUCCACACUCAAACUCUCCAAAUGAAUUUUAUUAGUGGACAAGAAGCUCUCGAACAUACCCGAUGACUCAACAGUAUGUAGCAACUGACUAGCCUGAUCACGCAUCUUACUAUAUGUUUUUGAAAGCUCAGUGUAAGGAAGAAGUGAACCUUUUGUAGGAAAAGCAGGGUCAGAAGAAGCUAACAGAUCCAACAACCAACUUUUGAUAUGGUUCAGUAAACCUGGCAUAACUCCAGCAAUAUCAAAUAGACCUUUACUUUUAAUCUCUUUGAACCAAGAAAUAAGAACCAUAGACGCUACCUGGAUAUAUACGAAUGAUUAGAUUUAUACCAAGAAAGAGAGAAAACAAAUGAUAGCAAACUUUUUGGAGUUAAGAACCUAAAAUCAAACAGUACCUGUCGCUGGACGCCAGAAAAAGACGUAAGAGCGUUUGUCAGUGGGUCAAUUACAUACUGUAUUGAGCCUUCCUGCAAUCUAGAAGCAAAAACUCCCAAUGCUGCUGCUGUAACCACUCUGGUAUGAGUUACAGACAAUUCAACAUCUGCACCAACAAUUAUCUGGACAUUAUUGGUUAAAGCAUCUCCAGCUUUUUCCUGUGAAAUGGAGCCCUUUGCAGAAUCCAAGCCAAUGUUUCCACAAGACUCAUUUUCAAGCUUCACAGCUCUCAUUUUAGCUGCUGCUUUAAAAUGGCUCUUUCGAGGAAGAGUAACAGGCCAAAACAUUUGUGUCGAAUCUAAUGCUGAACCAUAUGAAGUAGUUGCAAGUUCUAUCCAAGAAGACAUAUAUGACCUUGCAACAAUUUCCAGAUCUCCUACUGGACACUGGUAAGAAGAGAUAGAAAGGGGAGGGAAAAGUUAAACAGAAUACUGAUAAAUAAGCAGCAUUAAAAGUUUAAUAAAGUGAAUCUUUAUGCGCCCAUAAGCAAGAAACCAGCAUGAACAAAGACCAAGGAGCAGGUAAACUAGCGGUACUCAAUAAAAGUUGCACAAUCAGCAAUAACAUCUAGAGUUUAAGAUACAUAAACAGUUCAUAUUAUAACAUGGGCAAAGGUAUACAUAAUUUCUGUUAUUUAGGGUUAUAAGCAUUCCUUCUUUUCUAUUUUCUGUAAACAAACAAACUUUAUUGAAGAGGAAGAUACAAAAAAAAGAGUAGACAAGAAGUCCUCAAAGGAACCAUUCUUACACAGCAAGACUCCUAACCAACAAACAAAAACAAUCCAACUAGGAAACACAUUCCACAGGGUCAUAAUCAAUAUUGUCUCUCUUUAGAAGAAAGUUUGACGCUUUGGAGUUUAUUUCAAAAUAAUCUAACUUUCCAAACCAUGGGAACAAAAAGAAAGAUGUUGAAACAAAUGGGAGAGGUGCGUUGAUGGAUUUAAGAGAGAAGAACAGAAGGAGAGAGGAGACGAACAGAGCUACGUUGCUGUAAACAGUCCAAAUAAAAUCUUCUGAUUCUCAUUAACAACACAGUACAUAUACAAUUAUAUGUCCUGAGGAAUACCUAAACUGCCCCAAGCUAUAUUACAUUAUUCUUUUUUUUUUUAAAAGAAACAGCUUUUUUUAAUUGAAACAAAAAGCAAAGAACAAGAACAAGAAGGCGAACAAGGAGUCUGCUUAAAACGAAAAGAGGGCAGCUAGGACUAAAAGCCCAUGCUAUAUUACAUUAUUUCUCUAACACCCUCCCUCGAACUUAAGUUGCAUACAACUGAGUUUCCAAGGACAGAAGAGCAAACAUAAGUAAAACAUAACUAAACCAACAAGGUAACAAGCAACAGAAUAGUACUGUAUACUAAGAUCGAAAAAUAUAAAAGCUCAUGUCGACUACCGGCUGCUGACUGAUGCUGAAAGGAGGAGAGGGUACUAACUAUGCUGCCAAAAGUGAUGGCUGUGGACUAUAUUGAACCGACAUUCAGAGAAACUGGUGCCAAUAAAUGGCUGCGGGCUGAUUGAUGCAAAAGCUCAGCCUGCUGACUGACUGAUUGCUGAAAACAGCAAUCAGAAGUUCAGAACAAAGAGGAGGAGGAAGCGAUCUGAAAGAAGAAGCAACUGACGAAGAAAGAUAUUUAGUGGAAGCAAAGGAAGCAAUCAGAAGAAUAAAGUGACUGACAAGCAAGGCUGCUGAAGAGGAAGAAGCGAUCUGGGAACGAUGAAAAGAAAAGAAACAUAUACUGAGAUUGAUCAGAUCAUAACAAAGUAACUAGCGGAAGUGAAAGUGAUCAGUUCCAAGACGACCCACGGGUGUACAGAGAAGGGAUUCUCCACACCUACAAGGGGAUGUCAAUUUCUGAUGGAUCAAGAUAGCUCUGAUACCGUGAUAGAUUUAAGAGAGAAGAACAGCAAAAAAGAGAGGAUACGAACAGAGGAACGCGAAUGUAAACUGAGUAAGGAAACUUUUAACAACAAGGUAUAAAGGUACAUGGACAACCCUAAAUUCUAUAGCAUACCUAAACUAAGCUAACAACCAUUGACCCCAAACAAAAAGGACCAUUUGUAACUAUUUCCCCUGUGAACACUCCAAAUUUUAGUGAAAUUUGGUGUAUAAGCAAAACAGUAAGAGGGCAGAGAGAAUACAAUGCAGUCCUUACAACCCUGAAUGCCUACGACUGAAUUUCAGCUCAUCAUUGUUAUAGACAACAAAAAAAAAAUAGGAUAUCAUACAUAAAUACAAUGAUUGGAAUGCAUGUCUUUGUCAAAGCCAAAACUCCACAAAUGAAUAGUUCUUAAGAACUUUCCGAAAGUUUUUGUGAACCUGAACAAGAUACUUUAACUUUAUUGUCGGGGGAAAAUACUCUACUUGCAGCAGUUAAAAAGGAUACGAAAGGCAGGAAUACAUCAAUGCAGAAAUGUGGAAUGACAGUUAUUGUGUAAACCACCAAACAAAAGAACAAACAAACAAACGUCCCAAAUCAGUCGCACAAUCCAAACCACAUCAACUCCUCUAAUCUUUCAGGGAAAAUAAAAGAAGCAGAUAAUACAGAACCUCUGAAAAAAUAAAAAUAAAAAAUAAAUCCGCUCAUCAUGAAGAGAUAAAAUAUAGAAAAAACCUGAACAAGGAGCCUCCAAACCCUCUCUGAAUGUUUCAAAAUUUCAUCAUUCGAUUCAAGUAGCAAAUUCUGAAAAACAAUUCUGAGAGUGUCACCCAGGAUAAAGGAAGGCCAAAAUGAAGUAUUCGAAUGCUCAGAAAUGUUCCUUCUAUAUCCUGCUUCAAGCAGUCUCUCCUGAAAAUGAAAAUAACCGACUGUAAAUGGACAUAUAAUUGCCACACAAACACACCAAAAAUAUUUACUAACAUACUUCAGAAUAUCUGAAACCCUACGCUGACUUACACACUUCAUGCAUGUCACGCAUAAUACUUUUAUAAAAAGAAAAAAAAACGAAAUUUUAAAUAGAAGAAGAAAUGAAAUAUAAACAUUAGCAACACUAAAAAAUUAAAUUAACAACAAAAAACCGGGCAAUAACCCUAGGUAGAAUACUAAGACCCAUACUUGUGGAUCACACCACUGUGAUACACUCAUUUUUUUUAGUGNNNNNNNNNNNNNNNNNNNNUUUUUUUUUUUUUUAAGGAACAAAAUCAAAGUAUUCAAAAAAAGCAAUGGUUGAACAGACUUUAUACAACACAGAUACUAGCAAUUGUUCAAACACAGCAAUAAUGGAGCCAAAAUAAUUUUACCAAAGUGCGGAUAGCUGAAUAACGGACUGAUGUUAUACUAUGCCUCAUAAAAGGCCACAAGCGUGGUGCCAGUGUAGAUAGCAUGAAAGGAUUAUCCUGUGAAAUUAUUCCUUCUUUAGCAUCAUCAAUGCGACCCAGUUCAUUCAAGUCAAACUCCAGGUUUUCUUUCAAAGAUAAUGGCUCAAAAAUCUUAGGGAUCAUCUCUUCUUGGGAGUAGAUUUCUGCCAGUAGAUUCAUUACACUGCAUAGAAAAAAAAUUGUUAACAGAACUAAAAUCUCCAAAAUACAAAUUUCUGUCUGUUUAGCUGUUGAUAAAACUAUUUUGCUUCAAAAAAUAUGAUAUAUAUCUCUACUACUAUAAAGCCAGGGGUUCAGAAAAUACACCAAGUUAUGUUUUGCCUAAAUUACCCUUAAUGAGUUGAUUGAAAGAACUAAAUUAAAAGGUUAUUAUAGUAAAAUACAGAAUAAAUAAACAAACAAAAAAAUAGAGAUAUUUGUGUAGAAAAACGUGGGUAGUGGAAAGUUGAGAUUAAUAAUGGUUUGCCACAUCAAAAACCAUACAACUAAAAUUAACAAUCUAUGAUUUUGUGAGUCCCGUGCAAAUGCACGGGGAAAAGGCUAGUAUAUAUAACUGGAGGAACCUUAAAAGCGAUACUAAUGGAAUCAAUCAAUCAAUUAAUGCGGUGGAGACAUCUUUAUUUAUUUAUCAGUGUAUACACUUGUCAUGAGAACCAGCCAGUCUUUAGAGAAGAUAUCAGUUCAAUCUUUCAUAUGUUAAUAACCUUUCAAAUAUCUUCCAGCAUUCCCCAUCCACUAGAAAUUGAAAAGUCAACUUUAUGAUUUAAUUUCUCAUGCAAUCCAAUUAUGACCCACACCCACCUGCUGAGAACAUCAUCUUCAUGUAAAAUAAUGAAAAGGGAUUUGAUUCUCUUUCCUAAAACCUUUUUACCCUUACACCUUGUCCUACCCUGUGGAAACUAGAGACUAAAUAACGACCUAUAAGAGCGUAAUAAAAAAAUAAUAAUAAAUAAAUAANNNNNNNNNNNNNNNNNNNNNNNNNNNNNNNNNNNNNNNNNNNNNNNNNNNCUGCAAAGAACGGUAGGAAAAGAUACUAUGGACAACAGAAAAGUACCUGCUAGUGGAUGGACUUAAAUCAUCCAAAUCAAGUAAUAUGUCCCAAAGAAGCAUCACCACAGAAUGCAAUGUUUGACCCUUUAAUGCAACAAUAGCAGAUGCGGUAGGUAUUAGAGCAUCUGCAGCUACUGCUCGAACAUCAUCAUCAGGGUCCUCUAGGCCAGCUUUACAUGCAGGCAGAACCCUAUCGAGUAAGUUAUGUAGCAUUUCCUGGUAUCAUGAAAAUAAAAAAACAGUGGAGCAUUAGGUAGUAACCAUGUACUUCAAGAAAUAUAUGCACCUGAAGAGCAAGUGUAAAAUUAUAUAAUGUGUGCAUGUAAUAUCUCAGUAAUGCAAGCACCAACCACCAAAACAAAAAAAGAAACAAAUUUGUUGCAUAGUUGAUUAGUGGUUAUGUGUUUACUAAUGUUCUUCAACUGCAGUUCAUUAGUCAAACCUAAUAUAUACCUUCCGCACGGCCACCAAAUACUUAAUACUCAAAAGGCUCCCGUGACGAAUUUCCCAUUCUGGUCUACACUGAACAAAUAGGAAUAUCAGAAGCACAAAAAAAUACAACACAUAGAUUCCAACCAAGUACAACUAAUAUAACAGACCAAAAACAUGGCAACUACCUGCAUCUUCAACAAGAUAUUCAAUGUUUCAUGAACUAAUGUUGGAUGCAUAUAUUUGAACACAACACCCAAUGCUUGUGCACAGGUUUCACGUACGGGAGCAACUACCUGAUCAGAGACAUAAUCUCCAAAACUGCAAUCAUUUUAAACAUAAUGUUAUUAAGAUAAGGAAGCUCCCAUUUUCAUACUAGAAAUCAAAGUACAAUAUUUAGAAAAAUAAUAUACGAGAUCAGGCCCAGAGUUAAGGAAAAACACAGCAACCUUGAAAAAAAACAUACCGGUCUAGUGACAAUACACACAGGAAACGAAUCGCACAAUCUUGAAGAAAUUCACAAUUUUUAAGCCAUGAAUGCCUAACCAGUUUAACCAAGUUCAACAGCUCGUUAUUUUCGGUAAGACUUCUCAGCAGAUCCAGUUUCUGAGAGGAUGCCUCACUCUUCAACUCAGUUGUACAGACCGGUUGCUCACCUGGAUACAACUCAGGCUCCACCUUUAGAGAGCUGAAGCAUAGUUGACCAUUAACCUGCUCAGAAGGCAAAUUACACCCACCAUCUUGAACCUGCAUACUGAUAUCUACAUUCUCAUCCUUGCUAGCAGAGAUCAUUGUUUCCAAAAAUGGACAUGAAACAUCUUCAAACUUCGGCUUCUUCACCAUUGUUCCAAAUUCAUCAAUUGGAACUUGCACAUUCAAAUCAAUCUCUCUGUUUCUCUUCAUUGUCUGUGAUGUCCAUUUACUUUCUAAAUCAGCAAACAGUGCAUCAUCCAGGCUCAAGUCAGGCAUAAAUACUCCGGCAGAAGCACCCUGAUGGGUUAAAAUUUCCCUCAAUGCCAUCACACCACCAUGGCGUACUUCCCAAACUAAGAAAGAUCAGAACAGUAAAAUGAAGAAAAAAAAAUGUAUGAGAGACUACAACUGAAGUGCAACUUAAGCAUAUAAAAGAAUAUAUAAAAAAAACUUAUAGAUUAAAUCAAUCAGGUAGUUUAUGGACCCAGUAUUUUCCAGAAGAGAAUAAUAACAUAACUACAGUAGCCAACCUGGAUCAAACAUGUCUAGGAUGAGUUGCUCAACAAAACUAUGAAAAGGCCACCGCCCAUCUCCAUCUUCAAAGUUUUCUUCAUCAUGAUCAAAGUCCAUAGAUUCCUGUGUAAUUAAUCAACAUUAUAAUGCAGAAACUUAUGUCCGGGCACAGAAUAAGCAAAAGAGAAGAAAGAAACCAAAGUAAAUCAGAAACUGAUCAUUGUAUCCAUAUGUAGCUGAAUAAAUUUUUGUAGCAUGUAGAAAUCAACCUGUAGAAGUCUAUAGAACAUUAGUGUAAAACGCAAAACAUCCAGUGCAAAUAAAUGCUAGCUAUUAGAAAAUGAAUGUAAAAUUUUGAAUUAUGAGAACCGAAACACUGCAAUAUUCACACUGCAAAUAUGCAUAGGGUUUAGCGUUAAGAAUUGAUUAUGCAAAUACACAAUGCAAUUUAUAAGUACAUAAUAUUCUCUCCCCCAUCUGUUUUGUUCUUUAAUUUAAAAUUUACUCAUAUUCUUCAUAACCCUAAUUUCCCUGAACAAGAAAGGUUAGUACUUUCUAUUAGUAUAAAAUGCAGAACAUCCGGAGCAAAUACAUGCUAGCAAUUAGAACAUGAAUGUAAAAUUUUGAAUUACGAGAACCAAAACACUGCAAAUAUACAUAGGGUUUAGUGUUUAGAAUUUUGAAUUAUGCAAAUACACACUGCAGUUCAUAAGUAUGUAAUUAUCUCUCCCCCCUAUAUUUUAUUUUCUUUCUUUAAAUUAACCAUUUAAUCAUAUUCUUCAUACCCUUAUUUUCCCUGAACAAGAAAGGUUGAUACUUUCUAAUAAAAAGAUUAAAUGAUAGUUGAAGCUCAUGUCCAAUUUAUAUACUCUCCAAUCAUUUUAAAUUCAUUACAGUAGGAUUUUACUUCCAAAUCAUGUGAAAAAGAAAAAGGAAAAGAUAUAGCACUUUUAAGCUUCAGUAGGAGUGAUCUCCUCCUUUAACACUGCAUGCAAAACUAAAACUGGUUGUUCCCUAAAAAUAAUUAUCAAGGAACAAAGCAAUAUACAAGAAAUAAAUCAAUAGCUUCAAAGCAUUUCAUCACUACCAACAAGAAGCCUCCAUGUGAAAUAGCAUUUUAAUUUCUAACAAAAAAAUAGCUAUACCUUAUAAGUUUAGGAAACAUUUAAAUCAGCUAGCACCAAAACAUUGAUAACAUCGAAAGUCCAUACCUUAUUAGUACCAAAUGAAUCAGGAUAUGAGCCCUUUGGUAUGGUAAUACUUUGAGCACAGGCCACCUCCAUAUCCCCAUCCUCAGACCACCCCUUGGAUUGGUCUUUUGAAUUGAUUUUUGCUUUUCGUUUUAGAAGAUUCAAUUCCCUUGGACUAGGCCUUUUAGAUAAAACACUAGGAACCAUAUUUGCAACCAACUGCUGGAUAUUACGUGAGGUAUAAACUCUCGGGUUAAUCCCAUUCCCAUGGGAGUUGUGCAAAAUUAGGUCUUCGUCUUUUAUCAUAUCAUUCAUAUCCAUGAACUGCUCACAUAUAUCCAAACCUGAAUAAUGAACAGUGAGAUUACUGAAGAACCAGGAGAAUGUACUACACGCUAUUGGGACAUGAUUAUUUCUUACAAUUACCAUGCUUGCUUCACCUGAUACUAAUAUUUUCAUCUUAUCUAUUAGUUUUGGGAAAAUUUUAACAAUAGUAUAUGAACUUUACGCCACUGAAUGUUACGGUUAUUCAACUAUAAAAAAUAACAAAUUAGUACAUGAACUAACAAAUCUGAACCAACUGUUAUACGUACCGUUACUAACCCCAUUAGUUGGCAUGUCAAUUGACAUAUUUUCAGGGGUAUACUUGUCUCUUCCGUUUUUNNNNNNNNNNNNNNNNNNNNUCUCUCUCUCUCUCUCUCUCUCUCUCUCUCUCUCUCUCUCUCUCUCUCUCUCUCUCUCUCUCUCUCUCUCUCUCUCUCUCUCUCUCUCUCUCUCUCCUUCAUUUGUUCUCUUCUUUAUUUCUUCCAGAAUUUUUUUUCCUUUUUCCUCCAUUUGCAUCUCUCAUCUUCGUUGUUUUUUACUUAGAGUAAACUUAGGUUACUCAGCUUGCUACCCAAUACCCAUAGAUCAUGAUUAGCUGGCUUUCAGCCUUUAAUACAAAGUCAUCCCAUAUCCAAUAAGUCAAGAAUCCAUACAAUAUUCUGAACCAAUUGAUCUUUCGCAUGGCCUUGUCAAUUUCACCAUAUAUUCAGAUAAACUCGUUGUUGAUCCUGAUUGGCUGUGAGUUUGUGUUUAUGUAUUGGUUUGUAUUAUUAAGAUAUUCAGAGUUAAUGUUUGGGGUUGGGGAAUCAGUAUCUGAAAUGGAGAGUUGUAACCAUCGGAGCUUGCUGAGAGAAUUGAGAUGAGAAGAGGAAGAAAAUGGAAGCUUGAUUGUUCAUGUGAUCCACUUGAAAAAAGUUUGCUGCUUAAUAUUAAUCGGAAGACUUAUUAACUUUAAGUUUUGGUUCAUUAGAAGACUGGAUAUAUUAACACCAUUUCAGAGGGAAGAAGAAGAGACUGAAAUUUUGUCUCAUUUCUGAUCAAACAGAAGAGUAAUCCGGCCCAAGCCCAUUCGACGACCUCUGAUCACAUCACCUCCUAGACUUCAAGAUGAAGACCCAGAUCAGAUGUUGGCGGAGAUUUUGAUUCACAGACAUCUAGACCGACGAUAGGAUACUACGUGCCAAUUUCUGUAUUGAAAUGUUGGAGGGCUUUAAUUUUGUUUUUUUGGAUUUUCUGAUAUUGGUUACGGAAAAUACCCGAUUGCCCUUUGAAAAAUGAAAAAUGACAUAAGACUAACGGUGUUAUUAACGGCAUGUGCUAAAAGUGUGUUGGGUUUGAUAAUUGGGGUAUCGAUUUGCUAUUUCUGGAAGUUGAUAACUUUUAUUAUUAGUGACAAAAAGUUGAUGUACUGUUUCUAAAAUUUUCCCAUUAGUUUUAUACGAAAAUAAUAAUUAGAAAGAAAAAAAAAACAACAACAAGAAGACAAACAACCAGCAGUCCGGCCUUUGUGCCCCUCUUAGUAACCAAAAAACAAGAAAACAAAAAAAAAACCAGCAGUCCAUCGAAAGACACUUCCUUCUAUAUACAAAACUACAAAAGGGAAUCAUCUACUCAUGCUUUCUGAUUAUUUUUAUCAGUCUUCAGGAAACUAGCUACUCACGUGCAGUUUUGAGCAUAGGUGUUGAUCCAUAUCGGGCAUUGACGCAGAUGACAAAAAAAAUGCUAUGCUUGUUAAUCUUUAUAUUGGUGUAUUGGCAUGCCAAUCUGGGUGAGGCAUUUGCAAUCUUGGCCAAGAAAUUUUUUUUCUUUAUUGAUGUUACACCUAGGAUGAAGCCACUACUCUUUCAAAUGUGGAGUCAGCUUUUUAAAAGAAACAGAGUAAUUGGUGGGGAAGGAUUCACUUACAGAUCAACAUAAGUCCUAGAGUACAAUAUCAAUUAGCGCCAACCAAUCAUAUUAUUUAUGAAAGAAACAAAAUUUACAUACCUAAACGGCGUCGAAGUGUUUGUUUCUGACGAGCCAAUCUCUCUCUUGGGUUCUUUGUAUUAUCAUUUGCGAUAUCAUACUCCUGAAUCAAAAUAAAUGAAAUGAGAAUCCCUAAACCGAAUUCAUCCAUUAUAAGAAACACAAUGAAUAAUCAAAACAAGUAUACUGAAUAGCCACAAAAGCAGCUAUACCGAAAUGGGCAACCUUUGGCAUAAACAAAACUUCAAAGAAUUCUAUCUCCUCCCCUUUUUCUUCUUCUGUUUUUGGGAGGAGGAGGGUGUGGAGGACCUAACUGUUUAAGAUAUAACCGGCAUCUUCAAGGUAUAGGUCCACCAAAAGGGAACAUAUAUGCAAUCCAAACUGAGGAAAGUGAGACAGAUAAUAUACAGCAUUCUCCCAAUUUAGUAUUGUAAAUUGAGUGGUCAGACCACUAAUUUUUAUCAAAAAGGGGGAAAACACAUAAUUUUUUUGAUAAAUUCAUAAAUGGAUGAAUUAACCUAGAAAGCCUUCUUUUAUAAAACUUUCAAAUCAAUGUGUUAAAGACUACUACCUUCUUUAAAAACUACUACCUUCUUUCAAGAAAAGAUUUUUCUUACAAUGUGGCAGAUAACAAAUUUAGUUGGUUCAACAUGUUUAUUAAUGGAUCGGACUAGUUUACUGUUGCCCGAUCUACUCUUUUUGUAAAUCUAGAAAUUUGAAGCGAUACUAACAAAACAACGAAGCAAUAUUGCCUAUUUGGAGAGAAAAGAAAACUACCUUUCACAUAAGUUGCAAUUUUCUCAACAAAAAAUAGAAUAGACAUUACAUUACCUGUCCUCGAGAUGCCAAAAGCGCACCAAACUCCAAAACCUUGCUGAGAUCAAAGCUGUUGUAGUUGGAAAACACAGAAUAUGAUAAAUUAAUGCCUACAACAUGUAUUCAGAAUCAAAAAUCAACAGUCAUCUCUAAUACUUAGAAUAGAAGGAAAAAUAAUACUCACCUCCUGAAAGAGGUGCCUGCAAUGUUAGAAUCGAACAUAGGUAGAACAACCAUGUCUUCAACAGCCGCAGAAAUCCCAGCAUCACACAUUUUCGAUUGAAUGCAAGCAAAGAGUUCAUUUACAGAGGUAUGCUUAACAUUCUCAGCAAUUGCCCCAAUUGCAUGAGCAGCAGCAACCCUUGUGUCCCAGUUCCUGCUACGAAGAUAUUGUGAUACCUGAUCUCACAUGGAACUAAAAUUAACACCAAAUCUUUUUCCAAAAAUAAAUGUGUAUAUGUAUAUGUAUGUGUGUGUGUGUGUGUACAGUAAAACAGGAACAGCAAGGAAAAAGAGAUUUAAACUCACAACCGAAAAUGACAAUAAAAUGAUAUAUCAAAAUCUUUCAUGCAAUUAGGUAUUAGGAUGGUGACUGCACAUAGUUUGCCUUAGAUAGUCAACAAUUACCUUCUGUAAUGGUGUAGCUACUAAAAUAACAACAGGGCAUUUAGUUUCAUUGAAAAGUGUUUUCCGUAAUAACGUAAUAGGGGGAGAAUCUGUGGAUCCUGUCUUUCUUCAUGUCCAAGUGCUAUAAGCCUGUGGUUAAAUAAUUUAGAGAGUUCAAUGGUAGCAAGUGUGUUCAAGCCAGAAGCAUAACAGUUCGGAAGAUAAGGUUGGACUGGUCAAGAGAGUUUUUGGGAUAGUAAAGCUUUAGACUUCCCACUAGUCACUUCAGAGUAUUCACGGAGUAGACAGCUGCAGCCCACGAAUGUGUCUAGAAACUAAAAUUUGUUAUGUACUAGUUAGAUUUCCUGAUUUUCUUUGUUUCGUUUUGUCAGGUGGAGCUUCAGAUCCCGGAGGUAUCUUUUUGUGUCACUUAUCUUCUGUAAUCCCAGAGGUAUCUUUUUGUGUCACUUAUCUUCUGUCUUUACAGAAGAUAAGUGACACAAAAUUGGUUACAAUGCAAUGCUUUCUUACAGGCAUACAAUUUCUAUCAGCUGACUUUCAAGUAUUAAAACAAAAUUGGUUCAGAAAGCGACCCUAAGUAUAAGGAUUAAAAGACAAGAGCAGCCUAUAGGUAAUAUGAUCAGAUAUUAGCACAAGUAAAACAUAAAUUGAAGGCACCAAAUAACAAACCAAACUUCUACUAGUAGGCCUAUCUAUGAAAAGAGGAUAGAAAAAUAAUUAAGAAAAGGUUCCGAAAAAAACCCAAAAAACGGAAAAAGGACAUUAUCAUUCAUGGAACAUAUGAUGGUCACACUUCAUGAGUCAUUAAAGUAGAGGCUUGCAUCUGGUAUUUAUCACGUCUUCAGCGUGUGGAGUAAAAUGGCUUUCUUGCAUUUUUGAGAAAAAAAACUUUUGGAGAUGCCUUGCAAGUUUUCCGAGAUUGUGUGGGAAUGAUAUAGUAGAAAGGGAGUAGAAAAAUAUUUGGAUAAAAUUCAGGGUGACGUUAUUAUUACGUUAAUUAAUAAGUUUUAGGAAAAGAAAUUUACCUAUGUAGAGAGAAACAAACAAAGUAAACCAUUAUUUCAUAAGGUCAGUCACAACUCUUGGGUCCUAAAUAAGAAAGUUACAUCUUGUUGGGGUUGUAUAGCUCAAUACAAGCAAGGAUGUGAGGAGGGAAAUUCCGACAUUGGAACAAGUGGUUGGAUAAUGUCUGAUAGUACCGAGGCCACACAAAUACUAAAUGAAGCCAUUACAAGGGUGGAAUAUGAAAGAAGUCACAUACAUACUUUACUUUGAAAGACUGGAGAGGCCACAUCAAUAUCAAUAUCAUGUUCAAGGCCAGCAGAGAUGGUGGAUGAGAAUAAUGCGAAGUACAGGAAAACGAUUGUUAUACCUUUUUUAACAGAGAGGUCAAGUCCUGAGGAUGUGAUUUGGCAAUAUCCCCUAUCUGCCGAGCAGCUGUAAAUCUUGUUGCUUGGGUCGACCCAGCUAUUAGAAUUGGGUUAAAGGAAAUUUCAAUUCAAUCUGAGGAGGCAUUUUUCAUUAAAAUAAAAUAAAAUAAUUGAUAGAGUGAGAGUAUGAAUAAAGUUGAAGGAUACUGUCCAAGAGAGUGAGUAAGCGGUGGAGACGCGAAGAUUGCUGCUGGGCCAUAAUUGAUCAUCCCACCUCUUUCUCUUGGUUUUCCUUUCUUCCAAGUACCACGACCACCGUGUCCAGGAUUCAAAUAUCUUCUGCAAAAAUUCACACAAAACCGAUAAGAUUUCCCACAAAAUUAUUGAAAUUAAGUAGGGUAAGUGCCAAAAGCGUAGAUCAAUAGAAAGCACCACCUGCCUGAAUAUUAUUCAGGUGCAAGAGAACAGUGUCUCCUUCCUGCUUUCUGGCUUCCUUCUUUCUUCUUUUCUUGGCCUCCCCCGUUGCGAGUUGCGACUGCUAUAUAAUAAACACGACUCCCUUUUCUGUGUCUGGGCUUUAUCUUCGAUAUACUGGGCCACCUUACAUUUUCCUUUCGUUCAAGGUUUGGAUAGAUAUGGGCCACCUUACCAUUCUUAUUGGUUUCUUACCAAGUGUAGGUCGGCUUUGGAUGGAACCAAGCGUCUAUAGUGGGUGAUCUUAUGUAUCAAUUUCUUGGAUCGUAUGCACCAAUUUUCGAUGUGAUCAUUAGAUUGAAUGAUUUUCACCAUCAAAGUGUAUGUAGUGCAACUUGGAUCUUAUAUACCAAUUUCUUACCAAUGUCUACAGCGGGCCUUGAAUCGUAUGUAUCAAAUUUUUGAUGUGGGCAUUGAAUUAAAUAAAUUUCACACAGACCUAAAGAAAAAUAGGUUGCACAUCAGAGGGCAUAUUGGAAAGAAAUCCGACAUAUAUACCCUAAACCCCAUACACUGCAAAUUCAACCCUUCACAAAAAGCCUAAAAGGUUUGUUCAUCCAGCUCAAUAUAUAUCUUCGUAAAUUUAUCCCUAGCUAGCUUGAGCAAGAGAAAUGAUCAAACAUGGCAGCAACUCCAACAAUCCCACCAAGUUUAGCCAUAUCAAAUCUUGAAAUACUUCACGACUAUCACAAAUUCUAAAGAGAAGGUGUAAGAGUUCCUCUCAAAACUGCUUUCUUGCAAGUGUUUUUUUGGUGAAAAUGAAGAGCAUUGCAAAAGAUAUCUUACUUGUUUUGCAUAUGGGAAUUAAUACCCGCAUGCAAAGAAAUAAGUCAUCAAGAGCUCCCACAGUUGGGAGUAAAAUGCUCUUAAUGUUAGCGAUGAUUAAAACCUGAACAAAUUUUUAUGAACUUUCAAAACUAAUCGACAUGUCAAAGAAACUCGGGUGGUAGUUCUAUGAAUACUCUUUAGGUCCCCAGUAUUCAAUGUUUCAACAGUUCCAUCCAAUUGUGAAGAUGGAUGAUCUAGACCUUGACAAGGUAGAGCUUGUGCUUCAUUUACAGCCUGAAAGAUGAAUAUUAAAAUAGUCUUGUUAAUACCAUUUCGGCAACAGUUGAUAUGAAUUCGCCAUUCUCAUAUUAAAGCCAAACAACACUCCUAUAAAAAGUUGGUCAUACUUAACCAUCAAUUAGAGGAAAUAAAUUGUUAUUGCACUUCAUCAAGACUUCAAUCAUGCAGGAAUUUCAAGAACCUAAUUUCAGGGAGUGGGUAUGUGUUCUAAGGCUUUGUUUUCGUCCUUUGAUAUGCUGUAGUGUUCUACAUUAUGGUCCUUUAGCACAGGUAUGAACACUAUUCUUCCAAAAUUCCAUUACUUUAUGUCGUCUUAUACUUUCAAAAACUUAUUGGUUUCCUAACAAAAGGGGAAAUAGAAUAACUUUACCUUAUCGUAACGCUGUACCUCACUGUCGCUUAUAGCAUGCAAGUAAUCUGGAAAUCACAGGCAGGACCUGCUCAGAUGUUCUGUAGGAAAAGAGAAGUAUAAUGACUCGAAAUAGAGUGGUUAGUUCAAGAAAAAGGAUACCAACCUGAGUAUGCUUUAUCUUUGAAUAUAAGCAAACUGCAUGGCAUCAAUAAGACAGAAAAUGGUUGGUGUUCAUGCAACGAUUUAUUUGCAUCAGUCUGGGAAAGUCUCCCAUCAGAAUUUGAAUACAUAGAGUUGUGUGAACAUGUGCCUGCACCCAAUGUCAAUCUUGAAUGGGGAGUGAAAUUCAUAACUACUGGUGACCCAAGAGACAGAAUUGCUACGACUGGAUAGUAAGCUGGCCCAUCUUGGUGUGCCUACAUGCAGACAACCUCUAUGAUAAGGCGCGCACAUCCACUUUGCAGCAAAAUAAUGUGGAUAAAGUAUAGCAGGCUCGAAAACUGGAAACGAGUAACCCCAACAUGUGGACAAUAGAAACGUACUAAGAUAUUGGAUAUCAAGGACAAGCUAUGGUGAAGCAAAACAUGGAAAACUUGUGGUAACUUGAGACUAAAAUAAGAGUGAGAAACUCCAGUUUAGAAAACCAAAAUUUGAGAUCCUUGUUGAAUCUGCAACCAAUGUCAGAAUAUAUAUACACACACACACACACAUAUACACAUAUCUGUGUGUGUGUGUGUGUGUCAUACAGCAGUCUGCAAGGUUUAUCCAUUUAAAGGAAAACAAAUAAAAUAAAAUAAAGGUGUUAUUAUUAACAGCCCCUGUUUCAUUGUAUUUCAUUUAGUCCAAAUUUAUUAUGCAAAUUAUCCACGGCACCCUCCUGGAAGGGAUGCUGAAUGAGGACAACUUUCAUAUUAAAAAUUAGAGUACAACCGUGACAUGAAGAGUCCGUGUAGAAUUGACAUGUAGGGUAUGCUGAUAACACAUAAAGAAAAAUAACCAACAAAUUAAAGCAAUGACCAAUUGUUUUAGAUGGCUUUAGAACAAACCAUUAUCCCUUGGUUAGGAAGAUAUUCAUUGACAAGGACAUGGUUAAUUGGUGAUGGGAAUAGCCCAGAUUCUUCAAAAAUCCUGCAUGUGAUCUUUGUUAACCAUGAGGGCACUGCAAGGAGAGAAACAUAUGGAAUUUAUUGUUUCAAACAAAUUAAGUAAUAAACAAAAGAAUUGAUGAAUACUAAUAUAUCAUGAAACCAAUUGCCUAAUCACCUAGAACUACAAAAGUCAUGGCUCUAUCACCAAUUUUUCUGGACUUCCAACUAGAAGAGGCCCAUAAUAUAUCAUCCAAAUUAUCUUCAAACAUGAAGGCAAAGUAUUAAAGUGCGUUCAAAGAAAAUAUACAUCUUGCAGGUGCAAUAACUUCGUGACUUCUGUGGAAUAUGAUCCAAUGUGGAUUAUGGAGACUAAGUCAAGUUCCCUGCAGGCUUUGAAUUGGAAAUCAGUAACUCUUGUCUCUAAAGAUGCCACUAAUGUAAUUCCUUAUCAGGCAAGGAUUUGCUUUACUUUUUUUUUNNNNNNNNNNNNNNNNNNNNUAUUAACCUCUUUAUGGGAUUCUAUUUUAACUUUAAUUGAGGCCUAAUGUCUACUUACAGUGGUAAUUGCAUAUAUGUCUUAAUGUCUACUUACAGUAUUUUCACUUUUAGUUAGGCCACCCAAAUUUAAACUCUUGGUUCCGCUCUUGCUAACUUAAGAUAGAAUUAUAUAAACAGACUCUUGUCAGUUUAUUCACGUUGGUACUUGGUAGAUACGGUUUUUUCUUUUUUCCUUUCUUUGUCCCAUAUGGAGAGAGGGUGUUGUCAUGUUUCCUAUAUAAGUUUAUACUCUUGUUGGUUGUUUGGUUUUCGGCUUUUUCUUUAGAUUCCUUAAUGACUGCUCCAUACAUUCUUUUUCAUUCUACGUAAAAGAAAGGGGAACGUUGCACUGUAUAAAUCAGGAACCUCCAAUUUCAUACCCUUUUCCACCUUGAAUAAUCUAGGCUCCUGCAUACUGGCUGGAGGAAGACAAGGGAUGUUUUAGCUCUGAUACUAAAGGACAACCAUAUAAUCAACUAUAAAGAGCAUAUCUUUAGUAAUCACAAGACCUCUUAGAGAAAGAAGUAAUACAUUAAAUGCUAACGUCAUCUCUUAGAGAGAGAGAGAGAGAGGUUGCAAAUAAUCAUCUAUAAUAGAACGUAGAGAGCAUAUGUUUAGUAAUUACAAGAACUGCUAGAGACAGAAAUAAAGGCUAAUAGAAUUGCAGAGAAAGAUGAAACAUAGGAAAUUACUGAUGGGAAGAGAAACUAGAUGCAGAGAAAACGAGGGGGACUUCACACACAUAAAAAUUGAUACCGAUAUCCAAUCGCAGUGCUGUAUGGUGUACAGUGCAAUGUGAGUUAAACCUGAUUCGCAAGAGAGUUCCAAAUGUUCUGAAGUUCAUAGCAAGUGAUUCCUCAUCUAUGCAUUUCCCAGAAAUAGGCAGUUUAUCAGAAGUCAGAACACUAAAUCCCUAAUCCCUAAUACAUUAUUUGAGAUUCGAGUAAUAACAUUAUGUCAAUCUUGUAUUUACUUUUCCUAUUGACUUAAAUAGUUGUGUCUUUCUUUGACAGCAUUUGCCUUCUAGGCUUUAGAAUUUAGAAUAAUCGUAAGAUAUGAAAGUGGCUGUACGGCCUGUACCUACAGUUUUAUUCUCUUUUAAUACAAGAAGUUGCAAAGCAGUAACUUGGAUGGAACAUUUAAACACACAAUGAGCACUAUCGAUAUAUGAUGUAUAGCAACCAUCACAAUAUUAAUUAUUUAUCCACUUACAAUCCUGUGAUAUCAGACCCUUUUCAUGGACUACACCACCUGUUAGUCAGAAAACAGUGGGAAAAAGAAUUCAAUAAGCAAGAGUAUACUUUGUUACUUUCCAGGUCAAACACACUAUUGAAAACAACUGUACAUAUACUUAGAUAGAGAAAAACCAUACCCCAGUUUUGUAGCCUCCUAUUUUUUAAAGAUUUCCACUUCGAUACAGGGGCAUCAUAAAUCUAUGGAGCAAGAUGAAGUCAGCAUAAUGAGAAUGUAAGGGAAGAUAUGUGUGUGUGUGUGUGUGUGUGUGGAGAGAGAGAGAGAGAGAGAUUAUUACAUUUUUUAGAAGUAGAGUUUCUUCAUUCUUCGUAAUGAAGUCAGGAAUGUAUAUUACAGUGGGCAGAGAUCCAACUUUGAAAUUAUUUAGCGCCUGGUUUCCUUCCAUUUCUCGGCUAACAACAAGACGUCAUUAUACAAUAAAGCAAGACACAGAAUAUUUCUCCAAAAUUAUCUUGGGUUAUAACUCAAGUCUUCCUUCCAUUCCGAUAUCUUUUUUUAUAUCAGUAAUUCAUAAAGAGAGAAUAACAUUCAAUAUGAUUAACAAAAAGAGAGAAACCAGAGGGAUCUGAAGGUAUUUUAUAAGAUACAUAUUCAAAUCUUCCCAAUAUAAACUGCAAACGUAGUAGCCAAGAACUCAACUUCAAACACAGCAUUGAAGAUAAACACAAUUAUGCCCCUCAAACAGUGAAUAGUCGAUAAUUCAUUAUUUCCAACAACAACAACAACAACAAAAAACACUGUAUUCUUCCCAGAUAAAAGAAGAUGUGCAUCCAGAAUGUUAGAAGAAACUGGUUCCCUAUAAUGACAUCCAAAUCGCGCAAGCGCUUGGCAUAGGUUCCCAAAAUACAAGGAAAACUGCAACGUCACACAUAUAGUAACCCCAAGCCAGUAAAAGGAAACUUAAACACUCCUGAGCACAUCCAACCUAUACAAGUCAAGUUGACAAACCAACUUGGAAGAAAAACGAAGUCCUAUGUAAAACAUAAAUUAGUUCUAGUUAAGACUCCAUCCAAUAGAAGAAGGCAUAAUUUUGUUGACCAAUCUAACAAGAACAAUGCCCCUUAUUAUUUAUUUUAAUUCAAAGAUUAAAAGUACCCGACGCACUCACUAUUUUCAUGGACAAGUUCAAUGCACACAAGAAAGAAUAAACGAAAUUCGCAUCAGUUAAAACGUUUAUGGAUCCACCCAAUAUCCAAAAAUAAACUGGAAGUAGUCUAUUGUGAAGUUUGCAACGGAUCAAAAAGCUGCUGACCUGCUGAUCCGAAGUCCAGCCGACCCUCACAAACUGCCAAAUGAUGGAGGGGCAGAGCCUUUUGUGUUCUCGCUUCUGAGUUCACGGUUCGGGUCAGUCGAGCGAUUGGGUUACCCUUCGAUAAUAUAAACCCCGUUCACCCGGUCACUAGCUGAUCGUGAGAGAAUCUUUAUUGGUAAGACAGAUGGGAGAUUGGGAAAUUUGCACACGAUAUACAUCACGUCCAAAGAAAAAUAUCACUCGAUUAAAAUCCAAUGACAUAUAACAAGUUUUUAUAUGGCCCAAAAAUACAGUUAGGAAGCCCAAUUCACUCUUCAAGCCUAAUAAAUACUACUCAUGCAUUUGAUGCUUUCAAGAACGGGUGUUGCAUGCUAACGGAAUUGUAUGAGGGUCCACUAUUUUUUUUUUCUUGUGUGAGGUCCACUAUCAGUUGUAUGAUCGUUAAUAAUCUCAGACUUGUGGUACAAAAUUCAUGUCCAACAACCUAACUCAUAAUAUGGACAAACGAAGAAGAGAUGCCCAAUAACCAAGACCAUAUCCUUUAAAAUCCAAACGAGUAAACUUUAACAUAGGGUCCUUAAUUUUAGCCGCACAAUAACACCAGAACAUGUUCCCAGCAACACAAUAGAUAACAAUCCCAUCAACAGAUUUCACGACAGCAAAUCUUGUCAAAAUUACGACUGAAAAUAUACCAAAGCCUGUUCCACAAUCACACUUUUCAAAGUUUAUUCCACAAUCACAUUUUUUAAAUAUUAUUCUACAAUCACUUUAGGCACUACCUAACAAACCAAAAUGUAUAACAAGAUCCAAUAUAAACUUUUAACCAAACUAUUUCUUUACCCAGCAAUACAACCCUUAAACUGAGAGUUCUUUAGCUACUAGAAUUACAUAUAAAUAAGCUACUUCUAUUAACCAAAACAAGCAGAGAUUGGAGUGUGCCAGCAAGCUCUCUAGCACUCAUCUUCUCCCACGCUUCCUGUCUCCCUAUCCAUCUUCAGUUUGCCAUCUUUCCAACUCAAUCUCCUUCUGUCCAAACCAUUUCUCUCAUAUAUCUCAACUCAUAUAAAAUGUUGUCGGGAUCUCUUCUUUGGCUCCCACGCCACAUGCAUCUUACCAAGCCCUUUAUUGGAAGUGACACAUAACCAGUUUACUGUCCUGAAUGAAGAAAGCGUCGCUAAAAGGGACAUAAUAGUGAGCUUCCCAGAUUCUUUGUCGUUCGAAAUAAACUGGGCCUAGUCUUUGCUAACUCAGACAUAGGGAACGACAUUUUUGGAUUCGACCAUGUUAAUCUCAUUGUCGUAUAUGAUGGCUAAAAGUGCCCCCAACACAAGUCAACACCAGCCUAAUACUGUGAUUUAAGUCUAAUCAAUCUCGGUAGGAUUCAAACUAAUUAUAGGGCCUACUACAUGGGCUCUUACCAACUCGACCACAUAUGGUGGUACUAUCUCUUAUUUUCUCUAUAGUUUAUAACAACAACAAAAAUUAUUUUAAAAGAUUAAUCACAAUAAUUUCAAAACCACGAGGUCAUUUUUGUUCAAGAAAAGCCUUCAUUUGAUUAAAGUAUGUAACUACAUAAACACGAUUCCCCCUCACAUUGUACGCAAAAACCCUGAAAUAGUAAGUAAGCCCGAAGUUAUAUAGAUGCUAAAAAUUCUAAGAUUAUGAUCGUAUGAUAAUCUGAGCCAUGCUUAAUCAUGCUUAUGGUUCCUCUAUUAGUCAUGCUUAUAGGGAGGUUAAUGUUUUUUUUUUUAAUAAUCAGUUACGAUUUUCAUAAAUUUUUCUGAAGCGAAGGCCUGAAGUAGCCAUUACAUACUCUACCGCUAUCAUCUACCGAUCGACAAGUUGUAAGGCAUAACUCACUUAGUACAUAGGAUAAACUACCCAUUAGAAAUCGUACUCAUAAAACACCCUAGGCCUAGUAUCCUAAAAGGUGAACCCACAAGAACUAGAACGUAUUCCCUAAAACAUAGAGGCAUAAUGCGAUAAUGUCCUACAGGAUAAACUAGUAUGAAAUAGAAAAAAAAACUAGAGACUAUAAAAACACGGAAAAAAAUUGCAAAUAGCUAACAUAGAGGGCCAUGAGGCAGCCCACUAGGAAGGAACAUGUCAGGCCCAGUCGGCUCUUCGGUCUAGUCCACUAUCAAACUUUCAACCCUACUGCACACUCAGACGUCAAAACCUUCAGCCGCCUCCACCAGCUUCAGCCAGGAGCAACGCCGCUUGCCGCGACUACGACUACGCCCAUCUCUGUCCCUACCACCACAAAACGCCACCAUACCCAUACCAACUGAACCCCAUGCGUAGCUGUUGCACCAAACAUCACUGUCGAUUAGAUCACUAGCUCCAUCGUCCAAGAUUCAUCCUUAGGGAAUUGACGCCUCAUACGCACAGUCCGCCAUCACCUUGCAUCACCCAGCCAAAGCAAACUUGUCCAAGCCUACCAUCUCAUCCAUUAGACGAACCCCACGAGCAAUAGCAAUUAAUUUCUCAUCCGGCGAGCAACCUCUCAACGGUGGCAAGGCAAGAAGCCUGCCGAGGCUUCAGGCUACCGCUGAAUAGACUAGAUUUGGAGGAUGGCCGCCCUAGGCUAGGGUUUUUUGGAUAUGUGGAAUAGAAGAAAUCUUGAAAGAACAGUGAUUGAGAAGAAGGAGAACUAAAUUUUAUGGGAUUUCUUAGUGAGCUUAUAGGCAGGUUAAUGUAUUGACUCAUCAUCUUGCAAAUAAAUGUUUCGUUGACAGACCUUUAAGUCUCUUAGAAUGAGAGUAUCCCUCUAGAGAUUAAAGAUAUCUUUUGUAAUGUGUAAUUGAUGUUAUGAAUAUGCCAUCUUCUCCUUUCAAAAAAAGAAAAAAAAUAUAUCAUAGUACCAUGACAAUGUUCGAGUGAAAGUAGAAUCUACCCUAAUCUAUUCAAAAUGAUCUAGGACCACCAUACGCAUAGGGGCAUCCACAAAGGUCGAAACUAACUAAUAUGUGUCACUAGGCUCAAGGACCAAGCCCAAAUCACCAACACUAACACCAAAGUAUAUCCAAGGCCCAAGACCCAAAGUCCUCACUCCUCAAAUUUAGUCCGCCGCCACCAGUCACCGCCACACCAUAGAUGUGGAACACUAUGCCGCUUGCAUACAGACCUCCAUAAAGCAGACCUUGAAGCCACCGAGACCAACAUAGAUACCGCCUUCAUCAAUGGUACCACCAGCUGGAGCAACGUCAAGAAUAGAAAAAGUCAUAAAUCUAGCACUUGCCAAUUCAUAGCCCCCACUGCUUGAACUCCACCUCACCGCAGAGUUCAUGCAGUCUGGCGCCCUAAUGACGCAACGUGACCUAAAUUGUUAUUCCCAGCAAAAAGGUUGGCGUUUGAAUCAUCCACCGUUGAGCCUCUAUCUUUCAACCGAAUUGGCAACACAACUCCCACCGCUAGCCUGGGCUCUAACACUCUGCCCUAUGAUCAACCCAGUCUCUUACGUCAAAAUCUCAUUAGAGCAAACCAUAAAACGGAGGCCGAAUGUCAACCCAUGAUCUUGACGCCAAUAGAUCUCUCCAUUGUUGUCGAACUCAUUAGAUUGGCUAAGGAGAUUGGAACAUCCAAUUCCUUCAACCAACAAUGUCAGAGUAUCGUCAAGGAAAAACCAUUGCAGAGCUCUCAUAUUCUCUAUUAAUACAACGUCAUCUCUUGAUUUCUUUACUUUCAUACCUCAUUAUUGUAUGUUAACGGUUUCAUAAAUUAGUAAAUAUAUUUUUUUUUUAAAUUUCAUUUCUUAUAUUUUCAUGUUUAUUCUUAUUAUUGAGCUAACAAACUUUGACGUUGUAUUUAGAUUAAGUAAUUGCAAUUUUCACGGAAAUUUUAAAGUCAUGGGAAUUACAAUUCUAUGAAUUUAAUUAAUAAAUUCCAUUGUUUGGAUUUCAUGAUGUAGAAUUUUAAAAUGACAAAACUUAGUAUCUAGAUUAAUUUCAGUUGAGGGAAUUAAUAAAUGACGCAUAUUUUGUGAGGAAUUCAAAUCGGGAAUUUAAGCUUCCAAAUUCCACGAUUAUUUUCCCGUGAAAAUUGCAAAUUCCAUGGGAUAAGAAUCCAAACGGUGGAAAGAGUCCAAAGAAAUUGGGAAUUCCUCAUUUUUGAUUAAAUUCCCGAGAAUUCACUUGCAUCCAAAUACACGGUGAUGGCGUCAAUAGAAAACAAAAAAUGGAGAGGAGAGCGUUGCUAGGGCUUCUUAGCGCCGCUCUUGCAAUUUUGUUGGAGAGAUUGUUCUUCAUGAUCUAUUUGAUCAAUCAGAUGAGAAAUAGGGCGGGGGAACAGUCUCUCUUUGUCAACAUUGGGAUCUGGUUGAACCAGAUUUGACAGCCGAUGUGGAGGUUGGUGGAGAUGACGACUUUGGCAUACCAAAAUCGGUUGAUUGUUGUUGGCAAUUGUUGAUGACAAUGGACCCAGGCUGUGAUUCGAGUCGAACAGAGGCUAGAUGUAUCUGUCUAGUGGCGGUAGGUUGAAGGUUGGGGGGUAGAGACUAGAGGUUGCGACCCUUUUGGUCAUGCUUUGAAAAAUGGCAGCUUAAUUUGGUUAGGCAGUGGUCAUGCUUAUGAUGGCGUAUAGGCUUGGAGUGGUGGCACUAAGGUGGUGAUUACCUAGGACAACCUUUCAGAUAAGAGCUUUGUUGGCAACGACGAUGGAGCGGCUAGUGAAGGGGUGGUCGUUAAGCGUGCGAGGGUUGAAGGUGGUGGUUGCCCUAGUUUGGGUCCAUUUUAGGACUUUGGGCCGCGUCUGAUGGCUUGGGGCCUUGGCUCUUUCUUGGGUCUUGGGUUGAAGAUUUGGGCCUUAUGAUUUGGUUUAAGUCAUCAAGGUUACAAAAUGGGAUGUGGACUGUUGGCUUCAUUUUUUGGGCAUCUCUUGCUCUGUUGAACCCUAAGGGGGGGUCAUCAUUUGGCCCUGUGAGCCUAAAAGCUCAUGGGCAGCUCUCGGCCCGGUCCAUAGGGCAUGAGGACGGGCUAGGGCGGAGGGUUCAAAGCCUUAGCCCGGCCUGUGGCCUGGCCCUAUAAAGCCUUCCCCAAAGCUCUAUCAAUUGUUUUAUAAAUAUUUUCUAUAGAGUUAUUAGUUAAAUAUGUGAAUUAUUAAUGCAUUAAGUCAUAUUUUAUUUUGAUUUUUUAUUACAUUUAGUUCAAUCAUUAUACAAAUCUCAACUUUUUUAUAGUUUUUUGUUUUAUUUGAUAAAAUUCUAUUAGAUAUAUGUAUAUAAUAGGCCCGGUUAGACUCAUCUAAAAAACUCGGCCCGGCCCUAAAAAGCUCUUAAGGCCCGGGCCCGUGGGUUUUGAUUUUUGUACAUAACCUGGCCCGAGCCCAUAGGGCUUGGGUAAGGCCGGACCAGGUGGGUUUUUUGACGAUCCCUAACCCUAAGGAUGCUUCCUCAAGGUAGACUGGUCCUAGGUGCUCUCAAAUAAGUUGAAUGAUUCUGACAGCUACUAUUUAUUGAUCAAUGUACCUAUUUCAGGGUUAGCAACAUUAAGAUGGCUUGAGUUGCUUGAGUGUCAUAGGUUGUUUUAGCAUGAUUCAUUUUUUAUGUAUUCAUUUUAUAUGUAGCCUACGAGGAUGAAUUAUGUAUGUGUUGUUCUCCUACAUUUUAUUUGAUCAAUAAAAUGACUUCACGUCAUUCUUACAAAAAAAAAAAAAAAAAAUCUUUGAGGGAUUCUAUUUGUGUCUCUAUAAUUGUUAUUUCGCUAGACCUCCUCUCGUUUUUUGGUUUACCAAAUUUCCUAAUGUACCCUUCUCUAUUUUGGUUGUUUUCCUUCGCUCCACCAGUCUCCAUAUACCAUCAUCUUCCAAUGCUCCAAUACCUCUGUAGUCACUUGAAUUUUGGGGAAAGGAUCAUGUGGAUAACUAAUAUCAUCAUGUCGCUCGAUCUUCAUGUUCACCUUCUUAUAUAUGAUAUAUCCACCAGCUCUGUUGUUUUUUUCUUUCCUCGUUCUAGAAGUUUGGUUUGUUCACUUGUUGUAAACCAAAUAACUAGAUGCAUGGCAACUAGGGGUUUAAUGGAUGAUGAUCAAUUGCGGUUAAUCUUCUAUGAUGACAACUAGAUAUAUAUGGUUGUUGUGCUUAUGAUGGCAUAUUAGGGUUAAUUUUCCAUCUUAACCAUAAUUCAUGCCUCUUUACCCCCUCCAUAUUCAUUUGUUUUGCAGUCAAUACAAAAGCAUUAAAUUUAAUUUUACGUGGAAUGAGUACACGAUGUUCAUGUGAUUGUAUUCCAAUUCUACGUGGUAUAUAUGAGUUUAAUGCUUUAAAGCAUCUUUAGCAAUGUUAGCUAUUUUGUAGUCAAAUUUUAGGGAAAAUUCCCAUUAGCCUUAAAUCUAGACAUUUUUUUUUCCACUAACAAAAAGAGAUUCUAAAAUUCUCAUCAACCCAAUAGACUCUUAGAGACUAUUCCAACUAACAAAAUUUUUGACUUUUCGUAUUUUUUUCGUGACCAAAUUACCCUCCUCUNNNNNNNNNNNNNNNNNNNNUCUCUCUCUCUCUCUCUCCUCCAUGCUCGAUUCCUUCCACUCUUCCUCACCACCCUAACCUCCCCCCGAUGGCUCAACUUUGCUCCCCUUCUACCGCUACUCAUUUCUCUCUCCAACUCUGUUUUCAUCGAAUCCAAGCUCCACCCUCUCCCCAUUUCCACACUCCCUCUGCCGCCACGGUUCGCUUACUUCGUCUCAGGGUCUAACGGCGAUGGCAACAUGCUGAAACGGACGUUACAGGCGUUAUACCACCCGCAUAAUCAGUACGUGGUGCAGUUGGACGCCGAGUCACCGCCGGAGGAGCGGUUGGAUCUGCAGAAUUACGUUUCUAACCAUGAGGUUUUUAUGAAAUUCAGGAAUGUUAGGAUGAUCACCAAGGCGGAUUUGGUCACUCACAAAGGACCGACUAUGGUGGCCAACAAGCUCCACGCAGCAGCGAUUUUGCUCAAUGUAAUACCCCGUACCUAAAAGGUUACUAUUCGGGGUUAUGAGUUACCGCAGACUUUUCUUUAUUCGCGUUCAGAGAUUUAAAUAGCGAUUACUUGAGUUUGUUUUUUAGUUUUUUUGAAAACGGUAAAUAGUAGAUUUAAAACUCCGAAGUCGUGGUACAUGUUUAUACGAGCUCACCGGUAUGCCCGGAUUAUUUUCCGGAGCGACGAGCUAGGUUCUUUGAAUUAUAAAGUUUCCAGGAAAUUUUCAAUUAUUGUUUCUUGUAACCGUUUUACCGUAAAAGACCCAAAAAGUUGACUUUUCGUUAAGUCGAUAAUUUGGGAAAACUUCCUGCAUGGAAGUCGUAGAGGACGUUAAUACGAGAUCGUGAACACGUAGCACGCUUAAAUCGGAGUUUGUAUGAGAAAGUUAUGGUCUAAAAACGGGAAGUUACUAUCUCGGUAAAUGAUAUAUAUAUAAAAUAGAAAGAGGGAGGUUCUAGAAGGGUCGGUUAAACCGACCUAAGCAACAGAUUAAAAGGAAAAAAGGAAGGCUCGGGAAAGGGGGGAGAAAACCAGUUCAGACCCAGACCGGGUCAUCCCCGACCCGAACAGAGUCAGCGGGUCAACCCGACUGGUUCUCCGUUUUCCGGCGACGACGAGCAAAAAGAAUGGUAGCGACAGCUUCCUCUCAUUCUCGUGGUCAUGUCCAUGCCCUUGAUUUUCAAAUAAGAAGUCUGGAGUGAGAGAUUCGAAGUGGAGAAGGAGAGGCUGUGUUUGCCGGCGAAUCUCCGAUUCCGGCAGCGGCGACGCCUCUCACUGGUAUGGAUAGUUUCAUCUCGAUCUCAGGAACCUUUCCAUGUUCCUGGUUUUCGAAGAGAAGCUCGGAGGAGGGAGAAUCGAAGAGAAGAAGUUUUAGGAUUUUCCGGCGACGGUUUGAUGCUUUCCGGCCACCGGUGAAGGCAAGUGAGGUAUGAAACUUGAUCUUCUCGUCGAGCUCUACCUAUUUAUAUAUUUGGAAUUCAGAUUUGGUUAAGUUUGGAAGAAGAUGGAUUUUGGGCAGUCGACCACCGUGCGUGGCUGCUGUGCACGGCGGCGCUGGUAAUGUUUUGGGUUUCAGAUUUCUAGUUUGUAAUUGUUAGAAGCCUUGGAAGAUAAUUUAGUUGAUGUUCUUGUGCUUGAAUUCCAUUUUGGAUGAUAGAUGACAAAUCUGGGUUUUAGGCUGUGUUGACCACGUCCACCGCCGAUAGCUUCUGCUUGUUUGGUUCUGAAAUUGGUUGAGAGUUGCAGGAUUUGGUACUUGAGGUUCUACUGCUCUACUGUGCNNNNNNNNNNNNNNNNNNNNNNNNNNNNNNNNNNNNNNNNNNNNNNNNNNNNNNNNNNNNNNNNNNNNNNNNNNNNNNNNNNNNNNNNNNNNNNNNNNNNNNNNNNNNNNNNNNNNNNNNNNNNNNNNNNNNNNNNNNNNNNNNNNNNNNNNNNUAACACUUGGGUCAGGGUGUUACACUCAAGGAAGGCGGCGAUUGGGAUUGGUUUAUCAAUCUCAGUGCUUCUGAUUAUCCACUUGUGACUCAAGGUGGUGAGUCAACUGGGGCAUUGACUUUUUUGGUGUCCAUGUUGAUUUGCUCUAUUUUUUGGAUUGGUUUUGUUUUAAUUUAUUGCUCGAUUUGUUUGUGAUUUGGUUAGAUCUGCUUCACACAUUUUCGUACCUGCCUCAGGAUCUUAAUUUUAUUGACCAUACUAGCAACAUUGGAUGGAAAAGGGGCAACAAUGGUAGGAACAACCAUGGUGAGGGAUUUGUCAGGGGAGAAGGUUUGGUUGUUGUUGGUAAGGGGUUUGGCAGUAGAGAAAACACAGGUCGUCUGCUUCUACUGCCCCCAAUAGACCCCCCCCCCCUAUUGCCCCUCAGUAGACCCUUUACUGCCCCUAGUAGACCCCCUUACUGCCUCCAGUAGACCACCGGGUAGACUUCCUACUACCCCUAGUAGAUCCCCGAACAGAUUCCCUACUACCCCUAAUAGACCCCUACUACCCCUAAUACACCCUUACUACCCUCAAUAGAUCCCUUAGCUUUUGUCGAAGUUGGGUCAACAAUCGCCAGAGCCCGGUCAACGGUCGCAGAGUCCGUUCAACAGUCACCGGAGUCCGGUCAACGUCAUUGGUCAUGGGAAUCCGAUCAUAGAAACUUUAUUUUAUAAUAAACUCUAAUAAUGGUCUAUUGUAGUUUAUUUAAUUUAUUAAAGGUAUAAUUAUCUUUCUGUUGUUUAAGUUGACUCUUGGAAAUUUUAAAAUAUAAUUUUGUUAAUAGGAAUAAAAUUCUUAAAAUUAGGGCUAUUAGACACUGUUCCCAAAUUUUAGCCAAAAAAAAAUCAUUUUGGCAAGUGACUUUAGAUAUACAUUUGUAUUAAUGCUCUAUACUUUAGCUAAUAUUAAAUUAAUAUUAUUUUUUAAAUAGAAAUUAAAUAGUUUAUAUGUAUUUAUAUAUCACAUAAAAUAUCUUAAAAAGAAUGCAUUAAAUUAUGAAUUGAAAUUUGUUUAGUCUUUGUGGUUUGAAGUCGACAUCUGUUUAGUCAUUAUGGUUUUAUUUUAAUCUAAAUAGUCUUUAAAGUCACAAUUUUUCAUCUAAAUAAUUCUUAUAGUUUUAUUUUAAUCUGAAUAGUCUUUAAAGUCAUGAUUUUUCAUCCAAAUAGUCAUUUUGACAAUUUUCUCAGUUAAAUGUCAUAAGGACUAUUUGGAAUUUGGAUGAAAAAUCCUGACUUUAAGGAUUAUUCAGAUUAAAAUAAAACCAUUAGGACUAUAUGGAUGAAAAAUUAUGACUUUAAGGACUAUUCAAAUAAAAAUAAAACCAUAAGGACUAUACAAUAUUUUACCCUUAAAUUAUAAAGAGCUUCAUCUUACUUUUUCUAUAUUUAGCUAGCGAGAUAGCUAAAAGUCAUAAUAGCUAAACUUUGGCCAGUCUGCUAAAACUAUUAAAAUACGUAAAAAGCUAAACACGCUCUCUAAAAUAGCUAAAAAACCAAAAUAAAGAGUAUGAUAAAGAUGUUCUUAGAAAUACCUCUACAACAGUACUCUUUAUUUCAACUUAGGUUUGAUUUAUAUUAUUGAUUAAAUUAAGAAAAAUCUAUUUAAAUGUGUUUUAAUAUUACAUAAAACGACUUAAAAGGAAUACUUUAAAUUUAUAUAAAUUAUAGUGAGUUUCAUCUCGCUAGCUAUAUUUAGAGAGCGGGAUAGCUAAAAGUUAAAAUAGCUAGCCACUAUUCUGUUGAAGCUGGUAAAAUUGAUAAAAAACUAAGCUCUUCCUCUAAAAUGGCGAAGAAGUCAAUACAGAGAGUCUACUAAAGAUGUUCUUAGUUCCAAUUCUAAAGCUACGUAUGGAUAAAAUAGCCCAAACUUGCACAUUUUUUUUAGAGGUUCCGUUCAUUACGACAUCGUUAAAUCAAAAUAGGUAAUGUGUACCCCAUAAUACAAUACAAGACUCGAAAAGCUGCUAAAGCAGAGAAAAGCUGCAAAUGCAUGCAAACCUAUUCCAACUAAUAAUUGUCAAAUGCAAUCGCAUUAUUAACUAGAAAACAAGAUAAAAAAACCAAAUCCACUCAUUAACACUAGCCGAAUGCACAUAAAAAAAGUGAAAAAAUAAAUAUAACUUAUAAGUGGGUGAAUCAUAUUCAAUUCUAUCAAGAUAUUUUAUGAUUAAAACUCAACACUUUAAUGUUAAGUUGAGACAAUAUUGGUACAAUGAUGAUCCACUAGUCAUGCAAUUCGUAUUUAACAUAUACAGUAUUAGAGCGGGUUCCUCUCCAGUUGUGUCCUCAAUCUGUCAUGAGCCCAAAUCUGGGUUCCUUAUGUUGUCAACAGAAAGUUCUGAUAGGAUUGUCACCAUCUGAUAUGGAACGGCCUUUUGUUUGUUCUGUAUCAAUUGCCAAUGUGUGACUUGGCCUGUUAAUUUGUUUCAUAUGCAAACCUACAAUUUAGGUUGCACAUGAGGGGACGUACAUUAGAAAAUAGACAAAUACAAUAUAACUUAUAAGUAGGUUUAUCAGAUCUAAUUACAUUGAGGUCUUCUGUGAUUAAAACUCAACAGUUUAUUGGUAAGUUGGGACAAUAUCGGUAUAAUGGUAGACCACAAACCACGCUUGAUGACCUUGUUUAACGAUGUAUGGCGAUUUCGAGGUAGGGCUUUGAUGACAUAGGAGAUCCAGUGUGUCGUUGUGAAUGGAGAAACUAUCCCAAACCUGGCUCAAUUUUGGUAGGGCGCAGGUUGCGCUAGUGGAGCGACCUAGUCAAGGGUGUGAUGGCAACAGAGUAGCUGUCUUGAACCAGCCCUCACAACAUGGCCCCGCAUUAGAGGUGACGGGUAGAAGGUGGGAGCACAACAUGGUUUUGGUUGGAUCCAGUUUGGCCGCUUUAACUCUGCCAUUUAGGACGAUGGUGGGUUUUGUGCUCAUUACUUUAUCCCUGAUUGUAUAUUGAUUUUGUGCUCAUUACUUUGGCCCUAAGUCCAUACGCCGAUCAUGUAGGGCUCGGGCUAUGUGUGUGUGUGUGCACUCAAAGUGCCUUUGUCAGCUAUAUGUAGGCGACAAGUUUCUUAUUUCAUCUAAUGAUUGUUGCCGCCAAGUGGUAGGACGAAGAUAAUUAUGUGUGGUUUGAUUUUUCUUUUGAUGACAACAUAGUUGAAAAACUGAUUUAUUUGACAUUAGAAUAUAUAAUCGUGAUACUUAUCUAGUGAUGUUUCCAUUAUGUCACCGUUAUAUCAAAGCAAAUGGAGUAGCCAUGUCACACCUCGAACCCGGUGUCGGUGGUUUCCAAGCACCAAACAACGAAUCUGAGGUGUGAGGGGAAAAGUAAAAGAAAAUAAUACAAAUUCAAAUACUUUUUCAAAAAUUGUUAAAAAAAAAACAAAUUUUAAUAACAAAACAAUUACAGAGAUAAAACUAGCUAGUCUUAAGGUCUAGCUCACUUCUAAUCUUCCGUACUUCUUGACUUUUGUACACGUAAGCUAAACGUCACAGUUAGUUUUCUAGAAAUACGUGACGUACCUCGUACCUGAGCAAGGGUUUAUAGGGGUAAGGUUGCUCUCAGUAGGGCCAAACAUUUUUAAGUUAUUCUUAAUUAUGUCACAUAAUCAAGUUAUCAAAUAUCAAACAAUACAUUAAAUAUAUAACGACAAAUCGAUACAUAAAUGUUAAUGCACUCCCUCUACUUUAUUACUGACUAAUUAGUACAUACACCUAAGACAUAUGUACCUACAUGUCCCAUACCGUACAGAUGUCUCGAAUAUACGACCUAACAAAUCAGUAGUAUAUAAAAUCCAGUACCUCUUUUGUUAGUCUUUUGUUCACCUCAAGGUCCCCAGUCCCGAAACCUGAAAGAUCGUGUGAUCGACUCAUACGUCGAAAGGGCAUACAUUCCCUACUCAUUUGCGUAGGUGGACUGAUCAUAGCUACUGAAAGUCCCCAUGAGAAAACUCAACUACACAAAAUGUAUUUGUUCUAAUAAUCUCAUUCUCCUCUCUAGAAUCAUCAUUCUCACUAUUCUCACGUUUCCUCACAAUGCAUUAUGUAUGCAAUCAAAUAUCGAUGCGCGUAAUAUAAUAUUAAACAACAUGCUUUUUAAGGAAAGCAGUAACAUCAAUCACAACGAUAUCACAUAUUUUAUCAAAAACGAUAACAAUCAAGAAUUAAUCAAUCAAUGUCACACAAAACACUCAUUCCAAUUAUAUACUAAUUAUCGUUUUAAAGAAAGAUUCGUCGAUAGAGACCUUAUCUGAAAUCCAAGUGUUAGUUCUGGAACUGCAACGUGCCUCCAAUCCUCGUACCGAAUCCUCAUUCCAAGAAUGUUGACAGGUCACUUCAAAUUGAUACAACCAUAUCCUCAAAACUACGAAGGACACCCGAUCCUUGAUCCACAAUUCCUCUCACCUUCUCCAAUGAUCUUUGAAUCAAUGUACGCAUAUCCUUUCAUCUCCAUAUCCAUAUUAUGCUCUAAGCAUCUGAAUUCACUGUUGGCACCCAUAAUACUUUACGCCUAUAAAUUAUCCUUCGAUCCAUGCCUGCAGCUCUCGAACACCUUCGAAUCACCAAAUGAACUAUAAGACCACUAUGCUCACUAAAGUGAAGUUCUCUACCAAAACCAUAAUCACCGUUCACCAACUGCCCUUAACAUUAAACUAAAUCCAAUUUCAAAGUAUAAUCAUGACCACCACCGUUGGGAACGCUGAACACAUUAACCUUCACAACCACAAUAAACUUUAAAUUUCCCAGCUCUUCCAUUUCUAGACUUCAAGCAUAUACAACACCAACAUCAUGUCCUACAAUUUCAUCCAAUUUGAAAUUACCAAACAAACACCAAAAUACUACCACCGCCGCCGUCAUGCACAAUGGCCACAGACGGUGGCCAACACUGCCCAAAAUCCCAAAUCCCUAAAAACACCCUAAAAUCGAAACCAAGCAUCUUAAAUCACUCCAUCAAUUCUAUAUACUAAUUCAAAAGCUAGAAGCUGCAAAAACAACCGCCACCGUCGCCGUGUAUAGUGGCACACACGACAGUCCUCCACUGCUUAAAACCAACUUCAUCAUCUCUCAACAAAUUUCAAAUUUAAUUAUACACAGAGAGAGCUCGAUGAGUAGAUGAAGAUUGAUGCUUGAGUCGAACCAAAACUCACUGGAAAACAAAAAACACCGUCAGAAAACCCUAAAAGCUUCUGAGGUUCGAUUCUCCCUUUUGACUUCUCCCUUGGACAAACGAAUAUCAUGGAAGGGUUCCUGACAUCGAGACAAAACUAUCCAUACCAGUGAGAUACCUCGACUUGGCCGGAAUCGAAAACUUGCUGGCGAACCCAAUCUCUCCUUCUUCUGCUUGAUUCUCUUUCACCGGAGCUCCUUUGUUGAAAGCAAGAUAACAGGGAGGAUGGGGAGGACGAGAUGAAGCUUCGGCUACCGGUGAGAGGUGUCAACGUUGCCGGAAUCAGGAUUUGGCUGGCGAACCCAGCCUUUCUUUCACCCCAUCGAUUAUCGGAAGACCACGAGGACAAGAGGAAGCCGCCACUACCCGCCUUGCUCCUCGCCAUUGCCAAAGGACGAAGAGAUGGCCGGGUCGACCACCGCUACUACACGGGUUGAGGCUGACCCGGUCUGGGUCUGAAGUGAUCCGUUCCCAUCUCUCUCCCAUUAUAUAUAAGACAUCCAACAGUUGAGAUUAAGAGGUUUAAUAGAUCUGACGGCCCAGAUCAAACCGUCAUAAAAAUCAUUAAAAAUAGCUCUGAAAUUCGAAAAAGCUUUUGUAAAAUCUUACGAACUCAUAACGACCUCUAGUUUAAUCCUAUGGGCUCGAAAGAUAAAUUUUGACAAACCAAAAAUUGAUUUGAAAUGAUUUUCGAAAGCCACAAAGAGAAUAAAGAAUAAUAGAAAUUGAAAUAAAAAUAGCUUGAAAUUAAUUUUCCUUUUAAAAAAUAGAAAAUCGAAUUUUUGAUAUGUUACAAGCUAGUUACAACCAAGUCGCUCCGUCUUCUCCGGGAGCUGAGCAAUUUGAUCAUGAAACCCUAGGGUUUAUUGGCUGAGGGAUCAAAGGCGGCGACCUUGGUCUUCCGCUUACGAGUGGUGGUAUCUGACACCUUUUUCGUUGAUUAGAGGUGGGAUAAGGUUGUUCUGUGUGGAGGCGUGACAUCGGCGUUUGGUUAGGCUGAGGUGUGGUCCAUCGAAGACGAGAGAAGGAGGCUUUUGAUGAGUGACGAUGCCGAUCUUAGGUGACGAUGUGCAUCAUGAGCCCAGAUCGGUGGUGUGGAAUCAGCGACGGUGGCGAAGCGAGGAAGCAGUGUGCUCGACAAGGAAAGGGCUGAGCCUUGGAUAGUGUCAACGGUGUCUGUACAAGUUACCUGCGGUGGUAACGAAUCUUGCUCUUAGUCAGAAGAGGAGGUAGUCAGAUCUUGUCCUUGUCUACCGCUUCUGUAUAACGGUGUCAUGGCCUUCCAGUCGGGACGUCUGCCGGACUGAACGCCAAUCAAGACCUUCGACGAAAGUCUUUGCAGGUCCAGUUGACUGGGCUUGAGGUGGGGAAGGCUGGGCUUUGGGCUUCAGCUUAAUGGAUUGCUGCAAUCUUGUAGGCCAGUGAGUGGCUUUGGGCUUGGCUUCCCACCUUUUCUCAUGUAGACUUGACUUGUGACUGGGCUUUUGUAUGAGUGACAUCUCUAACCUAUAUAAUUGCUAGUUCGAAACUAUUCUCUGCUCUGUGGGGUGGAAAUGUACACCAAUGGAGGUCUUAGGCGUCAUACUUCUUCAGAACAGAUGGUUUGAACUACAGUUGUAUAGGCGUAGCGGUUUUUUUGUUUUCAGUUAUAGUAUUGGAUUGUCUGCCUUUUUGGACAUUAGUUUCAUUGUAGUUUUGAAUUGUUUGCGUUUUUGGACUUUAGCUUUCGUAUUAGGUUAGUCAAAUAAGGCUUUCUACGCUUCAGUUAUAGUAUUGGAUUGUCUGUCUUUUUGGACAUUAGUUUCAUUAUAGUUUUGAAUUGUCCGGGUUUUUGAACUUUAGCUUUCAUAUUAGGUUAGUCGAAUAAGGGAUUUCUAAGCCUGUAUAGGAGUUUUAUCUCCUGCUUGACCAGGCACUACUGGUCGUAUUGGCUAUGCCAACUGAAACUAUCUCAAAAAAAAAAAAUGUUGUAGCUAGUGUAGUAAAGUCAUACUGUUUGGUAGUUGGUGUUUAUUAGAAUACAUGUGUUAUGUACGUAGAGAGUGCUGAUAUUAUUUCAAGAAUUAGUCUAGAUGCUUAUUGUAAUUUGGGGUUUAAAUUCAAUGUUUCUCUCUUAUAUUCGAUAGUUUCAUUAAUAAAAUUAAAGAACAGUCAUAUCAGCCUUUUAUUUAAAAUAAAAAUAAUAAUAAUAUAAAUAUAUAUAUCGGUAAGUAAUUUAAUAUUUGUUCACCGAUUUUAAAAAAUAAUAUAGAGAGAGAGAGAGAGAGAGAGAAUCUAAAGAAGACCUCCUUACUUAAGAAUUUGAGAAUUUCUACUAUUUUACAUUACUAGAUAACUUCAUUUAACGAUCUCAACUGUUGAUCCUUUAGAUUCAUAUAAUUCCAUAAUCAUUUGGUCAUUUAAAUUGACGUAAACAAUUGUAGGCCGUUAUAUAAAAUUAAAACGAAUAUUGUGCUAAUCAAAUAGUUAAACGUUUUUUAUUUUGGCUAACUUUUUAUAGGAUUCAUAUGUGGGUAAAUAACUAGGCAAUGUGUAGCUUUGAUUGUCAAAAUACAUGCUAGAACUAAAAACAUCCUCACUUUAAGAGUUUAAGGAGGUCCUCUAUAAAUCCAGACUCUAUACACACACACACAUAUAUACAUAUAUAUAUAUAUAUGGAAAAUUCUAUAAUGUGUUAAUGCAUGUGAAUGAUGUGAUGCAUCAACUUUGUAAAUUGAGUCCUCAAACUAGUAAUAUUAGUCCUCGAAGUUGUAAUAUGAGUCUUUAAAGUUGUAAAUUUUUUUUAAUUACAACAUUAGUAAUCAUGUGUCUUUAAAGUGGUAAGAUGUGUGCUUAAAGUGGUAAUUGAGUCCUCAAAGUGAUUAAAAAAAAAGUUGUUACAACUUUUAGGACUCAUAUUACAACUUUGAGGAUUCAAUUACCACGUUAAGGACAAAUGAGGACUAAUGUUAUAACUAUUUUUUCUUUUACAACUUUGAGGACCAAUAUUACUACUUUGAUGACUUAUUUUACAACUUAAGGACAAAGUUGAUGCAUCAACACACCCUAGCCUGACCCUGCGUAACUGCCUCCUCAAUCUGUGUUCCAUACAUUCCAUUUGAAUCUUGCACUUAAAUUAUAGAGUGGGGUUGUAGCGAGAGGACUUAUAUAUACGUGUAAUAGUAAGUGUUUAUGUUUUCAUUUAUGUCAAUGAAGAAAGAUCUUGCACUCAGUUGUAUCAUUAUUCCCAGUACUGUUUGGUCUAAUGGUAUAAUUAGUCUCGAUCCCCUUGUAAGUGAGAGGUCGUGAGUUCGACUCACAAUGUUGUAACAUAUUAAUUGUGUAACGUUUAUUUAAUAAAAAAAAAAAGCAUCAUCAUACGUUCUGUACUUAAUUAUGUCGUCUUUGUUAAUAAAAAUGUCUACCUAAUGUUUAAAUAGCAUUUCAUGAUCGUCAUGAUAGAUAUGAACGCGGCAAAAAAAUUGAAGAUCGAUCGAGGAACUUGAAAGUAUGACGAAAUUAUGUUGCUUGGGCGUAGAGUUUUAGUUUUUUUUUUUUAUUGGGAUUGGGUAAGAGUUGAAAGAGAUGGAAAAAAGAGAGUACGUAACAUAUAAGAGAAAUUUUAAAUACACACCCCUAAUAUCUUAAUACACACCCCUUACUUAAUACACCACAUAUCAAGUUUUUCAUUUCAGUAUUAUAUUUAAUACACAUCCCAAACUGCCUAAAAUACCCUUAAUUUAUGAAAUAUUUCAUUAUUUAAUAUAAUUAAUCUAUAUUUACUAUUUGGUACCUCUUUUUACAUAUUAUUUCGUCUAAUUUUUGUUAGAAAUUUUUGAUUAUCAUUGUUCAAUUUAUAAUCAAAUGAUUAUUGUUAUAUCCCAACUCCAAAUCAUCAAUACAAGUUUUCAAAAUUCAUAAGAUAGUAGAAGUGUAGAAGUACAAUAGUUAUUAAACAUAGAUAUCUAGUUAUUCGAUAAAGCAUGUCAUGAUAAAGAUGCAGUACUUGAGAAUAUGAUAUGCAAGAUCAAACUAAAGCUGAUACAGAUAAAAAAUAAAUAAAAAUAAAAAAUAAAAAAUAAAAAGACAACCCAAAUGAAUUGUGGAGAAUAGUUGGGNNNNNNNNNNNNNNNNNNNNCUACUAUAGUAGGUAGUAUAUAUAUAUAUAUAUAUAUAUAUAUAUAUAUAUAUGUUGCUAGUAAAUUGCUACUUACGCGACAGCGAAGACGGCGUAUCCCGAGACGUGCCAUGUCUGCAGGCUCUUCUCGUGGUUCUCAAAGAUGAUCUCCACAAAAUCUCUGUGGGUUUGAUCCACAACGUUGGGUAGUAUGACGGCCUUGGUGUCCACGUCAGCUGGGGGGUCAUCCUUGAUGCUGCCGGUCUUGAACACCUUGUCACCCACUCCGAAGUAUUCAGCAAGCUUGAGUGGGGUUUCAGGGUCCACAUGGGAGACUCCGUUUAUAGAGUAGCGUAGCUUGCCGUCCACCUGGGUGGCGGCGUUGACGAGUUUCAUGGUGCGGGUGAUGUUAAUCCUACCGUAAUGGUAGGAGCCCUGAGGAUUAGGUCUAGCAGCACUAGAGGAGAGAUUCCAACGGAAGGAACGGAAUUGGUUGAGAGACCAUGCCCAUCCUUCUGGGGCCUCAGGGAGCUCGGAGUCAGCAGGGCCCUUACCAUUUUCAUACCGUAAGAUGCCCUUACCGGUGAGCACGGUUUUGGUGAAUCUUGUGGAUGCUACCAUGUAAUAGUCUUUCGGGGUUUGGUCGGCUGUGACUAGCACGGCCAUGCAUUGACCGAGAUGCACGUCAAGUGACUGGUACGUGUUUUGGACGGUGUGGGAGCCCUCCAUUUCCACCAACAUCAUCCAGUGCUCUUGGAUCCUAAAGUUAAGGCUGCUCUUGACACCUAUAUUGCAGAUCCUAAACUUGUAUGUCUUGCCGGCCUUCAUGGUGAAGAGGGGCUCGUCUUUACCAUCUCCCUUUGCAUCCUUACCGUUGAUGAGGACGCCGUCAGGCCUGGCCAGAGUGCGGCCGCUGUCCAGUUGUUGCUUGAGAGCAAUGUGGCUUUUUUUGUACCAGUCCCCGAUGAGGACAGUGUAGUCCUCCUCCGGUGUAUCAUAGGGAACUGGGAUCAGUGGACGACUAUUCACGCGGAGACCGCCAAAUGCACCCCCCGCCCUGUGCAUAGCAGUUGUUGGAUAGUAUAUAAAGCUGCCAAUCUGAUCCUUCACUUGGAAGUGAUAGGUGAAGUUCGUACCAGCGGGUAUGGGGCACAUAGUUCCAAGUGUUCCGUCUUGCCAUGAAUUCUUCCUCUGCUGGAUGCCACUCCUGCAACCAAUGAUCAUUAAUAUUAGUUACCUGCUGGCUUAUAUAUUGUAGAAAAAAAAAAAAAAAAUCCCAGAUCCCAUGUACGUACCAUGUCAAAAGGAAUGGCUCGUCCAGGUUAUUGAACACGUUCACCACUACGUUGUUGUUUGUGGUGGAAUUGAUGUUCGGCCCAGGAAACUGGCCAUUGAUGAGAAUGACUUGCUGUGGGGAUCCCAGUGGAGAGAGGGUUCCGUGAGAGACAUUCCAUUCGAAGAAUAUGGUAGGGUCUCCGCAGUGCACGACUGAAAUUGUCCCCAGUGAGAGACAUAGAAGCAGCAGAUGCAUCAUUCCCGACAUCUUUCUCUCCCGGCGGUUUCACCUUUUAUGUAUCCAAACCUCAACUGUAUAUGUAUUCCUAAACUGAAAGAAGAAGUUGUUCGUGUGACUGUGUGUGUGUAUAUAUAUAGCUUUAAUGCGCUACGAUCUGUUGUCCGAGAUAGCUUCAUUGUCGUACCUAUUAUAUACAUGCCCUUGACAAUUUCUCAACCAUUAAAGUUCUCCCGCAAUGGUUGCCCUUCUGUCUUGCCCCUUGCAAUGCGCGCUUCCUCUCAUUUUACCCCCACAUCCCUUCUGACCCCGUCUCCCUAGCUAACUGUUGGAUCUGCAUACUGUGCUCUUUCCUCGUAUCAAAUGAAAUAUAUAUACUAAUAUUAUUACUUUAACGACAUAUUUUAUAACUUUAGGACCAAGUUAAUGUAUGACAUACAACACAUUAUAAAAUUUUUCAGCUACGCAUAUCAAGUAAACUGCAACCAAACGAUCAUGUAGAUUAAAAUUUCACAAUUCUAUCGGCUACAAUAUUACAUUAUUGAUAUAAAUGUCUCUCUCUUCUUUUUUUUUAAGAAAGUUAUUGAUAUAUAUAUAUAUGUAUAAAACAAACAAAAAAGAAAAGAAGAUGUUAGCUUCCAUAUAUCCUCAAUCAAAGAUGUGGGCCUCCAAGGCACCUCCACUCCAUGAAGAGCACAAUUGAUGAGAAACUUAGUCUCCUACAAUCAGAAUUUUGAUGAAAAUUGUAGUACUAAUUAAGCAGUGUGUAAAGCAUCCCUAGCUAAGAGAUGUAACUUCAGCUACAAGAACUGAUGCAAGAUCAGGAUUCUUAGCAUUAGUAAAGACAUGAUUACCCUAUGAGUUUUUGAAAUUUAAAGUCUAUAGAAGCUACAUUUUGCUUGACAUAACCAUUAAAUUUCAUUCUAAUUUGUUUGUGAUCUGGAAGAUUCUAUUUGAACUGAAAAUACGUAGAAACUUUGGAAUGAGAAAACUUCAAGUUGGCCUCUUGCAGUAAUAACCUCCCAAAGUAGUAGCCCAAAAAAGGUUUUGAGCAAGUAAUUGUUGAAAGACCCUAAAUGUAAUUAAUAUGUCAAAUAGACCAAGUAAGCUAGCAGUACAAUUUGAGCAAUAGAAUUUGCAAGUAUUGUGGACAUAUUUGAAAGGAACGGAUCUCAAAUAAAAAAAAUGAUAAAUAAAAUAUAACUUAUAAAUUGAUAUGUAUCAUUCCCAAUUAUAGUAUCGAAGUCUUUUAUGAUUACAACCCAACACAUACGGGUAGUUAGGUUGAGACAAUAUCGGUACAAUGAUUUUUCAUGGACCACGCUUGUCGCGCUUUAACAUGGUAUAAGAGCAUGACGUCCCUCUCUAUCUAAUUACUUCUCCAAUUUUCAUGGGCUCGAUUUGGAUUCCUUCUCUACCCCGGACCUAGAUUUAGGUUACACGUGAGUAUUGGAGACGAAUAGAACCCACAUUAGAAAAUUGAUAAAUAAAAUAUAACUUCUACUUAUUGACCUUUGACCGACAUUAGGUACGAAACUAUAUAAUCGUGACAUUUUAGGUUGUAACCAUUUCAUGCUUAACUCCCUAACUUCUAGAGCUUUUCGCCUUUGGUUCAUGUUUUAAUGAAAAAUUAUACAAUGUGUUAAUGCAUGUCAUGCAUCAACUUAGUCCUAAAGUUGUAAAAUUGGUCGUUAAAGUAAUAAUAUUAGUCCAUAAAGUUGUAACUGAGUCUUUAAAGUUAUAAAAACUCAUAUUUACAACAUUAGUCCUCUAAGUGGUAAAAUGUGUCGUUAAAGUGGUAAUUGAGUUCUCAAAGUGAUAAAAAAAGAGUUGAUGCAACUUUGAGGACUCAAUUACCACUUUAAAGACACAUUUUACCACUUAGAGGACUAAUGUUGUAAAUAUGAGUUUUUACAACUUUAAGGACUCAAUUACAACUUUGAAGACCAAUAUUACUACUUUGAUGACUCAUUUUACAACUUUAGGUUCAAGUUGAUACAUGACAUGCAUUAACACAUCAUAGCCUUACCUUGUUUUAGUAGCCUUGAUAAGGUGUUAGUUCAUGAAGUAGAGAGAGUUCAUGUUUGUCUUAAUUAGAAAUGUGACUACCCCUUGAGGAAGUUUGGCUUAGUGGUCUUGACCAGCAUUAAGUAUGGAAUUUGGUACUCAUGAAGAUAUAUUUCUUUACUUGAAAUAUUUUUCGUUGGAUUGAAAUUGCUAGAACGAUCUUUAGUACCCAAAUCUCUCUCUUUUAAUUUUCUUCAUUUUUUGAUCAAUUACAUUUUUUAUAUUUUCACUUAAAAAUUGAAAUCACAAUUUCAAAAAUUUCGACUAAUUGUAAAUAGUCAUCACUAACCUUGGUGCGGGCCGAGGCCCUUCUAAGUGUAAAUUGAGACAAUAUCAAGCUAGAAUGACGAGCCACAUUUUUUGCUGUUUAACAGAUACAUUGAGAUUGUUAAACAAAAGCCUCAUAGGUUGAUGUUGAGUCUCCAAAACAAAACAAAAAGCUCAGGAGGAAUAAAAUUUGCUUACUCCUCAAAAGACUAAAACCAUUCAUGGUUCAAAAUCAAAAGGUCAUUGACCAUUCGACAGAAUUUAUACAUCUACAUUGUUCAAAUGGUCACAUGAUUCUCUUCAGAAAAAAGAAUGGUCAAAUGAUUUAUGGUAAACAACUGUUUGCAGAGAUAAACUUUGAUCUGGGAUCUAAUGUUGAAUGAAUGCCUUGUAAAACCAGUACUAAGAAUCUUAACAAUCCACCAGCACCAUGACCCUCAAAAUGCUACGUUCAAGACAUAAUUAACUUCUUCACAGGUUAGGAAUCUAGAAAUUAAGAAGCUAGAUAUGAAGUGGAUUAAGUUGUGCAAUAACAAAAUUAAACACACCUGAAAUGAUCAUUAUUCAGUAGAAAGGUUGACACACUAUCAAACUCAAGUUACAACUUGCAAGUUUCUGGCCUGUUUUUCUAUUAUUGCCUAUGUAAAUUAAGCUCCCAGUCACCUCCGAAUUCUAAAGUUGAUCAAUCAGAAAUCGGAUUAUUUCAGAUUUGAAUGAGAGAAAGGAGGAAGAUAAGAAAAUAACAAGGGCCAUCCCACCUCUAACCAAACACCUACUUGUACUUCUACCGCAAUCUUGAUUAAUUAUUUGUUUAAUCACCAAACCAUGGUAAAAUUUAUCUCUGAGGAGGAUCGACUGUCCGAACAUUUGCACCUGUCAUUCCUUCAAUUCGGUCUUUGGUUAUCUCCACAAAAUGACCCACUAUUUCAUGGAACUGUUUGAGCCCUGACAGUGGGAGAAUUAUGGAUGACCUAUCAGAGCCUGCAACCUGCAACAAUUCAAAUAAAUUUUGAGUAAAAAAAUAUGAUUUGGUAUCAGGAACCUUCAAUAAAGAUCAGAAAGGAAAAGCAAAUCCUUUUGGGGCCUAAUGCGUAACAGUUAUUGAAGCUUACCUCUGAUAUUCUUAGGAAAUGUCCCCUGUUAUUGUUUCCAAGAUCAAAGAAGAAUCUCUUUUGAUCAGCUCUAAUCACUUUAGAAACCCCCAUGUUACCGAUUUCAUCUUGAGCCGGCAACUCUGUGGACCGGUCAACAUUCAGUUCAGAAGUUGGCACAGUUUGGCUACUGUGGCCAGAUAUGAAGCCGGCGCCUACAUCAUCUGAAAGCCCAACAAGUCGCUCUGAAGAUUCAGAACUUUGCUGCUGUGGCAUUGCACACAGCAAGGUGGAAAUUAGACACAUAUGAGAUGCUCCAAGAAGAAAAACUGGAAUCAACUAAACAGUUGAAGCACUAAAUGCAUUAAACACUAAGGCACCUGAUUAGGCAGUAUAAAAAGCCUUGAUGCUUCAUUGAUCUCAGCCAAAAUGUUCCUAAAUGCUGCCCACCCUUCAUCCCGGGUGCUCCCUGCAGGAACAAUGAUAGUACUUCGAUUUCUACUAACAGAAGCUUCAGAUACCUGCAUCAACAAAUGUAUAAGAGUGGCGACAAUUCAAGAACAAGACGCUGGAGUUUCACCCUAGCAUCAUUUCCCAAAGAAAACAUUCAGUGCCAAAAAAGAAAAGGAGAUAAUUAUCCAAUCAACACAGAUAGCUUCAAAAAUUUGUUGCUCAACAGAUAUAAGUUAAGGGAUAACACCCUGGUCUUUGCCAAGAGCUCAUGUGAAUGGGAAGUUUUGGCACCUUGAUCUCAGUUAUGCACUAUUAUUAACCUUGAAGAAAAAGAUUGGAAGAAGGAUCAGAGUUCCGUGCCCAAAUUUGGAAGCUAACUUAAGACAAUCAUUAUUCAAAAUUUCUACCCACUUCAAUUCUCAAUGGCAGCAAUUUCUUUUAAGAAUCACACUGCAGCCACUGCAUAAGGGUUGCGAUGAUUGAUGUUUAGACCAGUGCCUAUUCUCAGGUGCUUAGGUUGACUAAUAUUGCUUAAUACUCCAUGUGAACAAUAAAUAAGCAGGCUUGGAUAAAAAGCUCGAGAUAAGGAAAAAUGUGAGGUUUAAAUUAUUCAACAGUAGAAAAUUCAUAAUUAGAUACAUAGCACAUUUAGCUGAAUUAUUAAGGCUUCAUCUCUACCGAGCAUGCACUCAUGAAACAAGGCAGCGAUCAAUUGCAAGCAAAAACACUUGUUUCUUUCUCCAAUUUUCCCUUUAUUAGUUGCACAUGCAGAGAUGAGAAUUGAAAAUGAAGUUGCAGAAAGUGACCAUGUUCUUGAUUAUAAGUCUAAAACUAAAAAUAAACCCUCCCAAUGCAGAAUAUGUGGCAGUGUAGGAACUUAUGAUGCAGGACACACGAAGGGGUUGUGAAUCUAACGUACUUGGCUUUACAUGCACCCUGCAUAAGAUCGUAUUUGUUUUGGAUACAUGUUUCUGUAACUGAAAAGAAUAUGCAUUUACCCUAAAAACAGGAAAGAAAAAAGCAGAAAAGGAUAAAACCUAAACCAGAUCGUUUUUCUACUCUUAUCGAUCCUCCUCCUCGAUUCUUAUCUGCGUUCUCCUCCUUACAGAAAAGUCUAAAGCCUUUUAAUGUUUAAUCUUCUUAUUUUCUAAUUUUAAAUAAAUGAUAAUUAAUAUAUUUAAUUGUGGUAUCCUUUCCCUACACGUAUCCUAAAACAUUUAAGAUUUUUCUACUGUACCAUAUAUGAUCAAAUUUUCAUCCGACAUUAUGGCAAAAAAAAAAAUGAAAGAGGAAAAGCGAGAGAAGACAAUCCAAGAAGGAUUUUGUUUUUCUGAGUAGUUUAGGUAUUCAUGUGGGUUCAAAUCUUGAUGAAAUUUGGGCUACAUGGGGAUCAAAUUUGUUAUUUGAAAAUACUUUAAAUCCUUGUACAAAGGAGCUGACUUAUGUCUCAUAUGAAAUACAAACAAAGAAUGUAAACCUAGAUAUACAAAAGAGAUCCAAACAUCAACUAAACACAAUGAAGGGAACAUAAAUAACAUAAAAUGAUUGCAUGUGGGAUCAUAGUUGAAUGAUACCAUCAACUGUGCCCUAAACAUACACUCAUCUCCAAUAUUGUUACAUAAUUUUAUGUUUUUCCUUCAAAUCUGCCCCAAGUUUAUAGAGGAUUUUACAUACACUAAAUACACAACUACUGUUCACACUCAGAAAGCCAAUCUAAUCCCACAGCAGUCUGUCGGACACUACACUUAAAUUUCUAUUCAUUUCUAAAAGUCCUAAUUGCAUACCCCUAGACUUUAGUGGAUUUUGUAAAGACUUUUUAAAAUCCUAAUUGAAUACACCUAGACUUUUAUGGACUAUUAUAAGUCUGUAUUGAAUACACCUGGACUUUCAGAUUCCAUGGACUUCUUUAGAAUUGCCACUAAAUUAAUAGCCUUGAGAUUAGCAAAAAGUGUUGUUUAAUCGAGAUUAUUAAAUUAUCGAGAUGUUAGCUGUGUAUUUAUCAAAACUUAUGCAAAAAAAAAAAUCUGGGCAAAAGAAAAAACUUCAAAGAAAAAUUAAAAUAAAAGAGUAGCUCCCAUGAGAGGAGGCGAAGGAGCAGAGGUGUUGCAAAAUGAUCUCUUUGGACACCAGUUAUAUGAGGAUUAUGAGCUAACUUCCCAAAACAAGAAGAUAAAAAAGGGGAUCAACUUCUGAGAAAUUUCAGUAACUCAUGCUCUUGAGCUUGCACACUAACGAAAGAGAAUAGAACUCAAAACAGGGCAGUAUGAAAUCAAGCUUAUCAUUUUCUCGUUGUUAACAACCUUUGUGCCCUCAUUGCUCAGCAAAAUAUCAUAUGCUAGACCCACAUCCAAUUUCAAUAAAUGUCAUUUCUCGUUGUUAACAAUCUUUGUGCUCUCAUUGCUAUUUGCUACAUCAAAAUAUCAUAUGCUAGACCCACAAUCCAUUUCCAUGCCUCUGAUAUAUGGUAAGAAGAUGGAAGGAACAACAAUGUCAAGGUCAAGUACUCCAGCAUGCAAUACAAAGUACAUGGAAUGAACAGCAAAAGAAUCAACUCAACACAGAUAAAAUACACAUAUAUGGGAAUGUAAUUGUUUAUGUACAAGAUUUUCCUUUCUUUUCUUUUCUUGUUUUAGUAAAUACCAGAAGCUUAGAAUUUAUCAACAGGUACACAUAUCUGAUUGUAAAGGAUGAUUGGCUUAGGGUCAGGUUAGAAAAUCCCCGCACGCAAACAAACUGAGUAGUGCUCGGUUACAGUCCUUAGCAUUGUAAAUGUUCCUAUAUGUAAUUAAAAGGUAUUGAAUUGACCCGGAGAUGCUAGGGACUGAAGUACUGGCAAUUCAUUCUAGACAUGUCAGUAAUUCUACAAUGUACAGUACAGUAUAAAGGAAUUACUGUAUUGGCAGGAAUUUAUAGCAUCGUGCAGUAAGAAAAUACAGAUAUAGGAAUUAACGGGAGAAAGAACCUUCAAGAAGCGGCCCCUGCGGUUCUCGCCGAUAUCAAAGUAGAAGACCUGAAGACAAAGGCGAGAAAAAAAGAUCAUGAUCAGAGAGAGAGAGAGGGCAGAGAGAGAGAGAGAGAGAGAGAGAGAGAGAGAGAGAGAGAGAGUCGUCGUNNNNNNNNNNNNNNNNNNNNCCUAUCCCCUGUGUGCCUUGGUGUCGAGCUGCAAUUCCUUGCUGAAGACAUCCUGAUCCUCCGAAUUGACAUAGUAAUUGAAGAGAUCGAGGAACCAUGAGAUGCCGGAGAAGGGAACGAUGAUGGUGGACCUGGUGGCUGAAGUCUUUUCAGAGAUUUUGAGAUAACGACCGCGAGGGUUCUCUUUGAGAUCGAAGUAGAAUAGCUUGUGCUCAACCUGAAGCGUCUUACAGAGCAGCUCCACGUCAUUUCCUCCACCGCCGCCGCCACUGCCACCUCCUCCUCCCGAAUUCCCUUCCAUUUCAAAUUGGAGCGGGACUCUCUCCAAGUCAAAGCACCUCAGCUUCCUCUCCUUCCCACGCCUCAACUAAACUAUGGGUGAUAGCCUGGUGAGGGUGCUCUGCUCAGAUCUCAAAGCACCUCAGCUUCAAUUCCUCGAUUGCUCUUACCUGUACUAGUAGUAGUAGUGAAUUUUGCAAACUAGGGUUUUGGGAUGUGAGGGGGAAAUUGACCCACCCAGUCUCUACUCCACUGUCGAUCCCUUUCCCUAUUUUUAAUAAAUAUCAAGUAUUCACCCUUUUACUUUAUCAUUAUUAUUAGAGAAAACUUUACAAAGGUACCCCAAGUAUAGAUCAUUCAUCAUUUUAGGAUAUCAAUUUCAAAAAUUAUCAUAUUGGCACACCAACAUUACUAAUGUGAGUAAUGUCACAUCUUCAUUUUUCAAGUGUGCUUGGCCGACUUCAGGUUGAUCUUUCAAUGAUCUUUUAUCUCUUCACAUUUGUAUGUCCUUAUGAGGUGAAGGAUGCCUGCCCAUGUCAAGUGGACGAAUACCGAGACGUCAGUUGAAGAAAGUCUAAGACGAGAUUAAAAAUUUCACCCAGCAGGGGAGUUGGACGCCUACCAUCAAGUGAAGGAAGCCCAAAGGAGUUGGACGCCUACCAUCAAGUGAAGGAAGCCCAAAAGCAAUAUAUCAAUUUCAUCAAACAAAUGAACGUGAAGGCCGAACAUCAACCGAAGGAAGUUCGAGGCGAGAUGAUCAGUUUCACCCAACAAGAGAGAGAGAGAGAGAGAGAGAGAGAGAGAGAGAGUUACCAUUUGUAGGCUGGAGGUGCUUGAGACCUUUCCUCUUCUUUGAUGUGGGAGUGUGGGACUGAUGUCCCAACUUCUACCUCCGCUGGGCGGUAUUGGCGGCGUGCGUGAGGGCGCGUCGUGACGCCAAUUAUGGAGCGGCUAACGGCGUUCUGGAGCUGUUGCUGUUGUCUUGCCAUUAGUGGUCUUAAUUCGUGCGAGUUUGGCAGUUAUGCCUAGUCUAAGUGUGGGUAAAGUAUGUUGAUUAGGCAUACGUGCCUACAAAGCUGGUCUGCUUCAACUAAUUUAUCAAGACACAUUGGCAGGUAUUUGAUCCCGUUAAGUGCAAGACAUAGUUUGGGUCUUUUAUACAUGGACGAGAAGCCAAGGGCGGUGUGACACAUAGAUCAACACAUUUUGGUAGCUAAUCUCAUGUUUCUAUCUAUCUAUUACAAUUAAACCUCAAUAAAUUAAUAGACUUGAGAUUGGCAAAAAAUAUUAGUCAAGGUUAUUAAAUUAUCGAGGUUAAUUUUGCACUGAUUUUGUAUUUCGGGACAGGCAAAACAUAUUAUUAAUAGCUAUUAUUUUUAACAUUAUUUUUGACAAAAAUUUUGACACUCUUUAAUAACUAUUAGAAUUUAAAAAAUCAAUGGUCUAAAUUAAUUGGGAGGCCAUUAAUUGUGAUUAUAAUUUUAUCGUAUAAUUAAGUGAUAACAAAAGAAACAUAGAGCAUGGAUUACAAUUCGUGUAGAUUUCACUCCCCUUGUAUGUCGAGGGUACGCACUGCUGACUUUAGCAACGGAAUGGAGGUGAUGUCCUUCCUGGUGAGGGGGUGCUACAGCUUGAAACACAUCCAGCAAGCUCAUGGGCUGAUGGUAACCCUAGGCCUUGAGGAGGCUCGAUUCAUCGAGGCCUGCUCUUCUCUUGGCUUCUCGAGCUACGCCUGCUCCGUCUUCACCCGCAAUCCGCAGCCAAACAUUAAUCUCUACAACACCAUGAUCAAGGCUCUACCUCCCUCCGAUGCCAUUUCCGUCUAUACCAGUAUUCAAGCAGCCGGGUUGCGCCCCGAUACCUACUCGGUCCCCUUGGUGCUCAAGGCCGUGGUUCGCCUGGGCGCAGUUGGAAUAGGUAGACAGGUGCACUGCCAUAGCAUCGUCACUGGGUUGGACACCCAUGUCAGCGUGGUCACUGCCCUCAUUCACAUGUACUCCUCUUGUGGCUCCGUUUUCGACGCUCGCAGAUUGUUCGACGGAGCUGCCUUCAGGGAUGUCGCUCUCUGGAACGCAAUGAUCGCCGGAUAUGCGAAACUGGGUCAUGUAGAUAGUGCCCGCCAUGUGUUCGAAACAAUGCCCCUUAAUAAUAGCAAUGUCAUUUCUUGGACUGCUCUCAUUGCCGGAUAUGCUCAGGUCAACCGUCCCACCGAAGCCAUCAUGGUCUUCCGGAGAAUGCAGCUUCACAAUGUUCAGCCUGAUGAGAUAGCGAUGCUGGCCGCGCUCUCUGCUUGUGCCCAGUUAGGUGCCCUCCGUCUCGGGGAGUGGAUCCAUAACUACAUUCAGAAACAUGGAUUUCGUGAGCUGUCUUCUCUCAACAAUGCUCUCAUAGACAUGUACGCCAAGUCGGGUAACAUAAGAAAAGCCCUUCAAGUUUUCCAUAGCACCAAUCAUAAAACUGUGAUAACUUGGACGACCAUGAUAGCUGGACUUGCCCUGCAUGGUCUUGGAACACAAGCCCUUGACAUGUUUUCUCAAAUGGAAAGGGCUCAAAUCGCACCCAACCACAUUACUUUCAUUGCCAUCCUUUCUGCUUGUAGCCAUGCCCACUUGGUUCAAACGGGCCUUCGCUAUUUUGACAUCAUGGUUUCAAGGUAUCGGAUUCAACCCAAAAUCAUGCACUAUGGCUGCAUGGUUGAUCUACUUGGGCGUGCCGGUUAUCUUCAAGAGGCACAACAACUUGUUAGGCAGAUGCCAUUUGAAGCAAAUGCGGCUAUAUGGGGAUCUCUUCUUGCUGCUUCAAACAUUCAUGGAAAUGAUGAGCUUGGGGAGCAUGCUUUACAGAAUCUAAUAAAGUUAGAGCCCCAGAAUAGUGGAAAUUAUUCACUUUUGUCUAAUACAUAUACUGCUCUGGGUAGGUGGAAUGAUUCUAGGAUGCUAAGGAAAGUGAUGAGGGACAAUGGUGUGAAGAAGAUGCCAGGCAGGAGUUCCAUAGAAGUGAAUAGCAGAGUUCAUGGAUUCAUUGCAGGAGACAAAUCACAUUCCGAGAGAGAAAAGAUUUAUGAAGUCCUUUACAAGCUUCUCUCACAGUCUACGUUGGCUUGCCAUCCGCAACAAGACUGUGGGGAGCUGCUUGAAUUCGAUGCAUAGGCCACUGGACACUAUGUCAUAUGUCAUUCCUACUCAAUUAAUCUGUGCAACAUUUAGGUUCUUAACACUUUCAGAAUCUGAUCUUACUUGGGAUGUUGGUUGUCAGUGGAGGAGGUUUGCUGCAUCAGGAUAUCUGUACCAGCCUUUUCAUCGCCAAGAAGGUAUUGUAUUUCCAAGUUUCUGACUUCUGUAUUUUGAGCUGCUGAUAGAAUAGAUAGUAGUACCACAAUAUGCAAGCAUGCAUAUGCACACUCACUCACUCACUCUACACAAGCAUUAUAUGAAGGAAUUUUGCUAGCCAUUAACAAAUUGUAGCAUAAAUAAGGGGAUCUUAAACUGGACCAACUAUGCUGGGUUAUGAGAAGAGGGUUAUGAUGGCAGGUUGACGUGGACGUUCAAGUGCUAAGUUCAUUGGUUUUCUGUGUAUAUACAUGUAUGCCCACCCGCCCGCCCGCCCCCCCCCCCCCCCCCCCCCCCCCCCCAAACCACACGCGCACACACACUCAACGUUUCUUACCAUCUCUCGAUUUCACCUCUCUUCAUUCUCUACUAAUAGAACCCUAAAAAUGAUAUGAGAGAAAUAACCAAAGCAGUCCAGAACAACCUGAACACACUGAAAGCUUCAGAGGCAAUUAAGAUUUUUAUUUAUCAUCAAAGGAACAACCUGGUAUUUAAUCAAACUUAAAGGAAUGUCACUUUAUUUCAUUAAAUUUUUUACACCUUGGCUGGACAGGUCCUCAUAAUUUUGAUUAUAUUCCCCUACUGUACCUUCUUCAGAGCAUUAAACCAAGGAAGAAUUCCUGCUCAAAUCCCAAGUCAUGAAAUCCUAAUCCUAGAAGAGCACUGGCCCAUAAUAUCUGAAUUUUCUGUUGAAGAAGCCGGCACGUUCCUGAUAAAAACAGAGCAACAGAGAAUUGUGAAGACAAGCACUAUUGCGUAAUUAUUAGGAGAUGAAUUAUUUGCAAAAAGAGAAAGUAUUUUUCAGAAAGAUAGAGCAAGAUUGGUAAAUUUUCUACAUAUCUCUUACCUAAGUGCACAUCAUUUUCUUGUGAUUUUGUCCGCUGUUGUGGCUUGACUGGUUCCUCAGGGAUUUCAAUUUUCAUUAGCAAAGCUUUUUGAUACCUCACUUUUUGUUGGCCAGGCAUUGUACCUUCUCCAGACCUCUGAGAUAAUUUUUCUAGGUCUUCCUUUUCACUAUUGUCCACACCUGUUGCGGUAGGCAACUGUUGGCAGCCUGACUUUUGUUCAAUUCUUGAAAUUGAGAUAUUAGAAUCUUGUGUCGAGUCCAAAAUACUAGAAGCUAAAUCAACGUUAGAAAUUUGACACCAAUUGCUGUUGUUAGAUAAGGAACUGUCUGAGCAUUCUGCUUCACCAAAUACUGCCUGCAUUGUGGAUAAACAGUCGACUCCAUUAUCAUCUUGAUUCGAAUUGAGAUUGCUGCACCAAAUAUCAGGUGAAUAGAUACUGCUGAGUAUGUGUUUCUCUAUCAGCACAUCAUCUAGUUUGUCUUUUAUAUUUUUCCUUGUCUCCUUAAAUAUUCCAUCCAAUGAAAAAUCAGAGUUACAUUUUGUGUCCAUAUUGUCAUUGACAAUCAUAUUUGCAGGAGGCUUGCUAAUAAUCAUUUCGUGCAUGAACAUUUGAGAACAAUCCACAUGCACAUGUUUCUCCGAUUUGUUGUGGUUGACAAUCUGCUCCGCCGCAAACUUGUAAUUAUUAACUUUCUCAUCCUGGAAAUUUUCUGUUUCUUUGUGUCCUUUACACAUUAGUUUCUUCUCUGGGGUAGGAAUAUCUAGAACUCUUUUGUUCCUAUGAACAUGACUCCUGAUAGCUGAUGCAUUCUUCUGGCAUAACCACUUAUCAACCUCCAAAUGUUUUGAAGAGCAAGCAUUGUUUUUAUCUCCCUUUUCACUUCCCUCACCAUCAAAGAGGUGAUAUUUGUGCUCAUUCAAGCAUUUUGGUGAUGGUACCUGGUCUGAGGAAACAAACUCUUUAAUAUCAUAUUCUGAUAUAUCUUGACUGUAAUUUGUCUCAACAUCUGCACUGUUGUUCACAGUCAAAGGCAAUGAACAGCUAUUUCUGGAAAUACUGCCUUCUGAAUUGUUUCCCGCAAUACUCUUUACAGGAAAAUUCACAGAUUUAGCAUAGGAAUUGAAUGGUCUUCUCCUUCUUGCAGGGAAUCUCAGUUUCUCAUCAGUACUUAGGAGCUGGUCUGAUCCGGAUUUUCUUCUGCUGCAAACAGUAGGUCUCAUAAACCUUGGUACCUGGGACAAGGGAGGUGCUGAGAUAUAUCCAGUGUUUUUCCUGUUUGUUUCAAGAUUAGACUGGGGCACUUCGUUCACUAACUGGUAUGCAUCCACUGAAUUAUCCAGUUGCUCAGUGGAACAGGCAGCUGUCUUCCUUAGAUUUUGAAGCUCCUGAGUUGACUGCUUGAUACUCAUCCUAACAUCCUGGCUCUCAACUUCAAUCUUGUUCAUCAUUUCUUGCAGAUUCAACAUUGCAACUUCCUUCUCCCUUUGUUCCUGAUUUCAGUUUUCCAGUCAUAAAGGCAUUGGAUUUCACAAAUUAACAUAAACAGAAGCUGAGAUGAGGUUCUGAAUUAGUUACUCGUAUUCUCAUGGCAAGCUAAACAGGUAAUGCAGUUGCAUUAAGAUUUUUCCAUUCUCUUUCAAAGUACCGUUACUUAAAUUGGUGCUUUUUCACACCAAUAUUUCUUACUUGUGAAGUUGUGAUACUAUUACAUGACUUUUAGCACAUGUAUCAUUUCAGGUCUAUCCACUCAUAGCAUAUUAGAUUUUACAUAAAUAAAACAAGAAUUAAAUUCAGUUUACCCCCAUGAAGUUUGAAAGCAACUUCACGUUAAUCCCUAUACUUUCAAUUUCAUCAGUUUACCCCUCAAACUUUUGAAUUUUCCUCAAGCGUGACCAAAUGUCCUAUAUUCUGUCCAAAUCAGACGUUAACUGUUGAUAAUUUUAACCUUAACUGUGAGGCCAAUAUCUAGAAUUUGGACAAAUCGGACCUUAUAUGUCCAAAUCGAACCUUAACUGCUGAUAAUUAAAGGUCAAUUCAAACGGAAUAUGAGAAUUUAGACACGGCAGACAGAAAUUGAAGAGUUCAAGGGGUAAACUGAUGAAAAUAAAAGUGUAGGGACUAACAUGAAGUCACCCCCAAACCACAAGGGGGUAAACUGAAUUUAAUUCAUAAAACAAUUAAAGAAACAAACAAGUUGAAUGAACAGACCUCAAUCUUUAAUUUACCCAAAUUUAUUUAGGGUAUUGCUAUUAACACACCCCUUUUUGCUAUUAGUAAUAAAACUUGUAUUUCUUAUUAAAUUACAAUAAUUCCAUCUAAACGGGCUAUAACCUUGCAUAAUCCAUAAAAGUAAAUUUAGAUAUGAAAAACUUCACCGGCAAAUGUAAGGGUAGGGUGGGUUAAGGGAUUUAAAAAUAAAAAAUAUAUAUAUAGAUCUGAAAAACAAUCUGAUCAUGAAAAGUUUCUCAGUAGUUUGUCAAAUCUACAGUAUGUUGGUAGGUCAAUAAACAGGCAAAAGAAACAUCUGUUAAAGAUCCUAAUUCUACAGAAGAAGAAAUGUAAAGAACAGAUUGGCGCAGGUACUUACAGUUGAGUCUGUAUUCCCUAGAUGAAUACUUCUCGCUCUUGUUGCAAAGUUCAAAGAACAUACUGUUUCACAGAGAUCUUCUUCUUUAGGACUUACAUGGACAAGCAUCAGAGUUUUUGAGUCCCUUCCUGAAGAUUACAAAAAAUAAAAAAUCAAGGGAAUGAUUGAUAUUUGAGCCAGAAUGAUAAAUAGAAAAAGUGAAGAAUAAACUAUAAAAGAGCAGACAAAAGAAAGAUUGGUAUAUUGAUAAUAUAAGUUUUGUCAUCCCCUACGCAGGCAGUUAUUGGAAUAAUAUCCAUUUUGCAUAGUACAUAUAGCCAUUUACUGCAUGCCUGGUUUCUUUUUUUAGCCAAAAACUUAUUUAGUGGCAGAUCUUGUAAAGUAACAACUGAACAGCCCUCGUGUAUAUAGUAGAGAUUUUGACUAGGGAAUGUUGUUACUUGGUAGUCACUACAAAUAAGGAUGUUACUGGAGUCCACUGAAGUAAAGUGAUUACCAAGAGAGUCCUUCAGAACUUGUGUCAGCUUGCUGUUCCUGUCAUUAGUAGAGAAAAAAAUAUAUUCAGGUAUUAGUUCAUAUUGCUGCAGCCUCCUUUUCGUAGAUUACCUAAGUAUACAAAGAAAGUAAACCAUAGCUGAUCGAAGCAUACAUGCUAAGAAGCUAUUAGGAUUGAGAAGUCGUUUUACUUAAAGCAAGUUGGUUUCUUUUAUAGCAUUCUUAUGGAUUUGAUUAAUAAAACAGGAGAUAUGCUGCUGCUCACCAAUGGUAGGAUUAAUGAACAAUAACCCAUUUAGAAUUUGAGUUACCUAUAAGGUACAUGACCCUUUCUGAGUUGAAGGGCAUUGAUGACAUCUCCCAGAGAGGAAAGUGACAAGUUAAUGGCUUUUCCUUCUUCUAGUCUUCUCCCGGAUGCCUUUGUCUUCAGCAAACGCUCACUUCCCCCAAGAUCGACAAACCAAAUUUUAUUUGUUUCCCUUCGCCUCUCAGGCGUUCCGCUACAUGUGAUUGAUAUGCGAAUCAAGCUGUUAAAACAGAAAUAAGAAUGAUCAUCUGAGGACACAAUUUUCUGUUCUGGAUAUCCAAACUUAGUAACCAAAGCUAAAGAUUUGAUUACCAGUGGGAUCUGCUAGAGGUAAUGUUACAAUUUGUCAAUGCUGUUGACCUGAACCGGCACCCUAAUCGGUAUAGCUUUAGAGCUUGGGUCAAGUCACUCACUCGAAUAGCCACAAGAUUUUCAAUUUCAAUCUCACCCUUUGGAUCUGUGUGGAUCAAGAGGCUGUUCAAAUAAAAGUAUGAUUAUUUCAGAAGGCAAAGCUUGGCUUGAGACAUAACAACUAACAAAGAAAGCAAGGGAGUUGCUAAGCCAAUAACAUUUCAUGUGUGUAAGUAGAGAAUGAGAGGAUUCAUACAUGUAAUUUACUGGGUUUUUCAAGUUUCAGCCAUAUAAGUAUACUCUUACCAUGGCAUUGGAUCCAUUGGCUUUCUUGGUUGAGGGAUUAGCAGGUCUCUUAGAUUCCCCAUGUAAAUCUCUAGCAUACUGAAGCUAAAGAGAUGCACAUGGUUGCUAUCCAUUGCUUGCUUAAACAGUGCUUCAAUUGCACGGGGCACCACUCCAGGAGAUUCUGGAAUUCCUUCCUACAAAAUUCAGACCAUAACCAGUACAUUUAGAAGUUCAGAACUACCAUAAAUGUCAUCUUAAGUCACUCUAAUUCCGAAUAUUUUCAGAAAGCAUGCAUGCAAUUGAGACUGUCCUGAGUAGUAAUCCCUCACCAUGGUAAAGGUUUUCCCUGUCCCUGUCUGUCCGUAUGCAAAGAUGCAAGCGUUAUAGCCAUCCAGUGCUGAUUUGAUUACUGGUUCAACUUCUGAAAAGACUUCAUCUGAAAAUUUUCAACUGUCAUAUUUAGUCACAGACAGAGAGCUAGUUGUGUAGGUUAGCACAUAACUAAUUGCAUGAAGGCUAGGAUAGCCAAAUUUUGCAACCAGUAAGCCUUGAUGUACCUUGUGAUGAGCCGUGGUGGAAAACCUUAUCGAAUGUAUAAUUUUUGUUCUUAUUAUCAGAAAAUCUUAGAAGAACAUUACUUGAAUCCAAAGCUACAACAGGCCUAAAACGGCCGAAGUUCUCCCCCAUUUCAAUGGGUCUUAUACGACAUAACACUCGAAUAUUACCUGCACUGACAAACAUGCUGAGCAUAAUUUGCAAUUUUAGUUGUCACGGUAAAUUCUGCACCAAAUACAAUUGUUCUCUUGUCAAAUUUAGUAAGCAGAAUUGGUUCUUUGACAGGAGAGUAGUUGUACGUGGUGCAGCAUCAUGCUUCCAGAUUACAUUUUAAUAGAUGUCCAUCGAAUAUGACAAACCUUUCAAAUCCAGAAAUUCAUUUAGAAGCUGCUUUCGCUGUCUGUUCAAUUCAUUUAUCCGGGCAGUCAAAACAGCAAGUUCAUCUGCGGCGAAGAGUAGAUGAUGGAGCAUGUGACAGUAUAACAUGCAUCUCAUUUGUUAUUGGUGCAACAGUAUACAAAAAGAAACGCAUGCAGGUAUUUAUACCAAGAAUGUACCUGUAAUCUUUGAGGUACGAUUGCCUAAAUCGUUAUCAGGAUCCUCAGAAGUACUCACUGUGUCUAAAUCUGUGGUUCUUAAGUCGAUUGAUUGCUCUUCAGAAGGCAGGUUUAUUAUUAUAUGACAAACAGAUUUAACCCAACUGGAAGUAAGAUGUGACUUUUGUCCUAGCAGGGAAUGAACUGUUUCAGCAAGGUUGUGCAGAGGCUUUCUUUUUAUUAAUGCCAUAGUUUCCCACUUUCCCCUUCUUCUGGAACUGGAAAUGUAAUGGAAGCCCCUUCGUAUGUGCAAGUGAACUCCGUAUAGUGAACAAUUGAAUAAGUUUCCAACUUCUGCAGCCAUAUAAGGAAUUGGAAGGUGAGAUAGUGCAACCAAAACAAACACAGAAAGAUAAUACGAACAAGUUACUUACCUGAACGCAGGAGCUCACAUCUUCAAAACUCCAGCCAUAUGUGAAAAUGAAUUUCAGAAGUUUUUCUGGACUGCUAAGCCUCAAAGGCCAGAGGAGGUCAAAUGUUGCCUUCCAUCCAGUCAAAAGCUGUGAAUAAGAGGAAAUAUAUUCCCAUUUGAGACCAACAACGUAUUGGCUACUAAGAAAAGAAGGAAGUCCAUAUAUGGAUCUUUUUUAAUGAAAAUUAUAAGUAAAAAAAUCAGAAGAAUGCUGGUUCAAUGCUGAAGGAAGCAUUUACUUUCCUGUUGCACAGAGGACCCAAAGGCUGUUGAAGUUAUCAACACGUAACGGGGAACUGGUGUUUUGUAUUGAGCUAGCUCUGGAAACUAGCUCAUCCUCCUCAUGAGAAAGAAGGCAUCAAACAAGAUUGCAUUUUGUUUCAUUUGUUAAACAGGUCCAGGUAACCAGUGUUGGAUUUUUGCUUCUUGACAAAACCACUUGAAUUGCAUCAGAGCAUCAAAAGCUGGUUGUUGGCGAGGGGCCCAUUUUCAAGUUUGCAUAUGAUUGAUGCAUUUUUCACUCUUUUAUUGUGGAUGGUUGCUCAGGAAUGUAACAGAGCUGUCAUUACUCAUCAGUCAUUACCUUAUAACUUGCCAUUUGAUGGAGCUCAUAAAUCAAGCAAGUGUUCUAUCUGUGUUUGCAAACUACGCCAGCAAAUACCAAUCAAUAGGCUAAACAACAAACUAAACCAAAUUAGACCAAACAACUUCCUUUAAAACUUGACCCCAAAGAACUGUUAGGAAAUUAAUACUUCGGCCAUGCAAGCAGACGCGGAUCUACAACAAGGGUGGGUAGUGCUCAAGCCCAACCAACCGAGCUUUUUUGGGGGAAAAAAAAUAAGUAAAAACUGGCUAUAUUAUGUUUUUUUUUGUAUAAGCAUUUUUGUGCUCAGCCCAAGAACUCCCCAACAUGCUAUGCAUAUAGGCCUCUAUUGAGUCUAUUCUAUGGUUCCUCACUUUCUCUCCCACUUUUCCUUCUAGUUUUCUAGUAUUUUACCUCUUAAAUCUUAAAUUUUUGUCACGUACAACUCUUUUAAUCUACUUCUUUCUCUAUUGAAUAUGAAAUUAUAAGUAUGAAUUAUUGAAGACUCAUUGACGUCUACUUAAAUUUUAAAAAAUGUUUUUUUGGCACCCUUGAAUAUGAAGCCCACCCUAUGAUCGGAUCCUAGAUCCGCCACUGCAUGCAAGUACUAGUAGUAGUCAUGGAAAGAAGAAAUAAAACAACCAAGCCAAGAAGACAAUAAGAUUUUAACGAGGUUCGGUCAAUUUCUUCGCCUACGUCCUUGGAGAGCUUUCAUCUUCACUAUGAGAGAAUUACACAAGUAUAAGAUACAUCACUCAAGUUUCAAGUUUUUACCCAACCCGAGCCCUUGCAUUCAAAAGGAUACCCCAUUGUACACACUCUCUGAACCUAGAAGAUCACUCUACCCAAGAGCUAUACGCACCCUUAAACUCCGGCCAAAACUUCCUUUAAAACUUGACCCCAAAGAACUGUUAGUAAAUUAAUACUCUGGACAUGCAAAGUACUAGUAGUACGUAGGCAUGGAAAGAAGAAAUAAAACAACCAAGCCAAGAAGACAAUAAGAUUUUAACGAGGUUCCGCCAAUUUCUUUGCCUACGUCCUCGGAAAGCUUUCAUCUUCACUAUAAGAGAAUUACGCAAGUACAAGAUAUACCACACAAGUACAAGAUAUACCACUCAAGUACAAGAUAUACCCAACCUGAGCUUUUGCAUCCAAAAGGAUACCCCAUUGUACACCCUCUUUGAACCUAGAAGAUCACUCUACCCCAAGAGCUAUUCACACCUUUAUACUCAACUCCCAAGAGCUAUACACGCUCUUGAACACAACUCCCUCGAUCUUCUACAUCUUAAAGACCCUUGGAGUUCUCUCUCUCUUGUUGUGUUGUUGUUGUUAUGGAUUAGCAAAUGACCUCUCUAUAUAUAGGCCAAGGACUUACUGUCAUUCAAGAACCAACCAUUCAUCUUCCUCAUUAACUCCCUAGGAAGACCAUUCAUAAACCAACCGUCAAUCUCCCUCCUUAACUCCUUAGGAAGGCUAAGAGACAUAUCAUGAAUUUAACCAUGCAUUUAGUCCCAAUGCAUCAACUCCGGCCACCAUAUAUUUAAUUAUGUCAAAUACAUGCACUUAACUACGCAUCAAUUUACCAUGCAUAAAUUACCUUCAUGAAUGCACCAAUCAUUUGUACCAUGCAUUCAUGUCAUGCAUCAUACAUAAUAUCUCCACCACGGAGGGAUAGGCACCAAACCCAACAAGAACCAUACAUGGUACCUUUAAGUGUUUGUUUACUUUAAUGAUUUAUUGACUCGCUCAACUUAGAAAUAUGUUCUGAUGUUGACAGAGUAAUGUGUGAGACUUGAAAUAUUCAUUUAUAUAGUUCAUGUAUACGUAGUAAUUAAACAUGUAACUUCACCUUAUCACCUAACACUUGAUAAAAUUUUGGUUUUUGACAAAUGGUAUUGUAGUCGAAUUCUGUCAAAACAACAUAGUAAGAUAUUGUUCUCUCGUGGUCGUGCCUACACAAUUUGGGAGUCUACGCAUCAAAUAAAACGGUGUGAGCUGGGCAGGAAUAUAGCGGACAAUAAUUUGCUAUGCGGACCGACAAGUUUGGUCCAUUCUCUUUGUGGGAGUUAGGGCAGCAGUGAUUAUGAUGACAACUUUCUAUAGACGUGGGAAAGGGUGUCAUUCUAGCUAUUUGCGUUAUAGCCUUCGGGACAAAGGUGCUUUCAGGAUACAAAUUUGCCGACCAUCUUUAUUUGCCCACCAAAGUGUCCACCCUCUUAGUCUAUUGACACAUAUCCAUUUUAUUAUCAAGAAUAAAGUUAAACAAUCUGAAGAGACAUGUGUUCAAAUUAGUUCUACUUGGAAUAGUGAAAUACGGCUAUGGUAGAAAAAUCACUUUAAUUCAGCAAUGUUAAAGCCCCGAUCAAAGCGGUCAACCUUAAUUACCCUAAAUGUUCCCUAUGGGGAACCCUAUCAUCGGAAGGUAAACAUCUCCUAAUUUUUACAUGGGUGGUUACAUCUCAUCUAUGUGAGAGUGUUAUGUGUGGAAGAAUCAAUCAAACUAGGUCAUAAAGGGGUAGGUAAGAGCGUUUUCGUGUGGUAAGUGACAUUGAAUUAGAGUUGACCGCUUCGAUGAAGCCCCGAACGUUGCCAAAUACAUUUGAAUUUUCUAUCAUAACCGUAUUUUACUAUACCGUUCACAUCAGACGGUUAAAAUUUUAUUUUGUGAAAUUUAGCCGUUAGAAUCACAACGUGCCUACUAAUGUGGUAUAACUUGUUUAGUGAGUUUUAUGUUAAUGUAAAUAUGUGUGAACCAACUAUACAGAGGAAGCAAAAUUUUGAAAAACCUAGUGAAAUAGGAUGUGAUCGUUAUGUGAAAUACGGCUAUGGUUAAAAAAUCACAUAAUUCCGGUAAUGUUUGAUCCCCGAUAGAAACGGUCAACCUUAUUUACGCUUAUUCUUUCUUAUGGGGAGCCCUAUCGUCGGGAGGUGAGCGUUCCUAAAUUUUUACAUGGGUGGUUAUAUCUCAUCUAUGUGAGAGUUUUAUGUGUGGAAGAAUCAAUCAAACUAGGUCAUAUAGGGGUAGGUAAGAGUGUUUUCGUGUGGUAAGUGACGUUGAAUUAGAGUUGACCGCUUCGAUGAAGCCCCGAGUGUUGCCGAAUACAUUUGAAUUUUCUAUAAUAGCCGUAUUUCACUAUACCAAUCAUAUCAGACGGUCAAAAUUUCAUUUUGUGAAAUUUAGUCGUUAGAAUCACAACGUGCGCUACUAAUGUGAUAUAACUUGUUUAGUGGGUUUUAUGCAAGUGUAAAUAUAUGUGAACCAACUAUACAGAGGAAGCAAAAUUUUGAAAAAUCUCGUGAAAUAAGAUGCGAUCAUUAUGGUGAAAUACGGCUAUGGUUGAAAAAUCACAUAUAUUGGUUAACGUCUGGGUCCCAAGAAAAACCGGUCAACCCUUUUUACGCUUAAUCUUCUUUAUGAGGAGUCAUAUCGUCGAGAGGCAACGUCUUUAAAUUUUUACAUGGGUUGCUCCGACUCAUAUAUGUGAGGGUUUAAUGUGUGGAAGACGUGACCAAACUAGGUCACGGAGAGGUAUGUAUGAGCAUUUCCAUGUGAUAAGUGACGUUGUAUUAGAGUUGACCGCUUCGAUCGAGCCCCAAAUAUUGCCGAAUCCAGUUGAAUUUUAUACCAUAGCCAUGGUUCACUAUGAUGAUCAUAUCAGACGGUCGAAUUUUCAAUUUGUGAAUUUUAGUCAUCGGAAUCACAGCGUACCUACUAAUGUGGUAUGACGGUUAUAUAUAAGUGUACAUAUUUGUGAACCACCUCUACAGUGGAAGCAAAAUUUUCAAAAUUCACGUGAAAUAGGAUGUGAUCGAAAUGGUGAAAUACAGUUAUGGUUGAAAAAUCACGUAUUUCGAGUACAUUCCGGGUCCGGAUAUAAGCGGUCAACUUUUUUUACGUUUAUGCUUCCUUAUUGGGAGCCUUAUUGUCAGGAGGUAAACGUCUCUAAAUUUUUACAUGGGUGGUUACGUCUCAUCUAUGUGAAAGUUUAAUGUGUGGAAGAAUCGGCCAAACUAGGUCACGGAGAGGUAGGUGUGAGCAUUUCCAUGUGAUAGGUGACCAUAGAUUAGGGUUGACCGCUUCGAUCAAGCCCCAAACAUUGCCAAAUCCAGUUAAAUUUUAUACCAUAGCCAUAGUUCAUUAUGAUGAUCAUAUCAGACGGUUGAAUUUUCAUUUCAUUUUAUGAAUUUUAGUCAUCAGAAUCACAACGUGCCUACUAGGCUAAAUAGGGGUACAAUCCACAUUCCCAGAACCACAAGCCCAGUCCAAGGCAUUCUGCAAGUCCGUUACAAAAGCUUUACUCGAAGCAAUGCACCAAGUUGUUGUUCCAUUUGAACUGGUAACAUUAGAAUAUGUGGUCGGUCAUAUCAACAACAUUUUUUCCAGUGAAAUGCAGGUUGUAGACGCUUGAACUACUUAUACGACAUAAUUUUUUUUCCCGGUACAUUUUGAGGUAACACAGAAAACCCAUGAAUGAAGAAAGCCAAUUCAAAGCUUACCUACACGAUAAUCCUGAACUACUUACCACAUAUGUUUAUGGAAGUAAACACAACUAUCAUAAAUCUGACAAGUACCUAGUAUAGAGCCUCAAAAUUAAUAGAAAUCCCCUAAGAAACACAUAUACGCAAUUCAUCUUCCAGUUUGGGACUCAUGCAGAUUUGGUAUACAAUGCCAACAAAAUCACAGAAUAUAACUUGCUGCGAAAUUGAACUUCUUAUGCAAAAAACUCCCAACUAUAUCAAGAAAGUUAAAGAAUUUUGGAUCAAAGAAAUAACUUUGUUAACAAAACAUACAGCUGCCCAGUUGACUUCCUAUAACCUAAACACGAGGUUACCAUGUUGAGAAUCCAAAUCUUUUACAUUCUUCAAGUGCAUUAAUACAACAUAUCAGGCAUAUAUGCAGGGUGGUUUCAAAAGAUCAAUAUAGAAAAGGUCCAGAAGUCUAAUAAUAAGAUUGCACGCAAUAUUAUUAUUAUGAUGAAAGACAUUUAAUUGUUCUCUUUUAAUAAUGGGCUGACAUAACAAGUACAACCCCAAAGAAGAGAAGUCAACAAAAUCAAAAUCAAAACAUUGCAGCAGAACUACUCAUCAAAAUAGGCAGAUGAAAAACUAAGUUCAACAGUUAGAUAUGGUCAAAAACUCCUAUGCUGCUUCUUACUUUACAUUCAAUCAUGACUAAGCAUUGCCAUUGCCUUGUUCAAUACCUGAAAUUACACAAACAAAGGGUAAUGAGUUAUGUUGUGGUAAUAGACACAGCAAGCAGUUCAAAAAGCAACUAACAUAAAGAACAAAACAACAAAACACCAUUUUCUAACUCACACACAGCCCAUAUUAUUAACAAACUGAUUUCAGUCCUGUUCAAAACACAAGCUGACAUGAUCAUCACACGUUACAUUUUGUAUCACAUCAAUCUUGCCAUAUCAUAUCACAAUCUCAGCACAUUUGCUUCUACCUUUUUACAACUAAAAAGGGAAAGAUAAAUUCACAAAGGGUUUAUCGGAACAAUCACAUUAUUCCCCUGUGCCCAGACUAGCCUAUGUGCAAAGAGAGCUCACAACAGAAACAAACACAUAGAUACUCAGCAAUUCAAAUAAGAUUUCAAAUAUAAGCACUUAGAUGUGUGGGAUUCUGCAUUACCACAUUCUCCACAAUUACCAAAUAAUGUUCACGCUUAAACAUCAGACUCAAUGAUCAUUAUCAAACACGCUCCCAAUCAGUGACCAUAAUUAUAUUUAUCACAUCACAAUCAUGCAAAUCAAAUCACAGUAUAUAUACACAAUUUCAAUUAUAGUUUCAUACUAAUAACAAACUAACCUUGUACGAAUCAGGUACGACGAUGGUAAAUGAGGGCAGAUGCUUCACCAAAUGCUUCAGUUGCUUUUUGAACAGAUAUCAUGAUGGAGCAACUGUGGAACAGAUAUCAUGAUGGAGCAGCCAAUAUCAGUUGCAUCUAGCUAUCGUAUACAACUCUUAAUGAUGUUUGAAAGAUUUAUGGUGAAAUUUCCAUUUUGUUCAAUGGACUUCAUGUUAGUAGAUAUUAGUUUUAUUUCAAUGCAAACAUGUUUGCAACAUAUCCUAAACAAGAUCAAAAUUUUCCUCUAACCAUAAUCAAACUUAGUUUCAAGAUUAAAAGCCAGUUUAAGGAUGCAUAACAACUUCUAUAUUCAACACACUACUGUUUUGACAUGCAAGCACAAUAUCACCGAAACACUGCUAUAGAAAUUCCUAAACUCUAGCUCUUCAAAACACCAAAAUUGCUGCAGGCCUGCAGCUGAAUCAUGUACAGUGGAUUAUUGUUUUACACUUGCACUGGAAAGCUGAAUCCAAAAAGAACUCAUCCAUAUGAAAUUAAGUAGACGACAUUGCUGAAAAGAAAAUAAGUAACUUACCCAAGGUCUAUAAGUACAGAACUGUACUAAUGCUAAUAUCAAAAUCCAGUCAGUUAUCUUCUCCGUUGUGAACACAACUGGUGGUAAUAAUUCUCCUCGCUGAAUCGGAGACCACCAUCAUCAAGUUCCGGAUCCUCUAAUACAACAAGGAUUAAAUUUCUUGCUCCCUAUACUAUAACCCACUCACCACUGUAAUUAGAAUUGGGUAAAUUUCAUAAUAAGCAAACACUAACCUGUACGAAUCACACACAUCUAGCACUACAAGUUAAUCUCUAACACACACUAGCAAUCUAUUUCACCGUAACUUCAAUAAAACAAUGUCAGCUACUAUGGAUUCACACACAUCUUUAUCAACAAUUUGAAAAAUGAAAUUAGAAAAAUCGGAUUUGCACCAAACAGAGAAAUUCUUAUUGUUUCGUUUUCAGUUCUAACAUUAUGAUCAGAAAUCUCAAUAUCCAAUUGUGAAUAGAGAACUUACAGCUGAAUUUGGAUGUGAGUUGUGCUCCUGAAUUCUGUGUUGUGCUCCAGAUUUGGCUGAGACUACAUAUUCAAAUUGUACAUCUAUUUCAGGCGUGAAGGCUCUGGAUUUCGAUUUCGAUGAGUUCGCCGGCCCUGACUGAAACUUUGGGUUCGACCCGGAAACACCAGCACAAUACAUAAAGCAUUUCAGUGUUCAAUAUAGAGUUGUUCAUGUUAAUCAAAAUUGCAAACCUUAUCAUAUUCAAUUCAACUGAUCGUAAAAGAGAGAUCUCAGACGCAUUUCAUCAAACAGGGUGAGCAAGAUUACAAUAAUAGAAAGGGGAUCGAAAGAGUGUAUAGAAUGAAGAAGGUUACGUACCGAUGAAGGGAAUGAUGGCGGCAACGGCGACGGCGGCAGAGAGGGACAGAGAGAGAGGCAGAGGAGAUGAGUCGAAAUUGGAUGGAGGCCUCGUAGAUAAGCAAUUGACGCCUCUCACAGCCACGAUGGGCGAAGGCGAGUGGGAACUUCUGCCGAACCCAAAUCUCGACCACAGAGAAAACCCUAAAUUUGAUUUCAUAUGAGGUCGAUUCGGCCGAUCCCACGAUAACAAGGCAUGCAAGAGGCGUGCUGCACAGUAGACGGUAAGAACAUCAAUUAGGGGUUGUAGAUCUGAAAACCCCUCCACUGUUUUGGCUUCGGAACCGCGAUUCGUGAUCGUCGCCGCGCUUCAUAGAUAACCAAUGUAAACAUUCGACCAGAACCCACUAACCACCACCUCCCAAUUGGGUUCUAGAUCCCAAACCAAGGGCUGUUGGGCAACAAUUAAGGAUAACCCAAUUGAAUUUCUGUCGCUCGGACGAACGGCUCAAACUACAAACUUUGUUGGACGCAGGCAAACCCUAGAUUUCAAUUCAGAAGAGGAAUCACAACAUAGAGGAAGUCGUCGUGCAACACGCGUGCUGCACAGUACAGACGGUAACAACAUCUUAAACGUAUCGAUACUUGACUUCCCCACUCACGGUACACAACGGAACCGUAUACAAAACGUAUAAAACACCCCGGGUAGACUCACCCCCCGGGUAGACACCAGAACUCGCCCUCUUGUGAUAGCAAAUUAGGAGUUGGAAAGUUUAGGUAUUAAACUAACUUUGACAUAAAAGGAGGGGGGGGGGGGACUAAACUUUUUCUCUAAAUUAAAAUGAUGACAAAGGUACGAUUUGCAUUUUGCAACAAAGGGUGACAUUGAAUCUCACAGUAUUCACAGUAACUUCCACAUGUUCAAUUAGCAGGAGAUGUGUCUCUGGCUAGCUUGGUAAUGAAUAAACACGUCUUAGCCGUCAAGAAAAAGACUUUACCUCCUACGUACAGAUCGACGUACUUUUCUUCCCAUCAUCCUAUUUCUGAUAUUUCUCUUGCUUGCAGACGACUCCAAAAUAUUUUUCGUUAUUAACAUUCAACACGUAAUUGAUGGACUCAUCAUACCCAGAAAAUCAUCCGACGACUCAUCGAUUCUUGCAUGUUACUCCAAACCAUUUGCUAUAUAUAAAGCGAUCUAGUCUGACCGAUCAAUAUCUCGAUCUCUCAUUACAAUUAUUUCAGUAUCACUGAUCUCUUGCUACGUACAUAUAUAUCUGAUCUGAGUGAUCUUGCUGAGUGCCUGAUCUACACAUUUGGAAAGAAAAUGACGUCUGAAGCAACUGUAUCAUCUGCAGAGGAAGUGCAGGCAUAUGGAUGGGCUGCUAGAGAUUCCUCAGGAAUUCUCUCUCCCUUCUACUUCACCAGGAGGUACAUUUGAUCUCGAUCUUCUUCUUAUUUCUUCAAUAUCUCCAUUUAUAUCUAAUUAGGCUUCUUCGAUGCUCGUAUUGUUGUUUGGAUUUUUAUGUUACGUAAAUAAUUUUGCAGGACUAUUGGUAUCAAUGAUAUCAGCAUGAAGAUACUCUACUGUGGUAUUUGCCACUCAGAUCUUCACCUUGCUAAGGACGAAGUCGGAAUGACCAUCUAUCCCAUCGUCCCAGGGUACGUACCCUAGCUAGUAGUUAUUCCGGACUUAAUAUAUUAUUUCUAACAUAUACUUAGGAACACAUAAAAUUUAUGUACUUUUGAUUUUCAUAGACAUGAGAUUGUCGGAGAAGUGACCGGAGUUGGGAGCAACGUGACGAAAUUCAAAGUAGGAGACAUAGCCGGAGUUGGGUGCAUGGUGGGUUCGUGUGGUUCGUGUACUAACUGCACACGAGACUUGGAAAAUUACUGCCCCAAAAUGAUAUGGACCUAUAACAAACACUACCCCGAUGGAUCCAGAACGUUUGGGGGAUACUCCGACAAGCUAGUAGUCGAGGAGCAUUUCGUAGUCCGAAUUCCAGAUAACCUGUCACUGGAAGGUGUUGCACCUUUGCUAUGUGCUGGGAUUACGGUGUACAGCCCUAUGAAACACUUCGGACUUUUUGAGCAUGGUAAGCACUUGGGUGUGGUAGGGCUUGGUGGCUUAGGUCAUUUGGCUGUUAAGUUUGCCAAGGCCGUGGGAAUGAAAGUCACUGUGAUAAGUACCUCCCCUAAUAAGAAGAAGGAAGCAAUGGAACAACUCGGUGUUGACGAUUUUCUUAUCAGUCGCGACCAAGAGCAAUUUCAGGUAAAUGAAACAUUGCAUUGCAAUGUUGCAUUAUAUGAGCUAUUUGUUUGAUUUGUAGAAGCUUUGAUUUGCUUAUGUGCUUACAUAUAUAAAUACAUAAAAUGCAUGUAAUUAAAUAGGCUGCUAUGGAUACAAUGGAUGGUAUCAUCGACACAGUUUCAGCCCCUCAUUCUCUAUUGCCAUUGAUGGACUUGUUGAAGACGGAUGGAAAGCUAAUUGUGGUGGGUGCUCCUCUGCAACCUCCUGAACUACCAGUGUUUCCUUUAAUCAUGGGUAAGAUAAUUUAGUUCUUUUUCUGUUUAGAUGAAAUUAACUAUCAACCUAAUUAAGUUGCAAAAACUUAAUUUGAUGUAACUGUGACUGUUGAAUAGGGAGGAAGUUGAUUGCUGGUAGUGCAAUUGGGGGAAUGAAAGAGACUCAAGAGAUGAUAGACUUUGCAGCAAAGCACAACAUCACGGCCGAUGUCGAAGUCAUUCCAAUGGACUAUGUGAACACUGCUCUUGAACGAGUUGGCAAGGUUGAUGUGAAGUACCGCUUUGUUAUUGAUGUUGCAAACACCCUAAAUUCUCCAUAUUGAUCAAAUUUAGAUGAACAGUUCGGUUUUGGCCUUCUCCGGCCAAUUACUAACUCUUGUAGGUCUUAUUUUGUAAUGUCGAUCAAUCAAGUGUUUUGUUUUUAAAGACUUCUUUUGGGUUUAUAUAAUGGUUUAAAUUCUAAAAUCACUUGCCUCUCGAUCAUAUAUGAUCUGAUCAUAUUUGGAAUGUGUUUCCUGAGUUUUAUUAGUGAGUUCUCUUUAAUUUGCUCGUUCAUCUUUUAAAUUUCAAUGCUGUAACUGUUGCGUGAUUUCAUCAAGUUGCAAUAAAAAUUUACAUAUGAGUUGGACAAAUGGCAUGGGUUCUUUUCAACUGGAGCACAAAAUGGAGCUAAAAGAAAAAUACUUUACUAGUUAUAAGUGCGUAUUUACGAAGAUAUUCAAUAUAUGACCACGUUCACAUUGUAAAUGGAUAUCCAAACUCAAGUUCUAAAGUUUAAAGUAACUACUCUUAAGCACUGGAGUCACAUAAACGUUCUGGAAAAAAAAAUUCGAUCUAUUUUUUAUAAACAAAUAACUGUCACAACAAUUUUUCGGUUGUAGAUCAUGCAAUACUUUUUUGUAGAAUUCGUUUCGAUUUUUGCUUUUGUUAUGUUGAUUCAAUUUCAGGUGCCCAAUCAUCAAUCAGUAAUAGGUUAGAGGUAGGUAAUCAAAUGAUCGAAUACGUAGGUAAUGAUCAAUCAGAGAAAUUUUAAUCGAUCAUAAGCCUUCAGGAAAUUCCCCCAUGUGAUUGAGUGUAGUGUACGUGAAAUAAUUUAUCACUUAGAUUCUUUUCUUUCCCUCAGAAAAUGAUCACUGCAAGAGCUAAGCGGGGAAGCAGCUUAACUGGCGUUGUGGCACUAUCAGUGCAGCAGUAGUAAAAGUGAAUGGAAGAAAGAGAUGGAGGUCAAACCUUCGAAAGUCGUGACCGAGUGUAUACAUGCAUUUUCAGAUACGAACCUCUGUAUUUAUUUAAAAUGUAUGGAUUUUCUUAAUUGACCCAUUUUUAGAUCAUAUUUUCUCAUCUUAACCAUUCACAUUGUAGGUAUAUAUGAGUAAAUCAUCUCUAUAAAAUUUUAGCCAAAUUGAUAAUCAUUAAAGUAUUCAAAAUUGUGAAUUACACGAACGGUUCAUGUUGAAUAGAUUUGGUUCGGUCAUUGUAGUCAUAUAACGAUUAUUAAUUUGGCUGAAAAUUUGUAGAGAUGAUCUACUCAUAUAUACCUAAAAUGUGAACGGUUAAGAUAAGAAAAUAUGAUCUAAAAAUGGGUCAAUUAAGAAAAUCCGUACAUUUUGAAUAAAUACAGAUAUUUAGAUCUGAUAAUAUAUAUAUAUAUAAAUAUAUAGAGCUUCAAAAACAUUCAUGUGGGCAUUAUGAAUCGCAUUGAUGGAUCAGAGCUAGCUAGAUUGGAGGAAUAUAUAGAUCAUAGAUGGAGCAAAGAGGAUAUAUGGUUUGGUGUUGGGGCAUGGAAGUAUCUUCAUCAAUACAGAGGGGUGAGGAUAAGGUUCCAUCUUUGCCUUUCCCUCAACUUAUGAGACAGUUGCAAAGGAAAUGAUGAGGCGAUGGAUGAUUAAACUUCAAAUAAAGAAAAUAAAACCAACUUUCAUCACUAGGAGCAUUGUUGGAAAGACAAAGCCGUCAGAGAGAAGUACUGGCCGAAAGUUUUACUGUAAAUUUACAUUGGUUGGGGUAAUGGAGUUGUGUCAGAGGACCCUGUUUAGGCCUAAUUUUAUAUUGGUUAUCUCACAGCGAGUUAGCUCAUGAACCGAUACCAGCGGUCCAAUUAUCUUUAUUUUUUUUCUUGUUACAUUGGGUAAUUACUGGCAGAAAAUUUACAUGAUAUCUUGAAGAUAUAUUGUCAGAGGGCUCGGUUAGGAAAAUAUUUUCCUGAUUCAAUUAGAGAUUCGAUUGCUUUGAAGACAAGUCAUUCGCAAACCCUAGCCGCUCAGUUCCAUAUAUAAGGAGGUCGAGGUGAACGAGAAAAAACCCCCCCCCCCCCCCCCCCCCCCCCCCGACCCCCAACUUCAACAAAACUCUGCAUCACUGCAAAUUGGACGCCUACCCAGGAGCACCAAAUCUACCAAACAAACCUCUGCAGGGAGCACCACCAAAGCUUCAUCGUGAGCAAAUCCCGCUUCACUCACCAAGCCUCAUCGUAAGCAAAAAGUCCACCCCCAGUCCAUAAAGCCUCAUCGCGAGCAUAAGUCCAUCUCAUUGUUAAGGAGAGAUCCUUAGCAAAUAUCCUUUAUUUUAUUUGUAUUUGUCACUUGAGUAAAUCCUCAGGAUCCGUCAUAGGUCGUUAUGAAGAGCCCCAGCAGCAAGAUUGACCGUUCCUGCUCACAGUUGUUUGAGAAUAAGUCAAGAGAAGUGCGCGAAAGAACAAGAUCAAGACAUGCACACCUCCUCAAGGUGUUGGCACGCUCGCACCAGACGGUUGUUCGAAGGACCUAAAAAUCUGACCCGAACAUUUUGGCACGCCUAUCAACGGGACACAUCAGUGGCAAAAUUGCGACUGAAAACAUCUAUAGUAAAGAAUAUCCUAAGUGUUCCUUGUUAGAACAUUCGCACUGCAAACCUCACAAUCCUUUGAGGUGCAAAAGGUUGACUAUCAAGCUAGUUAACCAGCGUUUCGGUAUAGAAACGAUGACCGAAGGGUCUGGAGUUGAGAAGUUCGUUUCUCAGGAACAGCUUGUGGACACAUUGGAAAAGAUGUCUACAAGCAUAUCACAAGCGUGUUCGCAGGCAUGAAGGCAUUACGGGACUCAAUGGAGGCUACUUUUGCCAAAGUUGAUGGCUGAAUUAACCAGUUGUGGGAAAAAACAAGCGACCAAGCCGAGCACAUUGCACGCAUCGCAGAGACUAAUCAGAAGUUGGACACAUUCUUUGUGGACAAAUUCUUGCACAAGAAAGACGUUGAUUAUGACGGUGCUAACCCACAACCAGAGGGAACUUCGAAUACUAAAGUUCCUACUAUGAAACCAAGAGGAACGAUACUCAUCAAGGUGGUUCCACCAAAUAACGAAGGAGAUGGUGGAAACCAGUUCGAGCAAGUUAAUAAGCCAGUUGAUAAGACGUAUUUGCACACGCAUCAAUUAACCUUGUCAACAAAUCAGUUGUAGUAUAAAGCAAGCAGGGAUCGUUCUAAACCGGGGAUUCAACUACAGGGUAGAUCCAUCUAAUCUAAUGUAAAUGUCAAAAUAAGCACAUAGGUUUAAGGGUUUUAUGAUUUCGGAAAAGACAAUGAAAAUAAAUCCUAAAUUACUUCUAUACAUAUAUACAUGUGAUCAACCAACAAUCAUGCAAACUCAACCAAACAACCAUGUAAGAAUAAAGAAGAAGAUUUCUAAUCUCAUUUAAGUCUACACCGUGAGCAAAUAUACAACCUAAAUUUGAUAUGCACAUAAAUUCCUACGUGGUUCCUAUGACAUAGACCAACUUAGAAUUAGACUAUGGGUUUCAUUCAACAUCGCGACACAACAAGCUCGGCUACGUGCUCUACUUAUCGGUCACACACAUAAACUAAUCAUGCAAUUACGUAUCACAUAAAGAAUCGAUGUGUUUAAGCACAAGUCCAAAUCAAACAUAGGUAUAAAAUCAGUGAAAAACAAAGACAAUGCAACUUAUCAACUACGUGUAUCAAAGUCGAACUUUGGAUGAUUAACACAUGCAAUAUCAACUACUUGUAUCAACUACACAUGAUAAUGGAAAAAUGCACCGAAAAUCUUAAAGUAUUUAGACAUAAAACUCACGGCAUAAACCUAAAAUCAUUGAUUAAAAAUCGAAAACUUUAAUUCAAAACAUGGUUCAAAAGUACUUCUAACUCAUAGACAAGAAUCGAAAUAUACUUAAGCAAAAACCUAAAACAAACAAAAACAAGAACAAACACAUAGCAAUCCGAAAAUAGAAGAUGAAAUACACUCUCAGAAUAUCCCUACUUGUUCUAUUCUUCGAGUGAGCGGAAUCCUAGGCUACGUGCUUUGGACAAAUGCUGAAGGUGGGAUCGGAUUGUGGUGUUUGGAGGUUAAUGGAGUUUCGGCAAAGGCUUUGGUGUUAUUUGCACGGGUUGAUGAUGAUCUCUUACUGCCAUGCCGUGCCCUAUUUAUAGAGUAACAAGUCUUGAUCUCCAAGAAUUCUUCUAGCACAAGGAAUCCUAUUGAAUUGGCAAAACCAAGUCCAAGUUGGAUUUAAUUUCUUCUCUUGUUCUUCAAGGAAUCCUCAUGCAUUAAGGAAUGACAAAACCAUCUUUGAACUUGGAAAAUCUUCUCUUGGGCCGCACGGCUUCUUUCUCCUUGUAUAUUUCGGCUUGUACUUCUCCUAGCUUAAUCAGGACUCCUAGCUGCCGGCCACCUUUCCCUCAUGAGUCAGGAAAACAUUUCCUAGUCAACACGGGUUUAGACUUUCCUGAAAUAAAAAUAAGAAAAUUAGAAACUAGGAAAGAGGAAAGAUGGAAUCUUAAUCAAGACAGGAAUCCUGAGUAAACAAGGAUUUCCAACACUUAGCACAAUUUCAACACCAAAUUCUUCAAUUCCGAAAUUACUAUGCAUUUUAACACUAAACCUACAUAAUUCUACUUUAAGCAAUUAUUCUACACUAAACACAAAUAUAAAGCUAAAACAACUAAAUAGGAGUUAACAAAGGGUAAAUAAAGGGUAUAAACAUAUUAAGAACGUCACACUUUGUGCUCCUAUCACCAGUCGUUCAAGCAGGAGCACAGCCAUUGGCCGCAAAUGUUGUCGUACAGCCUGCAGCCGUGAAUGGUAUAACACGGCCAGAAGACAUUCAGGGCAUGCUCGACCGUGCGCUGCAACAGCUUAGAACUGAGUUCAGGACUGAGUUGAGGGAUCUUGGGGUAGACCUCACUUACCAGAAUCCAUUCUCGGAUUACGUGGCAGAUGCUGAUUAGCUGCAAAAUUAUAGGAAUAUUCACUUCACUCCCUUUUCAGGGGAGGGGUCUGAAGACGCCACAACACAUAUUUCGAGGUUCCAAAGUGAGUGUGGUCCCUAUGGGAACAAUCCUUUGCUGAAACUAAGGGUGUUCGGUUCAUCUUUGGCAGGUUCAGCUCUCACAUGCUAUACUAAAUUGGUACAUGGGUCCAUUCGAACAGAGGAAAGGGUAUCUCCUGUUGAAGACCAAGCUGGCGAGCGAAGUGGUUUGGAGCAUAUAGUUCAAAGCCAACAUCAUCAAGGAGUCUCAAAUCAGCAAUGGAGAUAGCUUGUUCAAACAGAUGCAUAGCUUCAAGGGAAUGAGUUGUUCCCACAUAAACUUAUUUGUCAAUGCUUCUGGAUACAUUCGGUUGAGCAUCAGGUCGCUGGCAUCUAGUAUAGAAGCAUCCAAGGUGUAUAGAUGUUGGAAGCAAUCGGAGUAAUCGAGAGGGUUGUGGGCUUUGACUCCGGCGAAUGCCAUCCCUAGUACUUGAUUAUCUGGAAAAUCUGUGACUUGGGGAUGCCUGAAUUGAACAAAGUAAAUCUGCAGCCAAAGGUCCAAUAUCCAAAAUGGCCCUGAUAUAGUGCUAUAGUUGAAUGGAUGAAGGGACAGGUCAUAAAGAGCACGGUAUAGCAUAGCUGAGGUCAUCUGGGCUAAUCCUAAUCUAUAACCGUUGAACAGAAGUGAAGCCACACGAAACCAAGCAUCAUUUAUUUUCUGAGUGCUAGUGCAGACUAUGAAUUUAGUAAGCCAUAAUUCUAGAAAUGCAAGAUGAUGGAAUUCCUGCAAGUAUACAGGGUGUAUGUAGUAUAGCGAAUGGAAGAAAAUGGGUUGUCGUUCCCACGAGGAUAUUAAUACAAUUCAAAUUAUGAGAUACCUAAACUAACUACACUAAAACACAAGAUCAUGAUAACAAUUUAAAGAAACAAACAAACAAACAAGAAAAUUAGUAAACAAACAAUGAUGAAUGAAUCUAGGAUGUCAGAAUCAACCACUAACAAUCUUAUUCAUGCUUUGAUGCAACUAACAAACUUUUUUGUUUCUCUAGAUGACAAUUCCCGUAUCUAAGUCCAGAUACGACACUUAGACCAUAGUUUCCCUUAAGUGUAUGAUUCUCUCUAGGUACGGCAUAUGUCGUAUAUCCUAGCAGUUUAUUCAGUUACGGCAUAAAUUUAACAUGUAAAACUCAUUACGUUCUAGAAAACAAGAGAAUCAUGCAAACCAUUAUUUCAGUUACGACAAUAAUGUAAUUCACAACUUUUAAUCACAAGAAACUAAUUUGAAUUAUAUUGCAGUUACGCCUCAAAUUCAUCUUCUAAUUACUAGAUGCAAAGCCCUAAGGUGAUCAAUCAAAGAACUCAAACAUAUAGCAUCGAUUAAAAUAGUGACUAAGAAUUCAUCAUAAAGAAACUAUAAAUCUAUUAAUCAAUCAUCAAAAACAUAAACAAUCAUGCUAGGGCAUCAUCUUAACCCUAGAAAAGGUUUAACUAAACAUGACUAAAGAAAACAUAACAAGAAUGGAAAGGUGAAGGGUGGAUGGAUCUCUGCUCCUUUAGGCGUCUACAACAUGCUUUCGAGACCUCCCUUAAUGUGAAAUUCGUGCUCCUUUAAAUAGAGAAGUUUCAUGCUCAUCUUUGGCUUUAAAUUUCCUUGUAAGACUUGGAUUCAAACUUCUUUCUUGAUAUGGAAUGAGAAAAUCUUGAGAAUAUCUCUUGUAGAACUAGGAAUACAUGUACUCCUUAAAUCCUCAUCUGCAUUAUUGUCCUUGAAGAUUUAGGGUUGACUAUCUUGUGAUACGGAACUUGAGUUAUCCAUAAAUGUUUGCGAAUCCGAGCAGAUUUUCUAAUCUGACCUUUCUUCAUUCAAACGAUCAUAACUCGGUCUAGAAGUAUCGAAAUCAAGAUCCAUAAAAUUCUACAGAAAAUAGACUUUCGUAACUUUCCAAUGGUAUAAGGCUCAUGGUCUGAUUCGAUCUGAGUAAUUCCUAGUAAUUCGGCAAAGUUAGCUAUUCUGCAUAGGCAGAUUCUGACACUUAAGAUUGCAAUCGCCUUUCAAUCCUUAUUUGCGCAUUUUAGCUCCUUUUCUUCUCUCUAUGACAGAAACCUACAAAAGCACUAAAUUAACGUAAAUAAGUCAUAAAGAAGAGAACUAAACACAAAUCUCAAGCAUAAGAGGCUUAGAAAUAUAGGAUAAUAUGAGCACAUCAAAUACCCCCACACUUAGACUUUGCUAGUCCUCGAGCAAAACUAUGAAUAACUAAAACACAAACACAUAAAACAAACACACUAAUCACACUAUGCACAUUAAACACACUAAGCCUUUCAACGAUAGUCUUCAAAAAUCUUUUAUUUUCAUGUACAAAAGAAUAGCAUGUCGCCAUGUCGCCAAGACUUAGUCACAAAUCAUUCGAGAGUUAAAUAAAGCACAUAUGUCUAACACAUCACAUGUAGGACUUGGGGGCAACAAUGGUGAUUGGGUGGAGCUUAGCAUGUUUCGGACAAGUAAUGAAUCAACCUCACAAUGGAUGCACUCUUUUUCCUUUUUUUUCUCUCGGAAUCAAGGCUCAUGCUUAAAAGCUUAUUCACUCAUAUGCAUAUGUGAUAUGUGAGAGAGAAUAUAUAAAGGCAAACAAAUAGCUCACAUAUUAAGAAAAGAAAGCACUUUGUGGAAAUAAAGAUCUCAUGAAGAAUAUCAAUUACUCGCACAAAUGGACCCAAAACCAUAUGCUCACUCUUGUAACACAUCUCCACAGAUCAAAGGCUGCUCAUCUUAAGGAUCAUAAAAGGACUUUAUCAAGGUUAUAAUUGGGUCAUGGCUAGGGUUCAAAGAACAAAAGGAUAUGGAGAUAACAAAGCACCCUAGAAAAGAGCCAUAAGAUUACCUUAGAAACCUCAUGAAAGAGAACAAAGACCAUAUAUAAUUUUAUUGGGUCUUCAAUUCAAAACAAACUCCUCAAUCACAACGGGGGGACUUAAUCCAAUACUUCUAUUUUUCUCUUUCUUUCUUUUUCUUUGCCUUCACUUUUGUAUAUAUUUUUUUCUCUUCUUCUUUUUUCUUUUCACGGCAACAACACUUUUUUUUUCCUUCAAGGACAAGUCUAUCCCACCCCCACACUUGCUUUUGACCAUCACCUCCUCUUUUGAAUAAGUACAAAUCACCAAAGUAUAGCUCUACUAGAUCUUAGAACAAAGGGUAAAGAUGUAACUAUACUAGGGCUUCAUACGUAAAGGAUAAUAUGGGUGAUGAAACAAAGGCUAAACUUGUAAGCGCAAAGAGGUUAUCUAAGGGGUGUACAAUUAGGGACACAUGGCAAUUUGGCAAUGGUGGAAAUCCUAAGUCUUUUUAAUCCCUUCCGAAAUCAAAGCAUGUAUUGACUAAAAGUUUCGAAUAACACAAAAGUGAGUUCUAGUAUAACUCUCUAGUCCAUUAAAAUCUAUGGCGAGUAAUCAAUUGAAAUGAAGAAUAAAUCCCUCUUUUUACGUGCAAACCCUAGGAGAGCCUCCCUCUCGCCUCUAGCCUCAAAACCCUAGGAGAGCCUCCCUAUCGCCUCUAGCCUCAAAAUCCUAGCGAUCAACCUCUUCUCUGAUCUCCUACUUGUGAUCUUCUUGAUCUCCCACUCCAUCUCCUCCAUCCCAGCCUUUCCUCCCAAAACCCUAGCGCCGCGACCUCCGUUUCGCGUCAAUUCUCCACAUAUCUCAAUCUUCCAACCCGCCUACUUAUCUCGCAACCUCCAUGGUUUCUAUCGAUGCUGCUACGGCAAGUUUCGCUGGCUUUGGCUACCGGAGAGACUGCUCCUCCCGUCCAAUGGGGCAGAUUAGUCAUGUUGGCUAUAAGGCAGCGACUAUGCGGCUCCGGUUGGGUUUGAUGGCACCGUUUGGACCAAUUGAGGACUGGAAAUCGUGGCUGCCAGAGAUUCGAAGAAGGUGGCCGGCAAAGACAGCGCUGCUAGCUUGGAAGAGGAAAGGGAUAUGGGCUUGGAUCUGGGCUUUUGGGCCUGGUUUUGAGCUUAUCCAUUUAUGCAGGCCUUUUGGUGGACUUGAGUCAAUGCUUGCCCAGAAAUUAUCUACUUCGUCUCACAUGACAUCCUCAAGGUCUGAUCAGGGAGAGACUAGCCCUACUACUAAGGGUAAGGAUGUAGCUUAAUUUCCUUGUUUCUUACCUAGACAUCUGAUGGAAGACUAUUUCUUGUUUAGAUUUCGGUAUUACUUUGUUGUACACCAAUCGAGGUCCAUAGGCGACUGAUAUUACCGUUACAUAGAAUUUAGAUAGGUUUUAGUUGGAAAUUAGAUGUGUUAGGCUUAACUGAGCGCAUUUGUAAUGAGGGCUACCUGUCUCUUUGUUAGUGCUUGGUGUCAAUAUGACUGAUUGGUCCCAAGUAAGCAAAUUGAUGUAAACGCCAUCUGGCCGUUAACAAAUUAAUGAAAUUGUCUUUUUCCUCAAAAAAUUGAAAUGAAGAAUAAUGAGAUCAAAAUUCAAGCCAAGAAAAUAAGAAUAUAUUUUAACACUUAGAAAUAAAGGCACAUACAAGGCACAAAUUCUCACAAGGGUAAUUUUUGAAACAAAACUCAUCCUAGCAUGCUCAUAUUAUGUACCAUGUUAGCAAGGUCAUAUCCACUACAUAUUAUAUGCAACAUAUAUAUCAUAUUUAACCAAAGAAUAAUAUCAAACAAGUCUCAAUAGCAUGAUCAUCUUUAAACACGAUUUCAGAGAUAUAGAACAAUAAUUGUUGAAAGGCAUCCUAAGACUCAAGAAAACAAAAACACACAAUAUUAUCACAAAAAGAACAAUAUUUUUUUAAUAUAUUUUUAUUGAAGUUUCAUAAUGAACACACAAAACUAAUAACCUAAAUGAAAGAAAAAUCCACUAGCUUCGCUGCUCUGAGUAAGCUCAAGAUUCGUAAGACUUACAGAAAUUGCGGCGGUUAGGAUCGGCUUCAAAGGCUAUUUCUUCUCCUUCGAAAUCACUUUCCUGGUAAGGCCUGUCGGAGACGAGAAGGCAUGUGAUUGCAUACAGGUCCAACAGCGUGAUUCCCAUUUGCCCAAAUUUGAAAUUGAAGGUGUUGCUGGAAGUGUCCCAGAAACAAGUUGUUGCCAUCUUCGGAGCCUUGUUCGCCCCUGUGCUUUGAAGUUGGAAGCUUAAAUCAAUCGCAUCUACAAUAUCCACUUGCUUCCACCUUUCUAAAUCCAAGGCUCUGCGAUUCUGGUACCAAAGGAGCAUGCGCGCAAAGGGAUAGGGCCACACUCCUAUUCUUACAGCUUGGUGGCUUAUUUGUCAUUUCUGGAAAUUUGCUACAGAAUUCCUAAAAGCCAGGAGAGGGAUUCGGGUUGCAUGUUGAUAAUCUUCACGAAUCAAAGGUGGUACUGGGUUCAUCCAUGGCUCUAUGCCUGCUGUAGCAUAUGUAAAGAGUUUAAGGCUGGAUUUGGUUGCAUAAUCAUAAGGUUUUAGGCCAAGUAUUUUUCUUUGAACUCUUAAGCGUUCUCAGCGGUCAAGUGUGUCUGAACAGUGAAGUGUUUAGGGUUUUAUAAAGAACUGAAAGGGUUCUUUUUUUUUUUGAAAGGAUUCUUUGAAACAUUGUGUUUUAGUUCAGAAUGAAAUAUUCAUGUUUCUUCGCGAGACGAGGUUUCGUUUAGCAUCUUUUACGAAUAUACCUUUUUGGGGUUUGAAAGGUACCUUUCGUGAGAAAUGAAGCGUUAGCCCUCUUCGAUCAUGUUUGGCAAACUAGGACUAGAUCUCAAGGCCUGGGGGGCAAUGUUUGGGCCCAAUUUCAUAUUGGUUAUCUCACAGCGAGUUAGCCCAUGGACCGAUACCAACGGUCUAUUUAUCUUUAUUUCUUUCCUUGUUACAUUGAGUAAUUACUGGCAGAAGAUUUGAAGAAUAUCUUGAAGAUAUAUUGUUAGAGGGCUCGGUUAGGAAAGCAUUUUUCCUAAUUCAAUUAGAGAUUCGAUUGCUUUGGAGACAAGUCAUUUGCAAACCCUAGCCGCUCAGUUCCAUAUAUAAGGAGGUCGAGGCGAACGAGAAACCCCCCCCCCCCCUCCGCGACAAUUCAACAAAACUCUGUAUCACUGCAAAUUAGACGUCUCCCCAAGAGCACCCAAUCUACCAAAAAGGCCUCUGUAGGGAGCACCACCAAAGUCUCAUGGCGAGCAAAUCCUGCUUCAAUCACCAAGCCUCAUCGCGAGCAAAAAGUCCACCCCCAGUCCAUAAAGCCUCAUCGCAAGCAUAAGUCCAUCCUAUUGUUAAGGAGCGAUCCUUAGCAAAUAUCCUUUAUUUUAUUUGUAUUUGUCACUCAAGUAAAUCCUCAAGAUCUGUCCUAGGUCGUUGUGAAGAGCCCCAGCAGCAGGAUUGACCGUUCCUGCUCACAGUUGUUUGAGAAGAAGUCAAGAGAAGUGCACGAAAGAACAAGAUCAAGACAGGCACACCUCCUUAAGGUGUUGACAUGCUCGCACCAGACGGUUGUUCAAAGGACCUAAAAAUCCGACCCAAACAAGUCGGGGUUGGUUUAUCCAGGUCUGUUUCCAGGGAGACCCCCUGUGCAUUGGUGGUUCUGAAUAUUAAUUAGUUAUGUUUUCUACUAACAUGUUUUCGUUACAUCUUUGAGGUUAUUAUCAUGGUUGACAACAUAGAAAUUGCCUAAGAUAACUUAUGUUUUUUUAGAUAUAUUUGCAUGAUUCAAUUAUACUUAUACCAUGAGAGCAGAUCAUAUUCAUAUUGUUUCCCUACUUUCAAACUUUCAGUGAUUAAUAUAUGACAGUGAUGUUCCUUAACAAAAAAAAAAAAAAAACAUUUUCAGUUAAUAACAUUAACUAUUUGGUCAUUUUUAAUAAUAUUAACCCUAAAGAAUAGUAAACAUACCAAAAGACAAACCUCUAUAGACUAAUUUACAAUACUUUAUUUUCAGGUGAGGAAUUUUACUGUUUUUACACUGUUCAUCCAGAAAUUACAAUUUUACCCCUGCUUCUUUUUUUUUUGCUGAUUUACACCUGCUAUCUAAUUAAUAAUUGCCAUUUUAUCCUCAGUUUUUGGUAAUUUACACCGCAGAGCGGGUAAGCUAUCUAGUAAAAAUACUAAAAGUGACAAUAUACAUUAUUGGCCCUACUCACAAUCCUUUAAACGAUGCACAUCCUCUUGGUCAGAUCUUGAACAAGUGCAACGGAAUGGGGGUUGGGGUACAAAUCAUGAUUAGCUCUUGCACAAGAGGCAAUGGUAUAUUAUUCUGUUUUUCUUCCCUAUCAUAAUAAAUGAUAAAAAAAACUCAGUAGUUAUUCAAUUACAUAGGCAAGUCAAAACCAUUACCAUGAAGACACAUGCUUCUACAAACUAACCUAAAUGGGACAUGCAUUAUUACCAACAUAAUAGAAUAACCCUGAACAAAAUUACAAGGCAACAACCACCCCCUGCAACUAUAUAUAACAUGCAACUGCUUUGAGUGAUGCUCAAACCAGUGAGACCCAACAUUAACCAGCACCACAUCAGAUAAGAGAAAUCAUGCACAUGCAAUCAGUUAAGACUCUUGGGGUGCCUCAAAUCUCGUUGGAGUGUCAAUGCCCAUCAUACAGCAGAUGCCUGAUAUUAAUAUUAUAAGCAGAACAAUUGCCUGAUCCAUAGCAAAAAGAAACAAUGUCAGAACUCCACAUCAGUAAUACUGUGCACUGUAAAGAAACGGAAAGAAAAGCGGAUGAUUUUUAAGUUCACCGCAGGGAGUUAACCCCUUCACACACUUGUACUUAGUGUAGUCUCAAUUUAGCCUCAUAAUCCAACCCUUUCAUGUUUAAAAACAUAUUAUAAAGAUUCUUUCUGCAAAAGACCAAUCAAAUUGGAGAUGUUUUAGUCAUCCAUGUGUCAAAAAUGGACGGUUCAUCAUAAUGAUCUUAAUUGUCGCCAAAACCAUCCAUUGUUUAAACAUAAUUGGAUGGUGAAGCGAUCUUUGAUUUUAUGAUAUUUGACAGAAAUGACCCUUAAAGAGUAGAACUAUUAAGACUAAAGAGUUCAGAGAUUAAGGUGAAUAUUGUUUAAUGACAAGGGGGUGAACAAGGUGAACCUAGGAGGUGUCCCCAGAAAAAGCAUAGGACCGUGCAUGGUUGCCAUAUAAAGUUUACAUAUUAUGGUCCGUUCACAUACAUGUGCAAGUGUAUUUGCAUUUACGGCGCAAAGGAGAAAGGAAUGAAUUCCAAGGACAAGAACAGUUCAAAUUUUAUGCAUAUGGAUUAAACAUUUAGUAGAGGGCAAGCAAAUUUUUUAGCAUAAAGAUCCACCAAUUUAAACUAGAUGCCUGAGAAAAUGCCAGGGUACGGUUUGGUCUAUAAAUAACAAAGAUGGAUCAGACCAAAAAAUAUGUGUAUAUAUGUCAUGCAGCAGUGGAACAACAGCAACAGUUUGGUCCAUCAGUUUCCCUAGGAGCAUUAUCUACAAACACUUAACAUAAGAAUAACAAAAGACAAACUUACAACUAGAAGUCCCUCCAGAAGUGAUGAUUUGAUCUGACAAACUUCAUCACAGGCUGUCGAAUUGGCUGAUGCAUUUCCAGAACUUUCAGCAAGAAACCUUUCUAACUCUCGAUGAGAAGGAUACUGGAUUGAUUUAAUGGGGUCUGAAACAUAAAGAACUGCAUACUUUGCACCAGACUGAUCCACGGAACUAAUAAUCUCAGAGAAAAUUUUACCUGCACAGCCACCAAUUAUGUGUUAUGGCUUUGUCCUAGACCAAUCUUAUAGUAAAUGUCCUAGACCAGUGUGAUUUUCAGUAAAAAUUAAACAACUUAGACUAAACACAUAAAUCAACAGUACAGUUCAACUUAACCUACUCUCUGGAUGUGGGUGUUCUAGUUCGUUUGAAGAAUCAGAUCCUCUGUGGCAGAACACCACCAAAUCUGCUUCACCAUUUGAUCUCUUCUCCAUCCUCGAAACAAGAUAAUUCUGUCCAAUUUUUUGACGAGAAAAAUACAUCAGAUCUUUGUGAUAAAAGGUAUACUUUAAUAUACAAUUGUCAAGUUGACUUACACGGACUGAUUGCAGGUCUGAAAGCUUUUGAACAUUAUCACCCUCCAUAGAGCAUGACUCUGAGAAACGAACAUUACUGAGUCCAAAAUUCUGCCCACAAAUAUCUGACAUCCCUGACAAUAGAGAACUUUCCAUGGUAUCCUUCUCUGAUGUAGAAAUAUAGGGGAAUGCCAUAGAGAAAUUUGAUCGUGUGAAAGAGACCUGUGCAGGACCAUAAUAUUAUAGCUAUUAAGGCAGAAAUUUUGAAUAAUAAAGCAGUUUUGUGAUCUGACACCUGGAUCAUAAGUUCCAACCAAAAGACUAAAUGCAAUGUGGCAAUUCUACUUACUUUGAGCAAGUCCACAAGAGCUGGAUCAGCAUGUUUGCUUGCAGAAAUAUCCGAAGAUUGCAACUAAGAAACAAUGGAAAUUAUUUCAGUAUCCCUAAACAUAAACAAUAGCAAAAAGGUUUUCACUGUAUUGCAAUGUCAACAACAAAUCCACAUCCAAAAAGUGAGGCAGUCUCAACCAUAACCAUUACGGCCUUAUAUGGUUCUUAGACAGUCUAAUGGUUAUACUCAAUCUAAAAUGACAAAGAAUGUAGAUUAUGUUCACUUCCUUCCCCGGGUCUCAUACUUAAUGCAAAACAAGCAUACUGGCGAUUUGCUAUGCAUUAAUUCGCCAAAUAUAAAAGCAUAAAGUACUUUGAAAAGUAAAAAUAGCCGGAUUAUGUUCAAACUUACAAACAAUCCAAGAUAGUUCAUGUUAGCACAGGUAAGUCAUAAAUCCUAUGAAACUAUUCACUCAAUAUUGCAUAUUUAUCAAGCUCUAGCAACAGGUAGCAAAUAUAAUAAGGAUUUCAUCAGAAUUUGGAACACAUAAAGAAGGUUACAUGACAACAAGAGGGUAUCCAGUGUUGUUACCUCUGUACCAACAAAGACAAGAGCAAGAUCCAAAGGCUGAUGAACUUCGUUGCUAGGACACUACAAAAUAAAGAAAGAUAUAUAAGAUGGAAUCAAGAGUACAAGAGGAAAUUAUAAACAUACAGCGAAAAGGCAAAAUAAAAUAAAAUUAUAUAAACACAGAGUGAGUUUGUUCUUCUAGCAGUUCAUUGAAAAGAGAGACAAUAAAGUCUAAGGCAUCACAAGAAGUGCAAAAACUGCCACUGAAACGAAAGAAAUACAUACCAGCAAGUUCGACCAGCCCCCUUCUGAAAGCACAGACUUUGCCAAAUCCUUUGGAGAGAUAGUCUGGUAAUUGACGGCUGCCUUGACACUGUUAUUUGGAAGCAUAUAAUCAGCAGAUUAAGAACAAAAUGUUGCAUUAUUAGACCAAAUUUCCAAGGAGAAUGACUACCAUUGUCAUUACUUGAAACAGAAAGUGAAGGGGAUCCUAAUACAAAUUACAUACUGAUGGUAAUGUGGUGACCAGAGGAAAGCUGGCGCUGUGUUGUAAGACAGUCCUGAAGGGAUCCCAGAGGCAACCACCAAAAAGGCCACCAAAUAAGCUAACAGACCCUUCAUCUCUGCUCCUGCACUCAAUCCAAUCCACGUCACAGAUCAGAUUGACCCAACCCAAUCGUACCUCCUUCCUUUAAAUCCAAAUCAUAUGCGAACAGAGAUCGAUUCAAGUAUAAACUAUAUAAGGAUGAAACUAUCUAUAAUCAUUAGAUCGUUACCUGGGGGCUGCGUCUCAACAACUUGAUCGUCUUAUCAGAAAGAAUUUCACAGAACUAUCACAAGGAAAUUCAGAUUCCGCAAAACCAAAUAAUACUGGAGAUUUGUGGAAGCAGAGACUACCUACAAGACGCCAAGCCAGCACCACACGGACAAAGGCCGGCCUUCUAUUCUGAUUGAAUGGGUUGGGUUUAUCAGACUUUGGGCCCAAUGAUCCUGCUUUUAUUUCCUAUUCUGAUCCAAUGGGUUGCUUAACCUUGGGCUUGAACACAAAAACCACACACAUCUAAUUGUGUCACUUCUUCUUCCACUUCCAGACUUCAGGCCCUGCACUGUCUGAUCAUGCCUCGUCAACAUCUGGAAUCUUAAAAUUAAGGUAGGCACAAGAAUUCCACCGGCAAUUAAGAGGUCAUGCAUGCACCGCUCAAGCUACAAUUAAUCCUGUUGGUGCUGGACUCUGGCGGGCAUUUGAUGCAUUGAGCUAUAUCAUCCUUUUCAUUUACCGGCCUUCUUUAAUUGACAGGAUAGCAGAGAGAGUGAAUAUUGAUCAUGCACCUCAACCGAUAUAAGAGAAAUUAAACCAUAUUUAAUAUGUAAAUGGAUCUAUCUUACAUGAUUUCUCUAUGGUCGAGAUCGACAGUAAUAACUAUUAGCUAUAAUACUAGUGGAAUAUUGAUUGAUGGAAAGGGGCUUUGCAGAGUGCAGGGGGGAAAUCUUGUGAAGGCUGGCUAGCUCUCUUUUGUCAUGUGAAUGCUAUUAAUAUCAAAGGCCAGCUAGCUAAAUAGCCUGAUCGAGCUAUAGUUGAUUGUAUGCGACUCACCGCUCCCAUUCAGCUAGUUUGUAUGUGCUAGCUAGCUUACACCGUCCUCUUGGAUAUCUGUCUUCGGUUCAUCCGCAUCCAUCUCCAAAUUAACUAGCUAGAGCGGUGGUGCAUGCAAUCAAUGAGAGACGUGUCCUUGUUUCUCUUGAAAAACUCUCUGGGAUCGAAGAUGAAGAAAGGCUUGAGAAACUUCUGCAACGACGAUGGCUCAACCUCUACCCUCAACCAACAUACCUCCCCAGUAGGUCCUCUCAAUGUCGAGUCUGCAGGCUCUAAUAAGCAUUGGCCAAAUGCUGCUGCUCAUACUGAUCAUCAAUAUCGUCUUCAGGAAAUGGAAAGGCAGCCAACGUUGGAGGAGAUGAUAUUGAAGUUGGAUUUGGAAGAAGAGAUUGCAAGAAAAUCAAAGGCGCUGCAGCUCAUGAAAGAGGGACAUGAAGACGACAAUGAUCACUACAAUGUUGAUAUGAAUGGACUAAUAAUGCGAGGACCGGGUAGGAUGUCUUGCGUAAAUAACUCCGAUAUUUUGCGGUCUGCAAGGAAUGCAUUGAAUCAGUACCCUCGUUUCUCUCUUGAUGGCAGGGAUGCCAUGUACCGCUCUUCCUUCAGAAACAACUUACAUUUGCAGAAAGAUGAUAUUGCUAUUGUAGGAAAGGAAAAGCCGAGGCCAGCUCAUCAUCGUGAUCACAGAAGAAGCUCAGAUGUAUGCAAGUCAAUGAGUGAAUAUUUUGAUGCAAGUAGCAGUACCACGAGGUCUUUGUAUCGUCGUCGUUUGCCAGCAACUUUAGCAGGGGAGAGUGUGGUAUGGUGCAAACCAGGUGUAGUAGCCAAACUGAUGGGGCUAGACGCCAUGCCAGUACCAGUAAGUGUUGGUGCUAAAUUCAAAGGUAAUAGUAAUGAAAAGUUGCGUUACAUCUUGAAGCAGAGUCAACGGAACAUGAUCACUAUGAGGAGCACGGGUGAUCAGAGACGUGAAAUGGAGAAAAGAUCAACAAUGCAUGCUAUAGAUCAUAAUAUUCCUACAGCCGGUAAUUGUAGCAGAUUUAUUAAUUGUAAGAUCAAAGGCAAGGCUGCUGCUACUUCUACCACUGGUUCCUGCAGUACCGCAUCCAAAACUACUCCAGCUGGCAAUUACGGUGUCAUGAAGCCAGUAGUCACCAUACAGCAUUCAGAUUAUAGCUAGGAGUAGAUACGUACAGAGAGAGUAGUAAUAAGCAUUAUAUUGAAUGAAAACCAGUUUUAUGAUGGGCAAUGUAUACGUGGUCAGAAUUGCUAACUGGUACCAAUGGAUUUCACUUGUUUGAAAUCAGAAGAGUACUAUUACCAAUGGAUUAAGAGAAGUAUUGUCUGUAUAGCUCAUAUAUCCUUAUGAUUCUAUGUGCGAGAAAAUCCAAUGUUUCUGUCUGUUGGCAGAGCCACAUAUUCUUUCUCCAUAUAUUUAGGGGAACUGCAAAAUUGACCUCAAUGGUUUUAAUUUUCUUUCAAGGGAGAAGAUCAGCAAUGUGUUUCAGUGUUUCUUGGGUCACUUAAAUCGAUUGAAUUUCAGGAUAUCAACAAACAGUCAUCAGCAUUUGAUGAGUUUGAUGAUCAGCAAGAGUUGUGUUCCACCAUUAACCAUGUAGGUGUGACUGCUCAUGAUGCAAGUAUAAGACUUCUAUAGCAUGCACUUGGCCAAACUGAAAACUAUAGGUGCCAUUAGUAAUUAUGGUAGCGUGCAACUGGGGACUUUAGCUUUUCGAUUAUAUUACAUGGAUGCUAGGCCAACCCAAAAAGUGAAUAAUAAGCUUUAAGAUAUAUAAGCUCCUCCAGUCCUUCCUAACUAGUAGUACAGAAGUUAUGUGCAUUAGUGCUGUAAGGCAUAACAGGCUUUGUUAAUCUGUAAAGUUUGGAUCACUCAAAGGCGGUCUGAGCUGCAUCAUCAUGUUACACAAAAAAGAUUAUACGUAUGUAGUAGAUGGUUACAGUUAAGAACUUAAGAUAUUGCUCAAUAAAGUGCAGAUAAAGGUUCUUAUUUUGUACCAGAAAGGGAGUAUAGCGUGGGAAGAUUGUGAUUCUCAUUCAUGAUAAAUAUAUAGUUAUUUGAGCUUGACGGACGGUUUGCCACAUGCUAAGUACUUUUGAUGAAUUCAUAAUCUUUAACUUAUCUCUUUAAUUGAAAGUCUAAAUAAAUUUGAUCUGAGAUUCGCUUUCUGAGUACUAGUAGUAGCAGCUGGUGUCAAAAGUCAGACAACAGGCAUAGCAAUUGGCAUAUAAGUUAUAACUAAUAUAUCACAAAUUCUGUAUAAAGUCAAAAUGAAAUGCUUUCCCCCAUCAUCCAUUGCUUCCAUUUCCAUGUGCCUAGUUGGGCACCAGAUUUAAUUUAAGUAAAUACCAGGGUGUUAGAAUAGGUGAAUUAUUCUGCUACAUAUUCCAUCUAUAAAAUCAUAUCAGAUAUAAAAAAAUAUAUAUAUAUAAAUAAAAAAAAAAAAAAGGGGGUUUAGGUGCCCUUUAAAUUUGAUUAUUCGCAAUGCAGCAAUGGAUAACAAAUAAGGUCAAGUCGAGGAUGCAGGUAGCUGAUUGUAGCUAACUUCUGAAACAGUUCAGAUACUUGUUAGUAGCUCGAUCCAGGGUUAGGAGCGGAAGGCAGCAUCAUAUCGGUUUGAUUUCAGAAAGAUGAUCAUAAAGUACAAGACUACAAGUGAGUUGAGAAGUAUAUAAUAUAAAACGUACAGAAGAGAUUCGCACCGGCCAAGUAAAGAUAAAGAGGAAAAGGAGAUAAUUAAAGGUUGGAAGUUGGCCUCAGGCUCUUGAAUAGAAUCUAUGUAUGACCAAGAAAGAGAAGCUCAUGUUCUUGGAAUGCUGAUAUGCGGCUUUCAUUCAGCAGACCAAAAGGACUCAAGUCCAGGGUCAGGUAUCAUUAUCAUGUAUGUAUGACAUCGAUCGUCUGUUACCGUUUUCCAUUUCUCUUUAACUAAUAACUGUAAACUGUCAUCCAUUUUGAAAACAAAAAACUGUAAACUGUCAUCUGAGUUUGACUAUGGAAGACUUGCUGUCAUCGAUCCGAAGUUGAUCACUUGCCGACUUGCAUAUGCAUUUCCACUAUCAAACAAGUUCAUUUAAUUAAUUCUUUUAAGCCAGGAAAACCCGCUGGGCACAUUCAUCCAUUAUGACCACCAUACUACUGUAAUUGAAAACUAAACUAGAUGAGAAUUAGAUAAUAGAAGAGUAUGUCAUACAUUAUAUUUCCCCAUUUUAUCCUACAGUUAAUAAUCCACAGCUUGUACUUCUAGUGGUGCAUGGUAUAAACUUAUCCAUCUUUUUUUAUUUUUAUUAUCAUUAUCCAUCGAUGUAUACAGUCGGUCAUUUUCUAAAUAUACAGCUUUAAUAAACCUGCUGGUACCCUAGCUAACAGAUAUUGAAGGUGCAGUUGCAGAAUACAAAUGUCAGCCCCAGCUCUUUGUCGAUCUUAAUUUUCAGCUUCUGAGACCAGUGUUGUAUACAGCACUCGUCGAUCAGCAACGCAUGACUAUCUUACUAUGUGUAUAUAUAUAGUUACAGUAGUACACUAUCAAAUUAACUCUCCGGUGAUGAACGUCCACUAGUUCCAUUGAUCACACUGUUUUUCAAGCAUUAUCCAAGGAAUCUUGGUUUAUGGAAGGAAGGUCAAAGGUCCACUUGACUGCACUAAUAGCCAGGCUGGGCGCAAAACUGCCACUUUAUAUAGUUAUAUGGUAGAGUCUUACUUCAGCAAGCUUGGUAUUUGAUUUUUUUGUGUGUGUGUAGAUAUAAAUAUUCGAUCAGUUACUCGAUCAUAAGGUUAGUUAAUUGCUCAGUAUUCUGUUCUGUCCAUGUUUGUUUAUUCCAAAUUUUGGCCAUUAAUUAAUUUAGACAUAAUUAACUAUUCCUUGAUCAUAUUCCAUCUCUCCUAAUCCCUGCCCCCUGCAUUCACUUCUAUAUAAAACCAAACAAUCCCAUCAGCCUUUUUAUUCAUCAUCACAAACCACUCGAUCAACUCUUUUCUCCCAUCAAAUAUACAGCCAUCUAGCUACUUUCCAGUUUCCACGCUGCAGGCCGGUUUUAAUCAUGGAUCAAUAUCGUACGUGCAUCAUAUUUGUUGUAGUCCUUCUUGCCAUUUCAAGGACUGUGAAGGGUUCUGGUAAUGGGUGGACAAAUGCUCACGCCACUUUCUAUGGAGGCAGUGAUGCUUCAGGGACAAUGGGUAAGUUUAUUAAUAAUAAUCUCAUCGAUCGAUCAUUAUAUAUAUAGCUAUAAGUAUUGGUAGUUUUAACUUUGUAACUUUGUUUGGCAUUACUUCAUCAAUCGCAGGUGGGGCUUGUGGUUAUGGAAAUCUUUAUAGCCAGGGGUAUGGAACAAACACAGCUGCACUGAGUACUGCUUUGUUCAAUAAUGGAUUGAGUUGUGGAGGUUGCUAUGAGAUUAAAUGUGUGAAUGACAAACAAUGGUGCUUACCAGGAUCCAUAGUAGUAACUGCAACUAAUUUCUGCCCACCGAAUAGCGCUCUUCCUAAUAACGCUGGAGGCUGGUGUAAUCCUCCAUUGCGCCAUUUCGAUCUAUCUCAGCCUAUUUUCCAACACAUUGCUCAAUCCAAAGCCGGAAUUAUCCCUGUGCAAUACAGAAGGUAUAUAUAUUUUUAAAACUCGGUCACUAAUUUCAGUAAUUUGUAGACAUCUUCUUAGGCAUAUAUAUGUACAUAUAUUUGAUAUCUAUAUGUCAACAUUAUUCCGUGAUUGUUGCAGGGUUGGUUGUAGCAAGAAGGAUGGAAUCAGAUUUACAAUCAAUGGGCACUCCUACUUUAAUCUUGUGCUCAUAACCAAUGUGGGUGGAGCUGGUGAUGUGGUGAGUGUGUCGAUUAAGGGCUCGAAAAGCAGCAACGGUUGGAUGGCCAUGUCCCGGAACUGGGGUCAGAACUGGCAAAGCAACUCGUAUCUUAAUGGCCAAGCCCUUUCAUUCAAGGUCACAACCAGUGAUGGACGCUCUCUCAUCUCCAACAAUGUGGCUCCUCCCAACUGGUCUUUUGGCCAAACCUACACUGGAGGCCAGUUCUAAGCUUCUAGCUAGCUUGCUUGCUACGUGGUCAACUUCUCUGAUUGAUUAACCAAUUGCAGAAAUCCUACUAAUUAAUCCAAAACUAACUUGAUCCUUUGUUAUUGUUGAUCAAUUUGUACUGGUGCUCCAUAAUACACAAGGCACGCGACUGGAUCUGAGCAGCCUAGCAUCGGUUCUUUUUUUAUCAUGGAUAUUGGCUGCGGUGAACAACCCGGCCGUUCGAUGAGUAGUUUCUGUUAGUCAUGCAAGUGAUGAUGCGACUUGCUUUCUUAAGGAGAUGACAGUUCUGCUCGAUGCAAUGAUCGAUGUAAUAUGUUAACUGAAGAUUGCUCAUCAGUUAUUAGUUAUUGGAACUCGGACUGUUAUCUCAUAUAGUCGUCGACGCAUACGUGUUAAUGGAACUCUGCUAUAUAUGUGUUUAGCAGAGUUCAUCAAAAAGUUCAAUAAUACAUGUGUUUAGCAGUUUUAUGUGUUCACAGAUUUUUUUUUUCUUUCUUGUGCUUCUUUCAAUGUGUGUGUUUUUUUUCUUCACACUAGCCUUUUGCCAAUCCGAACCCGACCCGUGACCCGCCGGAUCAUAAAUAACUCAAUCUAAAUCCGUAUCCAGCGGGUUAACAGAUACCCGACCCGUUUGUCCGAUCUGUUUAUAAUAACAAAUUUCUUAAAUUUUAAAUAAUAAUUUUAGUAUUUUAUCAUAAUACCUCAUCAAACACUAAUGAAAUAUUAUUAAAAGUUGAAUUAUAUGACCAAAGUAUUCCUUAAAACGAUAAACUAAUAUAACCAAAAUAUUAAACAUCCAAUGUUUUAAUUGAAGGGAUAAUGACCAUUUGUACAAAAAAAAAAAAAAAAAAAAAAAAACCAAACCCUAUUCCAAUGACAAUGCAACAAGGCCUAAUAGUUAGUACCAAAUGGACAUUAUUCCAUGUUUUAAUAUAUAAGUUCUCAAACGAGAAUUAUUAUAUCAUAUUUAAUAUUUUAUAAGUAAUAUAUAUUUCAUAAAAAUACUAUUUAAUUAUUUUUAGACGGACUGGGUCAUUAACUGAUUGGAUCAACUCCGUUUAAUAUACGAGUUAACGGAUCCGGAUCAUUAAUUAACGGAUCAACGUGUCAAAAUUUUGAUCCAAACACGUUUAAAAACCAAGGAUCUGGAGUGGGUCUUGGUCAACAUUUGUUCCGUUUACAAGUCUAGUAGUGGGUGUUUUGCAACAAUGCUUUCUUCGGCGCAAUGUCGUCUCGUCGCUGAGGAGAAGCAGUAUGGGACUAAAUUUCAUAAGCGACGUUGUGGUGUGAUGACAGGGAUGACACAGCGGGGAAGAUGGUCCUGGUCAAUUUGUCGAUUGGGAUUGCGUCUCUCUGCUGUGUUUUGUAGCGAAUAUUGGAGGGUGCUGCGCUAAGUCCAGAUGGUGGAGCUCUCUGGUGGCGGCCGACAAUGGUGGUGGUGCAGAUCUCCGGUGGCUAGCAGAUCUGCCUCAGAUGCAUUUCCAAUCUUGUGGGUCGGGCUCUCUAUAGUAGGCACUAGACACAAUCACUCAUGCAUUUUAUGCACGGGAUAAAACCAGUAGAGAGAGUGGGGUUUGACUUUUCUGGUGGUAAUUUGUAAUUAACAGAAAAUGUACGUUAGUACAGAAAAGUAACUUUAAACAGACUAAUGACAGUAUUGUAAUUGCACAUAAACUGAUUACAUAAUUACAUCUAUUUUGCACUAGUAGAGCCGUAAAUAAGAAGAAAAUAAGGGACAUAACCGUAAUUUUCGGAACAUGAAUAGUGUAGCUACAGUGCAAGCUCCAAUGGGGGUUGGGACUAGGCUCUUUAGGGCCUAGAUUUGGGUUUUUUUUAGUUUUUAAUUUUUAAUUUUUAGGUUUUGUUGUUUGUUUUGAUUGGUUAGUUUUCAUUUUCUUUGAGUGAGGGUUUUGGAUUCCUCUUUGAGCAAGGAUUUAGGGUUUUGGUAGGUUGGUGUCAAGGUCAUGUCGUUGGGUGUGCCAUGGUUAUGGUGUUGUGUCCAUGGAUUAUUUUGACAUGUAAUAAGGGGGUUACAUGUGCAUAUAUGUUGGUAGUUAUGGCAUAUGGUGUUUGAAAUAGUUGUUUCAUCAUGAGAUUAACUGUAAGGAUGUAUCGAGACUUCUAGAAUAAAUUUAGAUUAUGGUUAAACUCUUAUCGGUUCUUGUCCACUGUAAUCGCUGGUGUUUUCAGAUAGGGAGGCGAGUGUAAAUUUAUUUCCACCACUGAUAUCUCCUAUGGUUGUAAUUUUAGAUUUUAUUAUAUAAAAAUUACCUCAAAAAAAAUUUCUAUGUAUUUCACAGCUUAUAUUUGCAAUUAACUACUUAUAUGUAAACGUACACAACUUAAUAACCAUAUGCACAAUUUGUUUAUGCGACGAGGAACUUAGUUAACAUCCACUCUUAUAAUGCGAAGUGUGGGUCUGGUGUCAAAGGCUUCACCAAUUUUUUGAAGUACACAAAUUGCCUUUUUUUUAAUUAUAUUUCAAUAACACUAUAAUUUAAUAUCAAAAAGGUUUUAUAGUACUGGGAAGUUGUGAGUUCGACUAUUAUGGAUCGUUAUUGUUGACUAUCCCUUACUUAUAUCUUGUAAAUGCAAUUAUUUCAUUUAUAAAAAAAAAAAAAGAUAUCUAGUAACCGGAUGCUAUUUAUCGGAAAUUUGGGUGAGUGAAAAACCGGCGGGCAAUAAAAAUACACAAAAAAACUGGAGUUAAAAGUUAAACACUUGUAGCGGUGGGCGGUAGCAAGCGGAGUUUAGGUCUGCGGUCAGUAUUCCCGCCCAAACUCAUCACACUGUAAUUCUAGGGUUUUGCCCAAGAAGAAGAACAAGUAUGACCAAGAAAUUAGUUCAACUUGAAGAAGAAAUUGAAGGAAAUAUCGUAGAGACAAACGACUACUUAUUUGAUAAGAUCGGCGAGGCCGUUCCAAUCACGACUGAUGAUUUCAGCUUCGAUCCCCAAAGCAGUCCCUCCCGGCCACUCGCCUUAUCGGAGAAACACGGCCUCGUCUUCGUCGCUCAUUCUUCCGGUAAGCUUUUACUCGAUUGCCUACCUCCGAUUUGCUUUCUGAUUUCCACAUAACCUAACAAGAAACUUGUUUCUUAGGGUUUUUCGUUGCGAGGACCAGAGAUGUUAUGGCUUCCGCCGCCGAGAUUAAGGAAAAGGGAAGAAGCGCUCCUUCUGCUUCUUCUGUACAGCAACUGAGUGUUGUGGACGUUACCCUUGCCAAUCUUCACAUUCUCGCACUCUCUACCGAUAAUUCUACUCUUGCAGCUACUGCAGAUGCCGAUAUUCGCUUCUUCUCCGUCGGUUCUUUCCUGGAUAAGGUGCUUUUCCGACUCCAAUUUUAGAUGCCUCAUGUUCCAUUUUGAUUAAGAUCCUCAUUAAUUCCUUGAACAUAGCUGCCUUUGAUUAUGCUUCUUCACACUUGACACCAUAAAUUACAUUUAUGAGAUAAAUCACUUGAUUGAUGUCAUUGGCCAAGCUGCUAGAUAUACAAAUUAGCUUCCGAGAAAGAGUACAGUGCUUCUGUACUUGUUAUAUCGAUUGGCUUCCUAGAAUUAUCCCAGCCAUUGGCGUAUCGCAUUGUCAUCAGCUUUUGGUUAUCGCUCUUUUGAACUGUUUAAACCAUGGGCCUUGCCGCAGGCGGUAUCGAGUUAGAAUGCUGCUAGCAAUCAUGUAGUUCUGGAAUUUGUUACUGCAAAAUACAGGUUUUAAGUCUUUGGUUUGUUCCACAUUAUGCAGGAUCUAGAACCAUCUUAUUCUUGCUCACUCAAUGAAUCCAGCUCUGUCAAGGAUAUGCAGUGGACAAAAAAAUCUGAAAAUAUGUAUGUGGUUCUUUCAAACCUUGGAAAGCUACAUCAUGGAACGAUUGGUGGCCCUCUGAAGGAUAUAAUGGACAACGUUGAUGCAGGUAUUUUCUUUUCUUUCAAUACAUCAUAUACGUUUGUAAGAUACAUCAUCUUGAUGAAUGAUGGUACUUGUUUCCUUAUGUGUCUGAUAAUUAAUGAACAUGAUCACCAUGCUAAGAACUUGAAUCUUGGGUUUAUCUGUUUGAACUUGAAACUUGCCACUUCCCGAUUGGUUGAACACAAUAGUUACCUUUGGCAUGUCAAAUCUGUAACUUUUUGCUUAUAUCUUUUUUUCUAAGAGAGGUGAAUUUGUUUUUUGCAUGUUGAUUUCAGUAAUCUACUGUACUAUACUGCAGUAGCAUAUGAUUCAGUUGUGAAGACAGUUUUGACAUCUCUGUCCAGAGGCAACGAACGAUAAGAUACAUUGUACCAUGUUCAGCUAAUGCUUAUCUUGACUUGUGUUUGGUCAUAGUUGAAUGGAGUCCAAAAGGAAAAUUAAUUGCUGUGGCAAGGAAGGAUACUCUCAACAUUUUAUCAUCUAACUUCGUUGAGAAGUCAUCUAUGCUACUUUCGUUCAAGUCCUGGAUCAAUGAUCCUGAUACAAACUGCAUCGUAAAAGGUAUGUCAGAUUUUACGGCUGUAUUUUGAUGCCUGUUUACUUGUUGUAUGCCUUUUGUCUCUACAUGAAAUAGGUUCUUCUCUUGUUCAUUAGAAAUUUGACCAUUAUCAACCUCUGAAACUGAAGUAUUUCUUCAAUCAUCAGUGGAUACUAUCAGGUGGGUUCGCUAUGAUAGCAUCAUUCUAGGAUGCUUUCAACUGAAUGCAGAUGGGAAUGAAGAAAAUUACCUCGUACAAGUAAUACAAAUCAAAGAUGGCAAGUUUUCUAAUGUAAGCAAUCUAUGGUUAAAUUUUUGCUUGUUAAAGGCUUCUUUUGUUCAGAUAUAUAAUCUGUUAUGUAGUUCCACAAUAUAUCAUAGCUUAAAGUCAAUAAAAGAGUAAAUGAGCUAUCACAUAAUUGGUAAACCAAGUUAAGGGUGUAAAACAGGAAUUUUUUUUUUCUCCUUUCAAAAGCCAUGUUAGAUCAGGAACUAAGGCUCAGGCCUAGGAAUGCCUUGCCUCCUUUUCUAUGUGGUUUGGUCUGGCACAACCUGUUGGCAAUGAGCUGUACCUGGCUUGUUUAUGCUGGUCCCGAGACAUCUCAUUGCAGAUGUGAUGAACUAUUGCUUCCUGACAGUGUUAAACACAAACUUUUGCUCUAUGGCCAUUAUACCUAUUCUUUUGGAAGGACAAGAAACCAGUUCACGCAAACAGUUUUUGCUCCAUUCUUGAAUUCGCUUCAGCUAAUUUUCUGUUUUACAUUUAAUGCUUCAUCUUUUAGUGGUGCUUUUACAAAUGUUUUAUGUAUAUUUGCACAUUUGGUUGCCGGUGUUUUAUGGUAUGUGCAAAGCUGUAUUCAUGGUUGUCUUUUGUCUAUUAUGGCUUUUGAAAUUCUCAACAGCAAGAGAGUUUUGCUUAAAAUAGAUAGGUUUAGUUGCAAGAAAAGAACAUAAACUAUAGUACCAAUCAGGUGGGUCCUAUGGCUUUUGAAAUUCUCAACAGCAAGAGAGUUUUGCUUAAGAUAGAUAGGUUUAGUUGCAAGAAAAGAACAUAAACUAUAGUACCAAUCAGGUGGGUCCUAUUGGCCCUUGAAUAUAACUUCUCAUACUCCAAUUUGUAUGGCACACACUUUCAACGUUUGGAUCUAUAUUCAUGAAGGUGAUGAAAUCAGGAAAGAAAAAACAAUAAUACGACUUUUACAUAAGCAUGGUGGUGAAGUGAUAGUUACUAAAUAAACGUGUUUUACAUAAGCGUGGUAAUUGCAUUUUAAGUGUAUUUUAAUGUUUUGAAACCUUUCUUGUAGGAUUCCUGCAAGCCAGUUGUUAUAUCUUUCUAUGAUAUGUUUUCAUGUCUUAUUGAUGAUAUUUUGCCGUCUGGAAGCGGACCAUACUUAUUAUUGAGCUAUCUGGAGGAAUGGUAUGGAUUCUCAUCAAGUCCCCUGUCUUGAGCUUUUAUCAGUUAACUGAAUGGUGGCCAACUUAUUUUGAUAUAAUUGUAAUGAGUAACUCGUUUUGCCAUUUGGUAAUAUCUUUGCAGUGAACUUGCAAUAACUGCUAACAGGAAGAAUGCAGAUCAGCAUGUUGUAUAUCUUAGCUGGUCGCUGGGAGAGGAGAGCAAUGAAGCUGUAAUUGUUGAUAUUGUACGAGAUACUUUGAAACCAAGAAUUGAGCUUCAAGGUUCUCAGUGUUUUGCUCUAGAUUAACUACUAAUGGUUCAAUUAAACUAAGACUAUUAUUGUUCAGUUAGUUGAGCUCCAUCCACAUAUUUUGUAGAUACCACCUGUCAGUUAGUUUCUCCAUUUUGAAGGCACUUGCAGGGCAUUUUUAAAUAACCUAAGUUUUCAUUUGACAAAUUAUAUGAUCACUUUGUGAAAAUAAGCUUUAUUAUUCAUUGAAUAUCAAUAUCCAUUUUUCACCAUAUAAUGGUCUCUUAUGCAUCAGCAGUCCAUUCAUCUCCUCUGUUGCUCUUGCUUUGUUAUGUUGGUUAUAUAUUAAUCAGUCUAAUUUUUUUCUUGUUUCAGAAAAUGGUGAUGAUAAUUUGAUUAUGGGGCUCUGUGUAGACAAAGUUUCAGUAAGCCAGAAAGUUAGUGUCAGACUUGGAAUGGAACAGAGAGAACUCUCACCAUUCUGCAUUCUCAUUUGUCUGACACUAGACGGAAAGCUAGUUAUGUACCAUGUUGCCAGGUAGCUUCUUGGUGCUCUCAAAUUUCUAAUUAUGCCUCAGCAUGUAGUUCUUUAUUUUCUGGAUAGCUGUUUAAGUUUCUCACUUGUUGCGCUGCAGAGUCUUUAAGUAUUAUUACUUUUAUAAACUUUAAUCUGGUUUACCUGUAUUAGCAACUGAUUUUUGCUUUCUUCCUUUCUUUUCUGUAGUGUUAGUGAUGUUACAGUUAAGCCUGCUAGUGUUUCUAGCAUUUCUGAUGAGGAAGAGGAUUCUACUGCAUUGGUACCUGUAGCAUGCGAACCAGCUAAAUUGUCUCCCGAGCUGCGGAAGGAACAAUUUGGAAAUCUUGCUGUGGAUGCUCCUUUGGGUAAUAAGAACAUAAAGGAACUUGACAGAAAAGUAGGUCUUGAUGUCCUUACAAAAGAUGACCAGAAGUCUCUCAUUGUAAACGAGACUUCUACGCUUAAGAAAGAAAGUACCGACAGUAACAAGAAAGUGGAGACUUUAACUAGUUCUCAGUCGUUUAAAGGUCAACAAGAACUUGCUUUCUCGAACCCGUACUUAAACAAAAAUGGCAAACAAGUGCAUCUUCCUCCUGUACAGGAAAACAGAGAUAUACAACGUGCAUCUACUGAUUCUUUUUCCCAAGAUGGACGUAGUCUUGUGUUCAGGGACUUGAGCAAGAUAGGAACUGAAGAAAAUGUUGUAUUUGGAACUAGCAGUGUUGAGAUGGGGGUAAAAUCUCUAGGAAAAAUGGAGUCUGCAGAUUUACAAAGGGUUUCAUCUCAGUCCUCGUCAAGUGGAAAUAUCACAACUUCAGCUGGCACUGAUGUGAAAUCUUCAAUUUUGCCUUCAACUUUUAUUGAAGGUAGCAAAUCUGGAACAUUGACUACAUUAAGCUUUUCUGGUAUGCCGAUUGAGAAUAGGGAAAGGAGACCAUCAGCUGCGGCUGGAAAGAUUGCAUCAGUACCUCCCAUUUCUAGCUUCCAAAUGUCAUCACAGGAUAGUUUUUUGAUUGGCAAGUCUUUCAACCACAAGAUUCAUCCAUUGAAGGAAAAUUACAGUGAACUCUCCCAGUCAAGGCUGAACUCUGAACCGAGUUUAUCCAAAAAAUUUGGCAAUGUAAAGUCCAUGUCUAUGACCUUUCUUUUUAAAGAUUCUACAUCUCUUUUGUUCAUUUCAUUUCUUAGUUUCCGGUCAGAUCUUACAAUUAUCUAAAGGACUUAAAAGGACUUUAUAAACAAAGCAAUUUGAGUGAGGUAAACUUAAUAGCUAUAAGUGAUCAGUCUAUUCAGCGUUCAAAUUUGCUGUGCUAUGCAUACAAUAUUUACAAGUGUUAUGCUGAAGUCCAUUUUGUUCUGUCCUUUGUUAAUGUUAAUGCUAAAUACUAAAUACUAAAUAAAUUUACAUUAACUUUCACCAUUUUCUGCUUACUCUAUUUGUCGUGUUACUUUUCCUUGGGUUUUCCAUGUAAUGUGUUUAGGAGAAAAAAAAAAUAACACUAGAUUAUAUUUAUAAAGACCGGAUUAGAUUCAUUUGCCUCUUUGGGUUUCUUGUCUAAGCAGUUUCAGGAUGCUUUUAUUCUGCUUGUUAUGUGUUUGUAGGAGGCCUUUUCUAAGCUAUUACUUGACCUUCUCCUUCUGUAUUUUUCUUCCUUCAUAAAAUUUAUCGUCUCACUAUGUUUCUACAUCGUUUUUUAUAUGUAUAUUGUAGUUAUUUUUCUCUUCUUCAGUUGGCGGUAAGGAAUGUUUGUGGGACUGAAGUUUCUCAUUUUCAGAGUUAUAUCAUUUUGCUUUUUUCAUCCAGAUGAAAGAGAUGACCAAGGAGUUGGAUAUGUUCCUACAAUCUAUAGUGGAACCAGGUGGUUUCAGGGAUGCCUGCAUUGUUAAUCAGAAAAGUUCUGUUGAAGAAUUGGAGAGAGAGGUUGGGAUUCUGUCUGAGAGAUGCCGAAUGUGGAAGGUGAUGUUUCCCACUUAAUUUCCUAAUUUUUUUUCUUUUAAUUGGAUAAUUUCACUUUCAUAAGUUCUGUGUGUGUUUGUGUUUUUAUUUUUUUUAUUUUUUAUAUUUAAUUUAGUUGCUUUUUAUCUGAGUUUUGGAAACAAAAAGUUGUUCGUGCAUUGCUAAUCAAGGAAUUAUCAAAUAUUUCUAAUGGAAACUUUUCUUUUUCUCUGUUCUGGUCAAUUACAAUUGUUUCGAUCACUAAGUUAGAUUCUUGGUUAUUUUUGUACUUUGCAGAGCACUAUGGAUGAACGACUUAAUGAAGUUGAACAUCUUUUUGACAUGACUGUACAAGGUACUUUUAAUGCUGCAAAUAAAAUUUCCUAAGCAGAAUGUUUUGUAUCUAUACAUGGAAAAACAUAUACAUAACUCUUGAUGGAAGAAAUGAUUGUUCAAUUGGUACAGUACUGGCACGGAAAAUAUACAUGGAGGGGAUUGUGAAACAAGCUUCUGAUAGCCGAUAUUGGGACUUCUGGAGUUGUCAGAAACUGAGUUCAGAACUUGAGCUGAAGAGGCGACAUAUUUCCAAAAUGAAUCAGGUCAGACUUGUUCUAUUAAUGUUUUUGAAACAUUCUUCCCCAUUAUUAUCUAUUUAAUGAUUUCUAUUCUAUCUAUCUUUGUGUACCCAUUUUUGCAAUGUUGAACAUUUGGAAAGCACUAAUAAAGGUUGCUUUCUUUUAUUGAAUGUAUUUCAGGAUUUGACUGAUCAGCUAAUUAAGUUGGAAAGGCAUUUUAAUGGCCUUGAGCUUAACAAAUUUGGUGAAGAUGAUGGAGCUCGUGCUGGUCGAAGCACUUUGCAAAGUCGAUUUGGGCAUUCAAGGUAGAUUAUGUGUUUGGCUGUAAUCAGAGAUCGAGUGAAGUCCACUAUUUUAUGCUACCUUCUUUUAAUUCUUAAUAACAUGAAAGACACAAUCUGAAUAUACAGAAGUUUGGUAGAAGGAAUGCCUUAGAGGAAAAGUACAAAUCUAACAUAUGCCAGGUUAGGGGCCACUGUUAAAGUCUUAGUUUCGGAUCAAAGAUAAAAAAAAAAGGGAGAAAAGAGAGAAGUAUGUGACGGAGAGAGGAGAAGUAUAUGUUUAAUAAGAAAAUCAUAAAAACAUAAAAAAAACUUACAAAACUAUGCUUUGUUUUUUUUCAUUUUUCCCUGGAUCACUUUAACUUCAUAACCACUUUCAUUGCUUAUCUGCCUUUUUCCUUUCAAAAAUAAUGAUAAUUCUCAAAAAUAUAUUAGAUGCGCAUUAAACUAAGCUUGCAACCUGUGGGGAGUUCUUUCCAAGCAGUUCAAUCCAACUCUGCAAUUGAGAUUAUAUAGAUAGCGAUUUUGUAUUAGGUCAUUAGCAUCAGGCCAUUAAGGCCUUCUAACUUCACUGAGGUAUCCUGUUGCAGGCACAUUCAGUCCUUGCAUAGUCUACAUAGCACAAUGACUUCACAAUUAGCUGCGGCUGAUCAACUUGCUGAGUGUCUAUCAAAACAAAUGGUGGCACUAAAGAUUGAGUCGCCUUCUGUAAAACAGAAGAAUGUGAAAAAAGAGUUGUUUGAAACUAUAGGGAUCCCUUAUGAUGCUUCUUUCAGUUCCCCUUCCCCAGAUGUGUCAAAGUUUCGUGGUACUCCAAAAGAUAAACUAUCAUUCUCUUUGGGUUCAUCUGCCGCUAAAGAUCAACCCAGGAGAAAUGCGAGCGCCACAAAGAAUUAUGAACCAGAAACUGCAAGGAGGAGGAGAGAUUCACUGGAUAGGGUAAUGAUUCCUUAAAUUCUGUCUUUUUGCAUCCUUUAUUGAAAAAGCCACUUUCUGCAUGACUCAUGUUUACUUUUGUGUUUUAUGGUCAUGAUCAAAGAGCUGGGCAAAUUAUGAGCCUACAAAAGCCACCGUGAAAAGGUUGCUUUUGCAAGAAAGUGGAAAGGUAAGUGUAAUUAGGUCAUCAUUAUCAGUUGAUAAGCAGCACAUUAGCUCUCGCCUGCUGGAGGGAUCAGCCGUUGCUCGUCCACGGGAUCACACAGUGCCUGCAACAUUCUUUCAUCCACCUGAAAGCAAAGGUGAGCUCUGAAAUUUAAAGGCGGAAAGAUAUCCGAAUUCAUUCUUGUCUUUGAUAGGUAACUCUUGCUCAUUGUUUCUCUUGCAUGUAAUUAUAUUUUAAGCAGGCAUUCAGGAUAUACACCCAAAACAGGCUUUGGAAAACCCAGCACCUCCAUUUGUUUUGCCAAAGGAAUUAGUGAGGCAAAAUCUUAUGAGGGAAACUAACAUGACAGCAGAAAAAUCUGGUGAGGGCAUAUCAUCUGUUAAGAAGUCUGAAUCGGUAUCUGCAAAGGAAAAGUCUGUGCCAUCUGACACUCGUCAGAAACCAUCAACUUUUAUGGAACCUACCCAGACAUCCUCAUUGCUUAAGAAACCCAAUGAUAUGCUAAAUUCAUAUACCAAAGAUGGUGCACGUCCAACUGAAUAUAGUGUGAAGGAUAAGCCUUUGAACACAACAGUUCCAUCUCUGGAAUCUGGGAAAAAACAUAAUUCUCCAUUCUCUCCCUCAUUCCCUGUUUCUGUUGCCCCUUCUGCCACAUUCUCAUUGUCGGUUUCAGCAUCCCCAUCUUCAAUAUUUAGUCCCUCAUCAGCUCCUCUAUCGUCUUUAUCAAGUUCCUCAUCAGCUUCUCCAUCCUUAUCCUCUGUGAUGCCUCCCAACAGACCAUUGGGUAACUCCAACACUACAGCAGAUAUGAAUAAACCUGCCUCAACAUCCCCAGUAUCAGCUUUUCCCUCUCCAGUUGUUGUACAGUCUGGUUCUUUCUCAUUGAAUGUUUCAAAAUCAUCGGUGCCCUCAGACAUUUCACCUGCGACAAAGUCAGCAAUGGAAUCUCAAAAAACAGAGAUUGAACCUUUCUCAAAGACUGCGGUGAAUUCUGAUACUACAGCACCAGCAGUGGAAUCUGGACCUUCCCCUGCUGAAACUAAUUUUAAUCUCAAACCUUUGAUAUUGGCUCCCCUUACAGUUGAAGCUUCAACAGCAAUAGCACCUGGAAAUCUGUCCAGUCUCAGCAAUGCUAGUCCUGCGCCAGUAGUGGCACCUGGAAGCCAACCCAGUGUGAAGAAUACAUUAGGUCCUACACUUAAUUUGACUGUAAAUACUCAGCAGGAAACGACGUCUGCUGGACAAUCUCUAUUCCCAUUAGCCCCCUCCAAUUCAGGGAGUGUUGCUAGUAGGACUGUAGAUGUCCAAAAUGCCCAGGAGGAUGACAUGGAUGAAGAGGCUCCUGACACCAGUAGCCCAGCUGGACUUAAUUUAGGAAGCCUUGGUGCAUUUGGGCUUGGCUCUUCCCCUAACCCAACUGCUGUUAAACCCAAUCCAUUUGGUGGAUCAUUUGGUAAUGCAGCAACAAAUAUGACAACUUCGCCUUUCCCCAGGACUAUUCCUAGCGGAGAGUUGUUUCAGCCUGCAUCUCUUAACUUUCAAUCUCUGCAGCCUUCUCCAUCAUCCCAGCCGGCAAAUCCAGGUGCAUUUGCUUCUGGGUUUGGCACUGGUACUAUUGCCCAAUCUCCCAGUCCGAGUGGGUUUGCCCAGCCAUCCCAGGUUGGACCAGGGCAGCAAGCAUUAGGAUCAGUUCUGGGUGCUUUUGGACAGUCAAGACAGCUUGGUACUGUUCUACCAGGAACUGGUUUUGGAUCACCUGGUGGUUUUGGAGGUGGCGUUGCUAGCAAUAAACCUCCUGGUGGUUUCUCAGGUGCUGCUACCGGAGGAUUUGCUGGUGCUUCUUCUACUGUUGGUGGAUUUGCGGCUGUGGCUUCUGGUGGUGGUGGAUUUGCUGCUUUGGCUUCAGGGGGCGGGGGCUUUGGCGGUGCAGCUUCAGGGGGCGGGGGUUUCGGCGGGGCUGCUUCAGGGGUUGGGGGUUUUGGCGGUGCAGCUUCAGUGGUAGGGGGUUUUGGUGGUGCAGCUUCAGGGGUUGGAGGAUUUGGUGGUGCAGCUGUAGGUGGUUCGGGAUUUGGUGGGGCAGCUCCUGCUGGUGCGGGAUUUGGUGGGGCAGCUCCUGCUGGUAGCGGGUUUGCAGGAACCAAUGCAGCAGGUAGUUUUCUUAUUAAUUUCUUUUUUCCCAUGAGUUGUGUUCUAUGUGUUGAGAUAUUCAGCUGAUCCAUAUCUUGUAAAUACGUUCAGGUGGUGGAUUUGGUACAUUCGGCAGCCAGCAAGGAUCUGGUGGUUUCUCUGCUUUUGGUAGUGGAGGAACCGGAAAGCCUCCAGACUUGUUCCAGAUGAGAAAGUAACGGAUUUGAGUUUACCAAACUUGAUGUAUGCUUACUUGUCAACCCUAUGAAUGUUGUUUGAGAAACUUGUUUGGGUUGAUGGUAUUCCCGGUUCUCAUUGUACAGGUCUCCCUGUAGUCUGCGAUAAUACAAUUUUGAAGUAUAGCUGAGCAAUUUUAUUCCCCCUGCAUCCACCGCCUGUUAAUUUCUAGCACUUUCAAAUUUGCACAUGUCUGGUUAGCACUUUCAAAUUUGCUCAUAAGUUCAAAGAAAGUAACCAAGGAACCUUGGUCCAUAAGUCCAAAGAAAGUGACCAAUGAGCCAUGACACUUAUCAAGGUAAAGGCUGGUAACAUCUCCAAAUCCUUACCUCCGAUUUAUUUCUGAAAAUCAAAAGGACUUGCUUUGCAGAACCCAGAGGGCCCGCAGCCGACAAGCCCACAAGAUCCAGGCCCAACACGAACUAGGCAGCAAACCUAAUCGUAGAUGCCGCCUUCUCCCUCAGUCAAACCUCCAGCACGACUGUACCCACCGCCGCAACUGCUGCAGUACCCAUAAACUCACCAAUCUUCGAUGGGUAUGACCAACGAGCCGUAUCUGGCACCUUUGAACCAUCUUGGUCGAGAAUCCGAGCCACCGUAGACCCGCCACUGAUUGGAACAAAGGGCAAGAACCGCGGCCACAAAAUGGCUCCACAUAACACGUACCAUUUUCACUUUUUAGUUGAGGUGAAUUACUUUCCAAACUGUCAAAAACCUCUUAUAUACCACAAAAACUGGCACGUAAGAUGAGGUGGUUUCCAGAAUGUGAUUGACCUAACAUUAUAACAGUCUCAUCUCAUUCCCUAUUUAUGAACUAGAUAGAUAAAAGCCUAAAAGAUAAAUUGAUAACUACCUAAACAUGCUCUCUAAAAUAGUUAACGAGCCAAUAUUGAGAGUAUACUAAAACUGUUCUUAUACUCUCAUUGCCACCUGCUGUCCUCUUCAACACCACCAAGGAAACUCGGUGAAGAAAAUUUGGUUAUCAUUUACCGUUAUACUAUACUUUAUUACAAAACAGAACCACUUGUUGCAUACCAAACAACAAAAAGAGGAGAUCAGGGAGGGAAAAGUCCCCCGUGUCUGAUAUGAAUGUUCUGGUCUAAAUGGCUUCUCAAUCCCGGCUAGUUGUCACACUGGCAGUCCUAAUUCAGAAAUCUUCAUUAUGUGUUUGUCCAUCACAGCCUUCUGCGUUUUCAGUUCUGAUGUCAUUGCAGCAACCUAAAUCAAACAUAAUCAUAUCCAUUAAAACGAAGGACAUGAUCAGACACAUAUUGUUAGGUGUGUGUUUGGGAUAUGAGACUAUGAAACAACACAAUCUAGUGUAAACAUAGUGUUUAGCUUGCCUGUGAUCUGAGCUUCAAAGCUUCCCCGCUAGGAAUUUCUCGCAACCCAUCCAUCAAAUCUACACAAGAAAAUGUCAUAUAAUGGGGAAUGUAAUGUGAGGUCAGGUUGAGUAAUUUUCUCCAAAUUCAAGUUUGUCACAAGUUAAUUCAGAGUCGUGACAGAUAAAGAAACUCUCAAGACCAAGUUGAAGUCUCUCCCAUUUACACUUAGAUAUAACAAAAGGGAAAGCGAGAAUCAGUAAUGAAUGCAAACCUGCAGCUUGGGAGUCAACCUUGCGCAUAGAUUUGGACAGAGAUUGAAUCCGACUUCCCACAUCCCUGCAUACAUUUGUUUAAAUAAUCAGACACAGAAGGUCAAUAAGAAUUUGUAUAGGUAAAGUUGAUGUAGAAUGGGGGGUGUACAUGAGAUCAGUUUGGCCAACUUUCAUAUGUUUUUCAGCAUAACCUGCUCUCUCAAGAAGUUUCUUGCUCUCCUGCUUCAUCAGAUCAACAGAAAGGUUGAGCUGGUUUACAUUCUUCUCAGCUUUGGCAUAUUUUGCCUGCACAUAAAACAUAUUAAUCAAUUCCAGAAGAAAAGGAAACCUAGGUGUGAAAGUUGUUUUGAGACAGAGAGAGAGAGAGGAUAAACAGAAAACAACCUCCAGGCUCUGAAAUCGACCCAAUGUAUUGCGAAACAAGAACCUUCUUGGUCCUGCAGAAAUGAGGAAUGUAAUAUAUGAGUGCAGAGAGCAAAAUAGGGGCAGAAUAUGAAGGUGUAGGGUUAACUAAUACGAAGUGGAAGACCUCGUAAAAAAAUGAAGGCGGCAGUAAGGCCAAUUCCAAUGGUGGAGGCUGGGUUUUCGGCUGCUCUCUUCACUCCUUCUGCAGCAGUGGCAUUGUGUAGUCAAAUUACAAAUAAUUUCACACAAACAGAAACAAAAUAGUAAUCGAUUUUCAAUUCGAAUCGAGUAAUUGAUCAGGGUGGGUAUUACCUUUGAUUUUGUGGAAGAAAGCAUGUUCGUAGGUCCUGUAUUUGGAGGCGGCUUUGUCGAUGUAUCCCGGCAUAUUAUGUUGGAGAAUCCGAGCAGAACGCAUGGCGGAGUCCCUGGAUUGCAUCACCGAACGCUGCAGAUCCUCCGCCAUCAAAGCCAUAGAAGCCGCCGCUGCUUCUGCUUCUGCUGCCACUCCCUUAUACUUCCCUUCAUCGCCUUCGUUCUUCUUAAUCUCCGGUGACGGCGUCGUCGGCUCCUCCUCCGCCAUUUUGAGUCUCCCUCUCUCGCUUUUUGGGGUUUGCAGUGCCUUUCGUAAAGGAGGUUGGGCCUCUCUCUCUCUGUGAGGCCCAAUUGAAAAAGAGAGGGCCCAAUGUGUCUGUAAAACAAAAGGAACGGUGGUGCCGGAUGGAGGGCACCUAAAGGUCAAUGAAGACUGUCUCUUUACUGGAAUGUGAAUUUAGUUAAGGGGUUGUAAUUAUUAGUUUAGCACCAGCGAUACAGAUACACACGAGAUGAGACACAGUUGUUUGUUGUAGCAGUUGCCCUUGAGCCCUUGCCCAACAAAGAAACAGGAGGAGGUAGAAGAAGAAGAAGAGAGGAAUGAGUUGGCGCCGAGGGGGUUACAGACCCUAAUAAAUAUAUAAAAUUGAGAGAGAUAGAGAGGGAGAGCAGUGGAGAGGAGUCUAUGAUGCUUUGCGAAGCAUUGCGUGAUCGAAUACAGGCAUGGCUUCGUGACUACGACAGGCUUCAAUAUCUCGCCGUCAUCCUCCUCUACAUUCAGGUAUCUUUUCUUGAUUCUUGAUUCUUGGUUCUUGGUUCUUGGUUCUUGAUUGGUACAAGUGACGAGGGUUUCAAUCAAUGAAUCAAUGAUAUGUAUCUUGUUGUGUAUAUGCAUAGAUUGCUUGCGCAUUAUUAGGAUCGCUGGGAGCAUUGUACAACGGAGUGUUGCUGAUCAAUCUGGCCAUUGCCUUGUUCGCUCUGGUCGCCAUCGAAAGCAGCAGUCAGAGCCUCGGCCGCACUUACGCCGUCCUCCUCCUCUGCGCUAUCCUCCUCGAUGUCUUCUGGUUCAUUCUCUUUUGUCACGAAAUCUGGAUUCUUAAACCCGGCGAUUAUACAUCUCUGUAUAUCUUUUCAGUCAAGCUCACUCUCGCUAUGCAAAUCAUCGGCUUCUCUAUCCGGUUUUCCUCCUCAUUCCUGUGGAUUCAGAUCUACAGGUUGGGCCUAUCCUAUGUAGUCGAACCUGCCCCAACUCCUAGAGAUGCCGAUUUUGAUUUACGCAAUAGUUUCUUGAGUCCAACUACUCCCACGCCUGCUGUACUUAGACAAACCUCCGAUUCUAGUGAUGCCUUAGGAGGCUCUAUCUAUGAUCCUACUUAUUACUCCUCACUCUUCGAAGAGGGCCAGGUGUGUUACCUCUCUAUUCAACCUCUUUUUCAUACUCAAUAUCAGUUUUUUUCAUGUGCUCUUUCUGUUUGCAUAAUCAUUGCACAUUUAAGUGAAGUUUACGAUUAACAAUUUAGGGAAUCAUAACUCAAGAGAUUGCUGAUUUUAGAGAACAGAGUUAGAUUCUUCAAUUGUCUAUGAAAAAGUUAGUCUUACUUCUGAUAGUGUAUAUUAGGAAUGUAGUACGCCGCUUAGAAUUCCUAAGGUUGCCAUAUCUGUACCUUUAUUCAUGAGAAGAUGAUAUCCAUGUCAAUGAAGUUGAAUCCAUUGGAAGGUACUCCUAAUCUCCGAGGUUGAGAAAUACUAAAAACACUGUCAUGGAGUAAGCUUUUGAACUUGAAGGCGUUCUCAUUGGGACCCUUGUUUUGGGAGGUGAUAAUAUACCUAUCCUGUCGUCACAGCUUGUUUUUUUGAGUCUUUUUCUUUUUUUUUUUUUUAGGUGGAACAGCAUGGCUGUCACUUCUCGGUGUAGCUUCAGUUUGCUUCUUUCAUAAAAAGUUGACAAUAAAAAUAAAUAGAUUAAGGCUCUAGAGUCAAAUGUCUUUUCGAUCGCCUCUAUUUUACAAGUGAGGAUAUGGCUGUGUGAGCAAAGAGAGAAGAAUGUCAUCGUUCAUUCCAAGGAGGUCACUAAAUUGUGUCGGCGUUCUGAUGGCCUCUGAUAGUGUUCUGCUUUGGGUCAGGAGGGACAGACUCUCAAGUAACACUAGUAUGGUGCCUUAGAAGAUCUCUCUUGUUUUGCUGCUCAAAGCAUGUCAGAGAAAGAUCCAAGGAUUUGGAUUUUUCUGAUAGGUUCAGCACGCAAGAGAUGAGUAUGUAAAAUCCCUUAGGUAGGACAGUACAUCGUCACAUGACAACAAUUAAUAGUUGAGGACUCAUGGACCUUUUGUCUUACAGAUCAGACUGUACAAGUUCCUUGAAGCUGGGUUUAUAAGAAAAACUUUUUAUCUAGCAUCCUUUCUACUUCCUAGCAUGAUGGUUUUGAGUUUUGAUGUUAAUCCAAGUGGGGAAUGAAAUGGACUAGUAUUAUGUUUUGAAGUAUGGAGUUGUCUAUGUUCUGUUUCCUCAUAUUUGAUCCGGAAAUUCUGUAAUAUUCAAACAUACAAUUAUCACUUGUAGGACGUAAUUUCUCAAACAAAAACCUACUUAACUUUAAUGAGGACCUUAUUUACCUUAACGAACACUUUUUUGUAGUUACCACAAGAGUUGUUGAAGUGUAACAUGUGCUCUGAAGUAAUGACAUAGGACUUCUAUGAGGAAUGUUAGCAUACCAUAGUGUUAACCAACAUUGUACUUGUCCAUUAGAAGGUCGCACUGACCUUUCUUAAGGAACAGUUUAGUUUGUUCUAUUUCUUUAGAUCUGUUCAUAAUAUUGUUCUUGUCCAUCUGAAAGUGGCAUUGCACUUUGUUAGCUGUUCCUGAUUUGAAAUCACUGUUGUUAUUAGGGAAAAUGUUACAGUGGCAAUGGAUCUACAUCUGCUGCUGAAGCUUCUAAGGUGAAACCAUCUGUAGUCAGAUCUUUUCAGUCAGAUGUAAGUAUUAUUGAACACCUUUUCACCUUCUUUUUUUUAAUUUUUUUUUAUGAAAUUAGCAAUAUAAUGUGUUACGUUGUGGGGUGUGAUCCCCACUGUCCUCCCAUGGGGUAAACAUUAUGAUUUGAUAGGUUCAAUGAUUUCUCCCCUACUCCAAUAUUAACUUCAUAUGUUUGGUUAAAAUGUUGAAUAUUGGUUGCAUAGAAUUUUGUUGUUAUGUACCUUGUUUUGAACUGAGAUAGAGUUCUUGACUGGAACCUUGUAAAAUACAAUUACUGCUUUCCAAGACUGAUUGGAUAACGGUUUGUCGUUAUGAAUCCCAUGUACUUGCAACUCUUGUCAUGCAAAUUAUAAAAAAAUAUGAAUUAAAAUUUGUUUAGUCCUUGUGGUUUGAAGUCGACAUUUGUUUAGUUCUUGUGGUUUUAUUUUAAUCUGAAUAGUCCUUAAAGUCGUGAUUUUUCAUCCAAAAAUAUGUUAAAAUAAAAACCAUAAGGACUAUUUGGAUGAAAAAUCGUGACUUUAAGGACUAUUCAGAUUAAAAUAAAACCAUAAGGACUAAACAGAUGUCGACUUCAAACCAUAAGGACUAUACAAUAUUUUACCCAAAAAAUAUUGUGCAAAUUGAUGUCGGUCGUCCUGCUUUGAAAUGCUUUCUAUUCUCUUACUUCAAUGUUGCUCUCAUGCAGUUUUUUUUGGGCAUUAAACUUCGCUACCAAUGUAUCAAGUAUUCCUUUGUUUUUAGAGAUAGUAUUAGUAGUUGUUUUCCUGCUUGAGUAUAGUAGGAUAUUAAUUCAUCCAGAAGAGUUUCAAUUUAGCUGCUUCUAACUUGAUUGGGGUCCUUGCAGGAGAAGACAGCAAGCCAGCAUUCAAUUUAAUUUUGAAUAGGGUUUUCUCUGUUUUUUUUUGAUCCACUCCCAUUAUUGUUUAGAGGAUCAUUCACUUAGUCACUGCGGCCGGUUUGAGCAUUGGGGAGUGGGGCUUGUACAGUCAAACACACUAUUAAGCAUUUUUGCCUAGAUGGAAGCUGUCGAUCAAAGUAGAGUACCCAUGUGGUUUGGUAUGUCAAAAGCUUGGAUCAGGAUUCGAUCCCCAUGCUCGUGAUUUGGACGAUGUUUCUUGGAUGUGCAAUUACAUUUGGCAUGUUGUAUUGGCUGAAUGUCCAAUCAGGCAUGAUCCAUGUAAUGUGUGUCAACUUUCGGGAUAUGCAAUUAGGCAUUGAUUGUAAGCAGAUUGUGCAGCGGGGAAGUUGACAAGUGUAUCCUGGUCAAGUAACCCAGGCAAUUGCUUCUUGGCCCCGUAAUAUAAAGGUUUGGUUGAUCAUUCAGUUCAGCCGACCUUUGGUUUUAAAUAGAUCAAACACUCCGUGGCUAUAUCUUCGACUUCGACUAUAUAAUUGCAGAUUUUUUCAAGUGUGUAUGUUUAGUUGUCUAGUUAUAGAAAACCGUGGGUAACUAGACUUUGAUAAAAUAACCUUUUUUAUUUUUAUUUUUUUAUUUUUAUUUUUUAUCAAAAGAGCCAGCCAUUUCAUUAUAAUUCAUCAAGCAAUACAAAAAUGAAACACCCUGAAUAGGGUCGACAGAAAGAAUCGCCACAUAACAUGCCUAAUGUUAUUUUUAAUUUCUGGAAUAAAAGUUUCAUAGUAUUAAGAAGAUAGUCAAGAUACUGGAUAGUCACAAUAUAUACAACCACAUCAUAUUAACUGUAGUGGUUGGUUCUGAUGAAUUCUUUUAAUGAAGACCCUUAAAAUGAGAACCAGUUGAGGAAUCUCUAAUCAAUGGUUUGAGAGAAUUGCAUUUCAAUCACAUUUUGACAUCUCAACCAUUUAUUUUUUAGGUAUACAUGAGUGUAGGAUCACUUUGCAAACUUUCAGCCAAUUGGCGACUAUUAAGGUAUCAAAAUAGAUCAUGUCAAUGGACGAACAAACUGUCAGAUAUAAACCCUUUAAGUUCAUAAUUGAUAAAUUACAAUUAUGAAUACCAACACCUAUGCAGGGGCACCUCUUGGGUGUGGGAUGAAACCCUGUGAAUAGAUCAUCAUGAAGACGAAUGCAACAUGAAGAAAUGAUAGUUGGAAGUGUUGAUUUUACAUUUAGGUUUCGACAUAAUAAAGCUUAGAAUGUCUUUUCAUCGCAUUUGGUGAUUAUUCAAAUUGAUUCCACUACGGUGCCACAUAUUCGUAAACUGAUUCUAAGGAAUCGUACAACAGGCAUAAGCCAGCGUACGGCAGAAGGGCUCAUGUUAGUCCUUAACUUUCAAAAUUUGAUUUGUUUUUAUUUACCUUGGGGCUUGGGAGGGGGGGGGCACAUUUGGAGUGUGGGAUGAAACCCUGUGAAUAGAUUGUCUUGAAGAUGAAUGAGACAGGAAGAAAUGAUAGUGGGAAGUUUUGAUUUUACAUUUAGGUUUCGGCAUAAUAAAGCUUGCAUCGUCUUUUCACAGUCAGGCGCAUAACACAUUUGGUGAUUAUUCAGGUCAAUUCCACUAAGGUGCCACAUAUUCGUAAACCGAUUCUAAGGAAUGGUAUGACAGGCUUAAGCGGGCAAUGUACUAGUUUAAGUAAGCGCUAGUUUACAAAAUUUCCAGUGGCAAAGAUAUGUCGUUUCUUUUAGAAUCUUGCUAAAAUCAUCGUCGCAGACGACCAUUAGCUACUAACUAGAGGUAUUGCUAACCCAUUUUUUAAAAAGAUGGAUUAAAUUUCUCAGUUUUUUUUGAUAGUAGCUACUAACUAGAUCAUCUUUAUAAAAAGAUGGAUUAAAUUUAGUUUACUCCCUCAAACUUUAGCUUUAAAAUCAGUUUGGUCCGUGAACUUGUUUUUUAAUCACUAUGAUCCAUAUACUUUCAAUUUUCAUCAGUCUUCUCCAAUUUUUGAAUUUGACUCUAACCAUGACGUCACAGGCUGAGUUGGCUCCAACAUAAGGACCUAUUUUUCAAACUUUGACCAUCUCAGCAGGGUAUAAUUGACAUUUACACAUANNNNNNNNNNNNNNNNNNNNNNNNNNNNNNNNNNNNNNNNNNNNNNNNNNNNNNNNNNNNNNNNNNNNNNNNNNNNNNNNNNNNNNNNNNNNNNNNNNNNNNNNNNNNNNNNNNNNNNNNNNNNNNNNNNNNNNNNNNNNNNNNNNNNNNNNNNNNNNNNNNNNNNNNNNNNNNNNNNNNNNNNNNNNNNNNNNNNNNNNNNNNNNNNNNNNNNNNNNNNNNNNNNNNNNNNNNNNNNNNNNNNNNNNNNNNNNNNNNNNNNNNNNNNNNNNNNNNNNNNNNNNNNNNNNNNNNNNNNNNNNNNNNNNNNNNNNNNNNNNNNNNNNNNNNNNNNNNNNNNNNNNNNNNNNNNNNNNNNNNNNNNNNNNNNNNNNNNNNNNNNNNNNNNNNNNNNNNNNNNNNNNNNNNNNNNNNNNNNNNNNNNNNNNNNNNNNNNNNNNNNNNNNNNNNNNNNNNNNNNNNNNNNNNNNNNNNNNNNNNNNNNNNNNNNNNNNNNNNNNNNNNNNNNNNNNNNNNNNNNNNNNNNNNNNNNNNNNNNNNNNNNNNNNNNNNNNNNNNNNNNNNNNNNNNNNNNNNNNNNNNNNNNNNNNNNNNNNNNNNNNNNNNNNNNNNNNNNNNNNNNNNNNNNNNNNNNNNNNNNNNNNNNNNNNNNNNNNNNNNNNNNNNNNNNNNNNNNNNNNNNNNNNNNNNNNNNNNNNNNNNNNNNNNNNNNNNNNNNNNNNNNNNNNNNNNNNNNNNNNNNNNNNNNNNNNNNNNNNNNNNNNNNNNNNNNNNNNNNNNNNNNNNNNNNNNNNNNNNNNNNNNNNNNNNNNNNNNNNNNNNNNNNNNNNNNNNNNNNNNNNNNNNNNNNNNNNNNNNNNNNNNNNNNNNNNNNNNNNNNNNNNNNNNNNNNNNNNNNNNNNNNNNNNNNNNNNNNNNNNNNNNNNNNNNNNNNNNNNNNNNNNNNNNNNNNNNNNNNNNNNNNNNNNNNNNNNNNNNNNNNNNNNNNNNNNNNNNNNNNNNNNNNNNNNNNNNNNNNNNNNNNNNNNNNNNNNNNNNNNNNNNNNNNNNNNNNNNNNNNNNNNNNNNNNNNNNNNNNNNNNNNNNNNNNNNNNNNNNNNNNNNNNNNNNNNNNNNNNNNNNNNNNNNNNNNNNNNNNNNNNNNNNNNNNNNNNNNNNNNNNNNNNNNNNNNNNNNNNNNNNNNNNNNNNNNNNNNNNNNNNNNNNNNNNNNNNNNNNNNNNNNNNNNNNNNNNNNNNNNNNNNNNNNNNNNNNNNNNNNNNNNNNNNNNNNNNNNNNNNNNNNNNNNNNNNNNNNNNNNNNNNNNNNNNNNNNNNNNNNNNNNNNNNNNNNNNNNNNNNNNNNNNNNNNNNNNNNNNNNNNNNNNNNNNNNNNNNNNNNNNNNNNNNNNNNNNNNNNNNNNNNNNNNNNNNNNNNNNNNNNNNNNNNNNNNNNNNNNNNNNNNNNNNNNNNNNNNNNNNNNNNNNNNNNNNNNNNNNNNNNNNNNNNNNNNNNNNNNNNNNNNNNNNNNNNNNNNNNNNNNNNNNNNNNNNNNNNNNNNNNNNNNNNNNNNNNNNNNNNNNNNNNNNNNNNNNNNNNNNNNNNNNNNNNNNNNNNNNNNNNNNNNNNNNNNNNNNNNNNNNNNNNNNNNNNNNNNNNNNNNNNNNNNNNNNNNNNNNNNNNNNNNNNNNNNNNNNNNNNNNNNNNNNNNNNNNNNNNNNNNNNNNNNNNNNNNNNNNNNNNNNNNNNNNNNNNNNNNNNNNNNNNNNNNNNNNNNNNNNNNNNNNNNNNNNNNNNNNNNNNNNNNNNNNNNNNNNNCCGCUCACUCACGGCGGCGCUAGGGGGGCUGCUACCGGCCUAGAAUGGAAGCUGGGAGGGAGACCGACCGAACGGGACCGGUCCGGCGGCGAACGGAGGUCGGAUGGCGGCGGGAGGACGGCCGGAAGUCUGCUGGGUGUAGAGAGAAGAAAAUCGGGUGGGAGGAGAGAGAAUCGGGAGAGAGGGAGAAGAGAAAGAAGAAAGAAAUGGGUUGGGCUCGGCCCAGCCGACCCAACACCCCUUUUUAACCCAAACUUCCAAAAUAAAAACACCCCGAAAAAUAAUACCCGAAUAAAAAUUACCUUUUACUAGCUAAAAUUUACUAUUUUUACCGUCGUCGUAUUUUCCUCAUACGAAUAAUCCUCCGCACAUAAUCGUCCCCGAAACCCCUCUAAGGACCAAUUAAACUAUUUACUCAAUGAUCGAGAUGGUAAAAUUUUUAUUAUAAUCACGCUAGUAAAUAAGGUAAAAAUAUAAGGGUCGGGAUGUGACAAAAGGGCUGCCUUGACCCUCUUAGGACCGCCUAGGAGCCACCUUGACCUUCCUAAAACCGCCUAGGGGCCGCCUUGACCUGUCUUGGGCCGCCAUGGGCCGCCUUGACCAGCCAAAGGACUGUCUUGACUCGCCAAGGAGCCGCCUUGACCCGCCUAGGGCCGCAAAGGCCGCCUUGACCCGCCAAGGGCCUGCUAAGACCCGUCUAGGUUUGCCAAGUGCCGCCUUGACCAGUCUAGACUUGCCUUGACCCGCCUAGGGGCGCAAAUGCGCGCCAAGACACUUCUAGGGCGGUAAAGGCGUCCUUGACCCGCCAAGGGCCUGCAAAGACCCGCCUUGGGCCGCUAAGUGGCCACCUUGACCCGUCCAAGGCCACCAUGGGGCCGCCUUGACCAGCCUUGGGCCGCCAUGGGCCGCCUUGACCCUCCUAGGGCCACCAGAAGGCUGCCUUGAUCUGUCCAGGGCCACCAUGGGGUUGUGUUCACCCGUCAUGGGGCCGCCUUAACCGGCGUAAGGGCUUCCUUGACCUGCGUUGACCCAUCUAGGGCCACUGAGAGGUCACCUUGACCCGUGAAGGGGCUACCUUGACCCUCUUAGGACCGUCAAUAGUCCGCCUAGACCCUGCUAGGGCAGUAAAUGGGGGGCUGCGUUCACCCGUCUAAGGCCGCCAGAGGGCCGUCUUGACCUACCAAGGGGCUGCCUUGACCCUCCUAGACCUGCCUAGGGCCGCUUUGACUCUCCUAGGUUCUCCUAAGCCCGCCUUGGGCUACCAAGGGACCGCCAUGACUAGCCAAGGGGUCACCAUGACCCUCCUAGGCCCGUCUAGGGCCGCUAAGACUCAUUUAGGGCGGCCAUGAGCCGCCUUGACUUGGCUAGGGCCACCACCAAUGGGCCGCCUUGACCCGUCUAGGGCCACCAAGGGGCCGCCUUGACCCACCCAGGGACGCCUUUUCACGCCAAGGGGUCACAACGUGCCACCUUGACCUACCUAGGCCCAUCUUGACCCGCCAAGGGGCUGCCUUGACCCUCCUAGGACCGCUUUGACCUUCCUAAGACCGCCUAAGGGCUGCCUUGACCCGCUUAGGGCCCCCUUGACCAGCCAAGGGGCCGUCUUGACCCGCCAAGGGGCUGCCUUGACCCUCCUAGGACCGCUUUGACCUUCCUAAGACCGCCUAAGGGCUGCCUUGACCCGCUUAGGGUCCCCUUGACCAGCCAAGGGGCCGUCUUGACCUGCCAAGGGCCACCUUGACCAACUAAGGGGCCGCCUUGACACGUCUUGGGCAGCCUUGACCAAUCUAGGGCCGUAAAAAUGCCUGCCUAGACAAUUCUAGGGUGGCAAAGGCCGCCUAACCUUGACCUGCCAAGGGUCGUCCUGACCCACCUAGACCCGCAUAGGGGCCGCCUUGACCCGUCUAGGGCCACCAAGGGGCAGCCUUGACAUGCCUUGAGCCGCCAUAUGCCGCUUUUACCUGCCUAGGGCUGCCUUUUCCUGCUAAGGGGACACAAAGGUGCCGCAUUGAGCCGCCUAGGCCGCCAAGGGGCCGCCUUCACCCGUUUAAGGACGCCUUGACCCGACCAGGGCUGCCAAGGGGCCGUCUUGACCUACCAAGGGGCUGCCUUGACCCUCCUAGGCCCGUUUAGAGCCGCCUGGACCUGGCUUGGCUUGCUUUGACCCACCUUGACCUGCCUUGGGCCGCCUCAACCCAUCUAAGGCCACCAAGAGGCCGCCUUGACACGCCAAGGGGUUGUGUUGACCCUACUAGGGCCUCUAAUAGGCCGCCUUGACCCAGCUAGGGCAGCAAAUGGGGGGCUGUGUUCACCCAUCUAAGGCCACCAAGGGGCCGUCUUGACUCGCCAAGGGGCUACCUUAACCCUCCUUGACUCGCCUAGGGCUACCUUGACCCUUUUAGACCCGCCUAGGGCCACCAAGGGGCCGGCAUGACUUGCCAAGGGGUCGCCAUGACCAUGUUAGGCCCAUCUAGGGCUGCCAAGGGGCCCCCUUGACCCGCCUUGGGCCGCCAUGGACCGCCUUAGGCCGUCUUUACCCACCUUGGGCUGCCUUGACUCUCCUAGACCCCCUUUGGGCUUCCAAGAAGCCGUCGUAACUCGCCAAGGGGUCUCCAUGACCCUUCUAGGCCCGCCUUAACCCGCCUAGAGCCGCCUUGACCCGUCUUGGGCCGCCUUGACCCGCUUUGGCCCGCCUUGAUUCAUGAUGUGCUGGUAUUUUCCUAUAUUUUUAUGCCUUUUUAUCUUGAUAUUUGUGUAUAGUUCUCCUUGUUUUUAGUCCAUUUACUUGGUUUAGUGUUUGUAGGUUUGAAGAGCAAAGAUGAGGAAAAGAAGCAAAAAGAGAGCAAAAAGGAUUGAAGGUCGUUUGCAGUCCUGACAACUGAAGCAGUCUUGACAGAAUAGCCAACUUUGAGGAUUUAACUGUAAUGAUCCAGGAAGAACUAGAGAGUGAGCCUUAUAUGGACGAAAAGCCCUAGAUGUCUACUUUCUACAAAAUUUUACGGUUCAUGAUUUCGAUAUUCCUAGAGGGAGAUAUGGCCGUUUAAGUACAGGCUGUUCGGUACGCGCGAAUCUGCAACAUGUCUCCAAGAGCUCAAGUUUUCAAGACCUGAAUGACUUAGCAAAAUUCAGGGAAAAUUAAUAUAGCAUUAUGGGCCUUUUAAGAGUCCAACACAUGUUUUCCUUGGACUUUUUGGGCUAUGUCAUUAAAGAUUUCUCAAAGCCUGAAGCAACAAGGAAAAAUACAUCAUAUAAAAGGAGGUUUAUCAAGCACAAAAGGGGGAUCGAUCCAUAUUAGAAUUUCAUCCAAGAAGCUGCUGCCAUCUAGUGUCUUCUACUUCCAUCUCCAUUCAAUUAGUUUCUUUAUGUUUUUAAGAACUCAUAAUAUGUUUGCUUUGAACAUGAGUAGCUAAAUUCUUUCUCUAGGGCUAGGAUGAAGCCCUAGCAUGAUUGUCUACAUAUUUUGAUACUUAAUUGAUGGAUUAUUAGUUUCUUCUCAGAUAAAUUCUUAAUCUCUGCUUGAUUUGUUGCUUGUGUUAAAGUUCUAUUGAUUUGCGACUUGUAGGCUUUGCAUCUAGCUAUCUGAAGUUGAAUUUGAGGCGUAAACUGCAAUAGAAUUCUACUUAGCUUCUAGAGAUUAAGGAUUGUGAAUUAUAUUGUUGCCGUAACUGGAAUAGUAGUUUGCAUGAUUCUCUGUUUUCUAAACAUCAUGAGUCCUAUGUGUUAAAUUUAUGCCGUAACUGGAUAGACUGCAUACUAAGAUAUACUAUCUCUGCCGUACCUGGAGAACAUCAUACUAUUAAGGAAAACUAAGGUCUAAGUGCCGUACCUGGAUAUAGAUACAAGAAUUGUUAUCUGGAGAAACAAAGGAAUCCAUUAGUUGUGUCAAGCCGUAGAAAAGAUUGAUUGUGGUUGAUUCCGACACCCUAGGCUUAUCAUCAUCAUCAUAUUCUUACUCUUUUCAAUUUUAAUUACUCUCUUUUAGUUUCUGUUUACAAGUUACUUUUUAUCAGCACAAAACCCUUUUCAAAAACCCCAAAAAUCAUAAGUACAACUUAGUUUGAGUCUUUGUGUUUGUCUUUAUCAAUUUGUGUAUUUUGUUUUGUGUGUUUUAGUGUAGUUAGUUUAGAUAUUUCAAAAUUUAAGUUGAACUAAUAUCCUUGUGGGAACGACAACCCUUUUUCUUUCAUUCAUUAUACUACUACAUCCACCCUGUAUACUUGCAGGAAUCCAUCAGCUCGUCUAUGCCCCCUUAACCCGCCUUGACCCGCCUUGCUGCCUUGGCUCCUCUUGACCCACCCUAGCCCCCUUGACCCACCUUGGGCCGCUUUGACACUCUUAGACCCGCCUAGGGCCGCCUUAACCCUCCUAGACCCGCCAAGGGGCUGCCUAGGGGCCACCUUGACCCGCCUUGGAACGCCUUUGGCCACCUUGACCCGCCUCAACCCGCUUUGGACCGUCUUGGCCCACCUUGACCGGCCUUGGCUCACGUUGGGCCACCAUGGUCCCCUUGACCCGCUUUUAACCGCCUUGUGCUGCCUUAACCCUCCUACACCAGUCUUGACCAUCCACAGCCCUUCUAGGCCCACCUAGGGCAAGGGGGCGCCAUGACCUACCUAGGGCCGCCAAGGGGCUACCUUUACAUGCUGUCUUAACCCUCCUACACCCGCCUUGACCAUCCACGGCCCUUCUAGGCCCACCUAGGGCAAGGGGGUGCCAUGAAAUACCUAGGGCCGCCAAGGGGCUACCUUUACACGCCUUAACCCGUCUAGGGCCGCCAAGAGGCUACCUUUACAAUCCUAUGGCCGCCUUGACACGCCUAGGGCUGCCAAGGGGACGUCUUCACACACCAACAAGCCGCCAUGACUCGCCAUGACCUGUCAAGGGGCUGCCUUUACACGCCUUGACCCUCCUAGGCUCGCUUAGGGCCACCUUGACUCGUGUAGGGCCGUCAAGGCCCGCCUUAGGCUGCCAUGACCCGUCUUGGCCCGCUUUGACCCUCCUCGGCCCUUUUAGGCCCACCUAGGGCAGCCAAAGGGGAGCCAUGACCCACCUAGAGUCGCCAAGGGCUGCUUUUACACUCCUUAACCCGCCUAGGGCAGCUAAGGGGGCCACCUUGACACGCCUAGGGCCGCCAAGGGGACGUCUUGACCUUCCAUGGGGCUGCCUUCACACGCCUACGUCAUGACCCACUUAGGGCCGCCAAGGGGUUGCCUACGGCCGCCAUGGGGCUACCUUCACCCGUCUAGGGCCGUUUUGACCCGCCUUGGGCCGCCUUAACCCGCCUUGGACCGCCUACGACCUCCUUGGACCGCCUUGACCCGUCUUGGGCCGCUUUGACCCGCCUUGACCCGUCUUGACCUACCUUAACCAGCCUUCACCCGUUUUGGCCCGCCUUGACUUGACUUGGGAUGCCUUGAGCCGCCCUUACCUGCCUUGGACCGCCUUAACCCGCCUUGAACCGCCAUAGGCCACCUAGUGCCACCAAAAAGCUGCCAUAAACCCUUGUAGGGCCGCUAAAGGGGCCACCUUGAGACACCUAGGGCCGUUAAAGGGACGUCGUGACCCGCCAAGGGGCUGCCUUUACACACCUAGGGCUGUUUUGACCUCCCAAGGGAUGCCAUGACCCGCCUAGGGCCGCCAAGGGGCUGCCUACGGUCGCCAUGAGUCCACUUUCACCUGCCUCAGCCCGUCUUGGGUCGCCUUGACUCGUCUUGACCUACCUUGUACUGCCUUGGCCCGCCUUGACCCGCCUUGGGCCUCCAUGGGCCGACUUUACCCGCCUUGACCUUCUUAGACCCGCCUUGGGCCGCCUUGACCCUCCUAGAUCUUCCUAGAGCCACCAAGAAGUAGUUAUGACUCGCCAAGGGGUCUCAAUGACCCUUGUAGGGCCGCCAUGGGGCCACCUUAACCCUCCUUAGGACGCCUUAACCCGUCUUGGCCCGUCUUAGGCCGCUUUAACCAGCCUUAGGCCCCCUUAACCCGCCUUAGGCCACCUUGACCCACCUCGGCUCUUCUAGGCCCACCUAGGGCAGCCAAGGGGCGCCGUGACCCACCUAAGGCCGCCAGGAGGCAGCCUUUACACGCCUUGACCCUCCUAGGCCCGCCUAGGGCCACCUUGACCAGUCUAGGGCCGUCAAGAGGCCACCUUGACCUGCCUAGGGCUGCUAAGGGGUUGCCUUGACACGCCUUGACCCUGCCUAGACCCGCCUUGACCCGUCUUGGCCCACCUUGACCCACCUUGGACCGCCUUGGGCCGCCUUGAACCGCCUUGGGCUCCUUUACCGCCUUGAACUACGUUGGGCCGCCUUGACCCAUCUUGGACCGUCUUGGCCCGCCUUGAACCGCCUUGUUCCGCCAUGACCCGCUUGGCCCUCCUUGACCAGCCUUGGAUCGCCUUGGGCCACCUUGACCCACUUUGGCCCGCCUUGACCCGCCUUGAACCGCCUUACGUCGCCUUGACCUGCCUGGACUGCCUUGGGAAGCCAUGACCCGCCUUGAACCGCCUAGGGCCACCUUGACUCGUCUAGGUCCGCCAAGAGGCCACCUUGACCUGCCUAGGGCCGCCAAAUGGCUGCCUUGACACGUCUUAACCCUCGUAGACCCGCCAAGGGGCUGCCUAGGGCCGCCUUGGCCAACCAAGACCCGCCUUGACCUGCCUUGGGCCGCGUUGACCCUCCUAUACCGGCCAAUGGGCUACCUAGGCCCUCCUAAACCCGCCUUGACCCGUCUUGGCCCGCCUUGACCCACCUUGGGCCGCCUUGACCCGCCUUAGGUGCAUUUACCCGCCUUGAACCGCGUUGGGCCGCCUUGACCCUCCUAGACUGCCAAGGGGCUGCCUAGGGCCGCCUUUGACAGCCUUGAACCGCCAUGGCCUGCUUUGACCUGCCUUGAGCCGCCUUGGGCCGCCUAGUGCCGCCAUGACCCUCUUAGGCUUGUCUAGGGCCGCCAAGGGACUGCCAUAACCCGUCUUGGCCCACCUUUACACGCCUUGACCCGUCUAGGGCCGAUAAGAGGUCGCCUUGACAUUCCUAGUGCCACCAAGGGUGCCGUCUUGACACGCCUAGGGCCGCUAAGGGGACGACCCGUCAAGGGGCUACAUUUACACGCCUAGAGCUGUUUUGACCUCUCUAGGGCCCGUCAUGAUCCGCCUAGGGCAGCCAAGGGGGCUUCCUACGUCUGCCAUAGGGCCACCUUGACUCGACUUGGCCUGUCUUGAGCCGUCUUGACAUGCCUUGGCACGCCUUGACCCGCCUUGGACCGCCUUUACCCGUCUUGAACCGCCUUGACCCUCUUAGACCCGCCUAGGGCCACCAAGAAGCCGCCAUGACUCGCCAAGGGGUCACCAUGACCCUCCUAGGCCCGUCUAGGGCCGCCAAGGGACUGCCUUAACCCGUCUUGGCCCGCCUUGACCCUCCUCGGCCCUUCUAGGCUCACCUUUACAUGCCUUAACCCGUUUAAGGCCGCCAAGAGGCCGCCUUGACAAUCCUAGGGCUGCCAAGGGUGUCACCUCGACAUGCCUAGGGCCGCCAAGUGGACAACCCGCCAAGGGGUUGCAUUUACACGCCUAGAGCUGUUUUGACCUCCCUAGGGCCCGUCAUGACCUGCCUAGGGCCGCUAAGGGGCUUCCUACAUCCGCCAUGGGGCCACCUUGACCCGACUUGGCUCGUCUUGGCCGUCUUAACCUGCCUUGGACCGCCUUGACCCGUUUUGGCCGCCUUAACCUACCUUGGACCGUCUUGGCCGCCUUAACCUGCCUUGGCCUGUCUUGGCCGCCUUAACUUGCCUUGGACCGUCUUAACCUGUCUUGGACCGCCUUAGGCCGCCUUUACCCGCUUUAAACAGCCUUGACCCUCCUAGACCCGCCUAGGGCCACCAAGAAGCCGCCAUAACUCGCCAAGGGGUCUCCAUGACCCUCCUAGGCCAGUCUAGGUUUGCCAAGGGGCCGCCUUGACCCGCCUUGAUCCUCCUCGGCUCUUCUAGUGCCCCUAGGGUAGCCAAGGGGCGCUUUGACCCGCCUUGGACCGCCUAGACCCUCUUAGACCAGCCUAGGGCCACUAAGAAGCCGCCAUAACUCGCCAAUGGGUCGCCAUGACCCGCCUAGGCCCGUCUAGGGUCGCCAAGAGACCGCCUUAAUCUGCCAUACGCCGUCUUGACCCUCCUCGGCCUUGCUAGGCCCACCUAGAGCAGCCAAGGGGGCGCCAUGACCCACCUAGGGCUGCCAAGGGGCUGCCUUUUCACGCCUUUACCAUCCUUGGCCCGCCUAGGGCCACCUUGACCCGUCUAUGGCCGCCAAGAGGCCGCCUUCACUUGCUUAGGGCCGCCAUGAGGACGUCUUAACGCACCAAGCGGCUGCCUUUACACGCCUAUGGCUGUUUUGACCUCUCUAGGGCCACCAAGGGACAGCCUUGUCCUGUUUAGGGGCUGCCUUAACCUUCCUAGACUCGCCUAGAUCUGCCAUAACCCUCCUAGACUCCCCUAGGGCAACCAUGAUGCCGCCAUGACUCGCCAAAGGGUCACCAUGACCCUCUUAGGCCUGUCUAGGGCCGCCUUAACCUGCUUUGGCCCUCCUAGACCGCCUAGGGUCGCCUACACCCUCCUAGACCCGCCAAGGGGCUGCCUAGGGCCGCCAUGGGGCCACCUUGACUCGCCUUAACCCACCUUGGUCCGCCAUGGGCCGCUUUGACUCGCCUUGACCCUCCUAGACCGGCCUAGGGCCACCAAGAAGCCGCCAUGACUCGCCAAUGGGUCGCCAUGACCCUCCUAAGCCUGUAUAUGGCCACCAAGUGGCCCCCUUAACCCACCUUGGCCCGCCUUAAGCCGCCUUGACCCGUCUUGGCCUGCCUUAACCCUCCUCGGCUCUGCUAGGCCUACGUAGGGCAGCCUAGGGGGCGCCAUGACCGCCUUGAUCCGCCUUGGCUCACCUUGAACCACCUUGACCCGCCUUGAUUGGCCUAGGGCCAUCAAGAAGCCGCCAUGACUCGUCAAGGGGUCGCCAUGACCCUUCUAAGCUCGUAUAGGGCCACCAAGUGGCCCCCUUGACCCAUCUUGGCCCGCCUUAGGCCGCCUUGACCCUCCUCGGCUCUGCUAGGCCUUCAUAGAGCAACCAAGGGGGCGCCAUGACCCACCUAGGGCCGCUAACAGAACGCCUUGACCUGUCUAGGGGCUGCCUUGACCCUCCUAGACCUGCCUAGGGGCUGCCUUGACCCUCUUAGACUCGCCUAGGUCUGCCUUGACCCUCCUAGACCCGUCUAGGGCCACCAAGAAGCCGCCAUGACUCGCCAAAGGGUCACCAUGACCCGCAUAGGCCUGUCUAGGGUCGCUAAGGGGCCGCCAUAACCCACCUUAGAGUCGGUCGAAUCUUAACCGUUAGAUUUUUAACCGCAAAAUUUGGGCUGUCCAUUUGAGAUCAUAUAUUGAUGUGGAUCAAUUUGGACUUCAUUAGAUCGAGUCCAGACCGACUUCGUCUCCACUCUUCGAUCGUUCUCUGUCGUCCGGCCACCUCUCGGCGUCCAACCGGUGUCAACAGCUUCGUCUCCUCGUCCCCAGCCUCUAUGUGUUCUUCGUUUUCGAAAAGGAGCUCCGUCUUGACCAGCCUAGGGCCGCCUUCACCCGUUUAAGGCCUCGAAGGGGCCGUCUUGACCUGCCAAAGGGCUGCCUUGACCCGUCUUGGGCCACCAAAGGGUCGGGCCGCCUUAACCCGCUUAGGGCCACCUUGACCCGCCAAGGGACUACCCUGACCCUCCUAGGCCCGCCUAGGGCUGCCUUAACCCUCCAAGGGGCCAUCUUGACCCACCGAAGAGCUACCUUUACACGCUUAGGGCCGCUUUGAUCUCCUUAAGGCCCGCCAAGUCCCGUUUAGGGCCGCCUUGACCCACCUUGACCCGUCUUGGGCUGUCUUUACCCUUCUAGGGCCGCCAUGACCCGCCUAGGGCCGCCAAUACGCUGCUUUGACCCACUUUAGGCCGCCUUGACUCGGCUAGGGUCGCUGAUGGGCCGCCUUCACCCGCCAAGGGGCUGCCUUGACCCUUCUAGGGCCGCCAAGGGGACGCAUUGACCCGCUUAGGGCCGCCUUGACCCAUGUAAUGACGCCAUGGGGCUGCCUUGACUCGGCUAGCUAGGGCCGCCUUCACCCACCAUGGGGCUGCCUUGACCAUUCUAGGGCCGCCAAGGGGACGCCUUGACCUAUAUAGUGACUCUAAGGGGCUACCAUGACCCUCUUAGGGCCGCCUUGACCUGUGUAGGGCUACCAAGAGGCGUCCUUAACCAGCCUAGGGCCGCUAAGGGGCCGCCUUCACCCACCUAGGGCCACCAAAAGGCCGCCUUGACCUGCCUAGGUCCGCUAGCGACCACUUUGACCUGUCUUGGCCCGUUUUAGCCCGCCUUGGGCCAUCUUGACCCUCAUAAGGCCGCCAAGAGGACGUCUUAACCUGUCUAGGGUCACCAAGGGGCCGCCUUCACCCGGUUAAGGUGGCGAAGGGGCCGCGUUCACCCGUCUAAGAUCGCUAAGGGGCCUGUUUGACCCUCCAACGCCUUCCUAGGGCAACCAACGGGCCGCCAUGACUUACCAAAGGGCCGCCUUGAUCUGUGUAAGGCCGUAAAGAGGUCGCUUGGACCAGCCUAGGUUCGCUAAGGGGCCGCCUUCACUCGUUUAAGGACAUUAAGGGGCCACCUUACCUUGUUAAGGGGCUGCCUUUACACUUAUAUGGCCGCUUUUACCUCCCUAAGGCCUGCCGAGACCUAACUAGGGCCGCCUUGACCUGCCAAGGGGCUGCAAAGUCCCGUCUAGGGCCACCAAAGGACCGCCUUGACCAGCCUAGGGCCACCAACUGGCCGCCUUGACCCGCCUUGACUUGCUUAGGCCCGUCUAGGGCCGCAUUAACCCGUCUUGGGCCACCAACUGGCUGCCUUGACCCACCCGCCUAGGCCACCAACUGGUCGCCUUGACCCGCCUAGGCCACGUAGGGCAGCCAAAGAGGCGCCAAGACCCACCUAGGGCCGCCAAUGGGCCACCUUGACCUGUUUAGGGGCUGCCUUGACACACCUUAACCUGCCAUGGCCCGCCUUAGGCCGCCCUGUUCCAUCUUGGCCCACCUUGACCCUCCUCGGCCUUGCCAGGCCCACCUAGGGUAGCCAAGGGGGUGCCAUGGCCCACCUUGGGCCGCCACGGGGCUGCCUUUACAUGCCUUGACCCGCAUAGGGCCACCUUGACCCGUCUAGAGAUGCCAAGAGGCCACCUUGACCUGCCUAAGGCCGUUGAGGGGCUUCCUUUACACGCCUAAGGUUGUUUUGAUCUCCCUAGAGCCCGCUAUGACCCGCAAAUGGCCGGCUUGGGGCCACCUUGACCCGUCUAUGGCCGCCUUGACCCACUUUGGCCCACCUUGACCCGCCUUAGGCAGCCUUGGCCCGCCUUGACCUGCAUUGGAUCACCUUGAACCGCCAUGGGCUGCCUUGACUCUCGUUGAACUGUGUUAGGCCGCCUUGACCUUCCUAGACCUGCCUAGGGCCGCCUUUACCCUCCUAGACCCACCAAAGGGCUGCCUAGGGCUGCCAUGAGUCCGCCUUGACCUGCCUUGGGCCGCCUAAGGACACCAAGAAGCCGCCAUGACCCUCCUAGGCCCGUCUAUGGCCGCCAAAGGACCGCCUUAACAUGCCUUAACCCGUCUUGACCAUCCACGAUUCCACGGCCCUUCUAGGCCCACCUAGGGAAAGGGGGCAUCAUGACCUACCUAGGGCCGCCAAGGGGCUGCCUUUACAUGCCUUAACCCGUCUAGGGCCGCCAAGAGGACGCCUUGACAAUCUUAGGGCCGCCAAAGGGGCCGCCUUGACACACCUAGGGCCGCUAAGGGGACAUCUAGACAUGCCACCAUGACUCGCCAUGACCUGUCAAGGGGCUGCCUUUACACGCCUUGACCUCCUAGGCUCACUUAGGGCCAUCUUGACCCAUGUANNNNNNNNNNNNNNNNNNNNNNNNNNNNNNNNNNNNNNNNNNNNNNNNNNNNNNNNNNNNNNNNNNNNNNNNNNNNNNNNNNNNNNNNNNNNNNNNNNNNNNNNNNNNNNNNNNNNNNNNNNNNNNNNNNNNNNNNNNNNNNNNNNNNNNNNNNNNNNNNNNNNNNNNNNNNNNNNNNNNNNNNNNNNNNNNNNNNNNNNNNNNNNNNNNNNNNNNNNNNNNNNNNNNNNNNNNNNNNNNNNNNNNNNNNNNNNNNNNNNNNNNNNNNNNNNNNNNNNNNNNNNNNNNNNNNNNNNNNNNNNNNNNNNNNNNNNNNNNNNNNNNNNNNNNNNNNNNNNNNNNNNNNNNNNNNNNNNNNNNNNNNNNNNNNNNNNNNNNNNNNNNNNNNNNNNNNNNNNNNNNNNNNNNNNNNNNNNNNNNNNNNNNNNNNNNNNNNNNNNNNNNNNNNNNNNNNNNNNNNNNNNNNNNNNNNNNNNNNNNNNNNNNNNNNCCUUGACCCAUCUUGGCCCGUUUUGACCCUCCUCGACCCUUCUAAGCCCACCUAGGACAGCCAAGGGGGAGCCAUGAGUCACUUAGAGCCGCCAAGGGGUUGCCUUUACACUCCUUAACCCGCCUAGGGCCGCUAAGGGGGCCACCUUGCCACGCCUAGGACAGCUAAAGGGACGUCUUGACCUUCCACAAGGCUGCCUUUACACGCCUACGCUUGGCGGCCCUAGGCGUGUCAAGGCGGCCCCCCUUGGCGGCCCUAGGCAUGUUAAGGUGGCCCCUUAGCGGCCCUAGGCGGGUUCAUGGUAGCUUCUUGGUGGCACUAGGCUGCCCAAGGCGGUUCAAGACGGGUUAAGGAGGCCCAAGGCGGGCCAAAGGCUUCCCAAGGCGGUCCAUGGCGGGUAAGGCAGGUAAAGGCGGCCCAAGGCUUCCCAAGGUGGUCCAAGGCGGGCCAAAACUGGUCAAGGCUGGUCAAGACUGGUCAUGGGGCUGCCUACGGUCGCCAUGGGUCCACUUUGACCUGCCUCGACCCAUCUUGGGCCGCCUUAACUCGCCUUGACCCGCGUUGACCUGCCUUGACCUGGCUUGGGCAGCCAUGGGCCGCAUUGACCCACCUUGAACCACCUAGGGCCGCCUUGACCUUCCUAGAUCUGCUUAGAGCCACCAAGAAGUCACUAUGACUCGCCAAGGGGUCUCCAUGACCCUUGUAGGGCUGCCAUGGGGCCACCUUGACCCGUCUUGGCCCGUCUUAGGCCGCAUUAACCUGCCUUGGGCCGCCUUGACCCUCGUCAGCUCUUCUAGGCCCACCUAGGGCAGCCAAGGGGGCGUCAUGACCCAUCUAGGCCGCCAAGAGGCUACCUUUACACGCCUUGACCCUCCUAGGGCCAACUUGACCCGUCUAGGGCCACCUUGACUAGUCUAGGGCCGCCUUGACCUGCCUAGGGGGCUGGCCUUGACACACCUCGACCCUAUUAGACCAGCCAAGGGGCAGCCUAGGGCCACCUUGGCCCGCAUAGACCCGCCUUGACCCGCCUUGGACCGCCUUGUGCCGCCUUGAUCCGCCUUGACCCGCCUUGGGCGCCUUUACCCGCCUUGAACCGCGUUGGGCCGCCUUGACCCUCCUAGACCCGCAAAGGGGCCGCCAUGAGGCCUCCUUGACCAACCUUGGACUGCCUUGGCCCGUCUUGGGCCACCAUGACCCUCCUUGGACCUCCUUGAACUGCCUUGGGCCGGUUUGACCCUCCUUGACCCGCCAAGGGGAUGCCUGCGGCUGCCUUGCUUGGGCCUUGGACUUCCUUGGGCCGCCUUGGGCCGCCUUGGCCAGCCUUGAACCGCCUUGGGCGGCCAUGAUCCUCCUUAGACCGCCUUGACCCUCCUUGACCCGUUUUGACCGCUUUGACCUGCCUUAGCCUGCUUUGACUCGCCUUGAACCGCCUUGGGCUGCCUAGGGCCACCAAGAAGCCACCAUGACUCGCCAAGGCGUCCCCAUGACCCUCUUAGGCCAGCCUAGGGCACCAAAGGACCACCUUAAACCUCCUUGACCCGUUUUGGCCCGCCUUGACCAUCUUCGGCCCUUCUAGGCUCACCUAGGGCAAGGGGGCGCCAUGACCCACCUAGGGCCGCCAAGGGGCUGCCUUAACACGCCUUGACCCGUAUUGGACCGCCUUGACCCGCCUUGGACUGCCUUGGGUUGCCAUGACCCGCCUUGGACCGCCUUUGUCACACCCCAAUUUUUGAAAGAUAAAUUUCAAAAAUUUUGGCAUGAUAUAUCCUAAAAUAUUAAUAUCCCAAAACCUGUUUCAACAAAAAUCAAGGAAAAUAAACUCAAUGCGUAAUGUAAAUUUACACACAACUCCAAAUUGAGUUAAAUAUUACAUUUCCUUGUUUACAUAACUUGAGAACAAGGAAACGCUCACAAGAGUUUAAUAAUUCCUAUCCCAGUGUAUAUAAAAAGAAUAUACAAAGACACACCCAAAACCCAACAAAAAAAACCCUGCCACUACGCCUCCAUCUCAACCCUGCUGAUCCUCACCUGCAGGUCUAACCCCUACACCAAGAAAUGGUGCACCGGGUUGUAAACAACAAACCCGGUAAGCUAAAAAGCUCGUAUGAGUAAACUCAAAAACAACACAACAUUUAUCACAUCCAAUAUUCACAAGAGAGAUUGGAUCAAUAAUUAAAAACCACACAUCAAACACAUUACCCAAGAAAUGUACCCAUGAGUCCCAGAUAUUUAAUAAAAUACCUCUCAUGACCUACAACAACAUUAUGUGUACCCAUGGGUCCCAGAUACCAUACAGUAUCUCCCAUGACCUACACUGACAGACGGACUAGAGCUCUAUUCCUAACCGCAACCAAUCACCCGGCCAAAGGCUUGGAACCCGGUUUGACUGUCUAAUAUCAAACACAAAAAUGAUAAAUAGCAUCUUAACCGCAACCAAUCACCCAAAAAGGGCUUGGUACCCGGUUUGGCUAUUUAUCCAACAAUCAUAAUAAAUUUCACAACAUUAACCUCACAACACAUUAUCACAAUUAUUAUUGUCAACAACAUGAUAUAUCUCACAUUAUUAUUCUUAACAUCACAAUAUAAAGAAGACUUGUUUUUAUCUUACCUAUAAGCCGUUGGCGAUCAAGCUCAUAUAUUUUUAAAAACAAUUAAAAGAAUAAUAACAAAACCACCAUCAUCAUCAUUAUCAUUAUAUCAUUAGGUUCAAAAGUGAACCUUGGUGAGAUUUACUCACCUAAGUAUCCAGCUGCAAUUUCCACAACCAAAUUUAGCAAGCGAAACACAACUUCACAACCACCUAAAAACACACAAUUAAAACCUUAGUAACUAAAAUACAAUAGGUUAACACAAUACCCUUAACUAACCCUUAAUUCAAGAGAUGACAACUUUCCAAAGUCGUCGAACUUAGAGACCCACAAAGGCUGCCUCUAAUCCUCCAUUCCUAACUCAAACCUCCACCAAACCUAAAAUCACACUUAACGUUCUAGCAUGCCAACAUUUCUUAAAAACUAGCCACACUACCACUCAACAAGCUCACAGCAGUAAGGACUACCUAACCACAGGAAACUAGGGCUGCAACUCAACCGGACGCGCCGCCACAGGCGGCGGCGAGUGGGCCUCACGCGCCACCCCAAACUUCCGAAUUUGAGAAAACUCCCAACAGUAAAGUUGAAGCUUGAAGCAAGGGGAACAACUUUCAUACAUGAGACUUCGACCAACAAUGGCCGGAACCGGCCGGAAACCGCCCCGAACAGUGACCAGAAAAUCAAAGACAAAAUCUGCAAAACCGGCCUCAAAACCUUAAAAACUUGCUUCAAUCCAUGCCUAAACACUACCAGGGGAAGGAGAGGAUCAAGACUCACCUAUACUUGGCCGGAAACGGCGUCGAAAUCACUUGUUUUCCGGCUGGACAGCUGCAGCUCCGCCGCUUCGUGGCGGCUUCCAGGCGGCGGGACAGUGGCCGGAACUGCUCCAGAAAUGGAGAGGGCUGCUGUGGGAGUUGAAAGGAACCGGCGGUGUCCGGUUUAGUGGCCGGAGGAGGGAGAACUCGGUUGAAGAAGGGAGGAGUUCGGGGGAGCUCGGGUGGGAGGAGAGAGAGAGAAAAGGGAGAGAAAACUGAAUUAGGGUUUCUAAUUAACACUCCCACACAUUUUCCUACUUAAACUAAUUCCAAACCCGGAAACAAACUUCCUCUGACCACCACUUUCUCUCACAACUUCCGAUUUAAGCGUGCCGCGUGUCUACGAACUCGUAUUGACAAGCUCUACAAUUUUCAUGAAGAAAGUUUUCGAAGAUAACCUACGGAAAAUAAAGUCAACUUUUGGCCUCUUAAAAGUCAAAGCACUUUAAAUAAACUCCCGAAAUUUCAACUUCGCAUAAACCCAAGAAUUUUCAUAAAUAAUUCUUCAUUAAUUGAGGGAAUUAUACAAGAAAAAAGAUAUAAAAAUCUAGGGUAUUACAGCCUUGACCUUCCUUGGCCUGCCUUGACCUGCCAUGGCCCGCCUUGACCAGCCUUGGGUUGUCUAGUGCCACCAAGAAGCCGCCAUGACCCUCCUAGGCCUGUCUAGGGCCGCUAAGGGACCACCUUAACCCGUCUUGGCCCGCCUUGAGCCGCCUUGACCCUCCUCAGUCCUUUAGGCCCACCUAAGGCCUCCAAUGGGCUGCCUUUACACACCUUGACCUGUCUAGGGCCGCUAAGAGGCCGUCUUGACAUUCCUAGGGCCGCCAAGGGUGCCGCCUCGACACACCUACGGCCGCGAAGGGGACGACCUGCCAAGGGGCUGCAUUUACACGCCUAGAGAUGUUUUGACCUCCCUAGGGCCUGUCAUAACCCGCCAAGGGGCUUCCUAAGUCUGCCAUGGGGCCACCUUGACCCGACUUGGCCCAUCUUGGGCCGCCUUGACCCGCCUUGACCUGCCUUGACCUGUCUUGGCCCACCUUGGGCUUCCUUUACUCACCUUGACCUCCUAGACCCGCCAUGACUCAUCUUGGCCGCCAUGACUCGCCAAGGGGUGGCCAUGACCUUCCUAGGGCCGUCUUGACCCGCCUUGAUCCUCCUCGGCUCUUCUAGGUCCACCUAGGGCAGCCAAGGGGCGCGUUGACCUGCCUUGGACCGCUUUGGGCCACCUUGACCCUCUUAGACCCGCCUAGGGCCACCAACAAGCCGUCAUGACUUGCCAAGGGGUCGCCAUGACCCUUCUAGGCCCGUCAAGGGCCGCCUUAAUCUGCCUUAGAACGCUAUGACCCGUCUUGACCCGCCUUGACCCUCCUCGGCUAUGUUAGGCCCACCUAGGCAGCCCAAGAAGCGCCAAGACCCACCUCCGUCUAGGGGCUGCCUUGAUCCUCCUAGACCCGCCUAAGGCCAUCAAGAAGCCGUCAUGACUCGCCAAGCGGUCGCCAUGACCUUUCUAGGCCCAUCUUGGGCAACCAAGGGGCCGCCUUUGAUAGGAGCAUAAAAUGCGACAUUCUUAAUAUGUUAUUACCUCCAUUUGUACUUUGAUUAUCUCUUAUUGUCGUAGAAUAGAGUCAUAAUGUAGAGCCGAAAGGUUUUGGUAGAGUUGUGCGUAAAACGUGUUAAACAUAGAGGAAUGAUGUAGAAAAUUGUCAAAAGCGAUUUGUGGAGCCUUAGAGAUGUUUUUAUGAUUCUGUAAAGCUUUUACAUUGUCACAAAUUGAUUUAACUUCUCUGAUACUUAGGUGAUAUGUAGAAGAGUUAUGGGAGAAAGAAUCAGGAGAAUUGAAGUUAUGCUUGAAUCAUUGCUGAGAGAAGUGUUCCUGAUGGACCUAGGGAAGCAAAGCAGCUGAUCCACGAAGCCUAGUCCAUGAAGGAGAGGUCCAAACCAAGUCCAAUAUGAAGAAGAAGAUCUAAAUUCGGCAGAAUAUCAAGAAUUCCUGUGCACGUCUCUCAACUUCAACGGACUCUCCAGGACAGUUCACAAUGAAUCAGAAAACGUGCUAGAUACGGAUAGAGAGCUACGGGAGUCUAGUUUCCAAAUCAAUUGGAAUCACCUCAAUAUCUAUUUUCUAGAGGGAGUUAUGACAUAAUCAUUAGACGGAGGUCAUUCUGCCGAAUUGAGAAAAACUAGGAAACCUAAACCAACUUGGUUUAGGCUUUGUGGCCAACUUCUCUAGGGUUUUUCCUCUAUAUAAAGCACGACUUCAAGGACAGAAAAACAUCAUCUCUACCCUUGCAAUUACAUAGCCGAAACUCUACCAAACCCUAUACAGAAAAUUACUUAGCCGAUUCAUCCACCACAAACCAUAAGAAUCAUUCCAUCCUUCCACUGAUUUUCCCCACACUUGCCGAAUCUUUCAAGGUUGUAAAAGUGUGAUUUUCUCAUGGCUUCUUGUAUUAUUUUCUGUAUAGUUUCGAACUCUAUUGUAAUAUACUUUUCGAUUUGGGUUUUAUUUAUCAAACAUGGUUUUCGGAUUUCUUUGUGAUCUUUGAUUGUUCUAUGUUUUGAUUUGUAACCUCUUGAAUAUAUGUAUGUGAAUAAUUUGAACGUUGCUACCCGGCCUUGCAUGAAGUUGUUAUGUGUUCUUGAUGGUUUUUCGUGUUAUGUGUUGCAUGAGUAUGUUGAUCAUUUGUAUAUAAUAAUCUUAGGUUUAAUUUUCAGUAGGUUAUUUAUUAGAAUUAAUCAAUCUUAAACCCCCAAUAUUUCAAUAUAUAUAUGUGAAUACUUGUUUAUAAGUUGUUUGGUUUAUCUUCUUUCGAUCGCCCUUUGGUUUCCCUGGAUAGAACGAUCCCUACUUGUCUAUAUUACUACGAUUGCAGGGUAAUUAAAUUGAAGUUGUUUGACCCUGGUUACACGACACGUCAGCCUUAACCCGCCUUGGCCCGCCUUAACCCAUCUUGGCAUGCCUUGGGCCUUCUUGACCCUCAUCGACUCUACUCAGCCCACCUAGGACAGCCAAGGGGGCGUCAUGAUUCACUAGCCUUUACACACCUUGACCCGUCUAGGGCCGCCAAGAGGCCACCUUGACAUUCCUAGGAUCGCCAAGGAGGCCACCUUGACACGCUUAAGGCCGCUAAGGGGACGUCUUUACCCGUCAAAGGGCUGCAUUUACACGCCUAGGGCUAUUUUGACCUCUCUAAGGCUGCCUAGGGUCGCCAUGGGACCACCAUAGGGCUGCCUUGGACCGCCUUUGCCCGCCCUACUCGCCUUGAACCGGCUUGGGCCGCCUUGACCCGCCUUGGACUGUUUUGGGCCGCCUUGACCCGUCUUAACCCGCCUAGGGCCGCCUUGACCCUCUAAGGGCUGCCUUUACAUGCCUAGGGCGGUUUUGACCUCCCUAGGGCCGCCACGGGGCUGCCUUGGACCGCCUUUGCCCGCCUUUACUCGCCUUGGCCCGCCUUGACCCGUUUGGGCCCGCCCUUACUCGCCUUGAACCAGCUUGGGCCGCCUUGACCCGCCUUGAACCACCUUAGGCCGCUUUGACCCUCCUAGACCCGCCUUGAACCGCCUUGAGCCUCCUUGACCCUCUUUGACCCUCCUAGACCCACCAAGGGGCUGCCUAGGGCCGCCAUAGAGCCACCUUGAUCUGCCUUGACCCGCCUUGACUAGCCUUGGGCCGCAUUUAACCGUCUUAGGCUGCCUUGACUCUCCUAGAUCCACCUAGGGCCGCCUUGACCCUCCGAGACCCCCCUAGGGCUACCAAGAAGCCGCCAUGACUCGCCAAGGGGUCUCCAUCACCCUUCUAGGGCCGCCAAGGGGCCGCCUUAACCCGCCUUGGACCGUCUUGACCCGGCUUGGAAACCUCUUAACAUAUAGUGAACCAUUCUAGCGUUAAAAAUCUGAGUCUUUUAUCAAUUUACUCGCGAUCGAGCCUAAAUAAACUCACGCGUACCGUGUUUUGUAAAACUAUUGAAAUUUCUGUUUUAAUUGAUAUUGAGUGACUUUCCAAGAUUCCGUUCUCUUCAAUUUUUUUCAUUUUGACACCAGGAACCUUAUUUUUAAAAGAAAAUGAGGUAUUGCUUCUCAUUUCAAAUUUCACCCAAUUCGAGUCAAAACCUCUUUUUAUAGCACACGAGUUUCUACCCAGUUUCACUUUUUUUGGGCCUCUGUCUUUUUACAUUCGGGUGUGCUUACAAACACCUGCUAACAUAUAGUGAACCAUUCUAACUUCAAAAAUCCGUGUCUUUUAUCAAUUUACUCGCGAUCGGGCCUAAAUAAACGCACGCGUGCCGUGUUCUGUAAAGUUGUUGAAUUUACUAUUUUAUUUGGUAUUGAGUGACUUUCCAAUAUUUCGUUCUCUUCAAUUAUUUUCAUGUUGACAUUGGGAACCUUAAUUUUAAAAGAAAAUAAGGUAGUUCCCCUCAUUUCAAAUUUCACCCAAUUCGAGCCAAAACCACUUGCUAUAGCACAUGAGUUUCUGCCCAAUUUCACUUUUUUGGGGCCUCCGGUUUUGUCUGUUCGAUUGUGCUUACAGACACCUCAUAACAUAUAGUGAACCAUUCUAGCUUUAAAAAUCCGUGUCUUUUAUCAAUUUACUCGUGAUCGGGCCUAAACAAGCUCAUGUUUGUCGUGUUUUGUAAACUUGUUGAAAUUGUUGUCUUAAUUGGUAUUGAUUGACUUUUUAAAAUUAUGUUCUCUUCAAUUCUUCUCAUAUUGACAUUGGAAACCUUAGUUGCAAAAUAAAAUGAGGUAUUGUCCCUCAUUUCAAGUUUCACCCAAUUCGACCCAAAACCCCUUACUAUAGCACAUGAGUCUUUUUUUUGGCCUCCGGCUUUUUCCGUUCAAGUGUGCUUACAGACACCUCUUAACAUAUAGUGACCAUUCUAAAAAUCCGUAUCUUUUAUCAAUUUACUCGCGAUCGAGCCUAAAUAAACUCACGCAUGUCAUGUUUUGUAAAGCUGUUGAAAUUUUCCUUUUAAUUGCUAUUGAGUGACUUUUUAAGAUUAUGUUCUCUUCGAUUCUUCUCAUAUUGACAUCGGAAACCUUAGUUUCAAAAGAAAAUGAGGUAUUGUGACAUAUCGGAUCGAAUUUCUAUUUUUAAGAAAAAUAUUUAUUGAUUUUUAUGUCAAUUUCUAUUAUUCAUUAUUUUCUUACUAGCUUUCGAAAAUUAUUUGAAAUUUUAGUUUGUUAAAUUUUGUCUUUCGAGCCAGUAGGAUUAAACUAGACGUCGUUACGAGUUCGUAGGAUUUUACAUAAGUGUUUUCAGACAUCGGAGCUAUUUUUAAUGAUUUUUGGAAGUUUGGUAUUAUCCAAAAAUUUAAUUAAAAAUAAAAAUUAGAGUCGGCUGCAUCUGGACCGUUAGAUUUUUAACUACAAAAUCUGGGCCUUCCAUUUAAGAUAAUAUAUUGAUGUGCAUCAACUUGGACUUCAUUAGAUCGCGUCCAGACCAAUUUUGUCUCCUAUCUCCAGCCUCUCUGUAUCAACAGAGCGUUGAUCAUUCUCUGUAGUCUGGCCACCUCUCGCCGUCUAAUCGGUGUCAACAGCUUCGUCUCAUCAUCCCCAGCCUCUAUGUGUUCUUUCGAAAAGAAGCUCCGGUGAGAGAGAAAAGAAGGAGAGAAGGAUGUCUGGGUUCGCCAGUGAUCUUUGGAUUUCAGCCACGACGACGAGGAUGACCGGUGUGGAUAGCUUCGUCUUGGUCUCGUCAACGUCGAUAACCACCAAGAAACCGCCAUGACUCGCCAUGACCCUCCUAGGCCCAUCUAGGGCCGCUAAGGGGUCACCUUAACCCGCUUUGGCCCGCCUUAGGCCGCCUUGACCUGUCUUGGUCCGCCUUUAGCCGCCUUGACCCUCCUCGGCCUUUCUAGGCCCACCAAAGGAAGCCAAGGGGGCACCAUGUCCCAUCUAGAGCCGCCAAGGGGCUGUCUUUACACACCUUGACCCUCUUAAGCCACCUAGGGCCACCUUGACCCGUCUAGGGCCGCCAGGAGGCUGCGUUGACCUGCCUAGGGCCGCCAACAGGCCGCCUUGAAACGGCUAGGGCCACCAAGGGACGUCUUGACCCACCAAGGGGCUGCCUUUACACGCCUAGGGUUGUUUUGACCUCCCUAAGGCCCGCCAUGACCCGCCUUGGCCCGCCUUGACUCGCCAUGGACCGCCUUAGCCCACCUUGGGCCGCCUUGACCCACCUUGAACUGCCUUGGGCAGCCUUGACCCUCCUAGACCCGCUUGACUUACUUAGGACACGCCUAGGGCCGCCAAGAGGACGUCUUGACUGGCCAAGAGGAUGCCUUUACCCAUUUAGGGGCUGCCUUGACCCUCAUAGACCCGCCUAGAUCUGCCUUGACCCGCCUAGGUCUGCCUUGACCCUCCUAGACCUGUCUAGGGCCACCAAGAAGCCGCUAUGACUCGUCAAAGGGUCACCAUGACCCUCAUAGGCCCGUGGGCCACUAAGGGGCUGCCAUAACCCACCUUAGAGUCGGCUGCAUCUGGACCGUUAGAUUUUUAACCGCAAAAUUUGGGCUGUCCAUUUGAGAUCAUAUAUUGAUGUGGAUCAACUUGGACUUCAUUAGAUCGAGUCCAGACCGACUUUGUCUCCACUCUUCUAAUGUUCUCUGUCGUCCGGCCACCUCUUGGCGUCCAACCGGUGUCAACAGCUUCGUCUCGUCGUCCCCAGCCUCUGUGUUCUUCGUUUUCAAAAAGGAGCUCCGGCGAGAGAGAAAAGAAGGAGAGAAGGAUUUAUGGGUUCGUUGGCGAUCUUCGAAUUUCAGCAAUGACGACAAGCACGACCUGUGUGGAUAGUUUCGUCUCGGUCUCGUCGACGUCGACAUCCACCAUAACUCGCCAAGGGGUCGCCAUGACCAUCUAGGCCCUUUUAGGGCCGCCUUGGCCCGCCUUGACCCAUCUAGACACCCUUAGGGCCGCCUUGACCCUCCUAGGUCCUCCUAGGGCCACCAAGGGGUCGCCACGACUCGCCAAGAGGUCACCAUGACCCUCCUAGGCCCAUCUAGGGCUGCCAUGAACCUUUUUAAGCCGUUAUGACCCGCCUUAGCCCGUCUAGGGCUGCCUACAGCAGCCAAGGAGCCGCCUUGACCUGCCUAUGGCAGGCAAGGGGCUACCAUGACCAUCCUAGGCCGGCCUAGGGCUAAAUUGAACCGCCAAGGGGCUACCAUGACCCUCUUAGACCCGCCUAGGGCUACCUUGACCUUCACUACAAAAAAAAGUAUAUUGGCCACGGCGCAAAACCGUUGCCAAUAGCCUUUUUGCCGUGGCAAAACAGUAUUCGCGACGGUGCUGCGACGGCAAAGCGUUCGUCGUAAAUAGUGGCGUCGCCAAUGCUAUUUGCGACGGCAAUUACGCCGUCGCAAGAGCAUUAGCAAUGGCAAAGGUUUGCCGUCGUAAAAAGAUACGACGGUGUAAUUGCCGUCGCCAAUACCAUUAGCGACGCCACCAUUUGCGACCAAAGUUUUUGCGACGGCAGCAACGCCGUGGCAAAAGAGUUAUUUAUGAAUAAAAAAAAUUGGCAUACAAAUAUACACUGCAAAUUUUUAUUAUUAUUUGCAUAAAAAAAACAUACAAGGAAUAAGCCUAAUGUUAGGAAUGGUAGGUUUUAGGAAUCUUAAACCUAACAAGUUCACAAGAAAAUGAAGCAAGUUUACAAUAUUAUAGUUUCAUGGUAGUUACAUCUCUCAAAAAAAAAAAAAUCUCUCUCCUCCAAGCUAGCAAGUGUCCAGCCAAGUGAUAACAUUUUUGCUGCAACAACAUAUCCACAUAUCCUCUGUGCAAUUUGCUUGUCUCAGCAUCUUUCAAAUUAAUCUUUGGCACCAUCUGAUAAUGAAAGCCAUGGUUGAAUUUCAAAGUCAACUGCACCUUUCUAUAUAUAUGACAUCAAAUAUACUCUCUCAGUCUAUGCACAAGUAUAUAUAAAGUUAGAGGUGAUGCAUAAGAUAACUAACAUGAGAGCACAGUCAGAAAGAAUACAAUGAAUGAAUUAAAUUUACUAGCCCAAAAUAGAGGUACACACUCCAGUAAGUAUCUAUCUCUAAUCCUUCUUUACCCAAAGUGCUUUAUGCAUAACACUAGCAUCCCUCAUAUACCUUAGAUGAUAACAUCACCUUUAUAAAUCGAAACAAACAUAUAAAUGAUCGGCAACAAAGAAACAAGCAUUUCACACAAGCAAAUAGAAACAACAUAUAAAGCAAACAUAGAGGCUCCCCAAUUUUUCCUCUACCUUUGCUGACUUUCACAUGAAGUAUGAAGCUCCUAAUAAAAAGAUAUAACCAUUAGUUUAAGCAAUAAUAUGCAAUCUCUAUUUCAUUUAGAACUCAAUUUAAGACUAUGCUCAGAUGCUAAACAGAAGAUACAAUAGUAAGCCAAAACAGUUUCACACAAUAACACAACAACACAAUUUAGCUUUCUGAACCAGUCACCUUAACUUCAAAAACUGUACAAAUCCGUAAGGAAUUUGACUUCGAUUUCUUCUAAUGACUUGUAUCAGAUACACAAAAGAAACUCUCAGACUUAGAAUCACCUUAAAACGAAUUUUCUUGAAUUAGUUAUGGAUUUUCAAAGUUCAGCUUCAGUUUUCAGGUUUUUCUGAAAAUUUCCUGCUAUGUGCCUAAACUUAGAAUUUAAAAGCAAAUAAGAAACUCUAUAUAUUAAACUUCUAGCAACUGAACAUAACCACUCCAAUGUUUCAAAAAAGAAACACACAAAAAUUGCAACUUAAGUAGCUAAAUUAGAUUACCACAACGACAGCUAACAGAAGAUAACAAGUAAAUAUAGUUCUACACUUCUAAUGUUCAGCCAACUUUAAGCAUACCAAAACCUUGAUCUCUAACUUCAAUUUGAGAAAAAAAUUACAUGUAUAAGAACUUUAUAGUCUAAUCUAUAUGUCUAUAUAAUAUCAUACCAAAAAGAGUAAGAAUCAUAGGCAACACUGAGACUAAAAGCAAAGGUACAAAAAUCAGAAAAGUGCCUAACUGAAAUUCUGACCAGAAAAGUCUUUGGUUAAAAACGAUACGGUUCAACUGGGAAUUAAAGCUUGGUGUCUUCAUGACAUUUGAAAUAGACAUCCUAAAUAUCAAUUUGGAACUGGAAUCGGACAAAAAAGAUUUUCCUCCAAUUACUUAUGAUUUUUCGAAGUUGAAGACCUGCAUCAGGAAAAUCACUGAUUUUGACUCGAAUCAAGUUCCUCCUCUUAAAGAUGAUUCCCAGUAGGUAACAACUAACAAAAAAAAAAACCCAAUCCUAAUGCUUUACUUCCUACCAAGAUGAUCCUCCAUAACAAGAAGCAUAAAUACUGAAGUUAUAACCCAACAUUGAAAGCAGAAAGUCAUAAAGAAUCAUCUAUAUAUACUAUUACAAUAUACCUAAUAAACACAACAUAUAUGUUGACAAACACAACAACUUAUCAUAUCAGAAACAAAUACCUAACAACUCUAUAACAACUCAUCUUUUCUGCAAGAAUUGACUAAGUGACUAACAUGGUUCACAAAGGAAUAACCAAUUGAUCAAGAACAUAAAAGAUGCAGACCUAAAUUGUUCUUCCUAUAUUCCUACAACACCAAUCUCUCUCUCUCUCNNNNNNNNNNNNNNNNNNNNCUCUCUCUCUCUCUCUCUCUCUCUCUCUCUCUCUCUCUCUCUCUCUCUAUAUAUAUAUAUAUAUAUAUAUAUAUAUCAGUAAACUCCAGGAAUAUAACAUCAUUGUAAUAUAACAUCACUGAAUUUGACAUCACCCAUAUUAACCAAAAAUACAAAGAUUGUCUUUAAAACUUAGCUCUUAGAUAAAAUCAAGCUCCCACUGAUUCAAACAACACAUAAGACUUUACUAUGAUCCAAAGACAUUUUAAUUAAUAACUAAUUUUGUUUCUGUAUGUCCAAAGAGAUACAUAUUAGCAAGCUCCCUCCUUUCUCCUCAAAUAAACCAAUAACCCCAUCCAACAUCUACAACAUCACCAAAAUUACAAAUUUAAAGGCUCUAAUGCAAAAACAUCCUUACCUUUACCAAAUCCGACCAAGGCAGACCCAAACCUCCUUCAAUACUCUGCCGAGACGCAACAGACCACCAGACCUUCUCGGUCGUCACCUCUAGCUAAAACAAUAACCAUUCAAACUCUAAAACGCGAACAAAAUCCCAAAAUGAAACCAAUAAGCAAGGCCACUUACCCAGACGUGUCAAGAUCAAUUAUCCUGUCAUCCUCAACCCUGAAAGCAGCCUGGAACGUUAGGUAAGUCGCCGAAUUUGUAGGCCAUGCCGGAUCAGUACUUCGGAAAACUCAAAAACGGGAAAAAGAAGAAUUAGGUACCAAAGCUGCGAAUUGAAGCUCAAUGAAGCUCGAAAUUGAAGAAGGAGAGAAUAUAUUACCUUGAAGAAGCAAAGGCUUCGCCAGAGAGGGAUGAAUUGCGCCGGAAUUGGAAUUGGGGAUUUUAGGGUUUAGAUUCCGAUAUGCCAAAUGGGUGGAUGCAUAUUGAAAUGGAAGGUAGGAGGAGGAAGAGGGUAGAGAGGGGAUUCGGUUGUGAUCUUCGUUCGACCGGCGAUUGCUCAAAGGAUGGCAGCUGGGCAGAGCUCAGUCUCAGUCUCUCAGAGACGCAGACCUUCUCUCUUCUCUCUCGACAAAAUGAGGGAUAGAGAUACCUAGUUUUUUACUUCUAUACUCAAGGCAACGACCAAGAUAUGAAAUCCACGGCCGAGAUUAAAGGAUGGAAACAAAAUCAGAAAGGGUGAUUUUAGAAGUAUGCCACGGCUUCCUAACGCAAUCGCAAAAUUUUCUUUUUUUUUGCCACGGCAGGAAAUUGCCAUAGCAAAAUGGUUUUAAUUCAGCGAUGGAAGUAAUGCCGUCGUGAAAUUUAGACUAAUGGCGACGGCAAAUCUGCGCCGUGGCAAUCUGUGGUGGCUAAUGUAAUUAUUUUUUGUAGUGGCAUGCGGCCGCUUUGACCCGUCUAGGGCCUCCUAAGGUAGACAAAGGGCUGCCAUGACCCUCCUAGGGCCGCAAAGGGGACACCUCUACCCGCCAAGGGUCCACCUUAACCUGCCUUGGGUCGCUGAACGGCCGCCUUGACCAACCUAGGGCCGCCUUCACCCGCUUAAGGCCGCUAAGGGGCCGUCUUGACCCGCCUAAGGCCACCUUGACCCGUCUUGGGCCACCAAAGGGUCGAGCCGCCUGAACCCGCUUAGGGCCCCUUGACCCGCCAAGGGACUGCCUUGACCCUCCUAGGCCCGCCUAGGGCUGCCUUAACCCUCCAAGGAGUCGUCUUUACCCACCAAAGAGCUUCCUCUACAUACUUAGGGCUGCUUUGAUCUCCUUAAGGCCUGCCAAGUCCCGUCUAGGGCCACCAAGGGGCCGCCUUGACCCGUCUAGGGCAGCCUUAACCCGUCUUGACCCUCUUAGGCCUGCAAAGGGGCAACCUUGACCCGCGUAGGGCCUCCAUGACCCGUCUUGGGCUGCCUUGACCCGCCUUAACCCUCCUAGGCCAGCCAAGGAGCCGCCAUGACCCACCUAGGGCCACCAAUACGCCGCCUUGACUCGCCAAAGGGCCGCCUAACCUGCCUAGGGCCACUAGGCGGCCGCCUUCACCCGGCUAGGGCCACCUUCAUCCAUCAAGGGGCUGCCUUGACCCUUCUAGGGCCGCCAAGGGGAUGCCUUGACCCGCUUAGGGCCGCCUUGACCCAUAUAGUGACUCCAAGGGGCCGCCUUGACCCUCCUAAGGCCGCCAUGACCUGUGUAGGGCCACCAAGAGGCCGCCUUAACCAGCCUAGGGCCGCUAAGGGGCCGCCUUCACCCGUCUAAUGCCGGCGACGGGGCCGCCUUCAUCCGUCGAAGGGACCGUCUUCACCCACCUAGGACCACCAAAAGGUCGCCUUGACCUGCCUAGGUCCGCUAGCGGCCACCUUGACCUGCCUUGGGCUGCCUUGACCCUCAUAAGGUCGCCAAGAGGACUUCUUAUCCUGACUAAGGCCACAAAGGGGCCGCUUUCACCCGUUUAAGAUCGCUAAGGGGCCUGCUUGACCCUCCUACGCCCUCUUAGGGCAACCAAUAGGCCGCCUUGGCCCGAAUAUGGCCGCCAAGGGGCUGCCUUGAUCUGUGUAAGGAAGGUAAGGGGCCGUCUUAUCCCGUUAAGGGGUGGCCUUUACACUUCUAUGGCCGCUUUGACCUCCGUAAGGCCUGCCAAGACCCAACUAGGGCCGCCUUGACCUGCCAAGGGGCUGCAAAGUCUAGUCUAGGGCCGCCUUGACCAGCCUAGGGCCACCAAGGGGUCGUAUUGACCCGUCUAGGGCCACUAACUGGCCGCCUUGACCUGCCUCGGAUCGUCUAAGGCCGCAUUAACCUGUCUUGGGAUACUAAGGGGCCACCUUGACACGCUUGGGGCCACCAAGGGGCUGCUUUAACUUGUUUAGGACCACCAACUGGCUGCCUUGACCUGGCUAGGGCUACCAAAGUAUAAGGUCAUGAAGGGGCUGCCUUAACCCUCCUAGGCCCGCCUUGGACCGCCUUAACCAUCCUAGGUGCUCCGUAGCCUGCAUCGGGCAACCAAGGGGCUGCCGUGACCCGUCUAGGGCUGCCUAGGGAUGCUAAACGGCCGCCUUCACCCGUUUAAGGCUGUCUGAGGCUGCCUUCACCCGCCAAGGGGUUGCCUUGCCCUCUUAAGACCGCCUUCACCUGCCAAGGACCACCUUGACCCGCUAAGGGGCCGCCUUGACCCGUCUAGAGCCACCAAAUGGCCGCCUUAACCCGCCUAGGGACCUCUUGACCCACCAAAAGGCUGCCUUGACCCUCAUAGGUCCGCCUUAACUCUCCAAGGAGCCGUCUUGACCCGCCACAUGGCUUCCUUUACACAUCGAGUGCCCCCUUGAGACGCUUUGCCUGUCGGGACACAACUAUGGCCGCCUUGACCUGCCAAGGGGCUGCCAAGUCCCGUCUAGGGCCAUUAAGGUGCCGCCUUGACCCGCCUAGGGCUGCCAGGCCUUGACCCAUCUAGGGCCGACAAGGGGCCGUCAUGACCCGUCUAGGACCAACAAGGGGCCGCCGUGACCCUCCUAGGGUCAUCAAAGGGCAGCCAUGACACGCCAAAGGGUUGUCAUGACCCUCCUAGGCCUGUUUAAGGCCACCAAGGGGCCGCCUUGUCCCACCUUGACCCUCCUAGGCCUGUUUAGGGCAGCCAAGGGGCCGCCAUGACCCAUUUAGGGCCUCCAAGAGGCUGUCUAAGGCCGCCUUGACCCGUAUAGGGCCGCCAAGGGGCCGGCUAACUUGCCUUGGGCCGCUAUACGGCUGUCUUGACCAGCUUAGGGUCACCAAAAGGCCGCCUUCACCCGUUUAAGGCCGCUAAGGGGUUGCUUUUACUCGCCAAAGCCUGCCUUUACCCGCUAAGGGGCCACCUUGACCCGCUUUGGGCCGUAAAGGCCGCCUUGACCCUCCAAGGGCCUGCCAAGACCCGUCAAGGGACGCCUUAACCAGCCAAGGGGCCGCCUUGACCUGCAUUUGGCCGUAAAGGCCGCCUUGACUCACCAAGGGCCUACCAAGACCCGUCCAGGGCCGCCUAGACCCACCGAGGGCCGCCUUGACCUACCUUGACUCGCCUAGACCCAUCUAGGGGCCACUAAAGGGCUGCUUUUACACGCCUUGGGCCACAUUGACCUCCCUAAGGACCGUCGAGACCCACUUAGGGCCGCCUUGACUUGCCAAGGGGCUGGCAAGACCCGUAUAGGGACACCAAGGGGCCGCCUGGACACGUCUAGCGGCCCCGUCUAGCAUAGCCAAGGGGCCGCCUUGACCUGCCUAGGCCGCGAAGGGGCCGCCAUCACCCGUCUAGGGCCACCAAGGGGCCUCCUUGACCCGCCUUGACCCGCCCAAGGGCUGCCUUGACCCUUCUAGGACCGCCUAGGGGCCGCCUUGACCCGCCUAGGGCUGCCUUCACCAGCCAAGGUGUCGUCUUGACUCACCAAGGGGCCAUCUUGACUACCAAAGGGGACGCAUUGACCCGUCUUAGGCCAGCUUAACCCGCCUAGGACCGCAAAUGCCGCCUUGACCCGCCUGGACCAACCUAAGGCCGCCUUCACCCGCCUAGGGCUGCCAAGAAGUCGCCUUCACACAUCUAGGGGCUCCAAGGGGCCACCCUGACCCGCUUAGGGAUGUCAAGGCCGCCAUGACGUCAAUGGCCGCCAUGACCAGCCUAUGGCUGCAAAGGGCCGUCUUAACCCUCCAAGGGGCUGCCUUAACCCGCCUAAGGCCGCCAAGGGGCCGCCUUGACCCGUCUUGGGCCACCAAAGGGUCGGGUCACCCUAACCCGCUUAGGGCCCCCUUGACCCGCCAAGAGACUGUUUUGACCCUCCUAGGCCCGCCUAGGGUUGCCUUAACCCUCCAAGGGGUCGUGUUGACCCACCAAAGAGCUGCCUUUACAUGCUUAAGGCCGCUUUGAUCUCCUUAAAGCCCGUCAAGUCCUGUCUAGGGCCACCAAGGGGGCCGCCUUGACCCGCCUAGGGCCGCCUUGACCCGUCUUGGGCUGUCUUGACCCUCCUAGGCCAGCCAAGGGGACCCCAUGACCCGCCUAGGGCCGCUAAUACGCCGCCUUGACCCGCCUUGGGCCGCCAAAGGGUUGCCUAACCUGCCUCGGGCCACUAGAAGGCCGCCUUGACCCGGCUAGGGCUGCUGACGAGCCACCUUCACCAGCGAAGGGGCUGCCUUAACCCUUCUAGGUCCGCCAAGGGGACAUCUUGACUCGCUUAGGGCUGCCUUGACCCAUAUAGUGACACCAAGGGGACGCCUUGACCUGUGUAGGGCCACCAAGAGGUCGCCUUAACCAUUCUAGGGCCGCUAAGGGGCCGCCUUCACCGGUCUAAGACCGCAACAGGGCCGCCUUCACAACCACCAAAAGGUCGCCUUGACCUGCCUAGGUCCGCUAGCAGCCACCUUGACCUGCCUUGGCCCGCUUUAACCCGCCUUGACCCUCAUAAAGGGUUAUCUGGACAUUAGAUCCAUUUUUCUUUCAAUUUCACCACUUCAACAAGGAAGAAAGAUGAAGAGAAGGGGCCAGCAACAAGGAAUAGGCUAUUCACCACUUCAAUUUCAUAUUCUAAUUUCUAUUUUUCUUUCUUUCAUCUCGUUCAAUUUUUUCUUUUUUGUGUUCAUAUGAAUGUAUUGGUUGCUUUAGAUUUUGGUUUUUAUUUGGGUUUAUGAGAUAACUUUUGCGGGUUAAAUUUGUCUUAUCAUUGAGUUUCUACAAAAUCUAGUGUUCUAGAUGUGUGUGGUUUUGAAAGUGCAGAGAUGGGUGUAGGACAUAAACAUAUAUAUGGUAUAGAAGUGUAUUUGUUGGAGAUGGGAGGGUGUGGUUGAGUUGAUGAUUAGUUGAGUAAACCUAUGAAGGGAUUUGAGUUUUGGGGGUUAGAGUUUAACAUAAGACGGUAGGUAAGACAUUUUAUCCAAAUUUUAGGUCAAAUUCUGAUAAAUGGGUCCUCUUGUCCUAGCCAACUCAGCUUGUGAUGUCAUGUUUACAGUCAAAUUCGAAAUUCAGAGACUACUGAUGUAAAUUGAAAGAUAAGGAUCAUUUUAGAGCUAAAGUUUGAGGAGGUAAACUGAAUUUAAUCAUAAAAAGAUUGACUCGUUUCAUUAUAGUGAUAAAUUAUGUUGAAUUGAUUUGAAGUUAAUUUACCGUUAUAUAAAAGAGUGCGGCUAUUAGGACCUCCAAAUUUGCUCACUUGACCUCCCUUUGUUACGAGUUAUUGAAUGACAAUUACCUCUUCUUACAUAAUGACUAUUAAAGAUAAUAAUCAUACAAAAAGAAGUAUAUUUAUUUUCUCUAGACUUUCCAAUCCGAUAAUUAAUUGAUGGUGUUAUUUAUUAUUUUUCUUAUAUAUUUUUAAUUUUUAAUUUACUAUUUUCUAAAUUUUACUACAUAUUAUAUAUUUAAUUAAAGCUAAAACAAUGAUCAAUAUCGACCAUGUGACAUAAAAUUUUCCAUUAUCAUACAUGUUGAAACUUGAAAGCAUGCAUGUAAUAUCCCACAUCGGCCAAACGGAGAGGGGUUAUGUGCUGUAUAUGUACAUGCCCACCUCCAAUCUAACACGAGGCUUUUUGGUGGCUCAACGGCUUCGGAGGGGAUGGGUACUCCGAGGUUAAGCAUGUUGAUGCUAGAGCAAUCCCAUGAUAGGUGACCUACUGGGAAGCUGUUCCUGAGCUGUCGGAAACAAAACCGUGGGGGCCAGUGGGCCCAAAGCGGACAAUAUCGUGUUACGGCGGAAUGGGUCCUGGGAUGUUACAAAUGGGGUAAAAUUCUUAUUAUAACCCUUAAAUUUUUAUCUUAUUUACUAGCUUGGUAUUAAUAAGAAUUUGGAUCGUAAUAUCUCACAUCGGCCAAAACGGAGAGGGGUUAUGUGUUGUAUAUGUACAUGCCCACCUCCAAUCUAACACGAGACUUUUUGGUGGCUCAGCGGCUUCGGAGGGGAUGGGUACUCCGAGGUUAAGCAUGUUGAUGCUAGAGCAAUCCCAGGAUGGGUGACCUACUGGGAAGCUGCUCCUGAGCUGCCGGAAACAAAACCGUGAGGGCCGGUGGGCCCAAAGCGGACAAUAUCGUGUUACGGCGGAAUGGGUCCUGGGAUGUGACAAAUGGUAUCAGAGCCACUCUGCCGUGUGGUGCGAGUGUGCCGACGAGGGCAUCGGACUCCCAAGGGGGGUGGAUUGUAAUAUCCCACAUCGGCCAAAACAGAGAGGGGUUAUGUGCUGUAUAUGUACAUGCUCACCUCCAAUCUAACACGAGGCCUUUUGGUGGCUCAACGGCUUCGGAGGGGAUGGGUACUCCGAGGUUAAGCAUGUUGAUGCUAGAGCAAUCCCAGGAUUGGUGACCUAUUGAGAAGCUGCUCCUAAGCUGCCGGAAACAAAACCGUGAGGGCCGGUGGGCCCAAAGCGGACAAUAUCGUGUUACGGCGGAAUGGGUCCUGGGAUGUGACAAUGCAAGGUGAAGAAGGAAUAUAUAUGCAAAAACAAAUCGAUAAUGAAAAAUUAAAUAACUAUUGAAAUAAUUUCAUGAUGUACAUAAAAUAGAGGGAAAAAAAGAACAUACAUAGUAUACAAUUGUUAUCUUUGAUCGUUGUUUAACACAAGUAAAAUAGAAAAAGAAAAGCAAAUUUAUGUUAUAAUAUUUUCUUGUUGGUAAAUAUAAGUUUUUUUCUCAGAUAAACAACUAAUAUGCUACAACGAGUCUACUGUGAGUCGAACUCACGACCUCUCACUUAUAAGGAGAGACAGUACUGGGUUGAUAAAUAUAAGUUUUUAAAACUCAAUACUUUGUGCUAUUUGAUUUUUAAGAGAAAAAUCGACGUCAUUGAAUUUUUUUUUUUUCUUACAAAUUGAUCAAAUAAUGGAGGUUGGGUGACAUUCUAUGGGAAAUAAAAAAAUAUCAAGGAAUUGAGGUCAGAUUGGUCAUGGUAUAAAAGAUAUUUUAGAGAUGAAAGAGGUUUGAACAAAAAAAAAAAAUCAAGAAAAAUAGAGGUCUCGAUGAUAGCAUGCAAAAUGAAAAAAAAUUAAAAGAAUGAGAGGUCUAAAGAAUAAAUAAGAGGUAUAAUGAGUAAAUUAUCAAGAUAUAUGUGAAUAACAUAUCUAAUAUUAUUUUAGGAAUUAGAAAGAAGGUAUAGUGAGUAAAUGCUUGUAGUUAAAAUUAAAAAUGAGGUGUAAAGAGCAUGAGAGGUAUACUGAGGAAAUUUGGAGGUCCCAAUCAGAGGUAUAAUGAGUAAAUUAUCAAGAUAUAUGUGAAUAACAUACCUAAAGUUAU